GCUGCUCUAAGCUCUUCUGGCGGUGGGGGUGUAGCAGAGCUCUCCGACUGGAGCACAAUACCAGGCAUAGACUGGGCACGGGCCCUAGUAACUCUCCGGGUCUGACUAGUACCUUCUGCUAUCAAUUUUCCCUUCUGGGCAGCUGGUGCUUUCUUUGGAGGCAUAGCUGAAAACACACGGAUUCGUUAGAGAGGGAUUAUCAUUUUAAUAUAGCUCUAUCGCACGAUCUAGAAUAAGAAGAAAGAAUGACAUCCUAAAUGUCCUGUAGCUUCCUGUUUAUAGAUGUGGUGCACAACACACCGAUAAACAAGACUCUACUAGACAGGGUCUGUAGACACUUUCGAGGAAGAACCGCUCUAAUACCACUCUUUGUCACGACCCAACCCGAUGGGCCGUGACUAGUGCCCGUUUUGGACACCUACAUACAAACCUGCUAAGUAUAACCAACUGAAACUAAGACAAUAUGGAAUUUAAUCAAAUCAAGCCAACCCCAACGUCAUAUACAUAUAAGAGGACCUGUCUAAUAAGGAGUCAUAACCAUUCAACCAUAACAGCAUACGCGAGCCGACAAGGCCGCCACUAUUCAAAGCAUAAUAACAUACGUAUGCCGACAAGGCUGCCACUACACAAUACACAAUGAUGUACGCAGCCGACAAGGCUGCCCCUGUACAAGCGGACAUCCCAAACAAACCAUGUCCAGACCAUUAACCAAAACAUAUAUAUACAACCCACAUAAUGUCCACAGACCUCUAAGAGUACAUUAGUGAAACUCGACGGGACAGGGCCCCGCCAUACCCAUAGACGAGCAAAAGACUACACAAAAGUUAUGUACCAAAACGACUGGGCUCUGGAACAGUGGAGCUCUCCCAAUCAGCAGCGUAGAUAUCCUAGGCGGGAGGAUCACCGAACUGUGCGUCUACACCUGCGGGCAUGAAACGCAGCCCCCCAAGGAAAGGGGGGUCAGUAAGGACAACAUACUGAGUAUGUAAAGCAUAAGGUAAAGAUGACAGGAUACCAAUGUGGCAAGUCGAAACAAAAUAUCGCUACACAUAUACUUUUUAAGUGAAAAUCAUGCAUAUAUUUAACAUUUAAGGUGCCCAGCUUCCCUAGUAAGGGGCUCGGCAAAAUAAUCGUCACGUCAUCUCCGUCAUCAUCAUCAUCAUAACCAUCCUCAUCACCAAUCAUAUAUAUAAUAUACAUACCCGGCCCUCUAGUGAGGAACUCGGUGACAUAUGCAAGAAACUCCGCACGAACAUUACCCAGCCCGGGACUCGGUGAAAUGAUAAAUGACUCUAUGCACGAGCAGAAUAUUAUGAGCAACCAUAUGCAAUUAAAAUCAUUUCUUAUAACUCAAUAGACCAAUCAACGUGAACCAGCAAGGAGUAUUACCAAAGAUUAAUGUUUUAUCAAGAUUAUGAACCUUUAAUACGAUAUGGAAAUGUAAAAUCUCAAUGACUCUAAGAAGCAAUACCAUAGAUAUUAGAGAUCAUCAUAGCCUUAGACAUAGCCGAUAUAUAGAGGAAUAAUUGUGGAAGCAAGAAUAUACAUCACCUAGACGCUCUAGAGGUAAGUAUCAAAUCUGUCCGUUAUUCGCUUAUUUUUAAAGGUCAUGCCAAACAAAGAAAGAAGGGACAACGUUACAUACCGUAUAAUCGAGCCGCACGUCCAAUAUUUACUGCUCAAGCUAUUAAUCUAUAACAUGCAACAAUCGUGCCGCAAUUAGAUAAACAUCGUGCUUUACUUUCUUGUAAGCUAGCUAAUAAUCUAACGAAAAUUCGGCAGCACCUCCCCUAUUUUCCUUACUUCGUCCCAGUCCGGCAACAAUCCAAAUUAUCCACAGCAAUACCAAUAACACAUAUAACCCAAAGAAUCAUAUUAAACAGCCCCCUCCCCAAAACAGUUCCGUCUCGGCAACUAUAGCAGCGAAGCAACGACACACCGAGCGAUAACUCGUUUUAUAAUUCGCAACACAUCUACCUUAUCGUAUUCAUCCUUUGGAGUAUAUACUCAUAAUCACAUUCAACAUAUACAGAAUGCCGAAACAGAAUUUUCCUGCAGUUUGCUUUAAUCAAAACAGCCCAAGCACCAACACGACACCACUAAUAAUCCGAUUAUGGUUUCCAUUCAUACUUAGCACAUUCAAUAACUAAAACAAACUUCCUAAGCUACUGGUCACGCCCCCUUCUUAAAAUUAAUGGAUAAUUAACAAGGGUAUUCUAAAGAAUUAACACACCAAACAAGGAGAUUACUAACCAAAUUAUUUGAAGCUGCUGGCCAAGAGUUGCAGGGUUGGUUUCUCCAUUUCCAUGGCUGCCUAAGACAAGUGGUGAAGAAGAAGAUGAUAUGCAGCAAUGCAUUUCACCACUUUAUUUAGCAUGGAGUGGAUUUCUCCACCUCAUUUAAUAGUAUGAAGUGGAGGCAGCCCCCCUCUACACCUGUCCACUAAGGCCAGCCCACAAUCUGAUCCCUUUUUAAUUUUUCCUUGAGUGGUGGGGCCCACUAGAUUAAAUUAAUCCUAAUCAGCCAUCAAUUAUGAGUGGUGGGGCCCAUUGGAUUAAAUCAAUCCAAAUUAGCCACUAAUUAAUCCCUCACUUAAAGUUAAUGGCACUUACAUUAGCCAACUCAUACUUAAUAUCACAUUUGGAAAUAACAUCUUUGCCUAAUAUUUCUUUACGUCUUCUAGAUCACGAUGCGCACUACGUAUUAAAAAAAUAUGAGGCAUAACAAUAGACCCAUAUGUCUAGCAUACGAUUAAAAAAUACUGAAGCUAAGAUGUAUGUAAUGAAAUGAUGAAAUACUAGAAGGGUUAAGUACGAGUGUAAGAUAGACUAAAUGGCCAAGUUCAUUGGCAUAUAAUAAAAUGAACAAUGAUAUGAUUAAAUGAACAAUGAAAUGAUGAAACCCUAUAAGGGUUAAGUGAGAGCAUGAAACACACUAAAUGGCCAAGUGCAUUGGCAUGUGAUGAAAUGAACAUUCACGUAAAAAGGGGUGUGUAAUUAAUAAGAGCAAAUGUUAUAAUGUUAAUGAAUGUGGUGAAAAUAUGAUAUGAUUCAAUUGUAAAAGAUGAGAGCAAUCUCAAAUGAUCCCAAGUAAAUGUUACUAAAACGUACUCACCUAUGAGAAUUUAAAGUUAAUGAAGAGACCAGUCUAUGAACACUCUAACGCAUGUAUUGAGAUUAACACACUUAAUACUAAAGAUGAGAUGAGAAAUCAUCUAUAGAGAUAUAAUGUCCUCAUACUAGAAGCCAGCUUACAUGAUGUAAUGGAGCUUUAUUAUGAGCACUGCUGGACUAGCUAUGAGCGGUAAUGCCUUUUUUCGGUAAAAGCGGAGGUUCAAGUAACUCUCAUGAUAUGGGACUGUCUGGCAUGCUGGGUAUGGGUCUCCUUAUAUCUCCUAGUCUUCAAACAUAUACUUUCAACAUUGGGAUUUUGCGGGGUUCCAUUAUCAUUAACGCUAGCAUGUUUUGGGUCACUUUGGUCGCUUAUUCCACCUCUUUUCGGUAUGGGGUUUCAUGACACAAUAUUUCGUGAUGUUCGCAUGAUCUACGUCGGUUAAAGUUAAUGUUCCCUAUGAAUGAAGGAGUCCAACCUCAAAUGAUGCACAUAAUGAAAUGAAUGAUACCAAAGGUGUUAGGAUAGGAUAAUCAAACGGUGAGUUAAAUUGAAGUAAUGACAUUAGGUAAUUCUUGGUCAUUGCACAAUGAACCCGAUGAAAAUCUUAAACUAAAUCCUAGGUAUAGCUGGUGUUUACACUGUUCCAUGAAUGAAAUGAAAUGGAAUAUGUAUUAAUAAGUUAAGCGAACUCUGUGUUUGCUAAAGCAGACUCCCUAGUUGAGGUGCCAUAUGUUGAGCCCUCAUUUCUUGAAAGUUUUAGUGUUAAGUCUAUGAAUCCAAUGGCUCGUGGCAUAUGAGUAAAUCAUAUGAAAAGUGUUAUAUUCUAUAUGUGAUAUGAUAUGUGAAGUAUGUUAUGUGCUGUUUCAAAAAUAAUAAGUUUGAUGAUGCAUGUUACACUGAUGACAUGAGUUUCCAAAUAAAAAUUUGGCAUGUCCAUUACUUUCUUAAUCAAAAUUUUGCAAGUCACAAACUUGACUUUCGAUAAAUCAUGUUUUUAGGAAAGAUCUAUUCUUUCUCAUGCAUGUCCUUGGCGUGUGCUUGCAUAUAUCCAUAAUUAGUACAAGUAUGUACUAAUGUUAUACAACUCUAUAUUUUUAGGUGUAGGCACAGGUGGACGCUAGAGCUUAACGGUUGACAUUACAGCUAUCUGGAUGUGGAGCUUAGAUCCGGCCUUUGUAGGCAGUCAUGCUUUCGAGGAUAUCUACCGUUAUCAUCUAUCUUAGAUACAGACUUUAGCUAGUGGAGCAUGUUCCAUUAGUGUUUCUUUCAACUUCCAUUUCAUACUUUGUAUUGGUGUCGUUUUUGCAAAAAUACAUUUAAUUCAAUGAUGAACUGUUUCUUUCAUUUGAUUAUCAGUAUAUUAGAUGGUUGCAUUUGUGAACGCCUAUAAUGUUAAGUUUAAAAUGAUUAGCAUGAAGUAAGAAGACAAAAAGUUCAAUUUUUCUGCUAAAAAUUAACUAGAUGAAGUAAGAAUGACGUAUGUAGGCUUGUGUGCGACCUCUGAGGGGUCAACACAACGGUCUUGUCUGGGUCAAGAUUUCAGUCGUGUCAUAUGAUGUAUCUAAUCUACCUCUCUAGACGAGUGCUCCUCGUUACAAGAUGAAUGAGUCACUUAAAAUAAAUCUCAUUAUCCCUUAACUAUGUACCCUCAUAGGAAUAGCUAUUGGAAGCCCCAUGAAAAGUAUCAAGAAUGACCCUACCUUAGGAAAGUCGGGAACCCUCAUUCCGUAGGGGUUAAUACUGAGUUUCCAUGUCUAGAUCUCAUGGUCUAUUUCAGUUAAAGCUAGCCCCCAAAAAUGAAUGUACUAAACUAAUUCUUCCAAAGGGUGUGCUACUUAGGAUGGUGGUGGUAUCGUACGAUAUCUACUCAUUUCACAGGUAGGGAUCUAAAGGGAGUCUUGGUGUGUCCUAAUUUUUAAUGUAUGAAUCGGUCCUUACGUGAUGUAAGUGAAGUUAUAUGACUUAAUCUUCAAAGUGAAGAAAGCAUGUUAAGGUCAUGUGGUGUAUGAUGAAGGUUAUGAAUGAUUAAUGUGGUGUGCCUAAUCAAAGAAAAUCUUCAAGGAUCACUAGGUGGGAUUAGUUGUAUGAGUUGCUACUCUCACAUUGUACUAUGUGUAACUUGGGGGUUGUAGUGGAAAAGGUUUCUUAUGUGAAGUCUUUGAAUGUAAGUAUGUUCCUUCGUGUCUUGUUGUUGAGUUUAGGGUUGUUACCCGUUUAAAGUAACCCUAUGGUCGGUAUUCUUGAGGAUCGCUUAGGUGUGUAUUGAAGGGAUUGUAUGGAAGAUUUCUUCAUGUCUUACCUUAGUGUGGUUUAGGAUAACCAUAGUUAGGAAACUUCAAGGUAAAUGAGUUCACUAUGAGUUGAAAUGAAAUGGGUUCAUCGUAAGUUUGCGUGAACUCUCUCUAAAGUGGAGUUUGCUGCAAAAAUUAUGGAAGCUUCUAUUUAUGUACUAAAUUAUGAUUUAUAUGUUGUUUUACUUCUAUAUUCAUGAAGAGUUUAAUUAAAUAUAAUGAAUGUCUCAUUUCAAUUAAAAUGUCCCUUUGACAUGUGUUUUUACGUAAAGAUAUACUUAGUACAAUAUCUUUAAUAACCCCAUACUUUUCUAUACUCUGUAAGUAUAGGUUGGAAAAAGUCGAAGAAUAGAAGGAAAGCUUGGGAAGUUGUCUCUCUCAGGACUAUGUAUGCCCUCAUAUAUUUGAGGAUAUAGUGUAUGUUUCUUUAGUUUUUCAUUAAGACUUGUAUAAGACUUAUUAUGUAUUUUCUUUCAAUGUAAAAGGUCGUGACCCUAAGAUGUUUAUAUUGUGUCUUUAAGUUGAUUUCUAACGAGGAGACUUAUUCUUAAAAUUUAUAAAAGAAUUUCUUGUCGUUAUUCUUGUGAAAAGUUUUAAUUCCACCCUAAUUUUCAUAUCUUAUGUCAUGAACGAUAGUUAUGAGGCUUGUAAAAGACCCCGAAGAGGGAAGUAAACCUUUUGACAAUUCAUGAGUGCUUCCUUGUUCUAAGGGGUACAUGCAGUUCGUUACAACUCCACUAAUGAAAAUUUUAAGCAAUUUAUUAGAAUGGCAUGACAGUAUAAAAGAAAAAAUCAAAUAACUCCAAUCACCACAUAAAACUUAACAUCAUGAAAAUGCACAAUGCAUGGAGAUCAAUGAAAUUCAUGUUCUUUUAGACUCCUAAAAGAAUGCAACAUGCUACUAUACAAUUCUAACUGUCAAUCUUGAAUAGAAUAGAAUAGAAGAGACAACAAACCACAACCCAACUAUUCACCAUACUCUCCCACUUAGAAGGAACCAACUAAAACUAAAGAGAGAAAACUACAACUUACCGGCAUCCUUAUCUGAAUUUUCUUUAAUUUGGAGAACAUAGAAGCCAUUCCUUUUUGGUGGACCCACAUCAGGAUCAUUAGGAGAAACAUUCUUGGCCUCUCUUCCUCUAGUCGUAAUAGCAGGAUAACCUCUCACCUUAUGUCAAUCCUUAUAACAACCAAAGCACCUACCGGUACUUGCUAGACAUUUCCCAAAGUGCUUCUUUCCACAGGUAAAACAAGUAGGCUUGACACCUGGAGAACCACUACCACUCUGACGUUGACCUUAGAAGCACUAAAUUAAUCUUGAUUUGGAGUCCUCUUCUUCAAUUUUUGUUGGUUUUGCUCAUCAUAUCACCCUAUAGCACUCAACACCUUAUAACAAUGGAAUAUAUGAGGAUUCAUCCUCAUAAAGUCCUUCAAUCUAGAGGUCAUGGUACUCUCAAAAGCAUUCACCUUAGGUUCAACGUCCAUAUUCACUUGAGCCGUCAUGACUCGGGCUAAGUCGAUAAUAGCGUCUCUAAUAUUCCCAUUAGUCAUAUCCCGGGGAACCACCAGAACCUCAUCCCCUUGACCAAAUAUAAGAACUUUCUCACCUUCAGGAACAUGAAUACCUUGUGGAGCUUUUCAACCUUGGGGAACUCCCUCAUUGACCACUUCCUAACUUUCCUAGUGGGUGUCCUCCUUGUAUUCAUAUCCUAUAAAUACAAAAAAAGAGAUUAUGAAAUGACACUUAUAACCUCAACUAUAUGGCACGACAAGAGAUGAAUGAAUAAAUGGAAACUCUAUCGUCCUAUAACCUCUUUCUCAUAGAUGUGUUGCAACUCACACUAAUGAAAAAGACUCUACUAGACGUGGCAUUAAAGAGACUUUGGAUUCCUAAUGUCUUUUUUAUGAGGUUAUGCUCCGAUACCGAGUUUGACAUGACCCAAUGUUGACCUUAUAAAUUAGGGGACCCAUAAAUCACAACAGCGUACUCGACCUCUCGUAGGUCUUGCACAAACCCUUAGACAUUAUCCAUUGCAUAUAUAUAUAUAUAUAUAUAUGGGUUGCAAAAUUAAAAAUCUUCUCAACAAUAGUUCAUAAAUCUUUCAAAGAAAACAUAGGAAAUUCUAAGUCUCCUUGUAGCAAUCUUAGACACAUGAAUCUUUUGACUCACAACCCAUAUAUCAACAAAAUGGAAAAUAUCAAAAUCUAAUACAAUGUCUUUCAAAAAGAAAAGCUAAACAUAAGUAUGUCCUCGAAUCAUGUGAGGACAUACCAAGAUUUACUUGAAAGGAUGUUAUUUUCAUGAUUUACUUCCAAUAUACCCUUCACUUUCCACCUACACCUUCAGAUUUAAAACAACAUAUGGAAUUAGUACAUUUAAUGCACUAAGCAUGGUGACGUGCAAUAAAACCAUGCUAAAAUGGACAUUUAUUAUAUAAUAUGCUUUGAAUGCUCUUAUGAAGAAAACCUCAUUAAACAAGUAUAAGAACAUUUCACAAGUCAAAAUACACACGUAAGAUAUUUUUCGAGUAAUCCACAACAUCACACUAUCAUCAUAUAGAAACCAUAUAAGCAUAUUGACCUCCCAGCAAUGGUUCUCUUAAGACCCACAUAAGUAAGAUACGAAGUGGACACCCAUACAACCUCUUCACACACACCUAAGUGAUCCUCAAGACUACCUAAAAAAUAUUUUUCCCUUUUAACCAAUUAAAUCCCAAAGAUACUCUAACACUCAACUAAGUAAGACAUGAAGAAAUCUCCCAUACACCCUCUUCAAGCCUACCUAAGCAAUCUUCAAAGCUACUCUAGAUAAGUACAUUUUCAUUGACAUGCAUUAACUUAAGUCGACAAUGUUCAUUAAGACAUUUUACAAACCUUCAAAAAUUAAGGACUUUAGAUAAUGGUCUUGAGGAACACCUAGGAAACCCUCAUCAUAACAUCUCCAAAGCCUACUCGUGUCAUAUAUAUAUACACUACCUACACAUUGUAGAAUUUCUCUAACACUAGAAUGCAUAACACAUUAUGACAAUAUCCAUUAACCGACAUAAAAUUUACUAUCUAGGCAUGGAAUCCAAAGUCUACUCUACUCCGUGGAAGGGUGUUCUACUUGCCAAGGGUAGAACUAGGACACAUCCCAUUUACAUGGUUAAGGAAUAUAAAGGUUUUCUUGGUACUCUAGUCUCAUCAUAAGUAGAGUCACUACCACAAGCAUAUUUACUCGGUUCUUAGCCUUAGUUCUUAUAGAGUAAGUUCAUUCAAAAGAGGAAUAUGAAAAUGUCAAUAUUUUAGUCUUACCAAAUCAUAAUACCCCAAACAAGGAUGGGUUCACUAGGGCUGCCACUCAAUUGUUAUAAGAAUAGCUCAAUUACUUUCUUAGCGAUGAUAUUAUGUCGUUACAGGAAAACUACACUCCGGGCACGAGGAUGUGGAUCCAAGGGCUUGUGGAGCAGCUAGCACAUGAUGGGAAACUUUUGCCUGCGAUGCGGGGCCAACACAAACUUUUCUGCCAUAAAAAUAUUCCACAACAAAGAUCUAGUAAUAAUCCUGCGACGCGCAACCAAGUCACAAAUUUGGUUAUGUUGUUUUUAUGUCGACCCAAGAGCUCACCCUAGACGAUAUGACAUUUCCUCGAAUUGCAACACGACAUACUUGACCUAUUGAAUGUCUUGUACAAGCUCUUAGACAUUAUUCAUUGCAUAUAUGUAUUAAAAGUAGCGUACGAUUAAAACUUUUCACACGAAUAAUAUCUCAAAACGUUAUUCAUAUAAAAUGAUAUAUGUCAAUCUUAGACUCAAGAAUACUUGGGCCACGACCCAUAAAAUAGGAUAUAAAAAUACUUAUUCUAUUACAAAACUUUGAAUGAAAGAAGAUGUCCUCUAAUAAAUGAGGACAUACCCCAACUUUUGCUUGAAUGAGUUCUAGUUUCCAAGCUUUGUUUCAAGACGCCUCUCACCUUCACCUACAAACAUAGAAAUAGAUAAAAUGUAUCGAAUUAGUACAAUGCAUUUACUAAAUAUGACAUUAUGCACAAAAAUCUUGAUAAAAGGACAUUUGUAUAAAACAUGCUCUUUUGAGUAAAACCUCAUAUCAUAAUAUAUUAAAAACACAUACCAUACAAACAUCAUAUAUAAGUCAAAUUACACAAUAUAAUAUCAAGCACACUUCAAAACACACAAACAUGAGAAGAUGAUUCUAAGGCUCACUUAAGUGAGUUAUGUAGUGACCGCCCAUACAAUCCCUUCACACACACCAAAGAGAUCCUUUAUAAUGCCUAAGAUAAUAUUAUUCCCAUUUUAUUAAUCACACUUUCCUAUCUAGAGUUACUCUAAAGACUCCCCUAAGUAAUACAUUAAGAGACCAUUCAUAUACCCCUUCCACAUCUUAACUAGGCAAUCCUUAAAGCUACUCUAGACAAGUACUUAUUCAUUAACAUGUUUUUUAACUUAAGUCAUAUUAUUCAUUAGUCAAUUUAUGAGAUAUUAGAUAUUCACAUAAUUGUUUCGGAGAAGACCUAGGUUGCUCCCACACUUACAUCUUUAAAGCCUAAUUGUGCAAUGUCUAGAUAUAUUCUCAUUCCACUACCUAAACUUCAUAGUAUUUAUCCAAUGCUAGAAGGUAUUCCACAUGAUGAGAAUAGGCAAUAACCUAUAUAGACCAUACUAGUAAGGCAUGGUAUCUGGAGUCAACCCUACUCCAAUAAAGGGUGUUCUACUUGCCAAUGUUAGAACUAGUACAUAUCCCAUUUAGGCCCCCAAUUAAGGUAUAUCGAAGUUUUCUGUGUUAUCUAAUGACAUAUUAGUUAGAGAAACUUCCCACGCAUCCUCACUUGGUUCUAGACAUUCUUCUCAUAGAGUAUUUAAAUGAAGUAGCAUAUGAAGCGGUCCCAUAACUUGUACAUUACCCAAUCACAUUACAACUUACAAAAGAGGGACACUAAGGCUACCUACAAUGGUUAAGAGGAUUGUUCAAUGACUGUACUAAGGUUGAUUUCAUGUCAUUUCGUACAAUCAAUUGUCACAUCCAAAAAUCACACCUUAGAAGUUAGGGCCAAUCUCAAAUUGCAACCGGUGUACUUGACCUCUCAGAGGUAUUGUCCAAACCCUUUCAUAUCAUUCAUCGCAUAUAAAGACAUAUGAAAAAUAUGCGGAAUUAAAGAUUUUCAUAUAAGUCUAUAAAAACUAUUUCAUAUAAUACCAUAGGAAAUACUAAGUCUCAAUUAAGUAAACUUAGACACUAGAAGGGACACGACCUAUACGUAAUACGAAUAUAAAAUACUUAGUCUAUUAAAAUACUUUGAUAAAGAAAUAAAAUUCAUAUAUGCCCUUGAGUCAAAUGAGGACAUACAUCAACUUCACUUGAAUGGUGCUAAGAUCCAAGUCUUGCUUCCCAAAUUCUCCUCACCUAGCAACCACAAUAGAGACAGUUAAAAUCAUGGAAUUAGCAUAAUCACAUAUACUAAGUAUUGUAUAAUGCAUAAAAAUGAUGAAAACAUGCAUUUAUUUGGAAAUACAUUUUUCAUUUAAAUAUCUUAAUAUAAUCAUAAGAACAACAUUUAACACCUUAGAAUCAUAGAAGAUAACAUUUGAGAAAUUUAGGACAUUUUUUCAACCAACUUUACUGUAACCUAUAUUCACUGAAACAAUGAAGUGCCUUCCUUUCCCUUUUAACACAUCCUAGCAUGUAGUCUUCUCACAAAAAAGUUGUUCUAAGACUCACUUAAGAAACCAAAAGAGAGACCGUCCAUAAACCCUCUCUAAGCAUGCCUAAAUGAUUCAGAAGACUACUUAUAAUAACAUACAUAUACUAUUACAAUAAACUAUACACAUGAGCAUUAGAUUCUUCUAGAAAAGUUAUUCUAAGUCUCACUUGAGUGAAUUGUGAAGCAACCGAACAUACAAUCCCUUACACAUACACUUAAGAGAUCCUAUAGAAUACAUAGGAUAGAAUCAUUUUCACUUAACACAACAAAACAUAUAUAAUAUGACAUACUCUUUCCAAAUGCUAUCUAAGACUUACUUAAGUAAAUCAAGAAGACAACGUCCAUUAUUGAACUCUUCAAGUUACCUAAAUAAUCCUUAAGACUACCUAAGUUUAGAUCUUGACUACAUAAUCAACCAUCUUCCCUAACUACAAUACAUCCUUAAGACUUAUCUAGGUAUGAUACGAAGUGACCAUUCCUAUGCCCCUUCACACCUGGACUAGACAACCUUAACUACUCUAGAUAAGUAAUUAUUUCAUUUUUAUAUACUUUCUUAUUUAAGUCAUUAUAUUCAAUAGUUUACUUAUGACUCAAGCAUCCCACAAAGACAUUCAAGUAAUGGUCUUGGACAAGACUUAGGGACCCUAUAUAAUACCUUCAAGGCCUAUUGUGCAAUGUAUAGAUAGUGUCCCAUACAACCACCUAAAANNNNNNNNNNNNNNNNNNNNNNNNNNNNNNNNNNNNNNNNNNNNNNNNNNNNNNNNNNNNNNNNNNNNNNNNNNNNNNNNNNNNNNNNNNNNNNNNNNNNUUCUCACAAAAAAGUUGUUCUAAGACUCACUUAAGAAACCAAAAGAGAGACCGUCCAUAAACCCUCUCUAAGCAUGCCUAAAUGAUUCAGAAGACUACUUAUAAUAACAUACAUAUACUAUUACAAUAAACUAUACACAUGAGCAUUAGAUUCUUCUAGAAAAGGUUAUUCUAAGUCUCACUUGAGUGAAUUGUGAAGCAACCGAACAUACAAUCCCUUACACAUACACUUAAGAGAUCCUAUAGAAUACAUAGGAUAGAAUCAUUUUCACUUAACACAACAAAACAUAUAUAAUAUGACAUACUCUUUCCAAAUGCUAUCUAAAGACUUACUUAAGUAAAUCAAGAAGACAACGUCCAUUAUUGAACUCUUCAAGUUACCUAAAUAAUCCUUAAGACUACCUAAGUUUAGAUCUUGACUACAUAAUCAACCAUCUUCCCUAACUACAAUCAUCCUUAAGACUUAUCUAGGUAUGAUACGAAGUGACCAUUCCUAUGCCCCCUUCACACCUUGACUAGACAACCCUUAACUACUCUAGAUAAGUAAUUAUUCAUUUUUAUAUACUUUCUUAUUUAAGUCAUUAUAUUCAAUAGUUUACUUAUGACUCAAGCAUCCCACAAAGACAUUCAAGUAAUGGUCUUGGACAAGACUUAGGGACCCUAUAUAAUACCUUCAAGGCCUAUUGUGCAAUGUAUAGAUAGUGUCCCAUACAACCACCUAAAAUACAUAGAACUUCUCUAAUGAUAGUAAGUAUCCCAAAUGAUGAGAAUAGGCAACAACCGACAUAGAACAUGUUAGCAACACAUGGAAUCUAGAGUUCUAACCUACUCUGAUGAGGAUGUUCAACUUGACAUUGGUAGAACAUAAACACAUUCCAUGUAGCCACAUGGUUAAGAAACAUGAAGGGCAUGUUUGUAUUCUAGUGUAAUCCUUUGACUAGAAAUACUUCUCUUACCAUACUCACAUGGUACUAGGCUUUGUUUUCAUAGAGUAAUUUACACUUAAAGAUCAUACAAAGGUGUUCCAUAUCAUGUUCAUAACCCAAUUACAUUUACUCUACCAAAUAGUUUCUGUAGGGCUAGCUUACAAUUACGAUAAGAAUCUCAUCAUGACUUUCUUAAGGUUUAAUAUUAUGCCACUUAAGACAUUAAACGUUAUGUCUAUCAUUCCUUUACUUGAAGAAUACCAUUACAUUUUUUACUUCAAAAUUCACAACCUUACCACCAGGUUUAAGGUUCACAUAAAGGACUCGCUUAACAUCAUUUAAGGACUCAUGUAAUUCAUACAUAAAUGACUAAGAGGUGUUAAAAUCCUAAGUCAACACAUCUUAUUUCACAUUCAUACAUGUAUCAACUAAUGGACACAAGUCAAUAAAGACACGACACAACAUACUUUACCUUAACACAUAUUACAUGUCAUUCUAGAAGCUCAUAAAUGUAACAGUUAUCCUCUUUAAGUAAUCCUACGCACUAUCAUAAUAGGAAAAACUAAGCAUCAACCCUAAGACUAUACGCACAAAGCCAUUGUCAUAGUCUAGCAUGAUCACCUAAAUAACUCAAUGAAAGAACACAUUUAAUUUAACAUUAGUUAUCAUAUAGGUAUAUAUUAUACAACUUCACAUAAUCAACUAUAAAAAUCAUCACAUCACUUCAAGUAGUUGACGACAAGGUCAUGAUAAUCAUAAUACAUAAAUUAAUGCCAACAAGGACACAUCAAUUGAAAGUAAAGCACAUAACACCACUAUCAUAAGUGGACCAUACCAAUCAUAACAUAGGUGAAGUAUAAUUAACAUAAAUAAGGUAAUUAGGGAAUCAUACCACCACUCCAUCCUCAACACCUCAAUCCAAUGCUAAAUAGUCCAAUUCCAUAUCAUAAGGCCCUUACCAAUGGCCAUGAAAAUCAAUUCAAUAUAAAAACUAUCAUAUUCAAUGAAACUACAUCAAUUCAAUAUAGAUUCAACACUCUAAUACAACCUAGAUAUCAAUUCAAUACAAUUACUAUAUCAAUCAAUAAGCCAUAGAAAACUACAUCAGAAUUCAUAAACAUUAAGUCAAUAUUAAGUAACACAUAGAGUUGUCAAACACUAGGUUUGAUCUAUUACAUGGGUUAAUAGGUUAAUUGAUUUAAAAUAAUCUAUUUAAUAACAAUUCAUUCAACAUAAAAUCAUUUAAAACCUUUAAUGCAAGAACCCAUGGAUAGAUCAUGAAAUUGGACAAUUCAUCUUUAAAAACUUUAGAAAACUUCUUUGAGAGUUGGGAUCCUUGAUGAAUAGAGUUUGAAGGAUCAAUAAUCAUAACCCAAUGAAGAUAAUUCUUCAACUUAUGAAGAAUCUCCACUCAAUUCCCCAAUCCAAGCCCUUCCUUGAGUUUCGGCUCUAAUGGAGUUCUAAAGAAUUUCUAAGGAAAUUUGGGUUUAUAUUUUGAAGAAUGAAAUCUUGUAUGUAUUGAAGACCUAUAUACUUAUAAAAUACCCAAAUGAAACUUAAGGAACCGCUCAAAGUAUAAUUUUGACGUGGGGUGAAGUCAAAAUUUCACCCCUAAACUUACAGUGAACCUGCACAGCAGACAGCAUCACAAACAGAGGACCAUCGACGACCCAUCCCAUAACCAACCGUCUUAUUGGUUCAUGGUUGGGGAUUGAGGCUGGUAUUUCUCCUCUCCUCUCCAACUCCUAAGUUUCCAUCAACAAGACCUCACCUAUGGGGUGUCAAUUGACCCACAGGGCGUCGGUCGUAAUCCGUAGUUGGGCUGUCUUGGACAGUUUUGCCACCAAUAAUGGUUCGUUCCUCAAGGAAAUUUACAACACAAGCAUUCUCACAUACAAGUUUAGGACCCUCUCAUAAAUUUUAUCAAAAACGAACACGUAAAACUCGACAAAACAUGCUUAGACACAUAAGGUCGUUUAAAGGCAAACUUUUCGAACGUCAUGGACGUUCUUAGACGUUUAACCUCCUAGCAUAACAAAACAUGACACACUGCCUAUAUAAACAUUAAUAACUCAUUUAAAUACCAUAUAACCUCAUGAAUAAAACAUAAACCAAUAAAACCACGUAUAAGACCUAUAGGCGACUUAGUUAUUUAACGUCUUGAUCGUCCUUUGAUGUUUGACUUUCAAUGCACCUAAACUCCUAGAUAAUGCCUCAAUACCACAUUAUAGAACCAUUUAGGACCUAGAACAUCAUGACAAUGAUGUUAGAUUCUAGUUCACCUAAGUCAUUUUUGGGAUCUUACAUCAGCCCUAAGUCAACCAUUCAUACAAGAAGGAUACCGUUACGACUUUCAACUUUAAGGAUAUUAUAACCUUCCAUCUAGAUUAAAGGUUUCACGUUAAGGACCUUGUAAAAUAUUUUCUAUGUCACAUGUAAAUCACACAUACAAGACUACGAAGAUUUAGCAUACUAAGUCAGGAAUCCAUAUUGACAUUUUACAUUUAUCAAGUAAGGGACACAAGUCUACUAAAAAAGGACAUACACAUACUUCACUAUAUCACAUAUAGUAUAUCAUACGACAAGCACAUAGGGACAAUCAAUGUAAACUAUAGGUGACGCAAUUCACUUCUAUAAUAUCAUAAAUCUAAUUCAUCACAAGUCUCCUAUAAUUCAUCAAGGAACAUCAUACUUCAACAUCAAGUAAUACACAUAAUUACUUAACUAUAGACUACCAAAGACACAUUCAAUCAACUAGAAAAACUCAUGCUUUAAUUUAACAUAAACACAUAAUUUAUCAAGAACUUCACAAUUCUCAUAUAUUAGAGUUUUAACAUGAGAAAUCCUUAAUUCAUAAUUUAAUGCCGACAAGGCAACACUGUUUCACAAUUCAUAAAGUAAUGCCGACGAGGGCACGUUAUUCAUAAGUAUUACACCUAAAAACCGACACCAUAGGUGAACUAUACCAACAAUCAUAUUAAUAUAAGACCUAUACUACACAAUAUUGAGAAGGUUAGGUCAACAUACCACCAUUCAAACCUCACAACUCAAACCCAUAGCCAAUCCAACCAACUGCAUAUACAAAGGCUCUUACAAACAGCGAUAGACACAAUUAAUCACAAUAUACAUGAAUCAAAGAUAAUACAAUAUGAAUUCAUCAAUUUAGGACAGCCUAAAUAUAGUCCAAGCAUCAUUCUUUAAUAAUUCAAUAACCAUAAUUAAUCUAUUCAAGAAUUUGAUAGUAUAGAAACAUUAUCAACUCACCUAUAUAAUAGUCCAAAAAUAUGGUUUCACGAUUUCCAUGGUUUCAUAGAGUAUUUAGUAUAAAAUCAUCAAAUUAACCUCAAUUCAAUCAAAAUACAUGACGUCCAGUAAAUUGUGAAAUGGAGGUUAGUGCGCCUUGGCAUGUUUUACGAGGUUUUAAAAGUCUUGAAUGAUAUUUUAUAGAAAUUGUCAAACAUAUAUUAGAAUGUGUUGAAGGUCAAAUAUUGCUGGUACAAGUCCUCAAGAAACACCAUAAGGGUCAUUGAGGAGGACCCUUCAAAAAUUACCAAGAAGCUUUCAAGUGACAUUGGCAAUCGACGAGCCAAACGAAAGGACGUCGCCAGGUUGAAGAGCGUCAAUGGCUCCGUCUUUCAAAACAUAGCCGUGUUACAAAAAUAGUCAAAAAUUAGUUCACUGACACCAUCGAUGGAUGUGCAGUACAGGGAUUAGGGGAAUUCGAAUAACCUAUGGACCGUAGGAUGAGGUCUUGUAUGUCAGGCCUGGGUUAAGCCGUUAAUUUUUAAGUGGGUUAAUUAAUUAAUUAAUAGUUAGAAGAUUAAUUUGGGAUUAAGGGAGGUCUAAUUAAGUUAUUUAAGGAACUAUAUAAAGACCUAACAUUUAUUAAACUAACUCAACACCCACAAUUCCCCAACUCAAAUUUCCAUUCCUUCUCUAUACUUUCUCUUUCCCCAAUGAAGACUCCAUAGAAGACUAAUGUCAAAUGGAUAAGGUCUACGAGAAAUUCACUUUCUAUACAGAAAUAUUCAAGUAUUACAAGGUAUGGGAACACUUCACCCUUGGGAUUCUUUUACCCAAAGCUUUUUUCAAAUUGAUUUUCAAAAGAUGAUAUAAACAUUGGUUUCUUCCUAAUAAGAAAUUGAUGUUUCAAUUUGUAUUGUUCUUGAUUUCUCUGUACUAUUAUGGUUUUAUUAUGAUGUAUUAUUGGUUAAUAAUGGUAGUUAUUGAUUUAAGACCUAUUUAUAUGGAGGAUAUCAUAAAUUUACCCUAUUUCCCUAACCCUAGGUUAUGAAUUGGUAUCUAAUUGAUUAGUGUUGAUGCAAUUAACUUAGUUAUUAUGUUAACUAAUAUUUUUUUUAUUUUAUUAAGCCUAUUAGUUUAUGAAUAUGAUUGUUUGAUGGUAAGACCAUGUAAGAAGGCUUGUGAAGUUGAAUUGGUAAGACAGAUGAUCUAAAAUCCUUACUUUAAUUGUGAUGACUUAUACAUAAUGAUGAUGUUCAAUUGAAGUGUUAAUUGUUAUUAGAUUCAAUAGGUGAUGAUAUGGUAAAUGCAAUUGAAAUUUAUUAAGUAUAUAUAUGGUGAGAUAAUGAUUAUGAUGUAAUUAUGUAAGGUUAUUUAUGAAUUACCUAUGUGCCUUAAUAUGACAUGAUGAUGAUAAUAUGUAAAUCUCACAAAUGAAGGGUUGUCAUAGAAACGCAUUCUCAUAAAAUUUCUAUUGAGCAAAUGAUGAUGACAUACAAGGGGAUAGUCCGCUAUGACCUGUACUAAGCUAUGAUGAUUAACAAAGGAUUAAAGACAUUUAAAAAAAGGACUCUAGCUGAGCAGAGAGUGAAAUUGUAGUGAGGAGUGUCCCUUCUCAAGUAGGGAAGGUAGGUUCACUAUUGUACCCCCAAGAUAGAGAUUACAACUCCAAUCAGGGGGUUUCAAGCAUGUUGCCAAAAUCUUGAACUAUGUUUCCCCAUAGGAAUACUAGCUAGUGGAUCCAACUUAAUACUAUAUUCAUAUUGUGGUACCACCUUGGAAUGUAGUCCACCUUCUUUCCCUGUAGGGUUUCAUGACACCAGAUUCCACAUUAGCUCAUUGGUCUAUGUCGGUUAUGGCAAGUGUUACCAAAGGUAAAAUGAAGUAAUAAAUUGAACUCUAACUAGGGUGACUCAAGGGAUUGACUUAGUCUAGGUAGGAGGAUGAGACUUUACGUAUUAAUUGAACUAAUUGGCCUCGAGGGAAUUCCUAGAAGGAUGUUCUAAUGUUCAUAUAUAUGUGACUAUACAUGUUGAUUAUCUUAUAUGAUGUUUGUUUCAUUUAUGACCAUGUUAUGGUCUAUAUUGCUAUAUAUGAUUAGUAAUACUCAUGAUGUUAUGCUUAAUGAAGUUACACAUUAUUUGUGAUCCUUUGGUUGGUUUGCGUGGUUUAGUUAGGUUAUGGGAUUGAACUUGUAUGAUUGGCAAGGGGUUAUGAGUAAGGGUCUUGCUUAUGUUUUCAUAUUAUGAAAACAUAUACAUGCCUUGUUGUUAUAACAUGAUGUUGGAGUUACUUCGAUCAUAUGCCAUAAUAUGCUAUUAUAUAUGUUGACUUGACUAUACUUGAUGAUGCUGGUUGUUUGUUGAAUAUGGUAUUGUAUUAAGGAUAUAUGAUUAUUGAGUUUUAUGUGAUAAUUGUUGUGCAUAAGCAUUUUCAAAGUAACAUAGCAUGUUUCUUAAUAAAAUUCCCCUUUAGCAUUAUUUCGAAUGUCUAUGUGCAUAUUAUUGAUACGUAGUUCAAAUUCUGUACUAACCCAUAUUUCUAUGUUUCUUCAAUUAUAUAGGUUCUGGCCUUUGUGUUCCUGAAAGGCCAAUUAAGAAGACUUGGAUUCUCUUUUAUCCAUGUUUUAUAGGUCCUCACCAUUCUGAUGGCAAUUCCAAUAUAUAGGUAUUGAUGUUUUUAUUGUCCGAAGACAUUUUAACUUCUUUCCAAUUCAAUUUGGAUAUUGAUGUAAGCAUAUAUUGGGAUGUUGAAUUUGUAUUGGCUAUGUCCAAGAUUUGUAUUUGUUUAGAUUGUUCAAUAUGAUAUAAAGUAUUAGACAAAAUCUAAUGUAUCAAUUAUGUUAUGUACAAGUAGAAGGCUACGUAAGAUUCCUAUGUGAGGAGUCUAUGUAAACUCCCUAAAUAGUAUGCGAGAGGUCUAUCUAAAACUCACUAUAUAUAUGAUAUAGAAAAGUUUUAAAUUUUCAUUAUUCAUAAACCAUAAUAUGUAUGACGAGUGCUAAGAGUCUAUUCUUAAUACUGUACAAGGACGACGACGCCCUUUAGAUCUAGGAGGUUCUCCCCGGACAUGAAAAACUUAGUAUCCGAGCAUGAGUUUAAAGAGAUCUUAGGAUUUGUUAUCUCAUCGAACCACAUCUACCUAAACUCUUGUUUAUGGGUGUGAAGCGCGCCACACUUAUGAAUAAUAGGCCAUGUGAUGCUUAGGAAUCCUCACUUAUUGGUAAUGUUAAAUGUCGUGCCUUAUGAGUGGUAACACUAUGUGUCCCUUUUUCUUCUAAUCGUGUUCUGGUGGAUAUAGGAGAUGACUACAAGACAUAAAGCGACAAGAAGUGUGGAGGAAGAUUUGGCAAAUGAGGGAGUUCCUCGCUAAGAGAACCAAGUCCUUCUACAAGACAAACAAGUGCCUACAUACGUCCAAGCUCCGCUCAUUCUUCCACCUAAGAUGAAUAGAGAGAUAUGGUCAGCAUACAUUACUCUGGCACAAGACAUGACUACCCAAGCUCAAGCGGUACCUGAUGUGAGGCCAAACUACACAAUUUUUAUCAUUAUUUACCUCACAUUUAUUAUUUAUAUUUUUCCAUUUUGAGCAUAAAUUUUAUGGAUUGUGUUUCUUAUUUUAUUUGUAGGAUUAAUUUGAUGUAAAAUUGUUGAUGUUUGGAGCUAAAACAAAUUAAAGAUGGAAGGUUGAAGAAUCACAUCCGGGGAGCACCCUCAUGAAGCAACACGGCGUACAUGACCUAUCGAAGGUCUUAUACAAAGCCAAUAGUUACUAUUCAUUGCAUUGUUAUAGUAAAUUUAGCGUAAAAUUUAAAAAUUUCUUAGCACAUCAUAUGCUAGAACUUCACGUUCAAUAAAUAUAUAAAAUAUCGUAAUAUAUAGUUUAAGACUCUAGUCUCUUUUUGCCAUCAUAGACUCAACCUCACUAGAGUACCUUAGGGACACGUCCCUUAUAACAUACUACAUAUGUACAAUGUUGAAGAACUUCACACUAAACCAUAACUAGGGAACCCUUGGAACUUAGGACCCCUUUCCUUGAUCUUUGGAAUCCAUAACCUACACUUUGUGUAAAAAUUAGAGAAGAAUAGAGUUAGUACAAGAAUGCACUAAGUAUGGCAACCACGCAAAAACAUGAAUUGAAAAGGGACAUUUUAUUUGAAAACCCUACAUGAUGUCAUUCUAUGAAAUCUUUAUAAAACGUUGAUACAAUAGCAUUUAUAUCAUUUAUAUACUUCAUAUAGACAUAAUCAAAGGCCCAACAUCAUAUAAAAUCACAUAUACAAUUUACGCCACAUUUGGGCUUACUUUACGGUGAGCUAUUUCCAUUGACUAAUUCCCUUUUACAGUGAACAUCUUUAUUUAACUCUUUAACCUCACAAGUAACCCCCUAGUGAUACUUGGUGAAAUGCAUCACCUUAGGGCCAUAAAAAAGCAUACAUACAACCUACACAAGACAACACAUACAAUCAUAGAAGUAUAGAACAUUACAAGACAUAUUCAAGUCAAGCCUAUAAGCAUUACAGUGAACUUUACAUAUUAUUCACACAUACCAAUUUCACUUCACAUAGAACUUUCUAAGACCUUACUCACAAUCCCAAUCUAAGUCCACUAGUGCAAUGUACAUGUGAAGCCCCAUAACCUCACAUAUACUUAGUAAAGCUAUCAUGAGACCACAAGCCUUAACAUCCAAUUCAUACAUCAACAUAGUAAGUGAAGACAACUUCAUUUAUGUCAACAAACCUUCAUCAUAUAGUCAUUAAGACCAAUAUUAUACAUAUACAACAAGACUACUUCAUAUAGGCUUAUACCAUGCAUUUCAUCACAACAAGUAGACAAAUACUACAAAGUCAUGCAUAAGAAACAUUUACAUAGACACAUGCAUUAGAAUACCUUCCUAGGACUUCCCUCAAGAUCCACUUGUAAAAUGUGUAGGUGAAGUCUCAUACCCCCACCUAAACUAACUAACUACCUUAAGGUUAUCCUAGUUGGGGUCCUUACUAUUCUUCCAUUGUCCAUUUAACUUUACGGAAAAUGUAGCCUUAGCUGACACUAAGACCAUGGUGCUACAUGGAAUUUUGUGUUGUAGAACCUUACACGAAUUGAAGGUGUUCUUACCUAACCAAGGUAGAACAUUAACAUAUGCUAGCAUACUUAGUGAAAUCACUUGCUAGAUCCUAUGUGGAAAGCAUAGUUGAUGGAACUAAGAUAACUACAUUACCCUCUAUAUGCUCAUUGUCAUUGGAGCCUCAUCUCAUGAGAAACCAUGGGUGAACCUUACUCAAAUAAAAGCCACCACCUCAUGUGGAACCAUAGGUGAAUAUUCCUCUACGGAAAGUAAACACUCUACGAGAAGCCAAUGGGGAUUCUUCCUCCAAAAAAAGAAAACACCUCUCAUUGUCAAGUUCACUCGGUGCUAAGCUAAGUUCCCUUUUUAUUCAAAAGUGUUUAUUAACUUUAUCUCAUAAAAUUAGGCUUAGGAAAGUUAACUACUUAUAUUCUUAGAUAAAAGGUCAUAGAUGAUAAUUCAUCAAACUAUAUCAUGUGAGAAACCCUUUCAUAUGUACAUAUCAUAUGUAACCACCUAUCUAGUUUAGGGUACACAUGAGAACACCUUUCAAGGCCUCUCUAAUGACUAGAUUUUCAUACAUGUGUGUGUAUACUUAUAUCUGAGCAAUUCUUUCAUGUAACAUAUAAAUGUAACACAUGUUCAUAUAUCAAUGAAUAAUUCUAUAGGUAUAACUAUAGAGCAAUCCUUUUAUGUCAAUGCAUAAGUCUAUAUGUAUAACUAUAUGAGCAAUCCUUUCCUAUAAACACACAAAGACACUAUGUACACUCAUACUUCAUCAUAUCAUUGAAUUAACAUCAUAUCAUGUAAAUCAUAUUCAUACAAUCUUACUCAUGAUACUUGGAAGACCAACCUAGCAACUAUCCUAUCAAGGCACACAUGUGCAAUGAAUAGACAAGGUUCCAUACCUUUGCACAUACUAGUACACCUAUCAAGUCAUCCCGGUGAAUUGUAUAUCACACAAUAUCAUAUAACAAGACUCAUUUUUUGAAGACUUACAACAUCAUAUAGUAAGAUCCAGUCCUUAUUCUCAUAUUUUAGCUUUACAUAUGUAACUCCCUAAAAUGAACUAAGGUGAAGUAGAGCUUCACGAUUUUUUAUUGAGUAAAUUUUGUGUCAGAUUAUGUUAUAUUAGUGUCUUUAUGAAGUGUUUAAAAUUUGUAUAAGUUUGGAGGUCAGACAUUUAAGAACAUCCAUGACGUUCAGAAGAUAUGUGUUAGAUGGUAAUUGUGUGCUUCAUGUGUUUGAGUGAGUUUUACGUGUUAGUUUUAUUUGAAAUUUGUGUGGGAUGUUCCUAAGACCUAUAUGAAUAUGUUUAGGGAAUUAAAAUCCGGGUAUGUCCCCACCUAGGACCCACAAGGGGGCCUAGAGAAGGACCCAAAACUGCCUUGGCAGUGUCCACCAACAAUGUAAAACGACGGCUAGUGGUCCAACAAUCUGCCCGUUGACUUUCUCCUUCAAUUUAAACUGAAAUUUAGGAUAAAAAGGCCUAAAAUUAAUCUAUAUGGAAACCCACGAAACCCCACCAAUGGACAGUUGAUGGACGGACGGUCCGUUGGUUGCAAUCCGUCGUUUGAAAGCUGUCCAAAAGUAGUUUUUCCUGUAAUGACUUGGGGUGUUGGUAAAUUCACCCCAAGUCUUUCAUUAACCUAGGAAGUCAUUUAUAGUACUUUUUAGGUAUAUUAACGAGUUCCAAACCCUUAGACCUAAAUUUUGAGUCCAUAUCCAAAAAUCCAAAACCCCUCCCUCUUAAAAGACUCUCUCAAGUCUCCUUGAAUAUAGAACUAAAGAAGGGCUAGAGGCUAUUGGUGGUCAAGUUAUUCAUCAAAAUAAGUGUUUUUCUUUUAUGUGGGGUGUGGUAUGCAUACUUUAACUCUCUUCCAUUCAAGUAGCAAAUUCUAAAGGAUUUUCAAAAGAGUUUUCAACCCUAGUUUCUUCUAGCUUCAACUCUAAAUAAGGGUCUUGCAUGAAAACUUUUUAAAUGAUUCAAAUAUGAUGUUUAAAAUGUUACUUGGAUAAUUUCAUGUUAAAACUUUAAUGAGAUCAUAACAAAGCUAUUUAUGAAACUGUGGCUUAAGAAAUGGGUUAAAUGAGCUUGGUUUUGUAGUCUUUGAGCUUUUCUUUACUUGUGUUUUUAUGGAUUUUUAACUACUGCCAUAAUGACUAAUUUGAUGAUGAAUUGUUGAGUAAAAUGUUGUAGGUGAUAGAAUUUUUUAUUAAAGAGUAAGUUGGUUAUGUUGUUUACUUUUAAUUAUGAAACGCUCUUGAGUUGUAUGAUCCACCUUCUUGGUGACGGUGUUUGCUUGAAUUGUAUGAAUGUGUAGUUACUUGUGUAUUGUGAAUGAGGCCAUGAGGGCAUAUUAUGUGAAGAAGUAUGGAAAUGAAGUUAUUCUUGUUAAUGUGUUUUUGUGAAUCUUGUUAUGAAAAAUAUGUUAAGGAUUGUGUCUAAAUGACUUGUAUAAUUAUGUGAAGCAUGUUAAAGUGUGUGAUAUGAUGAAAGAAGGUCUAAGCAUGUAUAGAAUCAAAUGUAAAUGAAAUGGUGCUUAUGUGCAAGGUGUGCUCACAUAUACACACACAUAAACACACUUUUAAUGAAUGAAUGAAUGAAGUUAAAGAAUAUGAAUGAAAAGAGUACAUUUUGGGUGAACACUCAUUUUGAGUAGAGAUGAAGUGUUUAGAAUAACCUCACUACGUCCUAAAAGCUUUCUAAUAUAAGUUGGAGGAUGGAUACCCUUCGUGAGUUGAGAUGUGGUGUCCAACAGAUAUCCCUGACCUUUAGUAAUGAAUGUUGAGAAUCUAUGGGGAGUUAUGCCUACAACCGAGAAGAUAUGAAGAAGAGGUGGUUACACUUCAUUAGUUGACGAGUUGUAUUCCAAUGUACCUCUUGAGAUGAGUACUCCUCGUUAGAAUAGAAUGAAUUACUUGUUAGCAAUCUCCUUAUCCCCUAACUCUGUGAUCGCAUAGGUGUAGCUAUUGGGAAAGCCAUCUAAAAGCUAAAAAGUAAUACCUAGCCCUAGGAAAGUGAAGGGACCCUUCUCCGAUAAGGGAAGUAUCGGGAUUCCAUAUUUAUAUCUCAUGGUCUUUAUUGGUUAAGAUAACCCCCACAAAAGUAAUGAAAUUGUUAAGUCUUCUAAAAGAGUGUGCUACUAAGGGUAGGUAGUGGAAUGGGAUGCUAUUUAUACAUUCUGAAAGGGAAGUCUUGGUGAGUCUUAUAAGAAUUUAAUAAACUACGUCUUCUAAAAGAAAGUACUACUUAGUGUAGGUGGUGGUAUGGAGGCUAUCUAUCCAUUGCACUAAAUAGACUUCCAAAAGGGGAGUCUUGGUGCCAAGCCUUCUAAAAGAGUGUACUACUUAGGGUAAGUGGUGGAAUGGGACGCCAUCUACUCUGCACUAAGUAGGCAUUCCGAAAGGGAAGUCUUGGUGUGUUGUUUGAGUGUUCUUCUAAUGUCUUGUGAUUGAGUUGUGACUUAUUCUCCCGAGUGGAGUAAGCCUGUGGUGGGUAGUCUUAAGGAUCUCCUUGGUGUUCAUUAAAGGAGGUGUAUGGGUGUUUCCUUCAUUCUUAUCUUGGAGAGUCUUAGGAUGACCUCGGUUAGGGAAACUACUACACAAAAAAGUUUACUUCCUCUUGGCAAUAUCUUUGAAGUUCACUGUAUUAGAAAUAGGAUAGUUCACUGUAAUGUUGAAAGAGCUUACUCUAAAAUUUGGAAGGCUUACUUUAAAAUGUCUCUUUCUGUUAAAUUAUGGAAAUCCUUCUCUAAGUGUUAAACAAUGUUUUUUAUGUGGUUUUGUUUAAAAAUUCAUGAAUGUCUUACUUAUUUUGCAUUAAAGCUUAUUUCUACUAAAAUGUCCCUUUCUACAUUAUUUUGCAUAUGCCAUACUUAGUACAUUGUUUUGUAUUAACCCAUACUUUUAUAUACUUUAUAAAUAUAGGUUUGGAAGCAAGAUUGAAGUUUAGAACGAAAUCUUGGGAUUCAAUUCUCUCAAGACAAAGUAUGCCCUCAUAUAUUUGAGGGAAUUGUUCUUAAUUCUAUUAGUUUUACAUAAGUUCUUAUUAUGUACUUUUUUUCAAUGUAAAUGGUCGUAUCCCUAAGAUUUUAUGUUGUGUCUUUACGUUGAACUUGGUGACAUGAGAUUAUAUAAGUAUUUAUGAAUAAAUUCCUUUUUGUAUUAAAUGUCGUGAAAAGUUUUAAUUCUGCACUACUUUUCAUUUCCUAUGUAAUGAAUGAUCGCUAAAGGGAUUGUACAAGACCCAAAAGAGUCAUGUACGCCCUGUCAUGACCCAAGGUUUCUACCUAACUUCUACGGGGUACUUUUGGGUUGUGAAAACAUCACAUAUAACAUUAUAGGACCUCAUCAUAGGAAGCAAGUACAGAUAAACUUAACAUAACCAUUUACAUACUCAUGACAUUAACAACACAACCUAGAUCAUAGAUAGAAUAGUAAACAUGGCAUAGGCUUCACAUAGGGUAAUUAUCACCAACAACGUUCAUAAUAUAAUCUGCCUUCAAGGCCAUGAUCACAUCACAUACAUAUUGACAAUAAAGAAAAAGUAGAAGGGAAAAGCCAUCUUUACCAAUUCAUUAUCCUUUGAUCACCAUUGAUCAAUGCACCUUUUUCAUUAGCAAUACGAUAUUGGAGAGUAGCUAAAUAUACUUUAAUCAUAAAGGAAACCAUGCACAAGUCGCUACAAGAUCAUGCUACAAUAAGUACACUACAUCACGAAUACAUUAUAAGGUAGAGAGACAUACAUCACUUAAUAGUAUUCCUCGUUUUGAUCAUCAUGAUACACAUUCAUAAUAUAUAAAUAAUACCCAUGAAGGUCAGUAUCUAAAGACAUAAUAAUCAAGUAUAAAUCAUGCUUCAUCUAACCUAGAACUUAGAUAAUAUCAUGCACAUAACAUUAUCAAUCCAUAGACUAGAAGAACCUAGAUCAAUUGAUGACAAUCCUUUUUUACUUUGAUCAUACAAGAUUUAUAAUCACAAUUCAACCAUUAUAUUAACCUAAGGUAAUAUCUACAAUCAUCAUAACAUAAUUGAAUUCCACAUUCAUACAUUAUAAGGUCAAUGUUACAAUGAACACAUAGAGAUUUAAGCUUGCUUUGUUCAAAUAAUCAUGCAUUUAUCCACAUGGAUCAUUCAUCAAAAACUCAUCAUCAAUAUACUUAAAUAACAUUAGACAUGAGCAAUUCAACAUAAUAGAAUUACAAUUCAACCAAUAACAUUCCACGAUUACAAUGGGAUAAAUCGAGUUCGGGAAGGGACAUGGGUUCAUCAAUUUAUCAUGAUUAAGCCAUUAAAAAAGUUUUGAGAAAGAACCGAUGACCAGAUUGAACAAGGACAAGUUUGAUCAUGAACUCUCUUUUGAAAAUUUUGAGAAGAGCUCUCUAGAUGGAAUAUUAACUAGAGAUCAAGGAUCAUUAUACCUUAAUGUAGAACAAAACCUCUUAAACUUAAUGAAUAAACCAUGGGAAUCCAAGCUCCAAGUUGUUCUUGAUCUUCACCUUCAAUUGAGGUUUCUAGAGAGAAUUGGUUUAAGAUGGAAAGUCAAAUUUGUUUGAAAUGGAUUGGGAAUGGGUUGAUCACGUUACUGAUCCCUUAAAUACACCCAAAAAUCAACAAAUAAACCAUGUAGGGUCAGGUUAGAACGUGAGUUGAAUUUUCUAUUCUCCCCUUUAAUGAAACAGUGCACAGGCAAUAGCUGAAGCCUGCAUCGACGGCCAGCCAUCGACGCCACGUUGGCCCAUCAAUGGACCGUCUGUGACUUCUGCCAUUUGGGUCUUGGGAUGUUCAUUGGUUGAGACUUACCUAGUCUAAGUUUUGAUCGACGCCUCCCCAUUGACGGGGCGUCAGUGCACUAAUGGGGCAUUGUUUGGUUUAGUCGAUUGACAUGUCCAAGGCAGUAUCUCGACAGCAUUUGCGUCCUUCUUUGAGGGCCUCUUGUGGGGCCCUUGGGAAGUCAUAUCCGGACGUUUCAAAGAUGAAUAUACACCUUAACAUGUUGAAGACCUUCCAUUCAAGUUUCACCCAAAAUUAACUUGUAAAACAGAUCCAAAUAUGCAAGGCACACUCAAGACACACAUGAACUUCUCAAGGGCUAACUUUCGGACGUCUUAGACAUUCUUGAUCGUUUGACCUCCAAACUUCAUGAAACUCCAUAUAUUUCUUAUAAACAAAAUUUUUACUCAUUUUAAUACUUCAUACGCCCAUGAAAUACAAAUAAAUACAUUAAAGCAUUUAAGGCCCCUUUGGUGUACCUUAUACCCCUAUAAAAAAACAUGUUAUGCUCUAAACACCCUAACUCAUUUUUGGGGUCUUACAAUUCGUCAUUACAUUCAUAGGUUAAAAAUACAAAAAAAUUAAAACUUUUACGUAUUGAGGUUUAGAUAGACCUCUCGCAUUCUACACAUAUAUACAUAUGGAAUUUACUUAGACUCCUCGCACAUUAAGCUUACAUAGGCUUCUAAUUUUGACAAUAUACAAAAUGUAUAUGAAUUUAGUCUAUAAUAUUGUCUAACAUUAAACCAUCUAGAAUGGAGUAGAACUUUCGCGGAUAGCCAUACUUUAUUACAACCAAAUAAACAUAUAGACUUUAAAAUAAUAGUCUUCAAAUGAAAGAGAAGGAAACUAAAUGUCUUUAGAAAAUAACAACAUAAAAUAGCUCGAUAGUUGUGUCAUCCUCGGAAUGGUGAGGACCUACCAAACACUUGGGGAAAUUUCCAAGUAGUCUUCAAUCGGCCUCCUAGAAACAAAAAUGUUGGAAGCUAUAUAUUUGUAGAAGACAUAGAAAUAUGGGUUAGUACAACCACUUGUUCUAAGUAUGGAUAUAUUCACAUAAAAUAUUUUAAAGCAUGCAUGGAAGGUGCCAUUACUCUAAAAACAUGAUAAGUCAUUUAGAAAGUCUUUAAUACACAUACAAGAGAGAAUAUACAAUAUAAGUAUCACAAUAACAUAAGACAUUUUCAUAACCAGACAACAUCAACAUAAAGUCAUAUCAACAUUUCCUAUUCAAUAGUUCAUAUGAACAUAGUAUAAAAAAUCUUUACCAACAAUCUCAUCUCAAGUCUACAAGUACAAUGCUCAUGUGAAGCCCCGUAACCCUAUAUAAUCAAGUAAACAAGGUAGGAGAUCAUAAUUAAUGCUUUGUUUCAUACAACAUAUCAUUCUCCUAAGUAGUCAUCACCUACAUAUAGCAAUUUAGAAUAAUAGAAUAUUCAUUAACAUAAGUAACAUCAUAUAAGAAUAUCAUUAUAUAAGUCAAAAUUUCAUAAUACAUGAUAUCAUAAUACAUAACACCAUAUCCUAGGACUUCUUUUAGAGUUAACUUAUGAAAUGUCAAGGUAGAGUCUCAUACCCUUACCUUUCCUAAGUGACCCGUCAAGUCAUCCUAGUCAAUGUACAUCUUCAUUUAGUCAUUCAUUGUAUUUUAGGGAACAAUUCCCAAAACCGACAUAGAUCACAUAAUAUAUAUACGGAAUCCGGUGUCAUGAAAUCCUACACCGAAAGAAGGUGUUCUACUUGCCAAGGUAGAACCAAAACAUGAACAUAGCGUCUAGGUAGAUCCACUAGCUAGUAUUCCUAUGGGAGCAACAUAGUUCAAGAACUAGGAGACAUGCUUGAAACUCUUUUUAUGCACCAUGGCAUUGUAAUCGCUAUCUCAUGAGAACCAUUGUUAACCUACCUUCCCACAUUGGGAAGAGACACUCUUUCAUAGCUAGUUCACUCGGUGCUAAGCUAAAGUCCCUUUUUGAUGUCUUUAAGCCUUUAUUAAUCAAUCAUAGCUUAAUGUCGGUCAUUGGAGACUAAUACCUUGUAUGUAAUAAUCAUUAGAAAUUGCAUAAGAAUGUCCUUUAAUUGCAACUCUUCAUUUGUGAGAUUAACACCAUUAUCAUCAUAUAAUAAUAAGGCACACAAGUGGUUCACAAUCAACCAUAUAUCAUCAUACCUUAAUCAUAAUAUCACUAUUCACAAAGUCAAGAUAUUUCAAUUACAUUCAUCAUUUCAUCACCUAGGUAAUCUAAUUGCAUGUAAUACUUCAAUUAACCAUCAACAUCAAGUACGAUGUAUCACAAUUGAAGUAAGAAUUCAAGAUCACAAGGUCUAACCAAUUCACCUUCAUAAGCCUCCUUCGGUGGUCUUACCAUCAAACAACCAUAUCCAUCCAAUCCCAACAAUAUGUUACACUAGGCAGUCCAUGAAUGAAUUAGAAUAGAUAAAACAAGUCUGACAAUCAAUACAUUCAUCAAUUCCCAUAAAUUUAUAAGCAAGACCCAAGAUUUGGAGAAAGGAAAUUAUCUAUACGAAACUACCCUUAAUUAGCAUUAAUUACUCAACAAUAUUCAGUAUAUUAGCUAUGGAUAAUAACAAUUAGUCAUAAUCAAUCAUCGAUUUCAAGUUUAAAAGAAAAACCAUUUGUAGAAGAAAACCCUUGGCGUUGGGUGAUUUAAAAAUCAUCUUUGAAAGGACCUCUUGGGGAAAGGAAUCACAAGUGUGAAGAACUCAUACCUUAAUGAAGAUUAAUCCACGAAAUUUGAGUUAAAUCCUAGAGAAAUUAGUCUUCUUCUUCAAACUUUCUUGUUCCUUCAAUGGAGGAUGAAUAGAGAGAGAAAGUAGAGAGAGGUGGGAGCUUUUAGGUUUUGAUUUUGUUAUUUGAUUUGAAUGAGUUAAUGUGAGGUAAAAAUGGUUUAAAAUCAAUAUAUAGGAUUCCCAUCACUUAAGUUGACCCUUAUGCGAAGUCAAACAUUGAUUCUAAAUUUCAGAUUUUCAUCGGGAAACAAGUCUGCAUGUCAGAGCUACUCCCACAAGUUUUUCUAAAUUAAUUUUUGAACCAGACGAUUCCUAUACGUGUCUCCAACACAGACCAAAACUUUUUUGGUCCAUGUGGGACCUAUUCUGCGACUUGGAGGCAUUCCACCUAAGUGCAAUUGGCUGCUGUCUAAGGCAGCUUGCUUGGCCAAGAGUGGGGUACCUUCAUGGACCCGUAGGAUGAUCCUUGUGGGGUUGUACCUGAACAUUUUAACCCUAUAUACAGUGUUUUACCUAUUUAAAGUUAUUUUACAAGUUUAAGACUUCAUAAAACACCUCAAAACCUUCACAAAACCUAAGGACAUUUUCCUAGUUCAAGUGCACUAGCUUCCGGACGUCAUGAACGUUUCUUGAGGCCUUGAAUCUAAAACUUCUUAAAUGAUUUAUAAAUAUUAUUUUAGGACUUAUAAAAGUGUUACAAACCUUAUAAAAACAUGUGAUACUCUAGAUUAGGUCAUGAAAUUUUGGAGUGUUACAUAUAGUCUCUCGCUCAUAGAUGUCUCGCGACUCACACGGAUAAACAAGACUCUAGUAGACGUGGAAUAUGAAAUUUUUAACCUAACGACCAUUCCCAAAACCUUAUGCUCUGACACAAAGUUUUUCACGACCCUAGAGCACCCCCCCCCCAAGUUGUAACACGGGAUAUUCAACCUCAAAGAGGUCUUAUACAAGCCCUUAGCCUUCAUUCAUCACAUAGGCAUUACAAAUAGUGCAGAACUAAAAAAUUUCUCAGCAAAACCAACAAUAGGAAACUCCUUUGUAAAAUGAGGGGUACUAAGUCUCAACAUCUCCAUCUUAGACAUGUCUAAACAUCAAAGGGUCACGAUGCUUUUCAUUUUAAAUAAAAUACUAAGAAUCUAUUACAAAUUUAUUAACCAUGAAACUAGAAACAUAAAUUCCUUGUCCUUGAACGUAUGAGGACAUACCAAAAGAUCUUGAGAAGAUUCAAAUCCCAAGCUUCAACUCUAAGCCAACUCAAUUACUUCCCGACACCUACACUUUGUAGAAAGAAAGAGGAAAAUAUAUAUUAAUAGAAUUAAGCACUAAGUAUGAUAACCAUGCAAAAAACAUGCUUUUAAACGAACAUCUUGGUUGGAAACUAAUGCAUAUGCUAAUUUUUUUAGAGAAGUAUCAAUUUAUGAACAAAUAAGGCAUAAUUUACAUCAAAACCAAUUACUUCACAUUUAUACUUGACCUCAAGUAACGAUGUUUCACGAAAACUACUAGAAAUUUUGGCUAUGGCAACAAUUCUUUUGGGGGACGUUCCACAACCAUUGCUAUUCGCUGUCCAUUGCAAAAUAUACGAUCGUUGCGUUACUAUAUGACCUCUAUCAAGACACUUCCAUAAUUAAUUUGUUCCAUUUGUAUGUGAACCGUCGCAAUAGGUUCAUAUAUGGCAACAACAAUCUUAACUAUUCAAAUAGACCUAUUUUUGGCAAUGGUACUUAAAAAAGUCUAAUGCAUUUGCAUCCCCAAUUUCCCACCCUAUUUUAGAGCUUCCAUUUUUCAGAGUACUAUAUGGGUGAUUAUUUUUUAUUUUAUCAAUUUUUAUUUUCCCUAAACAUCACGAAGUCAAAAAGAAUAUGUCAAUACCAGAAAACAUUGUCUCAAAGCUUCUAAAUUCAGAUACUUAGGAAAGGUUGCAAAUAAACUAUUCCAAAUCUGAAGGUAUAGUCUCACAAACUGUUCUGAAUAUCAUUUUCUACCGAUGAAACGUUUCCUGAUAGUUUUCUUUUCCAAGCAUUAUUCCCAAUCCAGCAGGUUGAGGUUUUCAAUAGAUUUCUGGAACACUCCAGAAGCCCCAUGACUUAGACUAGAGUUUCACCUAUUAAAUAUUGGUUAAAAUGAUUUUUCAAGGACUAUAUUAAUGCAUUAAACUCAUUUAGAAAAGGUUAUAUCCAAAACAACAAAGAAAAACCUUGACGUCCAGAAACUAGCUAAAUUGAACUAGUAGACGUCCCUAUAUUUGGUGAAGGUUUAGGUGUGUCAAAUGAAGUCUAAAACUUGUAAAAAUGAUUUACAUAGGUAAAAUAUAGUAUAAAGGGUCCCAACGUCCAGUAAAGACUCUCAAAGGACCAUUGAAAGGGUCCUUGAGGAGGAGUCAAACAUUGGUGAGCAAGCUGACAACGCAGCAUGCGACAGCCAAUAUACGGAAGCCCUUGCGCGUCGCGCAGACAGCACUAUCUAGGAGAAAUUUUCCUCUCAAUGCGGGGACUCCACGAGUCUCAAAGCCUAGACCCAAAUUUUCAAAAAAAAAAUUGAAAUUUGCCCAGCGACGCGCAACCACUUUCCAGAUUUGUCCCUGUCAUGUUUAAGUCAAUUUAACUUCACAAAAAGACUCAAUUAAGUAAAGGGUGUUUUGAGUAAUUUAGGGGACGACUUUAGAUUAGUUUUAGGUCAGUUUUAAACCAUUUAAACGCACUCCAAGUCAGAAUUACCAAAUCCCUCUCAUCUCUCUCAAAACACUCUCUCUAUUCACCGCCAUUGAAGAACAAGAAAACUUGAGGAAGAAGAUAAAGUCUCCACGGUAUUCAUUUAAAACUCGUGGAUUAAAUCGUCAAUAAGGUAUGGGUUCUUCACUGUUGGGAUUCCUUUCCCAAAGAGGUCCUUUCAAUGAUGAUUUCAAAUAAUUCAAUUCUUAGGGUUUUUACUAUAUAAGUGAGUUUUUUCUUCCAAUUUCAAGAUUUAUGACUAAUGAUGAAAAAAUAUGAUUUUCUAUGUCUAAUUAACUAUGUAUUGUUGAAAAUUGAUAUGGUAUUGUUGGUUUUCGUGUGAAUCAUGUGCUCUCCCUAAAUAAUGGAUUUGAUUAUGUUAUACCUAUCACUUAAUGUCAUGUAAAUGUGGGGAUUGGAACUGUAGCUUGAAUUAACUCAUAAAUGAACCAUUUCCCUUCACCCUAACUAUGAGAUUGUCUUGUGUAUUACUAGAGUAGUUGGGAUUGGUUAUGUUAUUGAGUAUUUCACUAUAUUAUAGGAUAAUUGUUAUGAAUUGAGUAUAAGUUAUUUAUGAAGAUUCAUGGAAGGAAUAGGUAAGUCUUCUAAAGUCAUGAUUACUCUAUUGUGUUGGUGUUGGCCUAUAAUUGAUGUUGUAAUGCAAUUGUAUGCAUGAUGUUUCUAUGAAUAUAUGAUGGGCGAUGAAUAUGUUAAUUGUGGGAUCAUGGUAAGAAUAUGAUAAUUCAAGGUUGAUGAUAUUUCUCUUGUAUGCCUUACACAAUAUGACUAUGAUAUGUUAAUCUCACUAAUGAAGGAUUGUGAUGAAAGGAAAUUAUCAUCCUAAACCUAAGGAGCUAAUGAUCAUGUCUAUACAAGGAGUUAAUGUCCUAUGGCCUAUGAUAAGAUCUAUGCUUUAUGAAUAACGUAAAGGCACUUCAAAAAGGGACUUUAGUUUUUUACCGAGUGAACUGGAUAUGAGAGGUGUCCCUUUCCAAGUUGGAAGGUAGGUUCACAAUGACUCUCAUGAGAUAGCGGCUGCCAUGUAAUUUGGAAGUAGUCCUGACUGGAAGAAAAUGGGCCGAUUUCGUCAGCCUAUCUACAAUAACCCAUAUAGAGUCAUACUUCCGUUGAGUGCGAGGUAAGCCUGUAAUGAAGUCCAUAUUAAUCAUCUCCCAUUUCCAAGUCGGGAUCUCUAUCUCCUGUAAUAAUCCACCAGGCUUUUGAUGUUCGAUCUUGACUUGUUGACAAUUUGGGCACUGAGCAACAAACUCUGCUAUGUCCUUUUUCAUGCCAUCCCACCAAUAUAAGCAUCUGAGGUCAUGAUACAUUUUUGUUGACCCUGGGUGAAUAGAAUAACGGGCAGAGUGUGCCUCUCCCAUAACUUGCCGUCGUAGCCCCGCAGUAUCGGGUACACAUAAUCUGCCUUCAUAUCGUAACACUCCAUCAGGUGUAACCUUAAAUGGGGUCUUUUCCUUUUGAAGAGCUGCAUCUCUAUACUGUGCCAGAAUAGGGUCCUUGUAUUGGUGUCUCUUUACCUCAUCUAUGAUUGAGGACUCAGCAACCUCUCGAAUAGAAACUCCACUAUCUUCCGAAUAAGCUAGAUGGACUCCAAGGCUUGAUAGCCACUGAAUCUCCCGAACCAUAUCCCUCCCUUCUGGUUGUACAUCUGUCAAGCUACCCAUGGACUUACGGCUAAGAGCAUCUGCUACAACAUUCGCUUUCCCUGGAUGAUAUAAAAUAUCAACAUCAUAAUCCUUUAGCAACUCUAACCACCGCCUCUGUCGUAAGUUCAGCUCCUUCUGUUUAAACAUAUAUUGGAGACUCUUAUGAUCUGUAUAGAUGUCCACAUGGACACCAUAUAAAUAAUGUCUCCAUAUCUUCAAGGCAUGAACCACGACCGCUAACUCCAUAUCGUGAGUAGGAUAGUUCUUUUCAUACUUCCUAAGUUGUCGGGAGGCAUAGGCUAUAACUUUGCCAUGCUGCAUCAAUACACAUCCUAGCCCAACACCCGAAGCAUCACAAUAAAUAACAUAGCCGUCUGGUCCCUCUGGAAGAGUUAGGACUGGAGCUGUAGUCAAUUUGUCUUUUAAUAGCUGGAAGCUUCGCUCACAAGCAUCUGUCCACUGGAACUUGGCUGCCUUUUGAGUUAGCCUUGUCAAAGGCACUGAAAUUGAGGCAAACUUUUCUACGAAUCUCCUGUAAUAUCCUGCUAACCCCAAAAAGUUGCGUACCUCAGUAGGUGUCGUAGGUCUGGGCCAAGUCUUUACUGCCUCAAUCUUCUGCGUAUCUACCCGAAUACCAUCAGCUCCAAUAAUAUGCCCCAAGAAUGCCACUGAAGUCAACAAGAACUCGCACUUAGAAAAUUUAGCAUACAACUUCUGGUGCUGAAGCACCCUAAGUACCGUCCUUAAAUGAUCUGCAUGCUCCUCUUCUGAACGUGAAUAGACCAGAAUAUCGUCUAUAAAUACAAUAACAAACAUAUCAAGAAAUGGUUUAAAUACUCGAUUCAUUAAAUCCAUGAAUACCGCUGGAGCAUUAGUCAGCCCAAAAGACAGCACUCUAAACUCAUAAUGCCCAUAUCGGGUCCGGAAUGCUGUCUUUGGAAUAUCUGCCUCCCUUACCCGCACUUGAUGAUAACCUGACCGCAAGUCUAUCUUUGAAAAACACUUUGCACCCUGCAACUGGUCAAAUAGAUCGUCAAUCCUUGGGAGGGGAUACCUGUUCUUUAUUGUUACUUUGUUCAACUGCCUAUAAUCAAUGCACAUCCGCAGCGACCCAUCCUUCUUCCUCACAAACAGUACUGUUGCUCCCCAAGGUGACGUACUAGGCCUGAUGAAGCCCUUUUCUAGCAAAUCCCUCAAUUGCUCUUUCAAUUCUUUCAACUCAGCAGGUGCCAUUCUAUAAGGAGGUAUAGAUAUAGGCUGGGUAUCUGGCAGUACAUCUAUAGUAAACUCUAUCUCCCGUUCUGGAGGAAGGCCUGGAAGUUCCUCGGGGAAUACAUCAGGAAAUUCAUUAACUACCGGGACUGAUUGAAGAGUCGGUGCCUCUGCCUUUAUGUCAUGCACCCGAAUCAGAUGGUAAAUAUAGCCUUUUCUAACCAUCUUCCCGGCCUUGAGGUAUGAAAUGAACUUACCUUUCGGCGAUACUGUACUUCCCUUCCACUCUAUAAUCGGUUCCCCUGGAAAUUGAAAUCAAACUAUCUUUCCUCUGCAAUCAACAUUAGUAUAACAAGCAGCCAACCAAUCCAUGCCCAUGAUAAUAUCAAACUCAAUCAUAUUUAACUCUAUUAGAUCUGCUACGGUAUGACGACUAUAUAUAGCUACUGAACAAUUCCUAUAUACUCGCGUAGCUAUGACAAAAUCUCCUACAGGUGUAGCUACCUCAAAUGGUUCUAUCAACUCAGACUCUAUUCCGAUCCUACUAGCAACAAAGGGAGAUAUAUAUGAUAAGGUGGAACCUGGGUCUAUCAAUGCAUACACACUUCGGAAGAAUAGUGAUAAUAUACCUGUGAUCACAUUAGGUGACGCCUCUUGAUCUUGCCUAUUAGUCAAAGCAUAUAUACGGUUUGAGGGACCGCUAGAACUGGAAGCUCCACCACGUCCUCUACCACGGCCUGCUGGUGCCUGAAUACCCUGCCCCGUAGGGCGCAUAGCCACAGAAGAAGAUGAACCAGCAACGGACCCUGUAGGUUGUGCCAUACCACCUGCACUACCUCUAAGGUGACACUCCCUCAUAGUAUGGCCCUGACGGCCGCAAGAAAAACACGCACCUGUAGCCCAACGACAUUCCCCAGGAUGGGACUUACCACAACGAGAACACCGAGGCAAAGGUGGCCUCGACUGGCUCAAACCCCUGCCCAUCUGUGACCCUGACGCCCUAGAGCUCUGACCAGGUUCCGAAUAUCCCAUACGAUCGAACCCCCUACCCAUGAAACGUGGGGGUGCACUCUGUGCUGGCUGGGAAGAAAAUCUAACAUGCUGCUGAGACUGCCUGCUUUGAAACUCGUCAGGAUAACCUGCUGAUCUAGCCCUCUUAUGCUGGCCUCUAUUAUAAUCUCUAUCUGGCUGACGUCCCCGGUGCCGAUCCUCUACCCCCUGUGCAUAUGCCUGCACCCGAGCAAUGUCCAUACCUGGCUGAAGAGUCACUGCCAUACAACCGUCAAUCAGAUAACGAUCCAAUCCCAUCACAUAACGAUGUACCCUGUCUGCCAUAUCAGCCACAAUAGUAGGCGCAUGCCUAGCCAAUGAAUCAAACUCGAGGCUAUACUCUCGAACGCUCCUCCCAUUUUGCUUCAAACGCAAGAAUUUAUCGACUCUAGCUCGCUUCAUCUCUGGAGGCAGGAAGUGGCCCUGGAAAGCCUCCACAAAUUCAUCCCAUACCGCUGGAGGGGCACCCUCACCCCUAGAUAACUCCCAAGACUCAUACCAAUUAAUAGCUACAUCCCGCAAACGAUACGUAGCCAACUCAACAGACUCGGUCUCCGAAGCCUUGAUUAUCCUCAAUGUACGCUGCAUCUGACGAAUAAACUCUUGCGGAUCAUCCUGUGGCCUUGACCCAAAGAACUCUGGAGGAUUACAACUUAAGAAGUCACGAGCCCUUAAGCUAUCAGAUCUGUCCGCAUGAUCAACUCCUAGUCCAUGCCUGCGAGCCUGAUCUGCCACUAAUCUAGUCAGCAAUUGAACCGCAUCUCUCAUGGCCCUAUCCUCCGCCCCUGACUGAGGAGCUGGAGGUUCAGAUGUUGGGGCCUCGGGGGCUGGUGGUGUCCCCCGAACUGGAGCUGCUGCUGCUCUAAGCUCUUCUGGCGGUGGGGGUGUAGCAGAGCUCUCCGACUGGAGCAUAAUACCAGGCAUAGACUGGGCACGGGCCCUAGUAACUCUUCGGGUCUGACUAGUACCUUCUGCUACCGAUUUUCCCUUCUGGGCGGCUGUCGCUUUCUUUGGAGGCAUAGCUGAAAACACAUGGAUUCGUUAGAGAGGGAUUAUCCUGUUAAUAUAGCUCUAUCGCACGAUCUAGAAUAAGAAGAAAGAAUGACAUCAUAAAUGUCCUGUAGCUUCCUGUUUAUAGAUGUGGUGCACAACACACCGAUAAACAAGACUCUACUAGACACGGUCUGUAGACACUUCCGAGGAAGAACCGCUCUGAUACCACUCUUUGUCACGACCCAACCCGAUAGGCCGUGAUUAGUGCCCGUUUUGGACACCCACAUACAAACCUGCUAAGUAUGACCAACUGAAACUAAGACAAUAUGGAAUUUAAUCAAAUCAAGCCAACCCCAACGUCAUAUAUAUAUAUAAGAGGACCUGUCUCAUAAGGAGUCAUAACCAUUCAACCAUAACAGCAUACGCGAGCCGACAAGGCCGCCACUAUUCAAAGCAUAAUGAUGUACACAGCCGACAAGGCUGCCCCUGUACAAGCGGACAUCCCAAACAAACCAUGUCCAGACCAUUAUCCAAAACAUAUAUAUACAACCCACAUAAUGUCCACAGACCUCUAAGGGUACAUUAGUGAAACUCGACGGGACAGGGCCCCGCCAUACCCAUAGACGAGCAAAAGACUACACAAAAGUUAUGUACCAAAACGAAUGGGCUCCGGAACAGUGGAGCUCUCCCAAUCAGCAGAGUAGAUAUCCUAGGCGGGAGGAUCACCGAACUGCGCGUCUACACCUGCGGGCAUGAAACGCAGCCCCCCGAGGAAAGGGGGGUCAGUACGGACAAUGUACUGAGUAUGUAAAGCAUAAGGUAAAGAUGACAGGAUACCAAUGUGGCAACUCGAAACAAAAUAUCGCUACACAUAUACUUUUUAAGUGAAAAUCAUGCAUAUAUUUAACAUUUAAGGUGCCCAGCUUCCCUAGUAAGGGGCUCGGCAAAAUAAUCAUCACGUCAUCUCCGUCAUCAUCAUCAUCAUAACCAUCCUCAUCACCAAUCAUAUAUAUAAUAUACAUACCCGGCCCUCUAGUGAGGAACUCGGUGACAUAUGCAAGAAACUCCGCACGAACAUUACCCGGCCCGGGACUCGGUGAAAUGAUAAAUGACUCUAUGCACGAGCAGAAUAUUAUGAGCAACCAUAUGCAAUUAAAAUCAUUUCUUAUAACUCAAUAGAACAAUCAACGUGAACCAGCAAGGAGUAUUACCAAAGAUUAAUGUUUUAUCAAGAUUAUGAACCUUUAAUACGAUAUGAAAACGUAAAAUUUCAAUGACUCUAAGAAGCAUUACCAUAGAUAUUAGAGAUCAUCAUAGCCUUAGACAUAACCGAUAUAUAGAGGAAUAAUUGUGGAAGCAAGAAUAUACAUCACCUAGACGCUUUAGAGGUAAGUAUCAAAUCUGUCCGUUAUUCGCUUAUUUUUAAAAGUCAUGCCAAGCAAAGAAAGAAGGGACAGCGUUACAUACCGUAUAAUCGAGCCGCACGUCCAAUAUUUACUGCUCAAGCUAUUAAUCUAUAACAAGCAACAAUCGUGCCGCAAUUAGAUAAACAUCGUGCUUUACUUUCUUGUAAGCUAGCUAAUAAUCUAACGAAAAUUCGGCAGCACCUCCCCUAUUUUCCUUACUUCGUCCCAAUCCGACAACAAUCCAAAUUAUCCACAACAAUACCAAAAACACAUAUAACCCAAAGAAUCAUAUUAAACAGCCCCCUCCCCAAAACAGUUCCAUCUCGGCAACUAUAUCAGCGAAGCAACGACACACCGAGUGAUAACUCGUUUUAUAAUUCGUAACACAUCUACCUUAUCGUAUUCAUCCUUUGGAUUAUAUACUCAUAAUCACAUUCAACAUAUACAUAAUGCCAAAACAGAAUUUUCCUGCAGUUUGCUUUAAUCAAAACAGCCCAAGCACCAACACGACACCACUAAUAAUCCGAUUAUGGUUUCCAUUCAUACUUAGUACAUUCAAUAACUAAAACAAACUUCCUAAGCUACUGGUCACGCCCCCUUCUUAAAAUUAAUGGAUAAUUAACAAGGGUAUUCUAAAGAAUUAACACACCAAACAAGGAGAUUACUAACCAAAUUAUUUGCAGCUGCUGGCCAAGAGUUGCAGGGUUGGUUUCUCCAUUUCCAUGGCUGCCUAAGACAAGUGGUGAAGAAGAAGAUGAUAUGCAGCAAUGCAUUUCACCACUUUAUAUAGCAUGGAGUGAAUUUCUCCACCUCAUUUAAUAGUAUGAAGUGGAGGCAGCCCCCCUCUACAUCUGUCCACUAAGGCCAGCCCACAAUCUGAUCCCUUUUUAAUUUUUUGCCUUGAGUGGUGGGGCCCAUUGAAUUAAAUCAGUCCAAAUUAGCCACUAAUUAAUCCCUCACUUAAAUUUAAUGGCACUUACAUUAGCCAACUCAUACUUAAUAUCACAUUUGGAAAUAACAUCCUUGCCUAAUAUUUCUUUACGUCUUCUAGAUCACGAUGCGCACUACGUAUAUAAAAAAAUAAGAGGCAUAACAGAAUCUGCCUAGCUCGGGGUGUUUUGUGUAAAUUUAUAGUAAGUAUUUUAUGACCUAGGAUGAUCUUUUAUGGUUUUUAAAGUAUAUUAAAGUAGUUUUAAGUUCUAGACUUCAUUUCGAAUAGUCAAACCCCCUCUCUAAACAAAGACUCUCCAAAAACCCAUAGAAGCUUGGACUCAAGCAAGGGCUUGGAAGGAUGGUGGAAGUUGUUUUCUUCAUCAAAAAUCAGUAGGUUUCCUUCUCUUUGAUUUAUAGUAGUCGUCCUUGAACUCUUUGUAUUCAAGGAGUCAUUUCUAAAAGAUUUCAAGAAGGAUUUUUGAACUCUAUCUUCUCCUAUCGUUGAUUUUAAGCAUGGGUAUUUAUAUAAAAGUGUUGAUAAUUAAAACAUGUUUUUUCUAGUAUUAAUUUAUAAUUCUAAUAUCAAAAUACUAAUGAACCCAUGCUUAUGCAUAUUUCCAACUUCUAGCUUGAAAAAUAGGUUAAAUGGAUAUGAUUGUGUAGUGUUCUAGCUUUGGUUUCUUCAUGUUAAUAAUAUGGUUUAGCUACUGCCCUAGAGGUAUUUUAUGAUGAGUUUUAAGUAAAUAGGUUUAAAAAUCAUUGGAAGAAUGAUCAGCUAGUCACAUAGUUUAACUCUAAUUGUGAAAUACUCUGAGUGGUAUGUGAUACGCUCAAACUUACUUCUCACAUAAGAAGUAAAGCGGUCGUGUCAAGUAAAUAACCCAACUAGUAAGGUUGGGAUCGUUCCCACGAGGAAAAUAGUCUAGACUUAACUUCAACCUGUUAUUACUAUUGUUUGGUCAAUGACUUCCUUGGAAAGUAAAAACAAUAAAGGGGGGUUUCUAUUUCUAAAUGUGUAAAAUUAAUUAACAAACUUGACAGAAACACUUAACAACUUUUAAUGUUGGAUUUUAAUCAAUUAAUGAAAGUAACCAGGGUUUACGUGUUCCCCACAGGUUCAUAACUUGAUAACUCUAACUAUAACAAUUCUUUCCUAGUAUCUUGCAUGCAAAGUGAUAAGUUAUGUAUUUCUAAAGACUUGGUCCGGCAUCUAGAAAAUCUCACUCUGCACCUUGGUCCGGCUACGUGUGUUGCUAUCCUAACCCUUAUCCUUACCUCAUAUUAAGCAUCGUAUUCGAUAUUUGACUAAGUUAUUACCUCGUACCAAUCAAUACUAGCUUAUUAGACAGUAUACACUAAAUCUAUGUUAAUAAUUCUUUUCCUAUUAUCUACCUCCUUGGUCCGACAAGUAGCAUUAAGGCGAGUUCUAACGUUGACCAUCCGUUAAAAGGACUUCUAAGUGAAAGAAUUAUUAAUACAUGCAAGACACUAUUCUAGAAUUGUUAUUUUAGUUAGGGUUUAUCUCAUUAUUUGUCUAUGGUUACCACAACCCUAGUUAUGGAGUUUAGUUACUGAUAGUCAUAAACACAAUAUUCAAAUAUACUAGAUAAGAAUUCAUGUACUUACUUCAAUGAGAAAGAGUAAAAUCCAAAAGUUUGCUUGAUUAAUCUCUAAAAAUCACUUGCAAGAAUCUCAAAGUAAUCAAUAAUCUCACAAAAAGUCUAAUGAUUAUCAAGAAUCUAACAAUACAAUGUUUACCAAUACGGAGUUUAACAAUGUAAGAGUCUAACAAUAUGGAUUCUAACCUCAAAAACGAGGUUUUUCGAAUUAUUUAUAAAAAAUAAAAAAACCUAAUUAAACAAGAACUCUGUUUGCUGGAAAUCUACCAAAACGCGGCUAGGUCGACGGAUCGUCGUGGUCACGACAGACCGUCAUGGACUCCGUCGUCCCAUACUUAUGCCAUUUCUUCUGCUGCUCUCUCAUUCCCCUCGACGGCAAGUAUGACGGACCGUCAUAGGCACAAUGGUCCGUCGAGGGUCUUCGUUUCAAAAAACGUCAACUCUUGGGAUCUGGGUAUUGGGAUCACUUCUCUGACCUUCAUGACGAACCAGCAGGACGGACCGUCAUAGCCACGAUAGACCGUCACAAGCUUCGUAACCCCACACUUGGUCAGACUUCCCCAUCUUCCUUCAUCACCUUCACUACGCUGCCACCUACGAACCGUCACAAGCACGAAAAAACUUCAUAAGCUCCGUAGGUGGUCUCUUCUGCAUUUCUUCGCUUAGAAUCUCCGCGUUCAGCGUUUGACAGAUUUCCUGCAAAACAAAGAGGAACUUAUGUAAAAAUAAGCACAAAAAGACUUUUGGACACACUAAACUUAAGGAAAAAGUACUAAUUAUACCGUGAAACCACGUUAUAUCAACACCCUCAACUUAAAUUCGUUGUUUAUCCUCAAGCGGCGCACUAUGACUCACUACACAAUCUUUGUACAAUAGUAUCCAUGUUUUAUCCUUUGCAUUCAUUUGGCUAUCAAUCCCGAUUAAUCUCAUCAAAUCUAUGCAUGCUAUCACUAUUAGGCCUGAAUUUUGUGGAAUCAGAACAUGACACAAACCCUACACUAACGCCUAUCCUCUUCAAUUUCUCACCGAGGUGCUAACAAUUCCGGUAUUGCAACUAGUGUCCUCACUUUAAACAAAAUCCUCAUUUUUCACACAAUGAUUUUAGUUUGAGUAUAAGGAUUAUUUUUUCAACACUCACUCUCAGAACAAAGUCACACUCAUUCAUACAUAUUGCCAUAAGCUUGCCCUUAUUUUCUUUUCCUUAAGUUCUCUCUACAACCCUUAGGAUCACGAUAGGACUUUCAUAGCUAGUAACAUAGGCUUAGGGUCAGGUAGGGUAUAUUUAGGUAUACUUUAGUGACUUUUUUUUUGCCCUCCUUGACAUAUCGGCUAAACCUUCCACUUUCUAUAUUUUAUCUCACCUAGUUUCUCAUAUUCUUUCACCUUGCUAUUUUCUCUUCUUUCUUCAUUUGUGUAAGUGACUCUCUUCUUUUCCUUCUUGUAUUUCUUGUGUAUUUUCUUUUUCUUUACUUUUCUUUUCAACUAAUUCUUGAGUCACUUUACUUUUGUUCUUUCUCUCUCUUUGUUCUUUCAACCCCACUUUCCAGAGCAUUCCUCAUAAUAGCCACCCUCAACUCAUGGCUUUGCCAUGAGUCAAGGUACACAAUACCCAAAGUUGGGUCAGGGCCAUAAUGAAGGUUGUUUAUGAAUUAGCCACCCUCAACUUAUGCUUUUGGCAUAAGCUGAGAUGCACAUGUCCAAGGAGAGACUAGGGCCAGCACAUUAUUCCCAGAAAAGAUCAGUUGGGGUGAAAAAGAAAGGUCUAAUUUUAAGCUCAGAUUAUUUGGAUCAAAGAAGGAUAAAUUUCAUUUGGUUUCUUUUAUUUAGGCUAGAAAUGGGCUAUAUUGAAUAAGGGCCUAUGAUGCUUUCCUAAUUGUCUAUUACAACUUACUUUUAGCAGGACUAACCAGGCAAAUUUUAGCUCAGUACCAAUAGUGGACUAUUCAAAUUUUCCUCACACUCACUUGACAUCUCAUCACUAUACCAGAUUAUUAGACACCUAGUUCGAAUUUAAGACUUAGGGUAAUGCAAUGGUGUAACUCUAUGUCAUGCUUAGAGCCACACAAUUAUCAGUUACUAUGCCUAGUCAUGCAACAUUUUCCGGUUUUAUCAGGAUAUCAUUUUAGCCAUCAUGCUUCAGAAUUAAACUAUGUACAAAAGAUAUAAACAUGCCGGUUCAACAGAAAAAGUAAUCAGUCUUUGGGGAAAAAGAACACAGGCAAGAAAACUCCAAAAGAGGAUAGUGAGGUGGGCUACUCAGACUUCACCCUAACACUCACUUUCCAUUUACCUCACCCCCAACAAAAAAACAUGCAAUUUUCCCCAAUGCAUAAAAAAUCUAAAUACUAGAUUGUUAGGUGAAGCAAACCUGUGGCGCAAAGCGCCGUCGAUCAGCAAGCUAGUGGGUUCGGUUCCCCGGAACCCACGUCCUCUGCAAUCUGGGACACCCUCAGUGGUGUCCUUAGCAACAACCGCACCAUUAGUAGUGCCUCCUGCUAUAUCUACAGUGCGGGAGCUAGACGCCCCAGCCGCUAACUCUGAUGCUCUCAUCUGGUGCGCCGCCUCCUCAGCAAGUUAGGCUCUCCACGCAGCCUCCAUAUCUCGGCGCUCCUUCUUCCUUGCUCGCGCCUCAUCCUCCGCUCGACCCCUACACAUCUUGGCACUCUCUCGAGGGGGAGGUGGUGGAAUUUCUGAAGUAGCAAACAGGGCCGCCAACACAGUGUCCUCAGCUGGCUCGACAGAAGGGGCCUCAGACUCCGGCACCCUAGCCUCUAAGAUCGUGUCGAUGACUGCACGAAGACUGUCGAGUGCAGCCUGAAGAGUCGACACAUCCACCGGAGAGGCUGGUCGGGCUAGCACUCUCAACUCAAAGGCGUCCAGGCGCUUGUUAACCUCACUGAUCUUUCGCUCUGUAAACUGCACCAUUUUCCUCUCUAGGUGCUCUUCGAACUCAGUAAUCAACUUCUGCAUCCACGGCUAGAUAUGAUGCAGAAGAGUGGCCAUUUGUGCCUCUAGUUUUUGAACCCUUUGCAAGCGGGACAAGUGCCUGUAGAGGGGCUGUGAGAGGAGCUCGGGGCUGUUCUACUACUCGGGAUAGACUCGACCGGGGUAGUUUCAGUGGACGCCUGUGUAGCUGUGCGGGCCUGGGCUACCGUAUCAGCAAGAUCAUCAGCAAGUGGGGGCAGCUCUGGACGGGGCCCUCUGCGUGGAUCCAACUCAUUGGACUCGUCUCUGAUAAGGCCGACGUCAACAGUGCCCUGCGGGAUCGUAAACUGAUCUAUGUGCCCUAUGGGCACACCUGCGGACCUACAAAGGGCAAAGAUCAUGCACAGGAAAGGGUAGGUAGUAGUGACCUUGAAUGACAUCUCGUGCAUGACUGCCUGGAGAAGCCAUGUGAAGUCCACCUCGAAUCCGGCUAUCAUCGCCGCCAUCAACACUGCUCGAUCCCAGGUAAUGAUAUUAUCAGCACCUGUGGGGGAAAGGCAGUGACAGACAAGCAGCCACAAGAACUUUGCUGUGAACGUGAGGUUGGCCUUCUUGACGGCCCCCUUCGGCUCAGUCACCAAUAGGCACCCUCUCCAUCUACUGACAGGUGCAGGGCCAUCCACAUCUUGGUGAUCUCUCUCAGUGAUGGCUCGCGCAAGAACUGACCAUCCUUAACUAUCUGCCAGCGGUAGUCAAACUCGGCAGUGAGGGGGGUCCGAGUAGCAUCAACACUCUCGCCGUAUAGAAACCGGCAGAUGGCUGGUGGGGAAAUGUCAACCUUUACACCCCGGACUCGGACCUGUUCAAUGGGGCCUGUUUAGCGGGGUCAGCCCGCUUAUCGAUCUGUGAUCGGAGAGUCGCUACGGAGAAUGCGUAGAACUCUCGGACCAUUUCUUCGUUGUAUCGUCCCAACAGACGUGCCGUCCACUCCAAGCGAUGCCUGUGAAAGGUUGUGGAUCUCAAGCAUCGUCAGGAGACUCCCUGUAAGUACCCGCCGCUCCAAAGUGAGUGUUCGAGUCAUCACUCCUUUAUCAGUCAGGAACUUGGCGUCGGAGUAGACUUGAAACUGCCCGUCGACACACCACCGGCUGGGCUGGUCAAUGGCUGGGGUGGGAACCUGAGCUGGUGAGCCGGAUGUAGAGUCUGAACUGUCAGCCUCAUCAUACGAGGCCGACGCUGCAGCGGUGGCGGGUGUGGGAACCUCAGAAGAGCCAGAGGCUUCCUCGGACCAUGAUACUCCUAAGGAGCCAGACGCUCCUUCCUCAUUUAUGGUUGACCCAGAGGGUGUGCCGGUCAGUGUGCGUUCCUCGUCAGACUUGGAGGCAGUGACUACGCUGGACGUCACCUUUUUGUGUGUGGCUCUGGGAGCACGUGCAGCACGGGAAGGGGUGGAAGUGACUGGGGGCACAUACUCAGGGUCACGCUUAUCAUCAAAGCCGAUGACCAUGCGGGCAGACGGGGCGACCGACUUUGAUCGCCUGCGUGCGUAGAUUUGGUCUUGCUUGGGUGCCAUAAUAGAUAGUACCUGCAAAGGAUCAAUAUUAGUACGAGUAGUGGCAAACAAGACAAGCGAAAUCUUAAGAAAUAAAACAUUGAAAAUAGUAUGUCAUUGGUGUAGAAACAGUGAUACAUGAUGGGCCUGGUGACGGCUUGUCGUGACUAUGAAGGACCGUCGUGAGGUAUGUCGUGUUUUACUUGGACUAUGUAUAUAUAGAGAACACUGAAGGAGAGUCUCUAACUAGCAUGACGGUAUGUGCCAGGACGGACCGUCACAGGUAAGACGGUCCGUCGUAGAUGUUUGUCGUAGGACACUUGUGAAAAAAUAUGGAGACCCUUAGGAGAGGGGUCUCUAACCAUCAUGACGGUCAUGCAGAACGGCCUGUCGUAGGUACAACGGUCCGUCACAUGUCUCCGUUGAAGGACACUUAGAUAAAAAAUGAGAGACCCUUUUUAACAUGGUCUCUGACAACCAUAACGGUUGUGCAGGAUGGACCUUCAUGUGUACGAUGAUCCGUCACAUGUGUCCGUUGGGAUAGGGUGCUAGGGCUUUCCAACGGACCCUACGACGGCCCGUCGUGGGUACGAUAGUCCGUCAUCGGGGUCUCAUUCUGAAUAACAGUGACAGAACUGAGGGUACCCUAAUCAUCCCCGAUGAACCCACAUCAACCUUGUAGUGUUUUGGACCUACAUGUGUCUAACCCAACUAACUAGGAAACUAGCAAUGCAAAAGAACUUAUGUCUAGGGUGGUAAACAUGGAAAUUCGAACAUUUGUAACCUAGGUUAGACAGAAUCGUCUAAACUGAAGAACAUACGACGAGGAACUAAUCUUAAUACUAACUUGUAAAAAAAAGGCAAGAUAAAUGAGUAUAAAUUUAGAGACACAUACCUUAGAAAUGGAGCAAAAGCAAAUGGACAAUUACUCAGUUGGCAAAGUAGACACCCACAGCAGCAGCUCCGACUAGUAGAUGAUAACUCUAGGGCGUUGGAGAAUUUUAGGGGGUAAUGAUCGGUGGGAGGGAAUGUGGAAGUUGAAAAGAGAGGGGAGAUGAGAGGAAUAAUGAAGGAAUGAGGUGAAAUGAGGGGUGGGGGGGUUUAAACAAUCUGAUUUUGAAAAAGGUUCUAGUCGGGUCGGGUCGGGUAUAACUCAUUAAUCACGCGACGGUUCCCCGACGACGGUCCGUCGCAGUUGUGACGACCUGUAGUUGGUUCCGUCGUGUGUGACCUAGUUUCAAAAUAACAGAAAAAUGUACCUGGUAUGAUGGAUGCAUACGACGGUCCGUCGCAGGCGCAACGGUCCGUCGAUGUGUCCCUUAGUGACUGCUGCAGAGUAAUUUUCUGCAGAAUUUCCUGGUGAUGUGCUUGCAAAUUAAAAAACCCAUUAUUAGAAAAAUGCUACCAUUACUAAAAAGACGAUAAGUAUUGGGUUGUCUCCCAACAAGCGCCUGAUUUAGUGUCGCAGCACGACUGGGGACACUUGAUUACUCAGACUUCAUCAAGAUGGUAUGCCUCAAUCACUUCAUUUGCCGAUUCAGCAUGCCCGAAAUAGAUUUUAUGCGCUGUCCAUUCACCUUGAAUCGCACACCCUCCUUAGUUUCCAACUAAACUUCUCCAUGAGGGAAUAGUUGGGUAACCAAGUAAGGACCAGUCCAUUUGGACUUGAGCUUGCCCGGAAACAAGCGCAACCUAGAAUUGAAUAAAAGCACCAAACCCCCGACCAUAAAAUCUCGGUUUUCAAUUUUGUUGUCAUGGUACUUCUUCAUAUUUUCUUUAUAUAGUGCUGAGCUUUCAUAGGCUUUUAGGCAAAAUUCAUCGAGUUCAUUCAACCCAUUUAACCGUUGUUGUGCAGCUUCGCUCCAAUCCAUUUUUAACUUCUUCAUAGCCCACAUGGCUUUAUGCUUUAACUCAACCAGAAGAUGACAAGCUUUCCCAUAUACAAGUUUGUAUGGAGACAUACCUAUGGGAGUCUUAUAUGUUGUCCGGUAGGCCCAAAGAGCAUCAUCAAGCCUCCUUGACCAAUCCGUUCUACUAGCGUUCACUGUUUUUGACAAUAUCUAUUUUAUUUCCCGAUUCGAUACUUUAACUUGCCCACUAGUUUGAGGGUGGUAAGGAGUGGCCACAUUAUGGCGAACCCUGUAUUUCUCCAACAACCCCUUGGACAAUCUAUUGCAGAAGCGGGAGCCCCCAUCACUAAUAAUGGCCCUUGGAAUGCCAAAACGAGAGAAAAUAUUCUUUUUCAAGAAUGCAGUGACACUCUUCCCUUCAUUGUUUGCGAGGGCUAUGGCUUCGACCCAUUUAGAUACAUAAUCAACUGCUACUAGAAUGUACUUCAUUCCAUGAGAGCUCAAGAAAGGGCCCAUAAAGUCAAUACCCCAAACAUCAAAUAACUCAAUCACAAGAAUGGGGUUUAGAGGGAGCUCUUGCUUUCUUGAAAUACCACCAUCUCGUUGGCAUCUGUCACAUGCUUUAGCAAACCCAUGAGCAUCUUGAUGAAGACUUGGCCAAUAGUAACCACAUUGUAAUAUCUUAUGAGCGGUUCGGAUACCACUGUGAUGUCCACCAACGGGUGAGGAAUGUCAUGCCUCGAACACACUCAACAUUUCACAUUCUGGCACACAACGCCGAAUAAGCCCGUCGGCACAACUCCCAUACAAGUAUGGUUCAUCCCAAAAGAACUUCUUCACAACGUACAUGAACUUUUUCCUUUGAUGAAAGGACAAGUCUGAUGGAACAAUAUCACUAGACAUAUAGUUCGCAAAAUCUGCGAACCAUGGGAUCAAGUCUUGUGAAGCAGCCAAUACAUGUCCAUCGGGGAAAGUAUCAUCAAUGUCAGUCUUGUCCCCUAACUCUCUCAUAUCUUCAUCCUCUAGACGAGACAAGUGAUCAGCAACUUGAUUUUCAGUUCCUUUUCUAUCAAUCACUUCAAAGUAAAAUUCUUGUAGCAGUAAUACCCAACGAAUCAGCCUAGGUUUCGCAUCCUUCUUCUCUAUCAAAUAUCUCAAUGCUGAGUGGUCAGUAUUCACUAUAACUCUAGUACCUAGCAAAUAGGAGCGAAAUUUCUCAAAAGCAAAGACUACUGCAAGGAGUUCUUGCUCAGUCACUGUGUAGUUCAUCUAAGCAUCAUUUAGGGCUUUACUAGCAUAGUAAAUGGGGUGAAGGAUUUUGUUUUUUCUCUGUCCCAAUACUACACCAAGAGCCACCCCACUAGCAUCGCACAUUACCUCAAAUGGACUGUUCCAACCGGAGAUAUAAUAAUAAGCGCAGACACUAACUUUUCUUUAAGCUCACCGAAUGCUUUAAGAUGGGAUUCAUAAAAACAAAAUUUACAAUCUUUCUCCAACAUUUUGCACAAUGGGUGUGCAAUCUUUGAAAAGUCUUUGAUGAAUCUCCGGUAAAAACCUACAUGCCCAAGAAAGCUUCUCACACCUUUCACAAGAUCGGUGGGGGAAGUUCUCUAUUACCUCGACUUUAGCUCAAUCAACCUCUAUGCCCUUUUUUGAAAUGCGAUGACCCAGCAUAAUACCCUCUUUCACCAUAAAAUGACACUUUUCCCAGUUUAGUACUAAAUUGCAGUCUUCACAUCUCUUAAGGACCUCAGAUAAAUUGGUCAUACACCGCUCGAAUGAAUCACCAACCACAGAAAAAUCAUCCAUAAAAACUUCUAUUGUAUCCUCCACCAUGUCAGAAAAUAUCGACAUCAUACAUCUCUGAAAUGUUGCGAGUGCAUUGCAUAACCCAAACGGCAUUCUUCUGAACGCAAAGGUCCCAUAUGGACAAGUUAAAGUGAUUUUCUCUUGAUCUUCUGGUGCAAUAGAAAUCUGAUUAUACCCCGAAUACCCAUCAAGAAAACAAUACCACCCUUUUCCGGCAAGUCUAUCCAACAUCUGAUCCAUGAAGGGCGUAGGAAAAUGCUAUUUUCAGUCCAUGAGUUUAGUUUACGGUAAUCCAUACACACCCUCCAUCCAGUAAUGGUCUCAUUGGAACAAGUUCAUUUUUUUGUUGGGGACCACAAUCAUUCCCCCUUUCUUAGGUACACACUGAACCGGGCAUACCCAACUACUAUCGGCAAUUGGAUAGAUUACUCCGGCAUCCAACCACUUAAUGAUUUCCUUCUUCACAACCUCUUGCAUAGGAGGAUUCAAGCUUCUCUGGUGCUCAAUACUCGGCUUAUGAUCAGGCAUGAGUUGGAUUUUAUGAGAGCAAAUACCAGGAGGGAUCCUAAUAAUGCCCUCAAUAGUCCACCCAAUAGCUCUUUUGAACCUUUUUAGUACCUUCACCAAACUCUGAACCUGUUGUUCAUCCAGGUCUGAUGCAAUGAUUACCGGCAAAGUGUCACCAUUUUCUAAGAAUUCAUACCUGAGAUGAGGUGGGAGAGCUUUUAGUUCUAAUUUUGGAGCCUCCUCUAUAGAUAGUUUAGCGGGUGAGGACUCGCGAUUCUUCAUAUCAAGCUCAAAUUUCUUCGGUUUAAACCGAAUAUCACCUCGGUCAAGAGCCGAGACUAAUGACUCAUACUCUUCAAUGCAAUUGCUAUCAAAGUUCAUUAUCACUGCCGCUAAUGCUUCGACACCUAGACGUUCUUCUAUUUGUGUCUUAGAUGUCUCACCCAUGUUGUAGGAUAUAGCAGAUGUCGAUUGGAGCUCACCACUCUGCCUCAUGGACCUACAAAUAUUAAAGGUCACUUCCUCAUUGUUCAACCGAAAUUUCAUCUGCCCCUUUUCCAUGUCUACUAAGGCUCUUCCCGUAGCAAGAAAUGGCCUCCCAAGAAUAAUGGGCACUUCAAAAUCGACUUCGCAAUCAAGAAUAACAAAAUCUGCUGGAAAUAUAAAUGACUCCACUUUUACUAACACAUCGUGGAGUAUCCCUAUAGGCCGUUUUACUGUUCGAUCAGCCAUCAGUAGCCGCAUCGCAGUGGGCUUUGGGUCACCCAAGCCCAACUUCUUGUAAAUCGAGAGGGGUAUGAGAUUUAUGUUUGCGCUUGCCCCCAGAUCACAUAAUGCUUUCGCAAAAUGUAAUAGCCCGAUUGUACAAGGAAUAGUGAACGCACCCGGAUCUUCUUUCUUUUGUACCAGAGAUCUUGUAGCAAUAGCACUACAAUGGUGAAUUCUAUCAUCAUCCUCAAAAGUGACUGCUCUUUUCUUUGUGAUCAGAUCUUUCAUAAACUUGGCGUUACCGGGCAUUUGUUCUAAAGCUUCUACCAAGGAGACAUUGAUAGAAAGUUGCUUUAACAUUGUUAUAAAACGCCGAUAUUUACCAUCCUCGGUUUUUUCAAUAAUCUUUUAGGAAAUGGGGGUGGUGUCCUAGGCAUAGGAAUAACCUUUUUAGGCACUUCAGCAUCUUUUGCAGUGUUAUCCUCUAAUUCCGCAUCAACAUCUACCACUUUAUCAGUAUCUUUUGUCACCUUAUUUUCAUUAGAUGGCAUAGGUGGGUCAAUGGUUUGCUUGCCACCGCGAGUAGUAAUUGCCAUACAAUGUCCAUCAUUUUUUGGAUUUUGGACAGUGUUGCUAGGAAGAGUGCCCGGUUGCCGUGUGUUCGCAGUUGCAGAUAAUUGGGCGAAUUUAACUCAAGUUGCUUAAUCGAUAUUGCAUGUGUAUCAACUUUUUGCCCAAUACCCGCUAAAUCAUUCCUCAACUCUUUAUUGUGCUCAUCACUAGCAUCGAACCUCCUCAUCAGUUUAUGCAACAUAUCCUCAACUCGCGACAUACUACCUCCACCAUCCCUAGGAGUAACUUCACGAUUUUGAGGAGGAACAUAGGAUCCAUUCCUGUCGUUUCUAUUACCAUAGUUACCCCUGUUGAAGUUGUUAUCGCGAUUGUAGUUUCCAUCGGACAUAAUGAUCCUCACGAUUGUAGUUACCAUAGUUCCGACCUUGUUUCCCUUGACCUUGGCGCCAAUUCUCCUGAUUAGAGCCUUGGGCACUUUGUCGGAAACCCCCUAUCUGUUCAUUUACUGCAUAGGAAUCCUCCUCAUAAUAACACAUCAUUGUGGCGGUGGUUUCGACAAGUAGUUGACUGCAUUUAUCUUUUCUGCACCCCAGUGACAUGUUUUAGUACAAACCCAAGCUCGGUUCUCAUCUGAGUCAUUUCUUCCUGAAUCUCAUCUGUGGCUGGGUUGUGAGUGGACUGCACUGCGAAGGUGUUUCUCCCUGUAUCAGACUUCCUAGUACUCCAAGCUUUGUUAUUCCGGGAGAUUUUCUCUAAUUUUUCAGCAAUCUCAGCAUAAGGGCAUUCUCCAUAAGAUCCACCUGCUAUAGUGUCCAACACCGCUUUGUUGUUAUCAUCCUAUCCCCGAUAGAAGUAUUCCGUCAGUGACUCAUCAUCAAUACGGUGAUUUGGAACACUUCUCAAGAAAGAGGUGAAUCUAUCCCAAGAACUACUAACUGACUCUCCUGGUAGUGCCACAAAGUUGUUCACUCUUUCUUUGUGAUUUAGUUUCUUGGAGACCGGAUAGUAGCAUGCUAAGAAAUAUCUCUUAAUUGGUUCCAAGUGAAGAUUGAGUUGUAUGGGAGCUCAGUGAACCAUAUAGCAGCCUCUCCCGUCAGUGAGAGAGGAAACACUCUGAGCCUUAUUACAUCUAGAUCCAAAUCAGGCCUCCUUUCACAACUUUUACACACUGCCCUUACCUUAGCUAUAUGGGCAUGUGGAUCCUCAGAAGGUAGCCCUGAAAACAAACCUCUGGCAGUGAGCAUUUGCAUCAGGCUACUAGUUACCACAAAGGUGUGGCCUGUGGGUAGAGGGGCAAGACAAGUGGCCCAUCCGAGUAUGCUAUGUUAUCAUACCCUCUAUAGUAUGCUUGGGGCCGUGGAGCGGGAUUUCGUCCCCUCUGUUGAUGUUCACCCGGAGCAUCGGGUAACAUCUGACCAUGAACAUCAACCGGAGCUGGGAUGUUCUGGUUCGGAUCAUCAUCAUUUACUCCCAAGUUUCGAUUCAUAUUGCGCAGUGUACGCUCUAACUCAUGAUCGUAGGGAAACAGGGUUCUCUUCCUCUCCGUGUAUUUGGCAUACAAGGAGGAUAGUUCUGAAAAGAAAUAAAAAACAAUAAAACAAAGUAAAAUCAAGAAAAUAUCAACUAAACCAUAGUAAUAAGUUCAAGUUAAUCUAAAACCUAGAUUCAACGGCAGCGGCGCCAAAAUUUGAUACGCUCAAACUUACUUCUCAAAUAAGAAGUAAAGUGUUGUGUCAACUAAAUAACCCAACUAGUGAGGUUGGGAUCGUUCCCACGAGGAAAUAGUCUAGACUUAACUUCAACCUGUUAUUACUAUUGUUUGGUCAAUGACUUCCUUGGAAAGUAAAAACAAUAAAGGGGGUUUCUAUUUCUAAAUGUGUAAAAUUAAUUAACAAACUUGACAGAGACACUUAAUAACUUUGAAUGUUGGAUUUUAAUCAAUUAAUCAAAGUAACUAGGGUUUACGUGUUCCCCACAGGUUCAUAACUUAAUAACUCUAACUAUAACGAGUCUUUCCUAGUAUCUUGCAUGCAAAGUGAUAAGUUAUGUAUUUCUAAAUUCUUGGUCCGGCAUCUAGAAAAUCUCACUCCGCACCUUGGUCCGGCUACGUGUGUUGCUAUCCUAACCCUUAUCCUUACCUCAUAUUAAGCAUCGUAUUCGAUAUUUGACUAAGUUAUUACCUCGUACCAAUCAAUACUAGCCUAUUAUAUAGUAUACACUAAAUCUAUGUUAAUAAUUCUUUUUCUAUUAUCUACCUCCUUGGUCCAGCAAGUAGCAUUAAGGUGAGUUCUAACGUUGGCCAUCUGUUAAAAGGACUUCUAAGUGAAAGAAUUAUUAAUACAUGCAAGACACUAUUCUAGAAUUGGUAUUUUAGUUAGGGUUUAUCUCAUUAUUUGCCUAUGGUUCCCACAACCCUGGUUAUGCAGUUUAGUUACUCAUAGCCAUAAACACAAUAUUCAAAUAUAGUAGAUAAGAAUUCAUGUACUUACUUCAAUGAGAAAGAGUAAAAUCCAAAAGUUUGCUUGAUUAAACUCCAAAAAUCACUUGCAAGAAUCUCAAAGUAAUCAAUAAUCUCACAAAAAGUCUAAUGAUUAUCAAGAAUCUCAAAAUACAAUGUUUACCAAUACGGAGUUUAACAAUCUAAGAGUCUAAUAAAACAGAGUCUAACCUCAAAAACGAAGGUUUUUCAAACUAUUUAUAAAAAAAUAAAAAACCUAAUUAAACAAGGACUCUGUUUGCUGGAAAUCUGCCAAAACGCGUCUAGGUCGACGGACCACGAGACGGAUCAUCGUGGUCAUGACGGUCCGUCAUGGACUCCGCCGUCCCAUACUUAUGCCAUUUCUUCUGCUGCUCUCUUCAUUCCUCUCGAUGGCAAGUAUGACGGACCGUCAUAGGCACAACGGUCCAUCGAGGGUAUUCGUUUCAAAACACUUCAACUCUUGGGAUUUGGGUAUUGGGAUCACUUCUCUGAACUUCAUGACGAACCUGCAGGACGGACCGUCAUAGCCACGACGGACCGUCACAAGCUUCGUAACCUUACACUUGGUCAGACUUCCCCAUCUUUCUUCAGCAGCUUCACUACGCUGCCACUUAUGGACCGUCACAAGCAUGACGGACCGUCAUAAACUCUGUAGGUGGUCUCUUCUGCAUUUCUUCGCUCAGAAUCUCCGCGUUCAGCGUUAGACAGAUUUCCUGCAAAACAAAGAGAAACUUAUAUAAAAAUUAGCACAAAAAGACUUUCGGACACACUAAACUUAAGGAAAAAGUAUUAAUUAUACCGUGAAACCACGGUAUAUCAGUUUGGUCCACCUUUUGUGGCAGUGUUUACUUGAAUAUAUCAAUGUGAAUCUACUUGUGUAUUGUGAAUAAUUUCAUGAAGGCAUAUUAUGUAAUGUAUGAUUAUAAUAAUGUUGUUCUUGUUGAUGUUCUUUAUGAAGCUUAUUAUGUGAAGUAUGCUAGAAAUAAUGUUUAAAGGAACUAUAUGAUUAUGUGAAACAUGUUUAAGCAUGUUUAGAAUUAAAUGUUGAUGAAAUGGUGAUUAGGUGAAAGGUGUGCACACAUGGACACUCACUCACACACUCACACUUUAAUGAUUGAAUGAAGUUAAAAAUGUAAUUAAGGGUAGUUUUGGGUGAACACUCUUCGUGAGUUGAAAUGAAGUGAUUAGUAGCAAUCUCACUAUCUCCCAAGAGCUUUCUAAGAUAGGUCGGAGGAUGGAUUCCCUUUGUGAGUUGAGAUGUGGUGUCCACUAGUUCUCCUUAAUCUAUAGUAUCAAUUGUUGAGACUCUGUGUGGAAGUUAUGCUUCGCACCGAGAUCAUAUGAAGAAGGGAUGGUUGCACUUCGUGAGUUGAGAUAUUGUAUUUCAUAGUACCUCUGGAGAUGAGUACUCUCUGUUAGUAGAGAAUGAGUUACUUACUAUCAAUCUCCUUAUCCCUUAACUAUGCUAACGCAUUGGUGUAGCUAUUGGAAAAUCCAUGUAAAAUCUAAGAGAAUGACCCUACCCUAGGAAAGUGGAGAUCCCUCAUCCGAUAGGGGUAGUAUCGAGAUCAAUUUCUUUCCCUCAUGGUCUAGGUCAGUUAAGCUAGCCCCACAAAAUAAUGAAUGAUCUAAGUCUCCUAAAAGAAUGUAAUACUUAGGGUAGGUGGUGAUGUGUGACGCUAUGUAUCUAUUGCACUAAGUAGACAUUCUGGAAGGGGAGUCUUGGUGUGUUUUAUAUGAAGUGUAUGAAUGAGAUAUAAUAUGUUGUAAAUUAUGUUAGAUGACUUAAGUUCUAAUUUUAAUGAAUGAACUAAGUCUCUCAAAAGAGUGUACUACUUAGGGUAGGUGGUUGUAUAGAACGGUAUUUAUCCAUUGCACUAAAUAGACAUUCUGAAAGGGGAGUCUUUUGUGUGAUUUUAGUGAAGUUAUGAAUGAAUAAUGUAGAGUGCUUAAUCCAAGGGAAUCCUCAAGGAGCAUUAAGUGGGAGUAGUAGUAUGGGAUGCUACUCUCACAAUGCACUUAGUGUAACUUACAAGUCCUAUUGGAGAAGGUCACUUUCAUGAAGUACUUAAUGUAGGUAUGUCCUUCAAAUGUGUAGACUAGAGUGUGGACUUGUUUCCCGUGCGAGGUAAGCGUAUGGUUGGUAGUAUUAGGGAUCGCUUUGGUGUGUAUUAAAGGGGUGUAUGGGUCGUCCCUUCAUGUCUUACCUUAGUGAGUCUUAGGAUAACUUGGUUAGGGAAACCUCAAAGGAAAUAAGUUCAUUGUGUUUUUGGUAUGAGUUCACAUUAAGGUCAUUGAGUUCAUUGUAAGGUGCUUGUUUACUGUAAAGUUAUAUUUUUUUUUCUUCUAUUUUAUGUGAUAAAUGAUGAUUCAUACUAUUUUAACUCUAUAAUCAUGAAGGUUUUACUUAUUUGGCAUGAAAUCUUUUUUUACUGAAAUGUUCCUUUUUACAUGUUUUUGCAUAUGCCAUACUUAGUCCAUUGUUUUGUACUAACCCCAUACUUUUCAAUGCUCUAUAAGUAUAGCUUGAAGGCAAGAAGAAUUUUAGAAGGAAUAGCUUAGGAAUAUACUCUCUAAAGAAUAAGUAUGUCCUUAUAUAUCCGAGGGCAUAGUUAAAUUUCUUAGUUUCUAUCAUUAAGACUUGUUAUGUAUUUUUAUUUAAUGUAAAGGGUCGUGUCCCUAAGAUAUUGAUGUCGUGUCUUUAAGAUGGCUUUUGACGAUGAGACUUCUCCUUAGCUUUUAUGAAAGAUGUUUCCUUUAUUAUUUUAUUCGUGAAAAGUUUUAAUUCCGCACUACUUUUCAUGUCUUAUUUAAUGAAUGUUAGCUAAGGUUUGUACAAGACCUCCGAAUGGUCUAGUACGCAAUUGUUCUGACCUAAGGGUUCUCCCUUCUUCUAGGGGAUACUUUUGGGUCGUUACAAACAUGGUACCAGAGCAUAAUUUUAUGGAAAAUAGUUAGGGUCUUUAGUCUCACAAGCCAUGCCUAGUAGAGUCUUGUUCAUCGGUGUGAGUCGCGACACACCCAUGGGCGAGAGGAUAUAAAGAUUAUAGAAGUUUCACUUUCUUCAUUAUUCUAAUGUCAUUCCUUAGAGUUGAUUUUUAUAUCAACCUCUUGUCUUUGUGUUUAUAGGGCAUCAAUACGAGGAGAGAAAUCGCUGGAAGAGAGGAGGAAGGUGUAGCUAAUGAGAGGAUCUCUCCCGUAUUGACCAAGUACCUAUAGCUGGCCUGGAGAUUGUCAAUGAGGUGGUUCCCCUCUAGAACCUCAAGGAACCCAAGGACCUCAAAUGCCCUUAUGCCUCAAGCUCCUCAAGAUCCCUUUGUUGAAGGGGAUACGACUAAUGCGGAUUUGAGAGCUUCCCUAAUGAAGUUGACCCAACUGAUGAAGGCUCAAGCUCAAGUCGUCACUAAUCAUUUGGUUGCCCAAGUUAACCAAGGAGAUUGACCUCAACCUAAUGUGAGAACUCAUGCUUCUAGAAUUCGAGAUUUCAUGAGGAUGAACCCUCUUACUUUUCAUGGCACUAAGGUGGAUGAAGAUCCACAAAGUUUCAUAGAUAAGAUAUUAAAGGUUGUGGAUGCUAUGGGGGUGAUCCUUAGGAGGAGAGACGAUCUAGCCGCUUACCAACUCAAAGAUGUGGAUCAAGUAUGGUUUGAGAAAUGGAGGGAUGAGAAACCCUUGAGGCAUGGUCCAGUAGAUUGGGAAGUGUUCAAAGAGUCUUUUAUAUUUUUGUUACCUUAAAGUGGAAGGUAUAAAAAAUGGUUGAAUUCAUGAAUCUUCGUCAAGGAGGAAUGAGUAUAAAUUCGCACUCUCUCAAAUUCACCCAACUCUCUAAGUAUUCCCCGACUAUGGUAACCAAUCAUAGGGAUAGGAUGAACAAAUAUGUGAUGGGAGUGUCUAGCUUGGUGAAAAAGGAGUUUCGUACAACUAUGCUCCUCAAUGACAUCGAUUUCUCUAGACUCAUGGUGUAUGCACAACAUAUUUAGUAGCCCAAAAUUAGGGAGAUAAGAAUAGAGGGGAAAAGUCCUAGGUUUGAUGAGUCUAGUCAACCAAAAUCUAAGAAGACUUCUAUCACUAAGAGUCUUCCAUGCGAACAAGGCAAGAUUUUCAAACCAAAAUUCCCAAGGAGAUGGCCAUACUUUUGAGACGCCUAGGUGUGCUACUUGUGGGGAGAAACAUUUGGGUAAGUGUCUUGCUUGAACGGAUGGUGUUUUUGCAUGUUAUAGUAAGAAUGAAAAGAUGAGGGACUUCCCUAACAUCAAGGACAAUUGUAAGGAGGUCAAUCAGGAUCCUCUAGAUCCUAAUUCUCCAAAAAAGAAACCUCCAUAUGGGAUGGGGGCUAGGAGGGAGAACUAAUCCGGAUUAGCUAGUCCCGGUAAGCGUAGUUGUUGUGUUUAUGUAAUAAGAUGAGUUGACAUGGUUUUUAUUUUUUUAUUUUUAUGCUUUCUUGAUGAAAUGCUUAGACGAGAAAUUCUUGAAAUUCAUGCAUGUUUCACUAAGUGAGAGUGAUACUCACUGUAAAAUUUCAAGGUUUUAGAAAAAUUUGCAUUUUCAUGAAUAAUGUUUUCAAUGUGUUUAAAAAUUUAUACUUAUGAGCAUGUACAAUGUUGGAGAAGGUAUUUCCUCCAUAAAAUUAAGAUUUGAGUGUGUGCUUGAAUUUGGAAAUUUCUUUUUAAAAAUGUUGCUUGUGUUUCAUAGCAAAUGCUUGUCAAUGUGUAGUUAGUGUUCCUUUUAUGUUUUGUUCAUUGACUAUCGAUGUUUAAGACUUUUUUUGUGUGUGUUAUAUUCUUCUAGUAAGUCCUUAAUGGUCUUAUAAAAGAAUUUAAUGUCAUUCGAGGACGAAUGUUGUUCCAAGUGGGGGAGAAAAGUAAUACCCUAAAAUGAACUAAGGUAAAUAGAGCUUUGUGGAUGUUUCAUGAGUUAAUUUUGUGUUAAAAUGAUGUUUAUAGGCAGUGUGUAAAGUUUGGUGACGUUUGGAGGUCAAACGCCCAUGACAUUCAAAAGGUAUGACUUAGAAACUGCUUGUGUGUCUUCAUGUGUUUUAACAUGUUUUACAUGUUCGUUUUUAUCGAAAUUUAUAUGGGAUAUUCCUAAGACCUAUAAUACUAUGUAUAGGGUGUAACUUCCGGGCAAGAAUCCACCUAGGACCCAUGAGGGGACCUAUAAUAGGACCGAAUCCCUUUGGAAGGGUGCUGCCAAGCAGUGACCAACGACAGCCAUAAGGGACGGACCGUUGGACAACCAACGGCCCUUAGACCUUGGGCGUCGGCUGGAAAUGAAAGUCUAGCGAAGCCUGAACAAGAUAGAUACUAAGCCCCAAUCAAUGGACCCCAUCUAAGGAGCGUCGACUGGGCAAUGGCCCGUUUGUGAAGGGCGUCGUAUGGAUCACUGUAAAAGCUGUCUCGAAUUUGCUAGCUUGGCGUGUUUUGUGUAAAUUCACCCCAAGUAUUUUAUGAAACUAGGAUUAUGUUUUAGGUAUUUUAAAGUAUACUAAAUUAUUUUUAAGUCCUAGACCUUGACAAGACACCUCAUUUCAUAUUUUCAGAUUCUCUCUCACUCUCUAAGGAAAGAUUCUCCCAAAAGCCCAUAGAAGAUUGGACUUAAGGAAGGGCUUGAAGGGCUGGUAAUGGUCGUGUUCUUCAUCAAAAUCAGUGGAUUUCCUUUUUUUGAGUUAUGGUAAUCAUCCUUGAACUCUCUUCCAUUCAAAGAGUCAUUUCUAAAAGAUUUUAAAAAGGGUUAUCAAGCUCUAUCUUCUCAUAUCUUUGAUUUUAAGCAUGUGUCUUCAUAUAAAAAAAAUUAAUGAUUCAAACAUUUUUUUCUAGUACUAAUGGAUGAUUUUAAUAUCAAAACCCUAAUGAACUCAUGCUUAUAUUUAUUUCCAACUUCUUGCUAGAAGAAUGGGUUAAAUGAAUAUAAUUGUGUAGUAUUUGAGCUUUAGUUUCUUCAUGUUGAUAUUAUGGUUUAGAUACUUUUAUGAGGUCUAUUUUAUUAUUAAUUGUUGAUUAAGUUGUUAAUAGGUGUGGAAAUAACUGCAAGAAUGGUAAGUUGGUCACAUUGUUUAACUCAUAUUGUGAAAUGCUUUUGAGUGGUAUGGUCAACCUUUAAUGCCGAUGUUUACUUGAAGAUAUGAAUAUAUGAAUGUGAAUCUACUUGUAUAUUUGAAUAAUACCAUGAAGGCAUAAUAUGUAAAGUAUGAUGAUAAUGAUGUUGUUCUAGUUUAUGUGCUCUAUGAAGCUUGUAAUGUGAAGUAUGCUAGAAAUAAUGUCCAAAAAAACUAUUUGAUUAUCUGAAGCAUGUUUAAGUGUGAAAUAUGAUGAAUAAAGGUCUAAUCAUGUUUAGAAUCAAUGUUGAUGAAAUGGUGAUUAGAUUAAAGGUGUUCUCACAUGUACACUCACACUUGCAUGAAUGAAUGAACUUUGUAAAUGUGAUUAAGGGGGGUUUUGGGGUGAACACUCUUCGUGAGUUUAGAUGAAGUUUUUAGUAGCGCUCUCACUAUCUCCGAAGAGCUUUAUAAGAUAGGUCAUAGGAUGGAUGCCCUUAGUGAGUUGAGAUGUGGUGUCCACUACUUAUCCUUAAACUAUAGUAUAUAGUGUUGAGACUCCGUGGGGAAGUUAUUCUUAGCACCGAGAGGAUAUGAAGAAGGGGUGGUUGCACUUCGUGAGUUGAGAUUUUAUACUCCAAUGUACUUAUUGAGAUUAUUACUCGUCGUUAGUAGAAAAUGAGUUACUUACUAGCAAUCUCUAUAUCCCUUAACUAUGCGCCUGCAUAGGUGUAGCUAUUGGAAAAUCCAUGUAAAAUCUAAGAGAAUAACCCUACCCUAGGCAAGUGGGGAUCCCUCAUCCGAUAGGGGUAGCAUCGGGAUUCCAUGUCUUGCUCUCAUGGUCUAUGUUGGUUAAGCUAGCCCCCACAGAAAAAUGAAUGAACUAAGUCUCCUAAAAUAAUGUACUACUUAGGGUAGGUGGUGGUAUGGCACGUUAUUUAUCCAUUGUACUAAGUAGACAUUAUGAAAGGGGAGUCUUUGUGUGUUUUAUAUGAAGUGUAUAAAUGAUAUAUCAUCUAUUGUAAAUGAAGUUAGAUGACUUAAGGUCCAAUGUUAAUAAAUGAACUAAGUCUCUUAAAAGAGUGUACUACUUAGGGUAGGUGGUUGUAUGGGAUGCUAUUUAUCUAUUGCACUAAAUAAAUAUUCCGAAUGGGGUCGUGGUGUGUUUUGUAAUGAAGUUAUGAAUGACAAAUAUAGAGUGCUUAAUCCAAGGGAAUCCUCAAAUAGCACUAAGUUAGAGUAGUAGUUUGGGAUAUUACUCUCACAUUGCACUUAGUGUAACUUGCAAGUCCUAUCUAUGAAGGACACUUACAUGAAGUCCUUAAUGUAUGUAUGUCCUUCAAAUGUCUUUUAUAGAGUGUGGACUUGUUUCCCGUGCAAGGUAAGCCUAUGGUAAGUAGUCUUAAUGAUCGCUUUGGUGUAUAUUGAAGGGGGUGUAUGGGUGGUCCUAUCAUGUCUUACCAUAGUGAGUCUUAGGAUAACUUGGUUAAGGAAACCUCAAAGGAAAUGAGUUCAUUGUGUUUUUGGUAUAAGUUCACUGUAAGGUCGUUGAGUUCAUUGUAAGGUUCUUGGUUUACUAUAAAGUUAUAUUUUUUCUCUAAAAGUAUGAGAUUUUUAUUUUUUAAUUGAUAAAUUAUGAUUCAUAUACUAUUUUAACUCUAUAGUCACAAAAGUUUUACUUAUUUGCCAUAAAAACUUAUUUUAAUAAAAUGUUCCUAUUUACAUGUUUUAUCAUAUGUCACGCUUAAUACGUUGUUUUUUAAUAACCCCAUAUUUUUCUUUACUCUAUAAGUAUAGGUUAGAGGCAAGAAGAGUUUAGAAGCCAAAGCUUGGGAAUCUACUCUAUCAAGACUAAGUAUGUCCUCAUAUAUCCAAGGGCAUAGUUCUAAUUGUUAGUUUCGAUCAUUAAUACAUAUUAUGUAUUUUAAUUUAAUGUAAAGGGACGUGUCCCUAAGAUAUUUAUAUCAUGUCUUUAAGAUGGCUUGUGAGGACAAGACUUCUGCUUAGCUUUUAUGAAAGAUGUUUCCUUUAUUAUUUUAUUCAUGAAAAUUUUAACUUCGCAUUACAUUUCAUGUCUUAUGUAAUGAAUUGUAGCUAAGGCUUGUACAAAACCUCCGAAAGGUCAAGUACGAAAUUUUUACGACCUAAAGGAGCUCCUUUCUUCUAGGGGUACUUUCGGGUCGUUACAAAGUUGUUGUGAAUUUUUCAAGUUCUGGUCAAUUCUCUGGCCAUCACGGAUGGUGAGGUAAGGGCAGCCCUACUCCAAAUUGCCCAAGCCAGCACUACUCAAGCUCAAGCCAUUAUAGCACAAGAUAAUUGGGAGGUUGUACCUCAACAGAACCAAAAUGCUAGUGUUAUGGCUACCCGUCUGAGAGAUUUUAGGAGGUUGAAUCCUCCUAUGUUCUUUGGAUCCAAAGUUCAUGAGGACCCCCAAGAUAUCGUUGACAAGGUUUAUAAGAUUUUGUUUUCUGUAACGCCCUAAAACGAACUAAAGUGAACUAGAGACUCUUAUGGUUUCUUGAGAUACUUUUAAGUUAAAAUGAGUUACUAUAGUGUUCUUAAGCAGUGUGCGAAGUUUGGAGGUCAAACGUCCAAGAACGUCCAUGACGUGCGGAAGGUGUGCCUUAGAAAGUAUUCGUGUGUCUUAAUGUGUUUGAGUGAGUUUUAUGUUUUUAUGUUAUUAAAAUUGUUGCGGGAUGUUCCUAAGACAACGAUAAAUUUCUUUAGGGACUUAAAGUCUGGGUACGACUCCAUCUAGGACCCACGAGGGACCCUAGAAGAGGACCCCAAUACUCAGACAAAAACUGCAAAAAACAGUGUCCAUCAAUGAGCCAAUCGACGGCCGUCGACCAGGCGACGGCUCAUCAACCUGGUCCAUCAUUUGUAUAUGAAAGUAUGCAGUUUGGGAGUUGCAGACCCAAACCAUGAGCCAUCAUCAACGGGACGUCAACUCAUCGACGGUCCGUCAUUUAGAGGCGUCAAUGAGGGCCUGCAAAGACUGUCUAGUCUGCUGCCAACUUCGGGUGUUUUGUGUAAAUUCCCACCAAGUCUUAUAUAAGCCAAGGACAAUAUUUUUAGGUUUUUUAAGGUGUAUUAAAUUAUUUUUAAAUCCUAGACCUAUACAAAACCCAUCACUUCAAAAAUUAAAACUUUCUCUCUUUCUCUAAAGACAAACUCUCUCAAGUCACCAUUGGAACAAAAACUCAAGGAGGGAUAGGAAGGCUGGUUUGGACGUGUAUAUUCACAAACAUUAGUGGGUUUUAUUGAAUUUGAGGCAUGGUAUCCAUUCUUGAACCCUCUUCCAUUCAAGGGGUCCUUUCUAAAAGAUUUCAAAAAGGGUUUUCAAACUCUACUUUCUUCUAUCUUUGAUUCUGAGCAUGGGUCUUCUUGUAAAAAUGUUUUAAACAUUUAAAUUUGUUUAAUAUAGCAUUAAUUGAUUAUUUUAAUUUCAAAACCCUAAUGAACUCAUGUUUAUGCAUAUUUCAAACUUUUAUCUUGAGAAAUGGGUUAAGUGAACUUGUUUGUGUAGGGUAUGAACUUUGGUUUUCUUAUGUUGUUAUUUUGGUUUAGAUACUGCCCUAAGGGCCUUAUUAUGAUUAAAUAUUGAGAAAAUGAUUUUAGGUUGUGAUGGCUUGGUAAAAUGGUGAAUAGCUUAUAUUGUGUAAUUCUUAUUAUAAAUUGAUCUUGAGUGGUAUGGUCCACCUUCUUGGUGGCGGUGUUUAAAUGAUGAACGUGAUAUUACUUAGUAUGUAUUGUGUGUGUUGCUUUGAAGCCCUAAUAUGUGAAAUGAAGUGAUAUUGAAGAUAGGUCUUGUAUUGUGUUUUGUGAAGUUUGAAUUGCAUGUUUGGCUUAGAUUAUGCCUAAAUGAAGUAUAUGAUUUUGUGAAGCAUGUAAAGUGUGUGAAUCGAUGAAAGUAGAUCUAAAGCACGUAUAGAACUUAAAUGUGAAUUAGAAGAUAUUUAUGUGAAAGGUGUGCUCACAUGUACACACACACUUAAAUGAAUGUAUGAAGUUAAAUUGAGUCAAAAGGGGAGUUUUUGGGGUGAAAGUUCUUCGUGAAUUGAGAUAAAGUGUUUAGUAGAAACCUCACUACAUCCUAUGAGCUUUCUAAGAUAAGUCGGAGGAUGAAUAUACUUUGUGACCUCAGAUGUGGUGUUCGCUAGUUAUCCUUAACUUAUAGUUUAUAAUGUUGAGAAUUCUUGGGGAGUUAUUCUUAGCAUUGAGAGGAUAUGAAUAAGGGGUGGUUACACUUCGUGAGUUUAGAUUUUGUAUUCCAAUGUACCUCUUGAGAUGAGUACUUCUUGUUAGUUGAAAAUGAGUAACUUAGUAGCAAUAUCUUAAUCCUUAACUAUGUGCUCGCAUAGGUGUAGCUAUUGGGAAAACAAUGUAACAGCUAAAAAGUAUGACCUUACCCUAAGCUAAACCCUAUGAAAGAUUUUAAUAAACUAAGUUUUCUAAAAGAACGUACCACUUAGGGUAGGUGGUGGUAUGGGACGCUAUCUAUCCAUUGCACUAAGUAAGACCUUCCGAAAGAGAAGAUUUGAUAUCAAACCUUCUAAAAGAGUGUACUACUUAAGGUAGGUGGUGGUAUGGGAUGCUAUAUCCAUUGCACUAAGUAGGCAUUUCGGAAGGGAAGUCUUUGGUGGUUUGUUGAGUGUUCUUCUAAUGACUUGUGUUUUGAGUGGUGACUUAUUUUCUCGAGUGGAGCAAGAUUUUAGUGGGUAGUCUUAAAAUCUCCUCAGUGUGCAUUGAAGGAGGUGUUUAUAUGUUUCCUUUGUUUCUUAUCUUGGAGAGUCUUAGGAUAACCUUGGUUAGGAAACUUCUAUGGAAAUGAUCUCACUUCCUCAUUGGCAAUACAUUGGAAUGUUCAUUAUCUUUGGUUACUCAUUAGUUCACUGUAAUGUUUUGUGUAGUUCAUUGUAUUUUGGUUAAGUUAUUAUGAAUUGCUCUAAUAUAAGGGAAUCCAUCAGUAACACUAAGUGGGAGUAGUAGUAUGGGAUGUUACUCACACAUUGCACUUAGUGGGACCUAUAGGUACUAUUGGAGAAGGGUACUUACAUGAAUUUCGUACGAAUGAAUGUUUGGCAUAUGUUAGGUUAGAGCGGGGAUUUGAUUCCCAUACGAGGAAAGUCUAUGGUUGGUGAUCUUAAUGAUCCCUUUGGUGUGACUUAAAGGGGGUGUAUGGGCAGUCCCUUCUUGUCUUACCUUAGGAAAUCUUAGGAUAAUUUGAGUUAGGGAAACAUCAAACGAAAAGGGUUCACAUGACAUGCACUAUGUCAUUCACUGUAAUGUAGUCACUGUAAUAGUCUUGAUGUUACUGUAAUGUGUUCUAUAUAUUCUAAACUAUGACAUUCUUCUAUUAAGUGGUAAAUGAUGUUUCUUAUGUUAUUUUGUUUCUAAAUUAAUGAAUGUUUUACUUAUUUGGCAUGGAAUUUUUUUUAAAAUAUCCCUUUUUGCAUAUUUUUGAAUAUGUCAUACUUAGUACUUUGUUUUGUACUGGCCCCAUACUUUUCUAUACUCUAUAAGUAUAGGUUGAAAGAUUUUGAAGGUUUGAAGGUGAAGCUUGGAAAAGUUUCUCUCAAGGAAAAGUAUGUCCUCAUAAAUUCGAGGCAUAGUCCUUUUUCUUAGUUUCUUAUUUAAGACUUCUUAUGUGUUUUCUUUUAAUGUAAAAGGCCAUGUCCCUAAGAUAUUAUGUUGUGUCUUUAGUUUGGCUUGUGACGAUGAUAUUCGUAAGUAUUUAUGAAAGAUUUCCUUUUAUUAAUUUUAUACGUGAAAAGUUUUAAAUUCCGCACUAGUUUUCAUGUCUUAUUUAAUGAACGACAAUUAGUAGGCUUGUAUAAGACCUCACUGGGUUAAUUACACCCGCUCAUGAUUUGAGGGUUCGCCCUAGCUUCUAGGGUGUGCUUUCGGGUCGUGAAAUUUUCUAUGGGAGUGAGUACUACUUAAAAGGCCGAGCUUGCUGCCUAUCACCUCAAGGAUGUUUCUCAAACAUGGUACAAUCAAUGAAAGGAUACUGUGGCUUUGUGUAACACCCUAAAAUGAACUAAGGUGAACUGGAUCUUCAUAAAUUUAUCAUAAAUUAAUUUUGUGUUAAAAUGAUUCAUAAUGAUGUGCUUAGGAUGUGUAUAAAUUUUGGUGAUGUUUGGUUGUCAAACGUCUGAGAACAUCCAUGAUGUUCGGAAGCUAUGCCUUAGAAAGUGUUUUUGCGUCCUCAUGUGUACAUGUUCAUUUUGAUUGAAAUUGAUGUGGGAUGUUCCUAAGACCUAGAUGACAUAGUAGGGGUUUAACGUCUAUGUACGAAUCCACCAAAGACCCACAAGGGUUCCUAGAUGUCACGACCCAACCCGAUGGGCCGUGACUAGUGCCCGUUUUGGACACCCACAUACGAACCUGCUAAGUAUAACCAACUGAAACUAAGACAAUAUGGAAUUUAAUCAAACCAAGCCAACCCCAACGUCAUAUAUAUAUAAGAGGACCUGUCUCAUAAGGAGUCAUAACCAUUCAACCAUAACAGCAUACGCGAGCCGACAAGGCCGCCACUAUUCAAACCAUAAUAACAUACGUAUGCCGACAAGGCUGCCACUACACAAUACACAAUGAUGUACGCAGCCGACAAGGCUGCCCCUGUACAAGCGGACAUCCCAAACAAACCAUGUCCAGACCAUUAUCCAAAACAUAUAUAUACAACCCACAUAAUGUCCACAAACCUCUAAGAGUACAUUAGUGAAACUCGACGGGACAGGGCCCCGCCAUACCCAUAGACGAGCAAAAGACUACACAAAAGUUAUGUACCAAAACGACUGGGCUCCGGAACAGUGGAGCUCUCCCAAUCAGCAGAGUAGAUAUCCUAGGCGGGAGGAUCACCGAGCUGUGCGUCUACACCUGCGGGCAUGAAACGCAGCCCCCCGAGGAAAGGGGGGUCAGUACGGACAAUGUACUGAGUAUGUAAAGCAUAAGGUAAAGAUGACAUGAUACCAAUAUGGCAAGUCGAAACAAAAUAUCGCUACACAUAUACCCUUUUAAGUGAAAAUCAUGCAUAUAUUUAACAUUUAAGGUGCCCAGCUUCCCUAGUAAGGGGCUCGGCGAAAUAAUCAUCACGUCAUCUCCUUCAUCAUCAUCAUCAUAACCAUCCUCAUCACCAAUCAUAUAUAUAAUAUACAUACCCGGCCCUCUAGUGAGGAACUCGGUGAUAUAUGCAAGAAACUCCGCACGAACAUUACCCGGCCCGGGACUCGGUGAAAUGAUAAAUGACUCUAUGCACGAGCAGAAUAUUAUGAGCAACCAUAUGCAAUUAAAAUCAUUUCUUAUAACUCAAUAGAACAAUCAACGUGAACCAGCAAGGAGUAUUACCAAAUCUGUCCGUUAUUCGCUUAUUUUUAAAAGUCAUGCCAAGCAAAGAAAGAAGGGACAGCGUUACAUACCGUAUAAUCUAGCCGCACGUCCAAUAUUUACUGCUCAAGCUAUUAAUCUAUAACAAGCAACAAUCGUGCCGCAAUUAGAUAAACAUCGUGCUUUACUUUCUUGUAAGCUAGCUAAUAAUCUAACGAAAAUUCGGCAGCACCUCCCCUAUUUUCCUUACUUCGUCCCAAUCCGACAACAAUCCAAAUUAUCCACAACAAUACCAAUAACACAUAUAACCCAAAGAAUCAUAUUAAACAGCCCCCUCCUCAAAACAGUUCCGUCUCGGCAACAAUAGCAGCGAAGCAACGACACACCGAGCGAUAACUCGUUUUAUAAUUCACAACACAUCUACCUUAUCGUAUUCAUCCUUUGGAGUAUAUACUCAUAAUCACAUUCAACAUAUACAUAAUGCCAAAACAGAAUUAUCCUGCAGUUUGCUUUAAUCAAAACAGCCCAAGCACCAACACGACACCACUAAUAAUCCGAUUAUGGUUUCCAUUCAUACUUAGCACAUUCAAUAACUAAAACAAACUUCCUAAGCUACUGGUCACGCCCCCUUCUUAAAAUUAAUGGAUAAUUAACAAGGGUAUUCUAAAGAAUUAACACACCAAACAAGGAGAUUACUAACCAAAUUAUUUGCAGCUACUGGCCAAGAGUUGCAGGGUUGGUUUCUCCAUUUCCAUGGCUGCCUAAGACAAGUGGUGAAGAAGAAGAUAUGCAGCAACGCAUUUCACCACUUUAUUUAGCAUGGAGUGGAUUUCUCCACCUCAUUUAAUAGUAUGAAGUGGAGGCAGCCCCCCUCUACACCUGUCCACUAAGGCCAGCCCACAAUCUGAUCCCUUUUUAAUUUUUGCCUUGAGUGGUGGGGCCCACUGGAUUAAAUUAAUCCUAAUCAGCCACCAAUUAUUAGUGGUGGGGCCCAUUGGAUUAAAUCAAUCCAAAUUAGCCACUAAUUAAUCCCUCACUUAAAGUUAAUGGCACUUACAUUAGCCAACUCAUACUAAAUAUCACAUUUGGAAAUAACAUCCUUGCCUAAUAUUUCUUUACGUCUUCUAGAUCACGAUGCGCACUACGUAUAAAAAAAAAUACGAGGCAUAACACUAGAAGAGGACCCAAUACAUAGCAACCAAGCUGCCAAGACAGGACCAAUCGAUGCCCUAGCAUCGGCGGACCGUAGUCCUGAUGACGGGACAUCGUUUGGGGGCGUAUAUCCACCAUUAGUGGUGGGAGCUUACCGAGGUGUAGAAUCAUUACCAAGCGAUACAUUCGUAGUACGGGUCAUUGACUAGAUGAUGCCUCGUAGCUAGAGGUCAUCGAUUGUUCAACGUAAAUGUUGUAACGAUGAUGGCUUGGCUUGGGGUAUUUUGUAGAUUCACUCCAAGUCUUAUGAACCUAGGAUGAUUACUUUAGGGAUUUUACAGUAUAUUAAAUUAGUUUUAAGUCCUAGACCUAUACAAGACCCCUCAUUUCAAAUAUUCAAACUCUCUCUCUAAAAGAAAGACUCUCUCAAAACUCCAUAGAAGCUAGAACUCAAGGAAGAGCUAGGAGGGAUGGUUUGAGACGUUUAUUCGUCAAAAUUUUCCAAGUUUCCUUCUCAUUAAGGUAUAAUAUUCAUCCUUGAACCCUCUUCCUUUCAAGGAGUCAUUUUUAAAAGAUUUCAAAAAUGGUUUCCCAACUCUAUCUUUUUCUACCUUUGACUCUAAGCAUGGGGACUUCAUGUAAAAAUGUUUUAAUGAUUCAAAUCUGUUAAUUUUAUUAUGAAUUGAUGAUUUUAAUAUAAAACCCCUAAUGAACCCAUGAUUAUGCAUAUUUAAAACAUUUAGCUUACGAAAUGGAUUAAAUGAAAAUGAUUGUGUAGUGUUUGACCUUUUGAAUUUUUCAUGGUGAUACUAUGGUUUAGCUACAGCCUUAAGGGCUAUUUUCUGAUGAAUUGUUUGAUAAAUUAUGAAUAGGUGUUUAAAGCUUGGAUGAAUGGUAAGUUGGUAACAAUUUUUAACUCUAAUUAUGAAAUGAUCUUGAAUGGUAUGGUCCACCUUUGGUGGCAUUGUUUACUUGAAGUAUAUGAAUGUGAAUCUACUUGUGUAUUGUAAAUAAGGUCAUGAAGUCAUACUAUGUGAAAUGAGAUGAUAAUGAUGUUUUUCUUGUUGAUGUGCUUUAUGAAGAUUUUGAUGUGAAGUAUGCUAGAGAUUUAUGUCUAAAUGAACUAUAUGUUUAUGGGAAGCAUGUUAAAGUGUGUAAUAUGAUGAAUGAAGGUGUAAGCAUGUAUAGAAUUCAAUGUUGAUUAAAUGGUGAUUAUAUGGAAGGUGUGUUCACAUGUAAACUUACACAUUCACACUUAAAUGUAUGAAUGAAGUUGGAAAAUGUGAAUAAGGGGAGUUUUGGGGUAAACAGUCCUCCUGAGUUGAGAUGAAGUAUUUAGUAGAUACCUCCCUGUCUCCCAAGAGCUUUCUAAGAUAGGUCGGAGGAUUGAUACCCUUCAUAAGUUGAGAUGUGGUGUCAACUAGUUUUCCUUAACCUAUAGUAUAUAUUGUUGAGACUCAAUGGGGAAGGUAUUCCUAUCACCGAGAGGAUAUGAAGAAGGGGUGGUUACACUUUGUUAGUUGAGAUGUUGUAUUCCAAUGUACCUCUUGAGAUGAGUACUCCUCGUUAGUAGAUGAUGAGUUACAUAGUAACAAUAUCCUUAUCCCUUAAAUAUGCACCCGCAUAGGUAUAGCUAUUGGAGAAGCCAUGUAAAAGCUAAAAAAUGACCCUAUUCUAGGCAAGUGGGGAUACCUCAUCCGACAAGGGCUAAUAUCGGGAUUCCAUGUCUAGCUCUCAUGGUCUAUGUCGGUUAAACUAGCCCCCAAAAAGAAUAAAUGAAAUAAUUCUCCUAAAAUAAUGUACUACUUCGAUUAGGUGGUGGUAUGGGAAGCUAUUUAUCUAUUGCACGAAGUAGACAUUCCAAAAGGAGAGUCUUGGUGUGUUUUAUAUGAAGUGUAUCAAUGAGUUUGUAACACCCCAUAAAUUCCAUGAACUAUACUAGAGAUUAAUAUGCUUAAUAAUGAUGGUUUUAUACCUAAGUAAGUAUAAAUAACUUGUUUGAGAAGUUUCGGAGCAAUAGGAUUAGAGAAAAGCCUUAACGUCCGGAAACUAGCAAAAUUUAACUGGUUGACGUUCCUAUGUUUGGCAAAGGUUUCAGAGGUUAAUAUGGAAUCCAAAACUUGUAAAAAGACUUUGGUUAGGUAUAGUUUCGUAUAUAGAGUCUAAAUGUUCAAAAACGACACCCCAAGGACCACCGGAAGGGUCCUUGGGAAGGACCCCAACAUGGGUAGGCAAUCUGCCGAAGCAGUCUGCGAAAGUCAAGAAUUCGGGGGCUACUGUGCGACACGAAUCUAAAACGGACCUCACUAAAUCAGCUCAAAAUUGAAAAAUAAAUUGGAGAAUUAACCCUGCGACGCGCACCUACUUCCCAGAUAUCGUAAAAGUCAUAUUUUGGUAUUUUGACUUCACAAAUAAACCCACUUAAGUGAGGAGUCUUUGUGGUAAUUUAAUGGGUUACUAUAUAAUGUAUUAGGGUCAGUUUUAGGUCAAUUUAAUCACUCAAAUCAAGCCCCACAAGUUUAAAUCAAAAAUCACUCUCUCUCGCAAAUUCUCUCUUCCUCCAAAACUCCAUUAAAGACCAUUAGAGCUCCAAGAAGAAGAUCAAGCCUUUAAGUUUUUCAACCCAAUUUUGUGGCUCUCGUCAAUAACGUAUGGUUUAUUUCACUCUUGGGAUUCCUUUCCCCAAGAGGUCCUUCAAAAUAUGAUUUCUAAAUCCACCCAAAACAAGGGUUUUUCUCCUCACAUAGGUCUUCUUUCUAAAACGAAAUUGUGAGUUAAUUGUGAUGAAUUAUGAUGAAUUAAUGUUAGUUAAGUAUGACUUAAUGGUUAAUUGAUGAAUUCCUAUGAUUUUUCCAUUGACCCAUGUAUUUCCCCUAAAUCCCUAAUUUCUUGGAUUAAUUAAGGUGAAUUUGUUGAGGGUGAUGAACAUGUCACUUGUUUAUUUUGAUUUUAGUUAUGUUACUACUUCAUGAAUUGCCCUAUUUUCAUAUGUUGGUUGUGAGUUCUUGGGUAUUGAAGUAUCAAGUCCCAUCAAGGGCAAUGAGGUAUGAUCUUUAUUAAUUUUUUAUCUCAAUUAUGCAACGUGAAAUCUACUUAUGUGAUAAUGAUGCUAGAGCUAAUUGUGUUGUUGAAAUGUUGGUGACAAGUAUCCCUCAUUCCUAACCCUAGAUCUAUGAAUUAGCUAUGAAGUAUGUAAUUAUGUUAUGAUGUGAUCAUUAUAAUAUUAAAUAUAGUUUCUCAUGAUUUAAUGUUGUGUCUAAAGUGAAAGGAUAUUUCGUACUUGUGAUCACCUAUGAGCUAUUAUGAUAAGAUGUUUACUUAAAGGUCUAAAAGAGACUAAUGUGAACUUGUAUGAUGUUGUAUGAUGAUUACUAAAGCGAAUAAUUGAUUAUCACCGAAAGGGCGUCUAAAUGAGACGGAGGUCUCACGUUAGUAUGCACGGCCUCCCGCAUGGGUUUCUUCAUGUCUAGUAGUGUUGGUUCCUAAUAUAUGUGUUGUCUCAUGAGAUGGAAACCUUCACGAUUAUUAGUCAAGGUUUCUAGAAGCAAUCUCAUUGAACCUUAAUUAUGUGCCCACAUAGGACUAUAGCUUAGUGGAUCCACCUAGAAUAGCUAUGUAGGAAUGGUUAUACCUUAGGCAAGUGUUAACAUGUUCCAUGUAGCUCACAUGGUGUCGUGUCGGUUAUGGUAGAUAUUUCCCUAAAGUAAAAGUAUGAACAAGUUAUGUAUGUGAACUUCUAUUAGGGUUGUCUUAAAGGUUACUACAUAGUGUGAGGGAGGGUAUAGGAUUUCUCAAACACAUUGCACAUGUGGGAUCCUAUAGGAUGGUUCUAGUAGUUUUCUAUUAUGAUUAUGAUUAUGAAUGGUGUGUGGCCCUUUGAUUUUGAAUUUUAUGUGUAAAGUGCUAAAAAGGUCAUGGUUGUCCCCGACUUUGAUAUCUCCGAUUUCGGUCCUCUAUCACUAUGCUUUGAACAGCGUAUUCUGGAUCAUAUUGCGGCUACCACCCUCCUUCCUCAAAAGGUUUCUCUCAGUAACAUCACCACACGUGAUGUCUUUGUUCUUUACUGCUUAUUGGAAAAUUACAGGGUCAAUUGGGCUUCCUGGUUCAAAGAAUACAUGUUUAAAAGUGCUACUAACCCUAAUGGAACUGCCAGUCUACUAUAUGGUUUAUUGAUCUCUCGUAUCCUGAUAGACCGGCUUGUUGAUCUCUAUGACUCCAAACCCCUAGAGAUCGUCUCUACAUAUGAUAAUCGUACCUUCUCAAAUAUGGAUUACGUACUUGUUGGAACAUCUUAGCUUAAGAAGGAAUUAGUCAAAACAAAACUGAAACGGCUAAACCUACUCGGGUCUCUGUUGAUUCUGCCGCCAUUCUCCUUAAGGUUUCUGAAUAAAUCAAGGCACGACUCAUUACAAUGGACGAUAAGUUGGAGCAACUUAUCGGCACUACAGAUAGACUUGUCUGGAUCAACAAAGACACCAGCACUGAUGUUGGUAAGCCACAUCCCGCCAUGAACGGUCUCAAGAAGGACGGAAUCGCCACUGUACAUCAGCUGAUGAAGCAAGUCGACUCCAUGAAGUGAGGAGUCAGCUCCUCCAACUCCGAACUGGUUGUGAAUAUUUAAAAUUCGUACUCAUCUUUUGCAAGGAAUGUGGAACGCUCUUACAAUUGUUUCUUCAUGAACGUUCUCAAUACCCUUAAGUACUUCCUUGGUGAUCACUGAUCGUGGUCCACUGGUUAUUUUGGAUCUUUUGGUUUUAACAGGGGUAUGCUUUUAAGACAUCCUGGUUCUGUAACCAAGAGGUGGACUUUGCACCUCCCUACUGUUUAUUUUGCCUGCUAUGCUAUCUGACUGUUUUAUGCCUACAGUUGUUUUGAUCAUGUCAAAGGGGGAGAAAUUCUUCCUACAAAAAUAUUCCUUUAGAUACAGGUGCAGUCUAGUCAAGGGGAACUCACAUACAGGUGCACUCUUGUCAAGGGGAGCUUACAUACUACCUCAACGAUCUGCAGACAUGCAAAUCGGCAGGGGGAGCUUCAUGGAAUUGUUAUAAAUACUUUUAUCAAAUAUUUUUUAUGGGAAGAUUAUUGUCAUUAUCAAAAAGAGGGAUAUUGUCAUUAUCAAAAAGAGGGAUAUUGUUAGCCUCCUACACAAUACAAGUAUUUUGAUAAUUAACAAUAAAUUACAAUGUUGUUUGCAGAACCCAUGAGCAUAGAAAUCAGAGCCUACAACAAAUACUUGAUCCACACCAAUUAAGGAUCUUUAAAAAAAGGUCCAAGCAAAUCAACGAUUUCACUAAAUUGAAUAUAUCCCCAAGAUUCAAGAAAGACAGCAAUGCCAUAUCUCAAACUCCUACGAAUAGCAAGUCACUACCAAUCAAGAAAUCAAUAUAUCAAGACAAGUAUCCAGAAGUCAAUGAAGACAGCAACACCAUGUUGAAGAGGACUCAUCUAUAAAGGAAGGAUAUCAUGAACAUAUCUUAUAUGGACAUGAUUCCAAUCCUUUCCUAAUAAGACUCAAUCAAGUAAUCCCUAUAAAUCCUUUAUUGAAUGAAAAUCCCUUUGGUUAUCCUUAAGAAGAGCACCACUCUACACCUAUCUAAACAAGAGAGAAGUCACUUAGAAAAAUACGCAACUUCACUUGAACUUAGCAAAAAACUUUCUUUUGUCUUACAUAAAUCCUUGUAAACUUGUGAGUGUUACAAUUGAAAAGAAAAGAAGAAGAAAUAAUCUGACUGUAGGUAUGCAAGUAGAGGCAGUGUCAUAGUAGAUCUCUGAUUUGCACAUCAGAUAGGAUGAACUUUCAAAUUGUUGUAACCAAACUGUCUUCUCAACGCUCUUAAGGAAAACCCUUGAAAUCUAAGGGGACUGGACUAGGAACCACAUUGGUGAUCUGAACCAGGAUAAAUUUCCUUGUGUCCUUUACUUACUGCAUAUCGUUAUUAUUGUUUACUAUUAUAUCAACUUAGGUGAGCCAACUAUCCAUUACAGGCAAUCGUCUAAAGGAAAUUUAAUUCAAGCCCCCCCCCCAUUACUUUUAGGAUAAUAGUGAGAUAGCUGAGGGAUUCGUUUGCAUCACAUUGCUUGAGAGAGCAAAGAUAUAUGUUCCCAAGAGGGACGUAUGAAGCUCAAAACUCGAAGUGUUGAUAUAUGCAAAGAAAAAGUAAAGGUGUGUGGAAAUAGUUUAAGGUAUUUAGGGAACUGAAGAGUCACUGUCAGAACACUACUAAUCUAAUUUUAUCCAAAUUGCUGCAUCUAAAGUACUCAAUGAAUGAAAAGCAACUAAAAAGAGAAAAAAAGAUUUUUUUUCAAAGAAAUUUGAUCAAGCGAAGAGUAAGAUUCUUGAUAGCAAAGGAAAAAUUUAUUUGAACCAAUAGUAUUUGAAUUGAUCUACAAGCAUCCCUUUGUGGAGAAUCAAUUUAGCAUUGUCACGACCCAAAAGUGGAUGUGAUGGCACUCGUCUUAUCCCACCAAGACAAGUCAGCCUAAAGCUUAAGAUGCAGAAAUUUCAUAAUUUACUCAAAAUACCCCCAAGAUCUGGUUGUCACGUGUACAAGCCUCUAAAGUAUUACAAUUGAUUCAAAGAAAAAAAAUUAAGUCUCAAAUGACAUUGUUUCUCGAAUAGAACAAGAUCAUAAAUAGGAGUAGAAGGUCUACAGAGAUAACAUGCAGCUACCUUACAAUUCUCCACAAGAAGCCUCGGAUAAGGGGAAGAGAAAUAUAACAAAAGUCCGGGCUAGUAACCUACAAAAAAAAUUGCAGUAGUAAUCAUUACGCACCAACCAAACCUCCACAACUAAAACCUACAUAAGAAUCAGUCCAACCUAAUAGUUCACAGUUUUCAUAGCACCCAUCUCAUGAAAAUCAUUUUAACAAAUUACAAAUCCUCAACUACAAACUCAAUAUUCGACAAUCACAAUUUUCACAAAAAGGCACUCACAAUAUCAGCAACACACAAGAUCAAGUUCGUCAAAUAGAGAUAAUCAAAUAUCAAGUACUUCCCAACCACCAUAAAAACACAUAACCAUCAAGAAUGAAGAAUGUAAUGGGAUACAAUGCAAUAUGACACCAUGAAGUGACAUGCCUUAGAAUACCAAAUUCUCUCUCAACCGUAUAUACAUGAUACUCCUCGAAAAUACAUCGAGAGUUCAUGACCCCUGGAGACUCGUGAGUUCCAUAUACCAACACAUACAAUCUUCAUGUGUCUGUGCGAACGAUCUCAACGCACUAUCAUAAUCAAACAAAUUUCGCACAGACGAUCUCCACAUGCCCAAAUCAUAAUCAUAACUUUUCUAUCGCACGGAUGAUCUCCACGUGCCAAAUAAUCAAUACUUGAUCUCAACACGAACGAUCUUCAUGUGUUAGACCUUUAAUCAUACCCAAUCUCAUGUCAAUGCAUGUGCAAAAUAUAAUAUCAAAUAAGGAGAUGAUGCAACAUCUCAAUAAAUCAAAUGUCGUUAUGACAUAUAAUCACCUCAAUUAUCACAGUUAUACGGGUUCAGUAAAGAACAAUCACACAUCAUAAAUCAAAUCAAUAAUAUACCGCUCAUAUGCUUGGCAUUCUCGGAUUACAAUCUCAUUCUAUAAUAAUAAACCUUCCCAUUAUAACAUCGGUACUCGUAUCAUUCUCAAUACAUCACAUACAAUCAAAUAAUCACAUCAUCUUUUAUCACCCCCUUUUAUCAUUAGAAUUUAUCAAUGUGGACAAGUCAACCCAUCACCAAGUAUCUUUACUCCCAAACAUAUACCACAAGGAAAUACAUGCAUUCCAUACACUUAGCAAGAGUUUAGGAAUCCACUUGCCUCAAUUAAUCAAGAAUUUUCUCGGGGACUUGAGCCUUCACCUUCUGUUAAACUUCCAUCUCAAAGAAAUCUAUUCAAACAAAUGACCAAAAUAAGAUUCCAAAACUAACAACACUCAUAUUAAUCUAUGUGUUUAGUCUUGACCCAAAAAUUCACCCAAGUUUAUAAUCAAGUUUUCAAAUUUUGAUGUCAAUUAACAUUUCAAUUAUAAUAUUUUUCAAGUUUCAAGCUUAAAAUUAAAUCUACAUUUUCCAAAUAUCAUAUAAAUCUAAUGAUAUCAUACUAUCCAAUAUACCUAAUAUUUAGGUAUCUGAAUAUGCCCAAAGCUGAUUCAUAUUGUACAAUGAUAUGUUAACUUAAACAAACUAGUACGCAGAGCUAACUUAAAGUAUGAAAAGUUAUAACAGUGAAACACAUGAGAAUAAUUGAUACCCUUUGACAUAACAUAUCACACCUGAUCAUGAUCUUCAAUCAUUGCCAUAUGAUCACAAUUCCACUAAUUUGUUUUCCAUUAUUUUCCUCUCAAUUGAACAUAAACGUAGGCACUUAUUGUAGCCUUAAUUAUUAUUUUUUCAACCAAUAAGAAUUUUCCAAUAAAAUUUUAAGAAAACCUCGAAGUUCAUCCAAUUUACUAACCACAAUUUCUCAAACAAACAUAAACGUUACAUGCUGACAACCUCACGUGAAUAUCCCACUAAAACUUGUACCCCAAAUUUUUAAGCCCACGUACAUCAACAUUAAUUGAAAGAACAAUACAUUUUAACAAUCAAUAUAAUUCUCCUUCCCCUCUAAGUGACAAUAAAUUCAUUGAUUAAUGAAUAAACAAGUCAUUAUGGUAUUAAAGAGUAUGAAGAAUUCAAAUUUGAGGUUCUUACCUGAAUAUGGUUACUCUCGUCGAACACCGCAACUUGCUACUAUGCUCUUGCCUAAACCCUUCGUGUUCUUUUUCCAUUUUUUUCCUCUGUGUGAACUGUUGUUGUUCACAACAGCCAAUAAUAUUUUUCCUUUUAUUUCUCUUUUAAUUUAUUUAUUUGCUUUUCUAUUAUUAUUAGCAAAAAAGUAAUCUUCUGAAAAUCAUAUCAUUCAAUCUUAUAAGUCAUAAAUAUUUUUUUUUUUAAAAAACUACUAAAAAGAGUUAGUAUAAGAAUCAUGACUAAAAUUCACAAAACUGACUCAGAAGGUCGUUACAAGCAUUAUACUGCAUGCCUGUUUACUUUGGAUAGAAUGGUGUUUGAUAGCUUUCAUGGAAACUCCUAAUGCACUUUGAGAAGUCAAAUACUUAAGAAUUUCAAAUCUUUGGUACAAACAUAAAGAGCCACGAAAUAUUCUUGGAUAUUUGAUGCAGUCAGGUUUAAAUAAAUGCAUCAUUUUUUCUAUUGUUUUCACAUAGUUCUUUAAACUUAUGUACAUGCAUUCCUUUUAUGGACUCAUAGUUUAUUUUCAAAUGAAUAGUUAUAGAAGAGUGUGGAGGUCGAGGAUUCAUGUGGAAGUGUAUCAGGAAAUAAACUUACUCAUCUUUGGCAUUAGAUUUACAUGCACAGUUCCCUAUUCUCCCAAAUGUUUAUGAAGUUGCAAAAAAGCAAGUGUAGAUGAAAGUGUACAGAAAGAACGAGUACAAGUGGAGGAAGUUACAGAAUUGCAGUUUCCAUGCGAGGAAAAAGUAAGCAAGAUUAUUGUAGCAAACUAAAUAUUAAGACCAUGAUUAGGUAUACUUUUAUCUUUUUUCACGUCUAUCUUUUUCAUUAAGUCAUAUAUUAGUUAAAAUGCUUAGUAAGAUCUUUUUGAGUGAGAAAUAUAUUAAAGUUUUACUACACGUUUUUAACUGUUGUGCAGAUUGUAGUCUAAGAUUUCAAGAAGAAGAGAUAUAAGAAUUUACAUUGGUCCUCAUGAUCAAUUUCAUCACUGAUCCUACUUAGUUCCCUGAGGUAUAUUUUAGCUAAUAUUUAUUAUGGUAAUUUGUUGCUGCAUCUUACACUUUAUAUGUUGAUUAUAGUUAAUUGUUGCACUCGUUCAUGUUGUUGAUAAAAGAAUGAUAAUUUAAAAGGUAUAGAGCUUCCUGAGGGCAAUUGAAAAUGCAUAGUAACUGUAUUUUAUGCUAUCAUUUGUCGUUCUAGAGUAUUAUUGAGGGUUCCAAAAAUCGGCCACAUUAAAAUUACCUUCUGGGGAGGUCCGUUUGAUAUCUAAAAACUGCUCAGCAACAGUUAGACAAGUGGGGAAUGUUGGUGAACCAGAAAAGUUUGGGUACAACCCCUUGGGGUUAUCCUGCACUUGGAAGAAGAAGUAGAAAAAGGAAAUAUAGUGAUAAUUUGAUUCUUCGUCACCGUAGUAAAUAGAAGAGGAAAUAGAAUUUAAUUCUUUGUUUUUACAAAAACUUUACAAAAGGUUGAUGAUAAAUCAACUACUGUCUAUGCAAGAAACUUGUGAUAAUUUUUUUCUUCUAUAUUUAGUUUCAAUAUAGAUUAAGUUCCCGAUACUUUGCAUAAGCAUCUACAGUUGUAAUACAAUUAAAAAUUAAUAUUCGAAGUUUUGUUUGUUGGGAUAAUCCUCAAUAAUGAAGACCUAUUUAUCCUCUGAUUAUUAAGGGAGAACAUCUUACAUAAAGAAUCAUUUUACUAUUAAGCUAGAAUUUUCUUAUUUGUACAUUAUACGUUACCACAUAUGUUUUUUACCAUUGAGAAGAUUUAAUUUGUUACCAUUUUUCUAAUAUACAUUAUACUUCACGACAUGUUGUGACAUUAUUGUACCUGUAAACGUUGAUUUAUAUUAUUCUGUAAAGUUUAUGUUGAGUCAUAUAUUAAUGAACUUUUGUAGGUAAAACAAAUGAACUUGGGUGAUGCAAGAAAUGAAGACAACGCAUAUUAUUGAUAGACUGUUACUACACUUUCAUGUGUUUUAGAAUUUCUUUUAUUUUGGGGCUAAAUUUAUGUAUCUAGUUAUCUGUAUUGUGAAACAUUAUUUAGAUCUUUUGUAUUUAUAUGUUGAUACUACGAGUUUGAUAUGUUGAAAUAUAUUUGAUACAAGGGAAAUAGGCUGCGCUUCGCCCGAUCACAAAAAUUAUUUUUUGAAUUUAUAAAAUAAUUUUUUUAUUAUUAAAAUUAUAUUUUAAAAUUUAAAUAAAUUAAAUUUCAGUAUAUUUUAUUAUCUUCAUUUAUUUUCUUUUCCUUUAAUUUUUUUAAUCAAUUAUUGUGCUUUAAUCAUUUUAAAUACUUAAAUUUUAUAUAAUAAUAAUCUAUUUAAAUAAAAGAAAGAAAGAAAUGAACUUCAAGAAAAAUGAAUCUCUUUAUGUUGAUAUGUAUAGAAAAUUUAUACAUAAAUUACAUUUAUUUAUUUAAGACAUUAAGCAUCUACUUACUCUUAAGAGCUAUAUAUUAAUGUUUUCUUUUCUUAAAAUCUUAAUUUUAAAAGUGUAUCAAUAACGAUGUCUCUUAUAAUUAUGUAAAAAUAAGAGGUCUGGGGGGGGAUUACACAUAAACGGAAUUUCCUUGGUUAUUUUUUUUUUCUUCCACCUUUGUUACUUGCCCAUUCAUUUGAAGUAAAUAAUAUCUUCCUUGAUUUUCCUCUCUUCUUUAUAUAUAACAUAUAAAUAAAAAUAAUAAUUGAUACAUUACUCCAUUCUAAAGCUAUUAUUUUCUGUCAAAAAGUUAUCAUUAACUACAUUAUAGAAAAUUUAAAAAAAUUAAAAAAGAAACCACUCAUUUAUAUUCAGAAAAAAAUGCUAUGAAUUCAAUACACAACGUUGUAAAAAAAAGGGGGAGGACUCAAAAUACAAUUGAAUUGUCAAGCUUCAAUCCUUGUGUUGGAUAACUCGGAAAUUUAUCCCUUACUAAUUUCAUUUUAUUGAAAAUAUGUCAAAUUGUUAAGUAAAACUUAUGUUAAACUGAUAUUAUUAUUAUUAUUAUUAUUAUUAUUAUUAUUAUUAUAAUAUGUUCAACUUGGAUUAGACUCCUUUCUAUUUUUUCCAAAUUUUAAUUUCGAUGGAAGACACGUAAAAAAGAAUUUAACUAUGAUUUAACUAAUUAUAUUGAUAAGACCUAAUCCGUUUAAAAACAUUAUUAUACAUUGCUCCUUUUGCCAAAUUUCUAAACUCUCUUUUGUCCUCGUCUAAAAUAAUAUCUAUUGUCAUAUACUUAUCAUCAUCCGAGUAAGAAAUCAAUAAAAAUGAAGACAAUGAAAAUAAAAAGGAGCUGAAUCAAUUUAACCUUAGCAACAAAAAACUUAUAAGCAACAAAAACCUACCUAUACCAAAUUCUAUACAAAUACAUGAUAGAGGAUUUAGAAGACAUAAACUAUGUAGUAGUUGAAAAAAAAAUAGAUUUCUUCGAGAAAGUCCAUACACAUAAGGAAUCAAAAUCGAAUUAGAGUAACAUAAAUAGAAAAUGAUCAUACCAAUUCGCCAAAAAUAACAUAACUUAUCAACAACUUACCAAAUAAAGCAGGGUAAAUUAUCAAUAGAGUUCCAUUUAUAUUUAAAUAAAAAUUUAACAUGCAUAUUCAACUUUUAGGACACACCACUACACUUUUACAAAAAAAAAUAUGUUUACCAUUUAUAAGCAAGUGAUACGAGUCAUCUAACUAUCGACUUCAUUGAUAGUUAGAAUACAAAUAAAUAAACUUCAAAACUUUGAAUUCCUAAAGUGAUAUGAACACUUGCGGUGCUGAGGUCAUAAAAAAAAAAGACCACACCUAAUUCUUGAAAUACAAAAAAAGAAAACUUUUAAAACAAAUAUAGAGAAAGUAUUGCUUCUAUGUAUAAGAGUCGUCUUUGUCAUAAUUGCAAUCUUCACUUGUCCAAAUUUCCUUAGUUUUUCUCUUCAUUGUGCACUGUUCAUAAUAUUAACAAUUAGCAUAUAUAUACUCAAAAGCAAGUAUUUAAGAUAAAAUUUAAGGACUUAAAGUAAUUAUAUAGAGAUCUCAAAAUAGUGUAAAUAAUAUACUUACAUAUGAUUACUUGGCUAUACUAAAUGACCUUUAUUUUUUAAAUUUGAGUCGGAUCAAAGUUGGUAAUAAGUACCUCAACAUAGAAAUCAAAUUAUAUUAGCACAAAAAAUGAAAUGUUAAUAUAUCUAAUAAAUAAGCAAUUAAAAGGGAGGGGAGGGGAAGGGAGAAGUUUGUAGGUCAAAAUAACAAAUAAAAUUGCAACUUAAAUUAAAAAUGAAAAGCAAAAAAAUAACAAAUAUAUAUAUGGCAAGGGAAGUUAUGAUAUGAUGGCAACGGAAGUUGCUUUCAAUUCUUCGUGCCUUGAAUUUGCUGAAAUUCCAUCAUAUUAUUUUCACUCUUUGUAAUUUUUUGAUCAUCGUAACCUUAUUCCUGUAAGCUAAAAUAUAGAUCAAUUAAAGAAUAAGAAUGCAACAAAAGAUAUAAUGUAGCUCAUUCAAAGAAUAUCAAGUGGAAUUUGAGCAAGACAAAAUAGAUACAAAUUAUGAUUUUUAAAGAUCUUCGACUACAGUACAUAGAGAAAAUAUAAUAAAAUAACAGAGAAAGACUAACAAAGUUCGAAUUAAUUAAUCACAAUGCAUUACUACAAGUGAAGUUUGAGCAAGACAAGAUAGAUGCGGAUUGCAAUUUUCAAGAAUCUUCGACUUAAGUACAUAGAGAAAAUAUAUAAAAUAAUAAAGAAAGACUAACAAAGUUCGAAUUAAUUAAUCAAAGUGCAUCACUAUGUUACUUGUGAAAUACUUCCUUAAGAUAAAAAGAAUUCACGUAUGACUGAAGCACUCGCUCUAUGAAUGUAGAAAUUGUAGAGAAUACGCAUUGAGAAAAUCUCAAAUAGGCAAUAUGUGGAUUGUAGACAAUGAAAAAGAUUUGAUGCUGCUCAAAUAUAUAUAUAUGGAAUGAUGUUGUAAAUGUUGAUAAUUAAUAUUUUAAUAGUGAAAGAUGAAAAGGCAAACAAGUUUAUUUGAUGAGAUCAGUUUUAGAAAUUAAUAACUAAUAAAUAAUGUAACUAAUUUAUUUUAAGUACUUUUUGCUGUUACAAUUUUUUGGGAAAAAAACGGAAGAUGAUAAAAUAAUCUUCUCAACUUCCUCUACCUAAACUUCUUAUAUUUACUCACUUGUCAGCAUUUUAAAAAUGAAUGAAAAUAGAAAAUUUAGGAAAUAAAACAAUAAAAUGUCAAAAAAAAAAGGAGAAAAAAGUAAAUAUGAACCGAGGUCAUAGAGAGGUGCCACAUCACUACUUCUAUGAUCCUCUAAUAUAUAUAUAUAUAUAUAUAUAUAUAUAUAUAUAUAUAUAUAUAUAUAUAUAUAUAUAUAUAUUGAUUAAGAGAAAUUCUAUUUAAACAUAUUUUAUCAUAUGAUUUAUCAUUUUUUUUGUUUUACUUGAGGGGUUGUAAUAGAUUUCAUAAACCCUUUUCAAUACAAAUUGUUGAAAUUAGCUAAAACUCGUUGCAAUAUAUAGGCAAAACCAUUACUAUACCCAAAACAAUUCUUGAAUAAAUUGUUAUUGGAACGGUUUUGAACCAUUUCAUUAGUAUAAAUAAUUGUUGCACUAGAAGGACCAUUGUCAGCAACAGUAAAACCAUUGCAAUAUAUAAACCAUAGGCAACGAUUACAAAAUCGUUGCAAAAAACCCUUGCAGUAGACUUAUAGCAGCGCGAGCAGAUGAAACGGUUCAUGAAUCGUUACAAUAGCUCUAAUUCAGCGGUUUACCAAUUUAUUGCGACAGUUUUUAUUUGUUGUCGUAGGCCUAUUUUCUAGUAAUGGAGUAUCAAAAUGCAACACAUAAGAAUAUACACCAAGUAAGAGACAAUUUAACACCCUAGAGUCUCUAUCUAGAGUUAUAUUUAGGCACACUUUGAGUGAGACAUGAAGUCGCCGCUCAUAAGACCUCAUUCAUACACACCCAAGUAUUCCUCAAGGUUACUAUAGACAAGAACCAUUGCAUUUCAACAUUACAUGCUAAGUAGUUCGUUUCCUUAACAGAAAGGAGACAUGCAAUACUCUUAAAAAGAUGACAAGUCAACAAUUUUCUUUAGAGUCAUUUAGGACACAUUUAUGCAUAUAGAGGACUUUCACAUAUUAGCCAAUAAGGCUUGAGGAACUCACUUUGUAUCUUCAAAGCCUACUCGUGCUAUGUGUAGAUAGCAUCCCAUACUACUACCUACACAUUGUAGAACCUAUCCAAUAAGUAGAGUGCACAUCCCACAUGACGGGAAUAGGCGUUAACCGACAUAGAUCACACUAUCUUGACCUGGAAUCUGAUGUCAUAAGACCCCACUUCGUGAAAGGUGUUAAACUUGUCAGGGGUAGAACUUAUAAGCAACCCAUUUAGACAUAUGGUUUAGGGUAUAUUCAAAGAUGUUCAUUGGACUCUUUCCUUUUCUAGGGGAAAAGACACCAUCUUAUCAUAUCCUCUUGGUUCUAGCCUUAGUUCCCCUGGAGUAGUUCAUUCAUAUGUAUGUACUUGAGAAGGCACCAAUAUUAGGUCUAACCAACCCAUAGUACAUCUACCAAGAGGGCAACAUGAUUAGGUCUAGCCGAUCACAUGUAUGUACUAGAUAAGGCACCAAUAUUAGGUCUAACUAAGAAGGCACCAAUAAGGAUAGCUCAUUGACUUUCUUAGAGAGGGUUUUCUACUGUUCCCACCCACCAACUCUAUAUCUAACAUUUCACACAAAAGGUCAUCACCCUUAGGUACACCCCUUCAAGGUUUCACAUUUACUUAGGAAAUCUAGACUCAUGAAAGGCACCAUGCUUAGGACUGGCUGAUUCAAGACAUAAUGUAGAAUUCCUCUUUACUCAUUCAUAGAAAGGGCACCAUACUUUAGUCUAGCAAAUUCAAGAUAUUUGUUCAUUCAUUACUCAAGAAAAGGAUGUCUAAGCCUUAAUCAAUCAAUAGAUCACAUUUAAUAAGCUUUCAUGUAUCAAGGAGAUACACCUAAGUCUAAUAACUCAAAAUACAACAUCCACACAUCAAGGCUCUUGAUAGUCUAUCAUCAUAUAUGUACAUUAAAGAGAACAUACUUUCAAUCACAAUAUUAUAACAUUUUGAACUAGAUCACAUAUAUAACCUUUCAUAUUGCACAUCCAUAUAUACACAUCAUGACACUAGUCCGAUUCAUCAUAUAAUGCCUUCACGGUCGUGAUCACAAUGCAUAAACAAUAAGUAAACACCACCACCAUAAAUGGACCAAACAAUACAAGAAUAAUUCCAAAAGAACAAGAGAAUUAGGUCAACUUACCCUUCACCCAAUCCAUGAUCACCAUUUGAAAUCUCCAACAAUUCAUCAUACUUUGUCAUAUAUUACAAUAUAUAUCAACAAUACGAUACAACUUAGGCACAAUUCUAACAAUAUCAACCAUAAUCAUAAAUCCCACUUAUAAGCUAACUUUAGGAAUUUAGUGAAACCAUGGGUUCAUAGAGUUUUUCACCUUAAAAUCAUCAAUAAACAAUCAAUAUAAACUUAAUUUAUCAAUUGAAAACGUUUGAUGCAAAACCCAUGCUUAGAAGAGGAAAUAGGGUUUUUGUGUUCUUUGAAAAACUUUAAAAUACUUCUGAUUGGGCUCCUUGAAAGGAAAUUUUAUCAAAGAUAAUGAGUCACCAUACCUUAAAUAUUAAUCUCCCAUGAAAAUAAACAAGAAAUCACUUCAAAUCUUCAACCUUAAUGCUCCAAUGGUGUUCUAGAUAGAACCGUUUUGGGAGAGUGAUUUUGAUUUUUGAAGAAUGAAUUUUAAAUGGAAGUUUAACUGUUUUAACAUAAUUAGAAUACCUAAAAGUAAAUAAAAUAACCACCCAAAUAUUUAAUUAUCCAAGGGAGUAAUUUACCAAGUCACCUUUGGCUUGGCCGAAUUGCACAAGUAAAACACGUGCCACCUAUGAGACCUCCACCUAUGGACUGCAGGUGAAGUGAAGGACCGUGCUCUGGUCUUGUCAUUUUGGUCAAAGACUUGGAUAAGGGAGAUAAGGAUCCCUAGUCUAAGUCUUGACUUUCCGAGGCUGAGUAUUGAGCGUAAGUGGACCUACUGGCUGUAAUUCUUGGCCGUAGAUCGCCACUUUUUGGUAAUUUUGGGGUUCAACUUUGAGUCCUCCUCAAGGACCUUUAGGGUGGUCCUUGGGGAGUCUUACUUGGAUGUUUAACCCCUACACAUGUCCAUAUAGGUACUAGGGUCUCCUUCACAAGUUUUAUACUCCAAACAACAUACCAAUUCACAACAUACUAGAGCACAUUAGCACCGAAACGACUAGUUCCCGAAAGUCAUGGACGUCUCUUGAUGUUUGACCUGUAAAAUUACUAAACUCACUUCUAAAGUCAUUUUAAUCAUUUAUACUAUUUUACCAACUAUAAAAUAAUAUGUUAAUCUCUAGUUCAUCGAUUUCAUUUUAGGGUCAUUACACAAACAACUCAUGAUUUCUUUCACUCAACUAGAGGCGUGAAAUUAUAACUGCCAGAUUCUAGUGAUAUUGUCAAGUAUGGUCCUAAGCCUUCACAAAUUAAAAACGCGUCAUUAUUUUGUAAGAUAUGCUUAUUUAUAUACCCAACAUCUCUCAUUUGUUUUUCUAAUGCGAGACUUUUUAUCUUAACAUGGGAUGUACUACACCCCCUCUAUGGACUUAGCGUUCUCACUGUGGUUUGCCCGCCACAUGAGAUAUGCCUAGACUCAGUAUUGAGGUGUGCCCCGCCUUAUUGAGAUUUACCUGAACUCGGUUAAACUUGGCCUACAUCGACAAGGCUAACUCAUGAAUGACUAAUGUAUUUGUAACGGCUCAGACCGCUAGUGAUAUUAUCCUCUCUAGACCUAGGAACAAAUCUUUAAAAUGUGUAACUAGUUAGUAGACAUUCUUACUGAUAUACCCAAUAUUUCUCUUAUAUUUUAUCAAUGUUGAAUUUUUUAUCUGUGAAACAAGGAGAUUGAUUGUCAUCUGCAUUAUUCAUUAUAAUUGUAGAGGUUCUAAUUAGAGCUUUGAAUUAUUUAUUCUUUUAUAAGGAUUACAAAUGUUUUGGAAUUCCUAAAUGGAAUAUCAAAUAAAUCAUGUAGAUUACACUAAUGAUUUAAUCAUAUUGGUCAUCAUUGUUCAAAAGAGCCGGAAGAUGAUAAAUCAAGACACUAGAGGGAUAUGAGAGGCAGUAAGGUCAAAUGAUUCACAAAGGGAAGAGAUCAUCUAUGCUUGUCAUAAUACUACAAUUCCUAUUAUUAAGGAAUUUAAGAACCAUAUAGGAUUCGUUACAAGGUAAAUUGUCUUGUAUUUAUCUAGGUUGCCCUAUUGUACAUGCUAAGUUGCUAGCAUGAAAAGGUAAGUUUCUCUUCUUCUUUUUUUUUGGGGGGGGGGGGCUAACUUCGAUUAAAAUUAUCCUUCGUAAUAUUACUAUUUAUUUGUUGUCCGUCCUUUCUCCGUGGUUCAUAAUUUUGCAUAGAGUGUUUGUUAGAUUUAUCUUGAUUUUCUUAAAAAAAACAUUAGUCACCAUAAUUUAGCUAAGAGAGAUUUAAUACAUCAAAGAGAGAUCUAUGUAUUUCUAUGGAAUCCAUUAUGAACUAAUUUUUUAUGGAAAAAUAUUCUAUAAGGCAUAAUCCUUAGGUAUUACAAUAGAAAGGAGGCUCCUAGACUUGGAGGUAUAUGCUAGAGGCUGGAAAUGACAUUUAUCAGCAUAAUUGGUGGGAGCCUAUGUGUGAUCUUUAUAGCAUCUGGUUUGAUAAUUGGACUAAACUUGGAACUCUUCAUUAUAUGAUACCUUUUUCUAACCUCAAUAAUUAUGGCAUGUAAAAGGUGAGUCAACUUAUGAUGAACGACAGAUUGAAUGGGGAGUUAAAAUUUCAUUCUUUUCCAAAAGAUGAUUGUGAUCAUAUUUUCAAAGAGAUUGGGGGUAGUUGAGGAUUUUAAAGAUUGAGAUCACAAGCCUCGCUGGAUGUUGAACAGUUCAGGUAAAUUCACUAUUUAGUUCGCAUCAAAACUAUUGAGACAAUGACAUUUACUCUUGAUAACUUUUAGAAAUUAUGGAAUAUACUGUGCCAUUUAAAGUCUCAUUUUUCUUUUGGUGACUUUAGAAGCAAAGUCUAUCAAUUGGAGAAGUUCUUAUGAGAUUUGGUAUUACUAAUGAGGUCUUAUUUUGUUGUGGAGAUGGUGUUCUAGAAUCAUGUCAACAUCUCUGCAUUCUUACUUUUAUGGAUUUAAGUUUUCAAAAUACUUUUUCAACUAUUACAGGGGUUAUAAGUCAUUUUUUCAACUUAAAGAUACCAUUUUCAAAUGGUGGAAUACAUAAUACUUCUAUAAAAUUCAAUAUUUGGAAAAUUCAUUCUUUGGAAAACAUAAAAAAUGAAGAAAUACAAGUCACAAAAAAUAUCUACUCAGUGUUAAGAGAAGGUACCGAUGGCUCAUGCAUAUCCCCAUAACCUGGCCAAUGAUAGAUUAUUUGAGCAAUACUCCCGCAUUAUUAUUUGUAAGGACGUUUUCCAUAAAACUUACCUAGCUGUAGAUAUUUCAAAUAUAACUACAAUAGUGCAACAAUAUGAAAUCCUAAUUCUUGUUCAAGAUCCUUAUGUAUUAAAAAAAAAGAGGAAGGAAGUUUUGUGCAUGCAUAUCUAGAAGGCUACAGAAUGAAAUAAAUUUAAUUUAGUGCCAGAAGUUGUAGCUUUAGGAAAUAGUGUGGAAUGUUGCAUUAAUUAUAAUCACAUGUCAUAUUGAAAACUGACUCUUUGAUUGUAGUGAAGAUUUUGAAUGGUAUUUGUGAAGUCCCUUGAUGAAUGUAAAACAAAUCAUCUAAUGAGAUCUAAUGUUAUGAUACUGGUGGAACAUACAUUUGAGAAUGCAACAUGGUUGAUGAUUUGUUUACUAAUCAUAUUAUUAAUUUUGUUGGUUCUCAAAGGAUUGCAUAUUAAUUUAACCUAACUAGACAUGAAGGCAUAAGCAAAAAUAACUUUCAUUUUGGAUAAAAAUAAAAUGACAAAAUAGAGGUUUUAAGAUUACAGAUAGAAGGAAUAUAAUAAUUCCAUUGAAGAUAUUAUUAAGAUGCAUCUUGAGUUAAAAGACAUUUUCUUAAGAAACAAAAUUUGUAAAUUCUUUUUCAAAUGCACACUUCGGGUCUUUUAUUAGUUGAAUCUCCUUCACUUUUCAAUGAUAAUAUCUUCUCAUAAGCUUAUUACUUAUCAUAGAGGGGUAAAGGAAUCAAAUUGACAACUACACCUUCAUAGUGCUCUUGCUAGUUUUGAGAUGCUUAAGAGGUUAGUUCAAAGACUCACUCAUGUUCUUUGUUACUAAGCACUAAUAUCAGAUCUAUGAACUCAACUUGUCAGAGGUGAAUAUAUAACGUUUUCAAUAAGACCUGACUGUAGUGAGCGAAUAAGAGAAACUCAUGUUUUUGGAACAAUUUUUUUAUUUUAUUCAAUAUUAAAAUAGGAUAUUAACUACAAGCAAAUUAAAAAAUUAAAUACUCUGAUUAACUAGAAUAAAUCGACAUCCACAGUGAGUCUCGAAUCUCUAGGAGAAGAUAUGGAAUUAGAAGAGUGAAGAAGAACAGAGGAGAGAAAGAGUACGAGAAGUGGAGGAAGAUUUACCAAGAUUAUUGUUGUUUGAUUCCUCUCUUCUAGGUCGUUAUAUAACUACUACUGCUGACCACUUUAAUGGCUCGAGAUUUUAGCCGUUAAAUGUGGACUCCGUUAUUAAUCCACAACUCGACUUUGAUUCCCACUGUCGACAUUUCUUUAUUUUCUUGAUUAACUCUAUUGAACCGGAUCAUUACAUACCCUCCUCUAAUAAUUCAUCCUUGACCUCAAGGAUGUUAAUCAAAACUUGGAAACUUGGCCUUGAGAAAGCUGUAAUCUUCCCAAGUAGCAUCUUCUGGAGAUAAAUUGGACCAUUGAACUAAAACUUUAACUUGAGUUGUAUUGUUCCUCUUGAUCAUUUGUCUUUGUAAUAUAGCUAUUGGUUGCACAAUGAACUAAUCAUCCUCUCCCGUGCUAGGCAAGGCAGUUUGCACCACUACAGUAGAUCCCACCUUCUUCUUGAGCAAUGACACAUGAAACACUGGUUGAACUUUUGAGUCAACAAGUAACUCAAGCUUUUACGCAACUAACCCGAUCUUAGAUAAGAUCUUGUAAGGUCCAUAAUACUUGGACGAGAGUUUCAAAUGCUUCCUUAGUGGCACAUAUGUUUGUCUAUAAGGUUGUAGCUUGAGAUAGACCAUGUCACCAACCUGAAAUGUUCUAUUUGAUCUCCUCUUAUCAGCAUAAUAUUUCAUUCUUUCCUGUGCUUUGCACAAGUUAUCUUGCAAAAGUUGUUGCAUCUGUUGCCUCUUUAGAAUGGUAUCCUCAGCUGCAGUAACAUUAUACUCUACCAAGGGUCCCAUUGACAAGUGUGGGGGCGAGUACCCAUAUAAAGCUUCAAAAAGAGUACAUUGCAAACUAGUGUGGAAAUUGGUAUUAUACCACCACUCCGCUCCAGUUUUCAAGUGUUCCUAUACUAUAGGUCUAGUAGAUACCACACACCUCAGGUAGUUCUCCAAACAUUAAUUCACCCUCUCCAUUUGUCCUUCACUUUGCAGUUGAUAAGUUGUGCUAUAAUGCAGUUGAGUGCCCAAAAUAUUGAAUAGAGCCUGCCAGAACUUACUGAGAAAUAUGCCCAAAAGCUUGAAUAGACCUGUCAGAAAUUACUGAGAAAUACUUUAUCUCUAUCAGUAACUAUGGACGAGUAUGCCAUGCAAACAAUGUAUCCUUUUCCUGAAGAGUUCAGCAACUGUAACAGCAGUAUAAGGAUGUGCUGAGGCAAUGAAAUGGGCAUACUUAGUCAUCUUGUAAACUACUACGAGGAUCACAUCUUUGCCCCUAGACUUGGGUAAGCCUUCAAUGAAGUCCAUGCUGAUAUGACUCCAAGAUUGAUUAGGUACACUAAGGGGCUGCAAUAAGCCUGGAUAAGCAACAUUGUCGUCUUUGCUCCUCUGGCAUAUCUCACAUCUCGAAUGUCCUCCAACUGGUGAAGCAUGGAAUGAUCUCGCAAGUUGUUGUCUCAACUCUCUAGUAUCUCCAAUGUAUACCUUGCCCUUCUUCCUAAGGAUCCCACAAGAAUAUUACCAUAUAUUAGGUCCUUGCAAGUCUACAAAUAGUUGCCUGAUCAAGUCUUGUACCUGAGGGUCCCCUUCAUAAAUAUUAGAAACUUUCUGCAUCCAUGAUGGAACUGAGACACUGAUAGCUAACACUUUUCCUUGUUCCUCUUUUUUUGAUAGUGCAUUUUUGACUCUGUUCUCAGCUCCUGUUUUAUAUUGAACCUCAUAAUCAAGGCCUAGUAACUCAGUAAGCCCUUUUUGCUGUAAUGCUGAAGUAACCUUUUGCUCCAUCAAGUAUUUCAAGAUGUGAUGGUCAGUGCAAAUCACAAAAUGCUUGAAUUGAAUAUAGUGCCUCCAUUUGUCGACACCAUUUAGCAAGGCCAUGUAUUCCUUUUCAUAGAUAGAUUUUCCCCUGUGUUUAGAUGCUAGUACUUUACUGAAAUAAGUUAUCGGUCUUCCUUCUUGCUUAAGGACAACACCAAUGCCAUUAUGACUAGCAUCAGUCUCUACAAUAAACUUCUUGGUGAAAUCAAGUAAAAACCAAUAUUGGUGUUGAGGACAUGGCCGACUUGAGAGCUGCAAAUUCCAAAUCAGCUUCUUCAUUCCAUUUGAAAGCAUUCUUUUUUAGUAGAUAAGUGAGAGGCUAGUAAAUCAUACCAUAACCAGCUACAUACUUCCUUUAGUACCCUAUCAACCCCAAGAAUCCUCUAAGGCCCAAUAAGGAUUUAGGAGUAGGCCAGUCCAACAUCGAUUGGAUUUUAGCAGGAUCAGUAGUCACUCCUUGUCCGUAAUAAUAUGACCUAGGUACUCAACCUUAGGUUGUCCGAAAGAGCAUUUAGAUAUUUUAGCAUAUAAAGAGUGCUCCCUCAAGUAUCAAAAACAGCAACAAAGUGCUCAACAUGAUCUUCUAAUGAUACAAUAUAAAUAAGUAUAUCAUAAAAAAUACUAGGACAAACCUUUUCAGGAAGGGCUGAAAAACCUAGUUCAUCAAGGCCUGGAAUGUUCCAAGGGCAUUAGUUAACCCAAAGGCAUCACCUUAAAUUCAUUGUGACCCAUAUGGGUUCUAAAAGCUGUUUUAUGGAUAUCGUCGGUCUUCAUCCUAAUCUGAUGGUAACCAGCUCUAAGGUCCACCUUGGAGAAGAUCACAGAACUAUGCAAUUCAUCUAAUAGAUCAUCCACUAUAGGUAUAGGAUAUUUGUCCUUUAUAGUGAUGUCAUUCAGUCCCCUAUAGUCUACACAGAACCUCUAGGAACCAUCCUUCUUUUUGACUAAAAGAGUUGGUGAUGAAAAUGGAGAUUGGCUAGGUUGGACAAUACCAUGAUUGAGCAUUUCAGUAACUUGUUUCUCCAAUUCAUUAUUUUGGUAAUAGUUGUAUCAAUAAGGUCUCAAGCUUAUUGGUGCCAUGCCUGGUUUGAGAGGAAUGCCAUGAUCAAGUGCCCUGAUAGGAGGCAGUGAAUUUGGCUCCUCAAACACUCCUUGGGUUUUUGUGUCUAAAACGACUUGAAUAGACUUAUCCACUACUUCAUGAUCACCUUGGGUUUUUGUGUUCAUCAUGAACAAAUGAACAAUUAAAGCAUGACCCUUUUUCAAAAUUUUGUUCAUGGUACCACUAUGUAUCAUGUUCAACCUACCCUCUUCAAAUAUGCCCUUCAAUAUCAAUUUAUUGCCCUUCUUGCCAAUAGUGACACAUUUUUUUAGUGAUCAAACUUGGUUGGGUUAUACUUUUUCAUCUAGUCAUUCCCCAAAACAAGAUCACACCCACCUAAAAGAAUAUUAAGCAGAUCCUCUUUGAAGGACCUCCCUUGAAGUUUCCACUUAAACCCUUGGCAAUGAGAUGUGCACAUGACAUAGUUGUUACCGUUAGCUAUACUGUGACUCUUACUGGCACACAAUAACUAGCCUUAUAACCUGCUCCCAAGACUGUGUGUUGAUCAAUAAAGUUAUGAGUGCUUCAUGAAUCAAUCAACAGAGUGAGUCUUCUAUUCUUCACAAUACCACUUAUCAGUAUAGUAUUGACCCCUUGAUUGCUCCCUGUUAAUGCAUUCAAACAAACUGAUUCUUGCACUUCUUGUUCUAUUUCCCCUUUAAUACUUAGAUCAGUAUAGGAGGGGUCCUCCACCUCCGUAGACACUCCUUCAACAGUCUCUACUUCUCCGAUUAAGCAAUUCAGUUUCUUUGGUCUACACUGAUGCCCUAUAGCGUACUUGUCUCCACAUCAAAAACACAACCUAUUGCUCUUUCUGUACUCAUAAACUUCAGGACUAAGUUUAAAAGCAUUAGGUUUACUGGUCGAGCUUCCUAAGGCCUUAGGAAAAGAACUUUGGCCCAUAGUAGUAACAGGUUUAAUGGUACCCUUGUUUCUCCUUUGAACAACUUCAAUUGCCUUCUCAUGCAUUCUAUCUUUCUCAAUUGCUAGCUUCAAAGUAGUUGGUUUGAACAUCUUUAAAGCAAACUUGAUUUCCUCCUCUAAUGCUCCCACAAAACUAGACAAGAAGUGUGCAUCAUUAAGGUGUGGAUUCCUCACAAGCAUUUGCGCUUUGAGGUCCUCAAAUUUCCUGAGAAAUUCAUCCACUGAUCCUGUUUGAACCAACUUGUUGAACUGUUCAACAAUGUCAUCCAGUAACUCAUCUUCAAACUUACUAAUCAACUCUUCCUUGAAAUCCACCCAAUUAACCAACCCUCUACUCAAUACUAGAGAAUGAUACCAAGUCUCUGCUAACCCAUUCAAAUACAAGGCAACAACUUCUACCUUCUGAUGCUUUUGUGUUAUGUACAAGUUGAAAUACCUUUCACAGCCAAACCUUAGGUUCAUGUCCUUUAAAACUAGGUAACUCCCACUUAGGAGGGGGAAUUAGCACCAUCUGUAAUCUGUUAGGCCUUUGAUCCUGAGUCGGGUUAGAAAGUAUGCCGUCUCCUUGUAGGUGUUCUCCUUGGCCUCGAUUAGGUACUCUCUCUCGAGUUGUUAGUCGAUCAAGGAUCAACUCCAACGUUCCUUGGAUCCCCGUAUGUGUAUUUCAAAUCUUCUGUUGAUUAUCCAAUACCUCCGUUAAGAUCUCAUCAUGUCUAGCCAAACGAUCAUCCACCAUCCUAGUUCUUGUUCCUUCAGCCAUUCUCUACAUCACUGGUAUGUUGCUCUCCUACCAAUUGUCACGAUCUCAAUAAGACCUGACUGUAGUGCGCGAAUUAGUGAAACUCGUGUUUUUGGAACAAUUUUCUGAUUUUAUUCAAUAUGAAAAUAGGAUAUUAACUACAAGGAUAUAAAAAACUGAACUACUUUGAUUAACUAGAAUAAAUUGGCAUCCACAGUGAGUCUCGAACUGUAGGAGAAGAUAUGUAAUUAGAAGAGUGAAGAAGAACAGAGGAGAGAAAGAGUACGAGAAGAGGAGGAAGAUUUAUCAAGAUUAUUGUUGUUUGAUUCCUCUCUUCUAGGUCGUUAUAUAACUGCUGCUGCUCACCACUUUAAUGACUCGAGAUUUAGCCGUUAUAUGUGGACUGCGUUGUUAAUCUGCAACUCGACUUUGAUUCCCACUGUCGACAUUCAUUUAUUUGCUUAAUUAAUUUUAUUGAACUGGGUCAUUACAGAAUAAUACAAAUUUGUCGGAUAACGAUUAAUGUUUUUGUUAGAAUAAGAAAAAAAGGUAACAAUUACUCUAUUUGCUCGUGAGACUUGCAGUCAUAGAGUUGAAGAGAUCUUAGAUGAUAUUCAAUCUUAUGUCAUUCAUGAGGGAUUUGAAUAUUUCUAAUGAAAUCAUCCAAAAUUGUUUGAUCUUUCACUUAUUCAUUGCUAACUAAGAAGUAGAUGGAUGAGCCCUAACCUCAUUUUGUCUCAUAACAACAUUGAGGAGUGAAGUCGUUGAAAAUAAGGUUUGAGAAAUAAAGAUUGAACAAGGGAUUCCAAAAUUUUCCUAAUUUUUUAUCGAGUCUUUAUUUUUUUUUGCUUUCCUUUUUGAGAAUUUUUGACAAAUCGACACUAUUGUAAAUUUAAUUAUGUUUCAUAGUUAUAGUUUGCAUAAUAUGGAUUGUAUCUACAGUUCAAGUUUCCUUGUUCGUAGAAUUCAUGAGUUUGUAUAAUUCACAAGUUUGUAUAAUAUAAUUCGCACAUACAUUUAUAUAAUUGAGCUAUAUUUGUAUAAACUAGAAAUAACGAAUUUGUACAAACAUAAACAUAUGAACUUUAAACAAUUAUACAAAUUAUAUUAUAUAAAAUUACAUCAUACAAAUUAUAUUAUAUAAAAUUACAUCAUACGAAAUUUAUACAAAUUAAAUUAUACAAAUAUAUGAAUCAUACAAACUCAAAAUCUCAGCCCACAUAAUUAUUACUGAAUGUUAAUUGCAAGUGCUAAUUAACUAAAGCUUUAGUUUUAAUGAUUAAUUAAUUAGUAUAUGUUUGCUUAAUCAUGUAAUUUUCCCUUUUUUUUCUUUUUAUUUCAGAGACCGUAAAUCCUUACUAUCUUAAUAUAGGUGGAACCAUAAAAUAUUAUUAUUUUGUAGGGACGAUAAAUUAAUAUUUUAUUAAUUUAAAGAGUGUUUCGAGCUUCGAUACCACAAUAUUCCUUCGAAGAUUAAAUCUCUGAGAAUUUCAAUGAGUCUACUUCUAAAAACAUUAUUUUUGAACACGAUGAAGUCAUGAUUAAUAAUCUGGAUUACCAUGAAAAAUUGGACGUUAAUAACUUGUUGGAUGAGUGAAAGUGAUGCACGCUCAGAGGUUCAUAUCUUAGAAAAAUUGUUGAUACCAUCGAAAAAAAAUUAUGUUGAUGAUAAAGUUGAAGAUUAUAGAAUACCUUUGGAAUUAGUCACGCGUAAAGAGACGUUUAUCACAUCUAGAAUUCUUCACAGUUUUAUGAAACAAUUCGAAAAGACAACACCUAAACUUUUGGAUGCACUAAGAAAAGUUAGAGAUGUGUUUCAACUAGAUUUAACUUUAACAAAAAAUAUAACAAAAUAGAAUUAUAUUUCACCGAAAUGUCUUAUAUACAUACAUACAUUAGUACUUUUAAAAAAGUAUCAAUUUGUAAUACUAAUAAGACCAUAUAUUUAAAUAGCGAUCUUGUAAAAUAUAUUAUGUUAUCAAAAUAUGUGAUUUUAUUUUCCAUUAGCCAAGUUCAUUAUAAAAAAAAAGUAUUAUCUUAAAGAUAUUAAUAAUUAACCGAGUAUUGAGUGUGUGUUUGGCAAAUUAAAUUAUUUGAGUUGAAUAAGACACAAUAUUGUGUAUUAUAACUCAAACUGGUAUUAUGAUAGUAUUUGGAAAAGUAAAAUAUCUUUGCUCCAGUAGGUGGAGGUGAGAAAGAUGGUUGGUUUAUCUGUGCCCUCAACAUUCACCGGAACUUGCUGGAGAAGAAGACGGAGAAUGAACACUCUGUUACUUCCUCCGCCGUCGCAACUGCCUUAUCAAUUCCAUCCCCGACGUCAAAUUCUUGGCCAACACUCCUCAACUUCCCAUCUAUCUAUCUCCAACCAAUUCAAUAUCAGUAUAGAAGAAGAAGAGGAGGAGGAGGACGAUGAUGUCGGUUCAUACUCAAAUCAACGCUACGAUUUCACUCGUCUCCUUCAAUUUCUUUCCACCACCGAACCCAAUUCAGAUAAUUCUUCACCCACACAACUCGACCCCACCGAGUUGCGCUUGGCUGAGUCAUAUCGAGCUGUGCCGGCUCCACUCUGGCACUCUCUUCUCAAAGAUCUCUCCUCCACCCCAUCCUCAAUUUCCAUAGCCUAUGCACUCGUUAUAUGGCUUCAGAAGCACAACCUUUGUUACUCUUACGAACUCCUAUACUCUAUUCUCAUUCACGCGCUCGGACGCUCCGAGAAGUUGUACGAGGCUUUUUUGCUCUCUCAGAGGCAAACACUCACCCCUUUAACCUACAAUGCACUUAUUGGAGCUUGUGCACGAAACGGUGAUCUCGAAAAAGCACUUAAUUUGAUGUGUAGAAUGCGCAGAGACGGGUAUCAAUCUGACUAUGUUAAUUAUAGUUUGAUUAUUCAGUCCCUUAUUCGUAGUAAUUCUAUUGAUUUGACCAUGUUACACAAGUUCUGUUAUGAAAUUGAAGCCGAUAUGAUUGAACUUGAUGGCCAAUUGUUGAAUGAUAUGAUUGUGGGUUUCGCUAAAGCUGGUGAUGUUGAUACAGCUUUAGGUUUCAUGAGUGUUGUUCAAGGUAAUGGAUUGAGCCCUAAAAUAGCCACUGUUGUUAACUUGAUAUCUGAAUUGGGUAAUUCAGGCAGGACUGACGAAGCUGAGGCUAUAUUUGAGGAGUUGAAAGAAGGCGGGUUAAAGCCAAGGACGAGGGCGUUUAAUUCCCUUUUAAAAGGGUAUGUUAAAACUGGAUCUUUGAAGGAUGCUGAGUAUAUUGUGUCGGAGAUGGAGAGGAGUGGGGUCGCACCAGAUGAACAUACGUACAGCUUGCUUAUUGAUGCUUAUGGAAAUGCAGGUAGGUGGGAAAGUGCAAGAAUUGUGUUGAAAGAAAUGGAAGCUAAUAAUGUUCAGCCAAAUUCAUUUGUGUUUAGUAGGAUCUUAGCUAGUUAUCGUGAUAGGGGAGAGUGGCAGAGAUCAUUUCAGGUGCUUAAAGAAAUGAAGAAUAGUGGGGUCAAUCCUGAUAGGCAGUUCUAUAACAUAAUGAUUGAUACUUUUGGGAAGUACAAUUGUUUGGAUCAUGCAAUGUCUACCUUUGAAAGGAUGAAGUUGGAGGAAAUUGAACCUGAUACUGUUACAUGGAACACACUUAUAGACUGCCAUAGCAAACAUGGCCAUCACAAUAAGGCGGAGGAGUUGUUUGAGGUGAUGCAGGAAAGUGGAUGUUCUCCCUGCACCACCACAUACAAUAUAAUGAUUAAUUCUUUCGGUGAGCUGGAAAAAUGGGAGGAGGUGAAGGGCCUUUUGAGUAAAAUGCAGAGUCAGGGCUUACUUCCCAACGUUGUUACAUAUACCACUCUAAUAAAUAUUUAUGGACAGUCAGGAAGGUUCAAUGAUGCUAUUGAGUGCUUGGAGGUAAUGAAGUCUGCAGGAUUAAAGCCAUCCUCAACCAUGUAUAAUGCCUUGAUCAAUGCCUAUGCACAGAGGGUAAAGAACUCUAAACUUAUCAUGACCUUUGAUGAGCUGCUUUCUGAAAUUUCCAUAGCUUACUUACUCACACGAUAUCUUAGGUCAUAAUUUCCCUGAGUAGAUAUUUAUUAUGUGUAUCCAUAUAGGUAGUACAAACUAAUUGGUUACUUGAGUCAAAUUCUUUAUGACAUUCACGUUUAGGUCACUUCAAUUUCAAAACAUUGCAAAAAAUGAUCAACUUUUUUUUUUUUCGAAAAAUGAUUAACUUAGAGGUAUAUUUAGUCGCUAGUACACUUACAUGAGGUACUGAGUAUGGCAGGAGGUUUCUUAAUUUUGUUAGAGAUUACAAGUCUGUUGGUAAAGGUGAGAUUUCCAGAAUCACUAGUUGUACUAAAAGACGAAUUACUGAUUAUUAGAAAUUUAGAAUGAAAAGGUUCUGAAUGGAGCAAAAUGAUUAUGAAGAUUUAUUUAGCCAAUCUCUUAAGUUAGGUCCCUAGUAAAAACCAAAGAUAUCAAGAACAAGAUUGUGUUACCUCCUAAAGACUGCUCUGUUGGGUUGCAAGGUAAAUCUAAACUCACCACAUACACAGGUGUAAGAAAGAGAACAUUUCCAUAUUAUUAAUAAUAUAAGUCUAAGAAAAUGACGAUAAACCCCUUCAUAUAAACUAUAAGGAGAAGCCAUGCUAACUAAAAAGUCUAACCAAAUUUUGUUGGAAAAGCAAACUAAAUAAAAACUGGGAAAUAACUAGCUAAUUAUGGAGAGAAUUCCCAACAUCCUUGGGAAUUAGGAACGUAUUAAACUUAGUAUGAAUAGAUUAGGAAACUAAUAAAACCUGACCUAGGAAAGGAACUUGAAAUUUUGAAAGGUUUGACUUUGAUUCCAAGUUUGUGCUGAUGUAUUUGUACUUCUUGACCUAGCUUGUUGCGCAAAAUCCCUUCGCUCUUGAUGUUUAUUGGGACCCCGAUUCACUUUAUUUAGAAGCCCAUAAUUGCUGGCUUUCAAGCUUCUUGCCUUGAAUUUUAGGCAACUUUGAACCUUUUUAAUUGGACUCUUAGUAGCUGAUAUUAAGACCACAAUCGUCAACAUUGUGGACUCUUUCGAUUUAGGUCACCAAAUAAAUGUAGCACUUUGAUAAAUGCUCUUCAAUGGGCUUGUGUGCUUCUUCCAACACAAGACUUUUGUAAUUGUGAAUCAUGUAGUAUGGAAGGUAGUUCGUGCAGCCCCCUUUAUCCAACCUCCCCCCCCCCCCCCCACACACACAAAAAAAAAAAAAACGAGAACCAAAAAACAAAAUCUGUAAUGGAGCCUGAGAUUGCUUAACUCCACCAAUCAGGGGCUGGACAUAUAUAUGCCUUGCACGUUAACCUCAUAUCUGAUCUCAAUAAUUUUUUCCUUCUGAAGAUCUACGUUCUUUAUCUUCAACAUAUCUUAUGAAUACAUAUGUGAAAAGUUUCUUUCUCCACCUAUAGGGAUUGUCUGAACAAGCAGUAAAUGCCUUUAGGAUUAUGAAGGGUGAUGGUCUAAAGCCCAGCCUGUUAGCUCUCAAUUCACUAAUUAAUGCAUUUGGUGAGGAUCGGAGAGAUGCUGAAGCUUUUGCUGUAUUGAAGUAUAUGAAAGAAAAUGUGAGUUCGCCUUAUCUUUUUCCUAUACAUAGUAAAUAUACAAAUUUCUGUAUUUUCUCCCCUUAGUGACUACAUAUCAUUCUAACUUGCAUACAUAUCCUACAACUGCAGGAUAUGAAGCCGGAUGUUGUUACUUACACCACUCUCAUGAAAACCUUGAUACGUGUGGAGAAGUUUGAAAGGGUAAACACGUACUUUUUAUUUAUUCUGUUGAGUUGGAGUUCCCAUUUUUUAUCUUCUUGAUUAUUUCUCUUGGUUUUAUCCACCUAAUGUCUUACUCUUGGAUCUUCUUUUACGUUAAGUUAGCCUAUGAAGGAUUAUUUUAUUAUAUAAGCUUUGAACUUCAAUCUUUUGAUGCAGUAAAAGUAUUAAGUUUUUAGAAUAUAUGGCAGAAUUGUAAUGAUUAUCACAUUAAGAUUGUUAUGUUUGUCAAAUUUAUGGGAUUGUGCAUUGCUACAUUAAAGUUGUGCAAGGGUCAGCUAAAUAUUUUGGCUUUCAGGUUCCAGCUGUUUAUGAAGAAAUGUUGUUGUCUGGAUGCAUCCCAGAUAGGAAAGCUAGAGCGAUGCUACGAUCUGCUUUAAGAUACAUGAAGUCAACAUUGAAGUUGUAGCAGACUGCAAGUCACUCUAACAAUAUUGACCUUGAUGAAUCAUGAUUUUUCAGUUUUAACUUUAAAUUUAAGGUAAGGGACUAUUCUGUAUGUAUUUGAAGUAGCAUGUUAUUACGUUGUGCUUGAGUCAGAAAAUAUCUUUCCUGGCGCUUAUGUUUUGCUCAAACUAGAAAUGUUGAACUUGAAAAAUGUAGUUAUUUUUGGGUGUUUUGUAAUGUAAUAACUUAUCCUUAAUUGUUUAAUGUGCAGCUAUGUAUGGUUCACAUUUGUGCAGUAGCCUAUGUCACGAUUCAAGAACUUAAUGUUUGACAGCCUUUGGGAGAAAUAGAAGUCAGAAAUUGAAGGUAGAGAAAGGAUCCAAAGUCCAUAUUCGUCCCAGCAUACUUUGAUCUACAUACUUACUUGUACAGUUCCUAUAGCUGCAAAGCGAAUGUUCAUUCAGCUUGCGUUUUUUGUGUAACAUGUAAUUGCUGUGUUUUGAGUCUACCAACAGAAGUUGCUCGACAGUCGUGUCAUAUAUCUUAUGAUAAGAGGUCACAAAUACAGUAUGCUUUCAAAUAAUUGAGCUCCGUGGAAACCUCUAAUUCUAGCUCUCCGUCUUUUCACCUUGUGAAUCUACACAAUGACACUUGCCAAUGUUUUUUCCAAGGGUGUCAGUCAAAUGGGCUGAAAUUGGAGACACUGAAAUAGGCCAAUCUUGCAAUUUGGUUGGAUUGUUCAAAUUUACUUCUGGGGAUGGCAACGGGACAGGGCUCUGCAUGGUGGGGUGGGUCGGUUGAGCAUAACCGGUAAAUUUUUUAAUCCGCCCCGCCCUGCAUAACAAUUUUUUUACCUGUCCCGCAUAAACUCUCCCAUUAUGAACCCAUACCGCCUAACAUAUUUAGUAUCUUCUUUUUUCUAGUUAAAUUUGAUACUAAAACUAAAAUUCAUAACAAAAUAUUUUUUUCAUUAAGUUGUAUUAAUUAAUAGUGUAGUGACUUAAAAUUUAAUUUUUAAAGGUUAAUUCGAAAACAUGUAAGAUAUUGUAUUAUUUUUGUUGAACCAUUUUCAUUUACGAUUUUAAAUAUUUUAGUAGAUUUAUAGAAAUCAUCUUAAUAAAUAAUGCUUUAUCACUCUUACAAUAUAUAAAAAAAAAUUAAAAUUAAAUUUGAAUCUACAUAAAAUCACAUGUACCCGCGUCCCGCCCCGCCUCGCCUUAAUUGAAAAAAAUCCACUUCAACCUGCCCCGCAUCCACCCUCUCCACACAAUCUUAAACCUAUGCCGCUUCACAUAGCCUUAAACCCACUCACCCUGCAUUCGCUCCGCCCCAUUGUUAUCCCUAUUUACUUUGGGCUAAAAAUUAGAUUGGAACACGACUCGACUAAUUAAACUUGCUUAAUCUAAAACAUAUUAAGGGUCGUUUACAUUAAUAACAUAUUAUACAAUUUUGGGAAAAUGCACAAGUACCCCUAGACUAUGAUCCAAAUCUCAGAGGCACCCCUUAACUAAAUUAAGAUCCUAUUACCCCCUAACUUAUUUUUUUUUUGUAAAUUUGUGCACCUUUUUCGAUUACAUAUCAUUAAAGUAUUUUCCACAUGUCUCAAUUGUGUCGAGUCACGGAGUGUAUCAUGUAAAACAAAAAGUGUACAAAAUUACAAAAUAAGAAGUUCAGGAAGAUAAUAAGAUCUUAGUUUAGUUAAGGUGUAUCUCAGAAAUUUCAAGCAUAGUUCAACGGUACUUGUAUGUUUUCCCCUAUUAUUUUAUAUAUGAAUUAUUAUCUAUACUCCUACACAAUGACCUUACUUUUCUUAUCUGGCAGUUCUCUUUUCUUCAGCUUUCUCUCUCAUAUCUGUUUUUAACACUAUUUUCCCUCUCUUUUCUUUCUCUCUUUUUUCCUGACAUUUUUCUUAUCACUCUUUUUUUUUUAAAUUUCAAUUAUUUUGAUAAUUAAUGAUGACGGUUGAAGAUGAACAUAUUGUUUAUGAAAAUAUGAUUUUUGACAUCAUUAACAAAAUAAAUAAAUAAAAAUUAUAUUUGUAAUACAUUUUGAAUUCAAUAAUACAUCAUAUGUAUUAUAUGUAUUUUGAAAUGCACAUUGUAAAUGCAUAACUAAUAUAUUUUUAAUAUAAAAAAUAUAUUUUAACACCGUUAUAAGAGAAAAAUAAAUAACAAUUGUAAUACAUUUAAAUUUAACAUAUUACACACAUUAUAGACACGUUUCGACAUACAUGGUAAAAUAUAUAACUACAACAUUUAUAUAAUAUAAGUAUAUGUAAAUUUUAAAUACUAUGAUAUUAUUUAAAUUAAUUUACAUUGUUUUAAAUAUAUAUUAUAUUUUCUAUGAAAUAAAACUAUUGAAUUCUUAAUAAUGUGUAAAAUUGAAUUUGAAUUGUAUUACAAUAAUUUUUUUUUAUCUAGCACAAUCUUUUAAAAGUUUUCACCCUUCUGCAACGAAUCACCAUUGUCAGACUAUCAUCAUAUUAUCAGUAUCUCAAGUUUAAAUAAUUUUAUGCUGUUAGAAAUAUAUUAUAUAUGUUCCAGAAUAAGAACUAUCGAAUAUAUAAUAAUGUAUAAUAUUGAAUUCGACUUGAAUUACAACUAUCGUUUAUAUUUAAUAUAAUUUUAGUACAAUAUUUUAGAUUUUCACCCUUCUUGUUCGAUGAAUAACCAUUCCUUGACUACCAUUAGAUUAUUAAUAUCCCAAAUCUAAACAAAUGUUGUUCUUAGGGCAUCUCCAACCCAAUCCUCUAUUUGCUCUCCAAAUAUAAAGUUUUCUAUUUUUUUCAGACAAACAAAUCCAACCCAAUUCUCUAUUUUACUCUUUAAAAACGAAUCAUUUUCUCUCUACUUAAUAUUUAUAUUAUUAUUUCUAUUUCAUUUUUAUUUUCUUAUUUCAUAAUAUAAUUUUUUUAUUUUUUCCCAAAUAAUUACUUUAUAUAAUUUUUAAUGUGAUGUAAAAUUAUAUUUUAUUCUAAAAUUUUAAAUAUAACAUAAAUUGCAAGAUAAUAUAAUAUCAUACAUAAUUUAGGGUCCAAAUUCAAAUAAAAGUGAUAUACAAUUGCAUAUAUGCUCAAUUUUAAAAAUCAUUAUCUUGCUCCCAUAACUUCUCUAUUGAUGCAUAAAAGGAGUUCAAAAAUUGUUCAAACUGGAGAUUUUCAUCUACCACCAUUUCUACUGUUGGAGUUGCAACCUCUACAUCAUCUUGAACUGGUGCAUUGAGAUCACGUUCAUCCUCAAUUAUCAUGUUGUACAAUAUAAUACAUGUAGUUAUUAUAUCAUGUAUCACUUUUUUUUCUCCAAAAACGUUAUGGUCUUGCAAUAAUUGAAAAACGUGAUUGCAAAAAUUUGAAUGCACGUCCGUUAUCUUUUUGGUGCGAUUCCUGUUUCAUUGCAAAAUAUUUCUUCUUUUAGGAAUGAGUAUGCAAAUAGUUUAAACAAUUGUAAACCAUUUAGGGUAUAUACCAUCAGCUAAUAAUAACCAUAUUGUAUUCUAUUCAUUGAAUAACAUAAUGGAUGGGAGGCGCAAUACAGCUAGCAAGAUGGGAAAAUAAAUGUGACGACUCUAAAAUAUUGAUAUCGUUAUCGGUGUUAGACAAACUAAAUUAAGCAUGACUUAUGUCAUGUAUUAUAUUGUAUUAUUAUCUUGUAUUUAAAUUAUUAUUUUAUUGUAUUAUUAUCUUGUACUUAAAUGAUCAUAUAUGUAUUUUUAAUUAAAUUAUUAAUCUUGUCAUUUUAAUUUUGUGUAUUCUUUAUAAUGAAAAUUAAUGAUAAAAUUAAAUGUUAUUAUUGAAGAAUAUUAGAAAAAAAAUUUAAAAUACUACUAAUUUGAAAUUAAAAUAGUAUAUAUUAAAAAAUAGUUCAAAAUUAUUACAUUGCAUUUAAAAAAGAAUUAUAAAUAUUAGAUAUUUAAUUAAUGGAAUUAUAUGCAAAAUAAUAUGUUAAAUAGAAAGUAAUAGAAAUAAUAAGGGAUAAUGCAUAAGUACCCCCUCAAGCUAUGUCCGAAAUCUCAGAGACAUACUUAUACUAUACCAAGGUCCUAUUACCCCCUGAACUUAUUUUAUUAAUAAUUUUCUACCCCUUUUCGGCCUACGUGGCACUAUCUUGUUGUCCCAAUGCUGGUUGACUUUUUUUCUCAAGUUCAUGCCACAUAGACCUAAAAGGGGUAGAAAAUUACUUAUAAAAUAAGUUCAGGGGGUAAUAGGACCUUAGUAUAGUAUAAGUAUGUCUCUGAAAUUUCGGGCAUAUGUUGAGGGGGGGUAUUUGUGCAUUUUCUCAAAUAAUAAUUAAAAAAUAAAAAAAUUAAAUAGAGAGUCUGAAUAGCAGUUUUUCAAACUUGGAGAGCUACCAUUCACCUCUCUAUAAAUGGAGAAUAGAGGAUGAUUGGGAGGUGGGUUGGAGUUCCCAUUAUCUAUUUUACUCUCCAAAUAUAAGAAAUUCAGAGUAAAAUAGAGGUGGUUUGAAGAUGGUCUUAGAAAUGUAUUAUAUUUAUUCUGGAAUAACACAUGUCAAAUUCAUAAUCUAUCUAUAUAUAAUAAGAGAAAUAAAAAGUGACACAUGUCAGCACCACAAAAAUUAAACAAUUUUAAAAUUCACAAGAUAAUUUAAAAUUUGUUAUGAAACUGUCACAUCCGGGGAGCACCCCUUAAACGUAACCGGCGUUGUCGUCCUCAUAGAGGACUAAGACUAGCCUCUUAGCUUACAUCAUUACAUUCAUAGGUUAAAAAUAAGGAAAAUUUAAAACUUUUCUUCUAUCUAUCAUCAUGUUUACAUUGGCCUUUCGCAUACACAUAAUAUAUAUUCAUAUCGACUAUACAUAGACCCUUCAUAUAAGAAGAUUACAUAGUCUUCUACUUUUAUUGCAUAUAUAUAUAUAUAUAUAUUCUUAAAAUCGGAUGUAUCAUCUCAUAACAAUCUAAACAAGAGUAUAACAAUUAAGCAUAGCCCGUAAAAUCAAUACAAUAAAAGUCACAUAUAGGCUAUACAAUCUUUAAUACUCAAAGGAAAUGAACAUAUUGUCUUAAGACUAUUCAAUAUCCGAUGCUAGAAAAUGACAUUGUCCUCGAAGUGAUGAGGACCUACCUAACUUGGAGAAUGAGAAUCCAAGUCUUCCUUCAAAAGUUGUCACAAUCCCUUCAACGAUCCGAACCUAAAAUAUUGAGGAAAAGGUAGAAAAUGGGUUUAACACAUCUUGUGUACUAAAUAUAGGAUCAUAUGCACACACAACAUAAAAUCAUGCAAAAAAGGGACCUUUCAUUAAAAUAUGCAAUUUACUUUGAAAAGCCUUACGCAUAUUCAAGAACCAAUACAAGUCAAUAAUAUAUAUUCAUCAAGUCAAGACCGUGUACAUCACAAGACAAGCAAUACUAAAUCUAGACAAGUCAACAUAAUUGAGCACAUAGUCAAGCCAACUCUAUCAUCAAGUUACAACAUUAACAAACAUGUAUAUGAGUUCAUAACAACAUAACCAAAGCAAGACCAUUACUGGUGAACCCUCAUUAAGUCCACUAGUGCAAUGACUAAGUAAAGCCCCAUCACUACAAAAAACAUGUCUUUUAACGACAAUUUCUUAGCGAAGGAUAAUGUAUGUGGUCGCUAUUGUUGUAGUUUUAGCGCCCGAAUUUUUUUUCCAGUCUUUAUACGUGUAAUAUUAAAUUUACAGUAAAAAAAGACAAAUAAUCCGUCGUUAAGAAUAUAACUUUGUGUGGUUAGUAAACACUAACCUAAAUAAAAAAGGAAAAAAUAACUUAAAUACACAAUUAUAAUUUUUAUAUUCUCUAAUUUUCCCUACUUUUUUUUAAAUAUUACAUAAUUCUUUUUUUUAUUUUAGUGUAAGUUUUUAGAUACAUUGCAUUCUCUCUCCUAUAAUACACAUUUACCAAUUUUAAUGCCUAUUUUUUCUCCAUUAAAACACUCAACCUCUUAAAUCAGUUUUUGAAUUUUAAAUUUUAACCUUUUAAUCAGCUUUUUGAUUUUGAAUUAUUAAAUUUAAUUAAUUUUAAAUAAAAGACCAAAUUUUGAAAUUUCAAAAUUCAAAAAAUUAGGAAGCAGGAUAACUUCCAUUAUCUUUUAUCGUUUGUUCUUACUAACAUCAAGUUUCACUUCUUUUUUUUCCUUAAUCAUCUUCAUUCAUCUCAACCCAGCAUAUUUUUUUCUUUUCUUCUUUUUAUUCUUAAUCCAUAAUCGUCUAUUUCUUCCUAAUCUGGAAUCGUUUGAACCCAGCAUCUUUUUAUUAUUAAUCCAUCAUCAAUUCGUAUAUUCUUCUCUUUUUUGUUUUUGUUAAUUGUUCUAUUACAUCAUAGUAUCUGUUAAUUAAUAGAAGGAUAUAUGAUUCCGACGAUGAAAAUUGGAAAGAAAAUAGGAAAAAGUCUUUGCAUGAUCCUAUGAAUCUUCAGAAGGAUUCAAACAAAGACUCUGGCGAAACAUCAAACUCAAAGGUUGUCAAAAUACAACAAAAAAGGAAAAAAGAAGCAGCAAACAUUGUUGUUAGGCCUACAUUGUCUCGGGUUAGUAUUUUGGUACUUAAAAAUGGUGUUGUUUAAAUUAGUAAAAAUUUUAAGGACUCAAGUGUGCUUGCUGAUACAUUUGAAAAAGGGUAUAUAGUGUUUUAGAUGGUCAACUGAUACAUGAAUUUGUUGUGUAUCAUAAUAUUUUAUAUGUAUCAUGAAGUUUUUGAAAUUUAUUAUAAUGUAUCAUUCAAUAAGUUUAGUAAAGUAUAAAUUGUGCUUGAUGAUACAUAUAGAAAUCUGUGUGUACAUUGUUUAGUCAAUGCACUGAUACAUGUAGUAGAUAUGUAUCACAUGUUUUGCAUGUAGUAUGAAUUCCUUAAAACUGAUAUCAUGUAUCAGUAAGGUAUUAGUUGUUUAGUUGAUGUACUGAUACAUGUUUUGAAAUUUGUUAUAAUGUAUCAUUCACUAAGUUUAAUAAAUGCUUCAUCAGCUGUAAUUCAUGAUACAUAUAGAAUCUUUGUGUAUGUUGUUUAGUCGAUGUUUAUGAUACAUGUAUUAGACAUGUAUCACAUGUUAUAAUGUUUUAUUUAAUUCACUGAUACAUGUUGUAGACAUGUAUCACAUGUUUUUCAUGUAGUAUGAAAUUCUGAAAACUGAAACCAUGUAUCAGUAAGUUAUUAGUUGUUUUAUUUAGUAUUUAUAUUUCUAUAUCGUUUUAAUUUGUGGUUUUAUUUUCAAAUUGCAGCCACUGAAGUACAAGAUUAAAAAGAUACCAACACAUCCCAUAAGGUUUGCUGUCAAUUUUAUCAACAAAUUCCUAAAGGACUUUGAAAAAUACAUAGGGGAGAAUGUUAUCCAAAUGUUUAAGGAUACAAUUUUUGGACCCUUUUUAGACAUUUCUAAAUGUAAUUUUCAGGGCCAAAUAACUAAGUGCUUAUUGCUUUUAGAAUUGGAACAAAGCAACCCUAAUGUGUUGCAUAUUAGACAUUGCAACGGGUGUGUCCUGAAAUUUGGUAUAGAUGAAUUUACAUUAUUAACAGGACUUAAGGUUAGAGGAAAUACCAAUGAUUUCAAAUACCCAGAACAAACUAAUUGUAUGCUUUUUCAAAAGUAUUUCCCUGGUCCAGUCAAUAGUGUUACACAGCAUCGACUAGUUCAAAGGUUUAAGAUGGGUAAUUGGGAGAGCAAUCAGGAUGCACUCCAAAUGUCUAUACUGUUCUUUAUUCAUACAUUUGUAUUAGCUACUCUUGAUAAUACAGCUAUAUCUAUUGUCGACUUUCUAAUGGUUGAAGAUGGUAGAUAUCAACAUUUUCCUUGGGGUCAGCUAUCAUUUUCCAAACUAAUUGGUUCACUUAGACAGGAUUUUGACGUUAGUAAAAAGUUGUACCGAUUAUAUGGGAUGCCAUAUGCAGUAAAUGUUUAGAUAUACGAAUGUACAUCCAAUUUGAAUUCUAAAAUAGCUGUGAGAGAACGCAAUGUCAUCCCAAGAAUAUGCAAUUGGAGAGUUGUGUCUGAAAAGGCAAAGUUUGAAAUGCUUAUGUCUACCAUUUUCCAAGAGGUAAAAUUUUAUUUUUGUAUAUGGAAUAUCGUUAUUUAUGUCUUUGUGAUACAUUAUGAAAUAUUACUGUAUCUAACAAUUAAAUUAUCUUAUGUGUUUGUGAUACAUUCAGAAUGCAUGUUCAAACAUUGUCCCAACAGCAGAGGAAAUUGAAGCUUUUGAUAUUACUCAAGUUGAACAUGCUCAUUCUACAUCAAUACCAUUAGUACAACCAAACGAGGAAGAUGAUUUAGAUAAUUUCUCCACAAAACCGCCCGAACAGUUAUUGAGGACAUAUUCUAGAGUGUCUGAUACAUCUCCUCCACCACCGUCAAAAAGAAGAAAAAAAUCGAUUAUUCAAAAAAAGAAGGUGUCAGAACAGAACCAGCCUGAUCAAUCAAAUGUGUUUCCGACACCGGAUGAUGAUGUACAUGUUUUCAUGUCAAGUUUGCCUCAACAUUCGAAUGCUGAUGAUGUACAUGGUUCUGUUCCACAAGUGUCACCGAAAUCGGCUGCUGAUGCACAUGUUUCUAUUCCAGACGUUUCUCCGAACCCGGCUGCUGAUGUUCAUGGAUAUGCAGAUUCACAAAAUGUCAAUAAUAUAAUUCUUCAUAUUGAAGAGUUGAAAGGACAUUUGAAAACUUACGUAAGUAAAUUAUUUUGUUAUUUAAACAAUUUUUUUUAUCCUAAAUGUAUCUACAAUUUUUAGGUUGACAAGAAAUUUGAGGAACUGAUUAUUUUGAUAAAAGCAAAUCACUCCCAGCUGAUGCAAUCUAUAGGCAAAGAGAACAUCAAUUUGUAGGCUAAUACAAACACAUUUCAGUCUGACAAACAAACUUCUCAGGAAAUACCAAUUGGUCUCGAUGAUAUGGGUGGUGUAGCUGAGGAUGGUGGUGGUUUCUCUGGUAAAAAUGGUGAGCAUCAUAUCGUCGACGAUUCAGGAGACGUCGAUGUGGGUGGUGUUGGUGUUUCCGUAAAUGAGGGUGAACAAAUAGUCAGUGAUAAUCCAAAGGUAAUGUUUAUGAUACAUUGGGUAUGUUGUGUAUCAUACAUAUAUACUCAAUGCUUUGUAUCAUGAUACAUUGGGUAUGUCAUGUAUCAUGCAUAUUUACUCAAUACUAUGUCUCAUGUGAUUAUAAUCAAUGUUACGUAUCAGCACAAAUUAUAUUAACAAUUUUUAUUUCAAAACUGCAUAUUCAUGAUGGUGACGCACAUCAGUCACACCAAGAUUUAAAUGAACAUAUCAUGGACCAAGACGUUGAUGACAAUGUUCAGCUCAACAUCCCUCAUGUGUUGCCAGAAAAAACAACAACGGAUGCAUCGGUACAUUUUUCAAUUUUGAUUUAUGACACACAAUUUCAUUACACACAAAUUUAUUAUACAAAUAAUUACAUCAUAUUAUACAGGAUUCUUCCACUUUAACAACAAUAUCGCCAUCAACUCAAGCAGCAAUAGAUGCACUUAUCAAAGAUUUGGGUAAAGAUCCUACUAAUGCUAGACCAUUAUAUUCUUACGAUCCGCAGAAUAUAACUAGCAGCCAGUACUUGUUGACCGACAGUCAAUUACCCACUGAUAUUCCAAUAACGGAGAUUGCUGUUAGAACUGAUGUAGUCACUCUGCGCAUAGAAAUAGAAUGCCUUCGAGAAGGAUUCAAUCUCCAUAUUGUACUUCUUUUGGGUCAAGCGAGAAGGGAAAAGAGAAAUUGAAGGAUAUGACUCGACUCUAUUUCCCGUUCGAAGGAUGUGGCAUUACAGAUAAUGUUUUGACGAAACUUAUUGAGGAAUACAUGAAUUGGUUGUCAAGGGGGCUUCUAAAAAACCAUAACAAUAAGUAAGUUUUAUACAUUUUUUUGCAAGUGUUAGGCGUAAUCAUUUUUUAUACAACUAAUUCAUGAUACUUUGUUAUAUAAAAAUUGUAAAUAAGUGAGUGUUAUGUAUCAUGUACAUACAUUGAAAGCUUAUGUAUCAUAUAUGCAGGAACCCAUCGGACGAUAAAUACAGAUCAAAAUCUUCUUCUUUUGGAUUUACGAUGAUGGACUUUGUUGUUGCUUUUCCAAUGAACAAGAAUUGGUUUUAUGUCAUGUCACAGCCAAACAAAUGUUGGUCUGAUGAGGUAAUAAUAUUAAACUAUUUAUGAAAUAUGUAUCAGUCAUAACUAUAUUAUAACAUCAUGAUACAUUCUGUAGAAGUAUGAUACUAUUUAAUUAGCAAUGAUACAUUCUGUAGAAGUAUCAUACUAUUUAAUUGCAAAAAUAUCAUAAUGUAUUCACAUAAUUAUAUUUCAUUUUUUAUAUUGUUUAUAUGUAUAUCAGUUCUUACCAUGUUUUCAUUUUGUUUAUAGCACAUCGAUGUGAUUUUUUACUACCUUCAUAAAAAAUCAAAACUUUGCAGCAUGGAUCAAUACAGAUACACAACAACCCACUGUUUGUUCAUGUCACAUGUAAAAAACUGUUAUGAUAGAUAUUACAUGGACGAUGAUGAUGAUAGUCUUACUACUCAAGAACAUAUUGAUCGCGCUUCAAUUGUAUCUGUACAUGAGAGGUCAAUUAUUAACAUCAUCAAAGGGCUUGGAAUACCAGCUGCUUUACCAUGGCAUCUUGUAGAUGAGGUCUACAUCCCAAUUAACUGUGAUCAAGAAUUCCAUUGGGUGUUGGCUGUUGUUGAGUUGAAAAACAGGUUGAUACGAGUUUUUGACUCAUCAAUUAGCACAGCGAAAAAAACAAUUCCUCAUAAGAUCAAGAUGUUGUCUAAAAUGCUUCCUUCAUACCUACUUGAUAGUGGAUUUUUUGAAGAAAAUGAACGCACAAAAUUUGUUGAUUGUCAUGCAUAUAAAGACAACAUUACUGGUUCACUUCUGGAGCCUCAAGUCCCUUUCAUGAUUGAAUUUGCACAAGACAUCCCUACACAGGAAUGCGAUAGCCUGUAAGUAUCAAAAAAAUUUCAUUUGCCCUUUUUAAUGUAGAGACUGUGGGUUAUAUGUUACUGCAUUUGCCGAGUAUAUCAGUGACCAAAAUCAAUAUAUCAUAUGCUGAUUUUAGUUCUGAUUACCUGCGUCAAAGAUAUGGAGCAUUGUUGUGGAGUAAUGGAAGUGAGAAGGCUCAGUGCGAAUAUGUUAGCGACAAUGAUGAUCUACCAAAAUCCAGGGGCGUAGUCACACCACCACCAGAAGAAGAUUUAGUUCACAUAGUGUAGCAUUUCAUGAUAAAACAAUGUUUUAAUGUUAUUUUUAUUGGUUUUAUAUGUUAUUGAACAAAUAUUUUUAUCCUUUUAAUGUUAUUUUUUUGGUUUUGUCAAUUUCCAUGAAUAUUUUUUUUAACAUUACGUAACAAAUAUGUUUAUAUUGAACAUAUAAAUAUCAGACAUAUUAUAGCCCCACACAGGUUUAAUUCAUUUAAUAAAGUUUAGUCGAAGUAUUUAUAAUUAAACAUAGACAUAAAAAUUUUUAAAUUUUUUAUUUAAUGGAGAUGAUACACUGGGCAAAACCAAAUGAUACAUAUAUACCAAACACACAUUAAAAAUAACUGAAACAUUGGCUAAACCGUAUGUAUCAUGUACAAUAUGUUACCCUAUAAUCCUUAAAUUUUACAUGAUAUUUAGGUAAAUUGAAUAGCAUAGUUAUAUGAAUUGGUAUUAUUUUUUAAAAGUAAAGUUAUUUACUGUAUAUUUCAAGAAAAACAUAACAAAAAAAGCAUUACACAAGUUAAAUUAUAUAUAUUAACAUGAUACAUGAUUUAUAGUCAUUGUAAAGUACACAAUAACCUCAAUAAUAUUUUUGUAUUUUUUAUCUAAUGGAGAUGUAUCAUUGUGCAAAUCAAUGAUACACACUAAAAGUACAUGAUACAUUAUAUAAACAAUGUGUACCGAAAACACACAAUAAAAGUACACGAUACACUAGAUAAACCAUAUGUAUCAUGUACAUUAUGUUACCUAAUAAUUCUUAAAUUUACAUAUCUUACUGUAGCAUAAGAUUUAUAAAAUUUUAUAUUAAAAACAAAUAUUGACACAAGUAUAUUUAUCAACACCAAUAAUAACAAAGUAUUUAUAAUCAAAAGCACGACUUCAAAUUUAAUUACCACAUGUUUGUAAGUUUAUUUAUCCAAACACAAAGUGUUCAAUUUGCAGUUUGUAAUGAAAACUGAAAUUCAUUAAAAUGUUUACGUUAUAAAUUAUUCUUGAUAUCAUAGAAACAUUAUGACUAAUUCACUUCUCUUUUGGGUAGAAAGUACAAGUUCUUCUAUUGUGCCCUUCUUGUCCACAUUGUCCACAACAGUUUGUGUUCACCGAAAUCUUUUCAUCUGCAUUCUUUCUUCUUCUUUUUCUUGGUCGUCCAGAUGAUCUUCUGUAUCUAGGUGGAUAUACAGUUUCAGCUACCACGUGUUUAGGAUCUGACCAAUUUUCCUUAUCUGGCAUUGGUACCAUUGGAAUUUCAUAUGUUUUUGCCAACGCAUCAGGCUUGUAAUAAUCAGAUCAAUACGGAUUCAUAUUGGUGACAUUCUUUUUUUCAAUACAGCGAUUGCAUGUGAACAAGGUAUCUCAUCUAGUUGAAAUCUGCCACAACAACAUACUUUCCGCUCAAGACAAACAAUAUAUCUUCUUCCAUUUUUAUAAACUGAGAAAAUAAACUCAGAUGACGGAACAACCUGUGUACAUUAAAAUUUUUAAAUAUAUAACUUUUAAAAAACAAAUCAUGUUAAAAAAAGCAGAAUGAUACACUGAAUUAUAUACAUAUAAUAUAAAGUAUUAUAUAAUGAUACAUACCUCCAUUUUUAAACUUUUAGCCGCGUUUAUAAUCAACAAUUCCUCAAAUUUUCUACCUAAUGUGUCCUUUGUGUAUGAGGUUACUUCUCUGUUUUUGCAAUGCCAAGAUCCAAAAAGAAUUCUAACCUCUUCCAAGAAUUCUAAUAUAGUUAAUUGGUGUGCUUCAACAAGACAACCAUUGAUACAUUCUGCAAUGUUUGAAGUCAUCAUUCUACCUCUGUUUACUGUUGCAUGAACUCUUGAUCACUUUUCGUAACCUGCAUAUUCAAGGUACUCCUUAACCCUGUGAUCAAUUCUAUCAACCUUAGCCAUCAACUUAUCAAAAUCUUCCUUUCUAUAUGCCUUGGCCAUAUAGUAGAAUAGAUCACUUAUGGCCUUUCUGCUCCUUUUGAAGUUUCCACAUUCAUUCUUCCAAAGAUGCCAGAUGCAAUCAUAAUGAGGUACAUCGGGGAACACAAUCCUAACACUCUUCAUGAUACUCUCAUUUCUAUUUGAAACAACACACAUAUCUUUUCUAUCGCCAAAUGCAUGUUUGAACUGUUCGAAAAAUCAUGUCCACGAACAAUUAUUUUCGGUGUCAACAACACCAUAUGCCAAUGGAAAUAUGCAACCUGAUUACACACACAUUAUAUUAUUUGAUAUGUAAUAUAUAAAAAGACAUCAUUACUAUAAAUAAAAAAUACCUGCGCCAUCAAGUGUGCUUGCUGAUACAAAUGUCCCUUUGUAAGCUCCACUCAGAUGUGCACGACCCACAACAAUUACUGGUCUGCAAUAUUUAAAUCCCCUAAUGAAUGGUCUUAAGGCGAUGAAAGAUACAUAAAUUCAUCCUCUUCAGUCUUAUGCAUUCUUAUAUAAGAAUCUGGAUACACAGUUUUUAGCAUGUGUAUGUAUCGCGGCAUCCGUCUAUAUCCUGCAGAUGGUUUUCCCCUAAUCAUGGAGAGUGCACGUUCUUUAGCACGCCAUGCUUGCUGGUAAGAUAUUUCAACCCCAUAAUAUUCUCUAAUAUCAUCAAUUAUAUCUCUUGGAGUAUAAAUUCGUUUAUAAUUGACCAAUUUUGGAGCUGUCACUCCACUUACAAAUCCGACUGUUGCUUGGACUUUGGUUAAUACCCUCUCCCUCAUCGGACACGUAUGUUCACUAUUGAAAUUUCUAACAAUGAAUAUAUCAGGUUUUUUCUGCACGACGCCUUCAUAGUCCAACCACAUUUGUCUGAAAAGCAUACCAACACAUAGCUGCGUACAUUUUUUAAGCACAUUAAUACACAUAUCAAAUGCAUCAUAUAAUAUAUUCAACAAUAAUGUUUAAAGUAAUCAAACAAUGAAUUACACAAAAAGUAUCAACCAAUUUUUAAGAAAAGUAUCAAAAUUUAAUGAAAAGUAUCCACUAGUUGUGAUAUGACUGUUUAAACUGAUACAAUUCUUAAUAUAUCAGUAGUAGUAUAUUCAAGUAUCAAAAAUAGUUAUUUCAAUGUAUCAAAAACAAAUUUCUGAAAUGAUGAUACAUUAAAAUAUAAAAGAACAUAUGAAACAUGCAGGUUUUCAUAUAAAAUAGUAAUGUUUCAUGUACUAAUUAAAAUAUAAAACAACACCUGAUACAUUAAAAUAUCAAAACACUAUCAUACCUUUGUUGAUCAGACCUCUUUACUUUGCAUUUGAAGUUGUUCUUUAUCUUAUAUUUCGUCAUCACAUCUACAAGUGUUGCUUUAUCCUUAUAUAUCUGACCUGUCUUCACAUCAACAAUAUCUGAAUUGAUUAUAACAUUUGACUCAAAUAAUCUAGUUUCAACCAUUGCCAAAGCCUGUGUAUCAUGUGUUGUGCCUUCUACACACGUUAUUUCUCCACUUGUUCCAUCAAAGUUAUGUACAGUACCAUUUUUCUUUUCAAUUGUGUCAAUACAUAAUGGAUACACUGAAAAUCCAGGCUCCUUUUUUUUCAGUUCAAAAUAUAGUUUAACACUCAUAUCGUUCUUAAGUUUCAUCGGACAGAAGUUACCUUCUACAAUGUAUCGAAUUUUAAUUUCUUUCCUUGAUACAUCAAUGUCCAACUCGGCUGCAAUUGCUGCUUUGAGAUUAGAAAACGAAAUUGAAUCUCCAACAACGUUUCCAUCGAUUUUGUAACUUUCAUACUGCAAUUCGUUCACCCAAAUUCCGGAAUGUCUCAUCAAAAUCGAAGUAUUCAUCUUGAAAAAUCCACUGUAACAACAAUAAAAUUUCUGUACUUCCAAUUUUAAAAGACUGUUUAAAAAAUUUGUUUUUUCAAAAUAGAUGAUAUAAUCUUUGAUUUUCAAAAUUUGAAAUUAAUAUCCAAUUAAGUGCUGAUUUAAUGCUGAUUAAUGAUCUGUUACCACAAAUUAAGCUGUUUUAGUAACAACAUUAACUUUACCGUUUUUCUCCCCUAUUUUUUCUUAACAAUUUUAAAUUAUCAUGUAUCAUUUAUCAUGUAUCGUUACUGUCUAAAGUAUCAUGACUCAACAAAUUAAAGAGAUUCUUUCUAAUUACUAAACUUGUCGGGACAGAAUGUAAUUAUUGAAUUACGGUAUGAAUUCCUUAAAUUUAUAUAUAAAAAAGAACCAAAGUUUUUAACCUUGUUCUCUUAAACUUCGCUCACGUAAAAAACCACACUCCUCAAACACCACGAUGCCUUCCUCUAUAGUGGAGCUUUGAACUCCCAUUCUUCAUUGCAAUGACUUGCCUUCUCUGAUGGCGAUUUGAACUUGGACACCCACUCUACACAUCUUGUGAAUUUUUCUUGUCUUAGGGUUUGUUCUCCUUCUUAUCAAGGUAAGUUAUUGAUCAUUUUUUCUUGGAGUUUAACUUUUAUCAUUGUAGAAUUUUCUUUGAAAAUCAAAUUAGGAACAUACAAUUUGGAAAUUUUCAAUUAUUGAAGGAAAAAUGUAUCCAUUUUCCUUUUAUUUUAAGGUAUAAUGCUAAAUUUUAUGAAUGUGGUAAAUACACGACCCUUUGCCUAACGUGACUCUUAUUUUUUUCUCUUCUCUGUUUUUAGUGUUUUUCAUCCAUUUUCUAUUUUUUUGUUUAUAUUUUCUUUUGGAUAUGCGAUUCAUUACUAUUUUUUGGUUGAAGUUUGACUUUUUUUUGAACAAUUUUAAGCUCUUUAGGUAGUUUUAUGAUAUUUGGAUAACUUUUUUUAGAAAAUAGUUGGAUGUCUUUUGUUGUGGAAUGAAAUAGUUUAUCAUUUGUCCUACUGUUCAUGUUAUUUAUUAUGUGAAUUUUAGGCCAAUUUGGCUUCUGUAUGAUUGUUAUAUUGUACAAAUUGUAGAAUUUGGUAUGCUGAAUAUCUUCUAUAAAAUACAGAUGCAUUCAUGCUUAAUAAGGAUAUGUUUGACAUAUAAUGUUUUUGCUUUUCAACUCUACCAUUAUUAGAUUUUGAUAAAGUUAUAUGAGUUACCUAUUUUAGUGUAUCUGAUUGAUUAUAGAUUGAAAGAAUUGUUAGAAUCACUUGUAAAACAUUGAGAUGUCGUUGCUGAAAUGUCAUACAUAUAGAUGAUUGUGAAAUUAUAUGCUUACUGAUCAUAGUUCUUGCUCCCUAGCUUAUUAAAAUAUUAAGUUGUUUAUUGAACAUUAAAUCUUCUAAUUGAGUGUCAUUUUAUAUCUUUUGAUAACACUUCUUCUCAUAUUAUAUUUAUCUGAUCCCAAGUGAUGUUAGUGGUAAAAACUAUUUUUUAAGAACAAUUGAAUUUUACAUUCAAAAAGCACCUUGAAAAUCUGGUUUUGGAGUUUCAUUAUCAUUAUAACUUGACAUGCCAUGGCUGGUCGAUAUUGAUCACACCAAUCUAACGACAAAAUAUUGAUUGCAUGCUGUUAUAGGACCCUUUAAAGUUGCAAAUAAAAUGAAAAAAGUAAUACAGAUCAAACCAAGUCUCUGCCUUCAUGAACUCUUUGAACAUCACACAAUCAACUUAACUCAUGAAAAACUUGGCGUAUUCUCAGAUUUGUCUAUUUAAAUUAGCUUGGCAGCAGGUAUUACUCGCUUCUAGCAUUGGUACCGAUAGUUGCAUUUGCAUUUUCUGCAUUAGAAUUCUCUGCACUCGGAGGUUGUUUCUCACUUUGUUGAGGGGAUUGACAUGAUGGUAUAUCAGGAGUCGCUGUCUUAGUUUUUGUUAUUAUAGGCCUACAGACAAAUGAACAGGGUUGUCAUAUUUCUGAAGAGCAUCAUGACGCUGACACUAGGUAUCGGAUUUUCUUUGAGAAAAAAAUUGUGAGGUGAUGAUUUUUCGAAGUCCAUUCAUGCACCUGGUGCAGGCCCCUUCCAUGAUAAUGAAAUUGGGAAAGGGAACCUUUUAUUGACCUAUAAUUCCUGCACUUUAAAGGUAAGACUGAGAAUAGCGCAUUGCAGUGCACAUUCUUUGGCCAAACAGUCACUUGCAUUCAUGGUACGGUUCUGUUCCUUGCCGAAAAACAUUGUCAAAAUCCUCAUAAUUGUAGGCCACUCAACAACCUCAACUGCAGGAAUUUCCUCAGUAGUAAGCCUAGCUUCAACAAGAAAUUUCUCCGGAGACUCUCCAAGAUAGGGAUGCUGAUUGUAACAACUAAUUUAAUCUUAUAAAAGAAAUAUUUUUGACAUGAAAAUAAGAUAAUUUUAAUUAUUUGACAAUACAAUUUAGUGUUGAGUUACAAAGUUAACAUACAACUAAGUAAAAUAAUAGUCCUUGUGCAACUUUUUGGGAUAAAAUAGGAGAUGCAGUUAACUCUCAUAACAUGUUCAAUAAGACUGUCUAUAACUUCAGAAAUCAUGGAUAAUUUAUUGUUAUCAGGUGGCGUUGGACAGUGAUACUGUGCAAGUUUAUCAUAAGCACUUAUGGUUACUUAAUGAGGAUAUGGUUAUAGCUUUUAAAACUUGAUCCUUUGGUCUUCUUAAUUCCACAAUCAAACAUAUUUUAUGCUAUGAGUGCUUGAUUCGUGAACUAUAAUUUUCAUGGUUACUACUUAUUUACCACAAUACUCCUGGAUUGGAUAAGUAUGUUAGUUUACCAUACAAAUGUUUAAGCUUUUAUUAUUUACCAUCAAGGCAUUUGAUUUUAUUGGUCAUGCUAAACAUAAUAGGAUAAUGGAUAAAAAUAUCAUCUACAAGUUUGAAGGAACCAGAUAAGAAUUAGACCAUUUGUCCUUUGGCUUCCUUAGCUUUCGCAGAAGCUUAGGAGUUGUUUUAUGUGAGGUAUACGAUAUAACAAUCUCGGGAUGAAAUAUAGAAUUAUUUUAUCCUACGUUUGAUUGGAGGUAUUAGGUAUUCUUUGGUUAUUUAUUCCACUAUUUAUACUACUGAUAAGUUAUCUCACAUACAUGGGGGAAUAACAAUAAGAGGAUAACUAACUUCCAACCAAAUGAUCCUUAGUGUACACCUUAAUGCAAACCCUAUCAUACGGUUGGAACUAUAAUUUCUUGCGAAUAUGUUAUCUUUAUAUAAUAUAUUUAAUAUGUUAUAAUUGUUCUAUGAUAACUAGUGUGAUGGAAAGUUAUGUUCUUAUUAAGUUCAUUUACUCAAGAUCAAGCAUACUGUUGUUAGCAUUUGAAGUGUCAUGUGUGCAGUAGGUGCAUUGGUUUUUUAAAAUAUCAAUUUGAAGUUUGAAAUUGCUAGAAAAGUGUCUACUUUCUAAUCUUCUACACAGAAUUAUAAAGUAAGUUUUCAAAAGGAAGAGGGAAAUUGUAUAAUUUUUUUUUAUAAUGUGAUGUACAUGAAGUAGAGUGACUCUUCUUAUCUUUCAAACUGAAUAUUGUCAAAUAAAGAUAUUUGUUAGAUCACCAGGUAGAAGUAGUUACAGUGAUUGCACCACUUACAUGCUCCUUUCUUCUUUAAUUAGUAGAGAAUAGUUACUUUAAAAUACAUGCUGCAAAUUCAUAAUGAUUUAAUUUUAGCACGUGUAUUUUUCUUUACUUUGCACAUUAACAGUUUCUCUGCAGAGUUUCUCUUAGUCAUACAUUUGAUGGUCAAAGAUGACUGCACAAUUCUUUUUAUAUCGGCAAGUAAUGCAUCCUGCAGUGUGCCACCUCUUUCAAACAUGAUCAACUGGAUUUCCACACCUGUUGUUCAAAUAUUCAAAACUUGUCUCCUGUUUUUACAGCUUGAGGGCCCAACAAUCUUCUAGCUUGACAUUACCAAAGAGCAACUAAAUCACCACAAAUAACUCUUUACAUUCAUGAAAAUACAAAAUAUUUUGAAGCAAGGCGUCAUCUUUGGUACUCCAUUGAUUUCGUAAGCUUUUAGUGAAUUCCUACCCCCCUCCUUUGACAAUUCUUUUCUCAAGUUCUUUAUUUUUAAAUUAUCUUUGUCUGCACAUUGAUCUGUGUUUUAUGGUAUUGUAGUAAACUUUUAUUUUAAUUUGUCAUUUGUUCCCCCCUUGAUUCUCAUAUCUACACCUAAUAUUUGAAAUUGUUAAAUUAAAUUAAAGGGUGUGGCUAAAUUUAUGAAAAUAUCUCAAGAAAACAUAUCGUACUUAUAUACUCUAGUAUUUAUUUGUUUUAAAAAAUAAAAGUAGGUAAGUAUGUUAUAUAUUCAAAAGUGGAACAACUUAGCACUAUGGCGGUGCUAAGGCAGUAAAUAAGUUAAAACCUUUUGUACGUAAACGAAAAGAAGGUUUCCUACGGUGGAAGUCCUAUCUUUGUAGAGUAACUAUGAAAUCUACUAUGUUAUUUUCGUCCUUUACAUCUUGUAUAUUACAUCAAAAUUAAAAACUUAUAGAAAAUUAUAUUUAAGUUGUUGUACAGUACUCAUCUUCCGUUCAAAACAUCACAUUUUUGCCUUCUAUAAAAUCCAACAUUUGCUGGCAUGGACUGUGAUGCAAUACUUGGCACUCUAUGUUUUUUUUUUCAAAAUUUUUUUGUACUUUAUUAGCUUUCUUUCUACUUAGUUUUGAUUUCCACCUAUCUUUUGGUUCUAUGUUCUCUAUCUUUUGAAAUACUUCCAUUAUGUCUCAGAUCUUUUUCUACUAAAUUAUAUGGAUGACUCCUGUUUUGUUUGUGGUUAAUCUUGAUUUUGUUGAAGAGAAAAGGAGAUAAACAUAGUAGAAAAAAUGUAUUAGAACUUUUCUUCUCAAGUUGACACAAAUUUGUUAUUUUGACAGAUAAAAUUUUUAUAUUUGAAGCACCAGCCUUCAUCUGAUUAGAGUGAAGUAGAAGUAUGAACAACUGAAAAUGAACGAACUAGUUGAAGCACAAAGUCUAUGAGAACAAAGUCUAGCACCAAGUGAAUAUGUUAUGGGUUGUAUCUCUACUUAAGAAGGAGAGUAGAGUACACUGUAUAUGUGAUUGAUAAGGAGACUAGAGUGCAUAAAAGACCUUGAUAUUCCUUAACCAUGUCCCUACAUGGGAUGUGUCCUAGUACUAUCCUUGGCAAGUAGAACACCCUCCAACGGAGUAGGGUAGACUUCGAAUUCCAUGCCUAGCUAGUAUGGUCUAUGUCGGUUAUUGCCUAUUCUAAUCAUGUGGGAUACAUACUAGUGUUGGAUAAGUACUAUGAAGUUUAGGUAGUGGAAUGAGACGCUAUCUAGACAUUGCAUGAUUAGGCUUUGAAGAUGUUAGUGUGCGAGUGCGCUAGGUCUUUUUUAAAACCAUUAUGUGAAUGUCCAUACGUAAUGAAUGUUUUCUAAAUGACUUUAGUAAAGAAAUUUUAUUUAAAAAGUAGUUAUCUAGAGUAUCUUUGAGGAUUGCUUAGGUAGGCUUGAAAAAGGUGUAUGAGCGGUCUCUUCAUGUCUUACUUAGGUGAGUCUUACAGUAACUAUAGGAAGGGAGUUUAACAAAUAAAGUGAUAAUGGUCUUAUCUUAGUAGUCUUAAUGAUCAUUUAGGUUUCUUAGAGAGGGUGUAUGGGAGGUCUCUCUUCGUAUCACUUAAGCGAGUCUUUGGAUAACCUUUGGUGAAAGGGUAGCAAGUUAAAAGAGGUGACUGUGAAGUUGAACUUAGUUCACUGUAAAGUGACAUAGUUCACUAUAACAUUCUCCAAUAUUUGAUAAAAUGCAUAUCUUAUAUGUUUCUAUGGUGUUUAAUGUUGUUCUUAUGCUUAUACUAUGAUAUUUUAAUAAAAAAGACCAUGUUUUAUACAAAAGUCUGUUUGUCAUGAUUUAUACAUUAUGCCAUACUUACUAAAAGUGUUUGUACUAAUUCCAUACAUUUUUUCUAUCUCUAAAGGUAUAGGUCGCGUUUGAGAAGUCUCGAAGUGGAAGCUUGGAUUAGUGAUUCAUUCAAGUAAAGAGUUGGUAUGUCGUCACUAGAUUUGAGGACGUCUUGAUGUUUAGAUUUCCUUAUUGAAAGUAUUGUAAUAGACUUAGCUAUAUUCUAUGUGAUGAAUUAUGGUCCGUGUCCUAAUUUAUUCGUAUGUCUAAGAUGACGACUUUGAGACUUAGACUUCCAUUAUGUUUUUCUAUAAAAGAGAUAUUUUAAAGUAUUAUUAUUUCAUGUGAAAAGUUUUAAUUCCGCACUACUUUUCAUACAUGUAUGCAAUGAACGAAGUCAAAGAGCUUGUACAACACCUUCGAGAGGUCGAGUACGCCGUGUUUUGAUUCAAUAAUGCCCUAACUUGUAGGGGGUACUCUUAGAUCGUGACAAUAGAGUCCCAUACCCCUACCUAGACUAAGCUAUACCCCUUAGGUCACCCCUAGUUAGAGUUCAUUCAUUACUUCAUUUUGCCUUUUUGGAACAUCUUGCCUUAACCGACAUAUAUACCACAUGAGAUAAUGUGGAAUACGGUAUCAUGGAACCCUACACCGAAAGAAGACAUACUACUUGCUAAGGUAGUACCAAAACAUUAACAUAACUUCUAUGUGGAUUCACUUUCUAGUAUUCCUAUAGGAGCAACAUAGUCCAAGAACUAGGAGAUGUAGUUGGGACCCUCUUUAUGUUACAUGCAUUAUAGUCUCCAAUCUCAUGAGUACUUUAGUGAUCCUACCUUCCCUAUGUGGGAAGGGACACUCCUUACUCUAUUUCACUCGGUGGAAAGCUAGAGUCUCUUUUGAAAUGCCUUUAAUUCCUUUAUUAAUAAUCACAACUUAAUGUAGGUCAUAGGCUAUAUCCUUUAUAUAAUCAUCAUCAUAGCUCAAAUAAGAAUUGCCUGUGUAUAGUCCUUUCAUUACAAUUUAUACAUGUGAGGUUAGCAUAUUUACAAAGUCAUAUCAUAAUAAGGCCAUUGAUAAGUUAUCAACAUCCUUAUAACAUUUACAUCUUAGCAAAGAACUCACAAACUAUAGUUCAAGAAAUUCCAAUUCAACAUCAUACUAACCUAAUCAAUCGUAACAUAAGGUAUACCUCAGUAUAACUUCAUCACUUAAUCAUAAGUAAUCAUAAUUAAAGUAAGGAAUUUAGAUCACAAGACUUACCCGAAUCUCCUUCACAAACCAUCAUCAAGGUCUUACCAUCAACCAUUCAAUUCAACUCAAUAAUGGGUGUGGUAUCAUCACACAAUAGUAACCAACAUAAUAAUGAAGUUAAUUGAAUCACUACACAAGAAUUUAUCACUAGUUCAUAGCCUAGGAUUAGAGACUUAGGUCAAAUUCAUGAUCUACUUCACAACCUAGGUCAAUUACUCAAGAACUGGCAUAAUUGAAUUACAAUAUAUCAUAAUCUACUAAUAACUUGGCAUAAUAACAACAAAAAAUAGUAAUACAUUAACCAAUCCAAUUAUCAAUACUUCAUAAUUUAAUUCAAGAUCAUAACCUAGGGUUAAGGGGAAAAUGUCAUGUUUCCACAAACUAGGUCAAUCCAUUAAGAUGUAGUCCAAGUGAUUCACAAUACAUGUUAAUAUACUCACAAUAACCAAAAUUAAUAGUAAAAAAAACAAUUCACAAGAUCAAUUUCGUAUUGGAAGUAAACCCACUUGAAUUUCAUACUUUUGAAAUCAAUUUGGAGGAACCUUUUGGGGAAAGAGAUCCCAAAGGUGAAAGGAAUCUCAUACCUUACUAAUUGAUGAAGUUUGAUGGAGAAAACUUGAUCCUUUUAAGACCUAGAUACCUCCUUUGCUUGGUAUUCUAUGGAGUUUCUUUGGGAGAGAGAAAGAAGAGAGAAAGGAGGAGCAAUUUGUUUUUUGGGAAAUUAUGGAGUUAAGAGAGGUUUUAGUCUUAGGGUAGUUUAUACAGAGACUUAACUAACUUAAUUAACCACCCCCUAAUACCUAAUUAACUUCCUAAAUAAACUAACUAAUUAAAUGAAUUAAAUAAAACAAUGCAGCAACACAGGGGCCUGAGCUAUGAGACCCUGAUUGACGGGCCGUAGGUCAAUCGACACCCAUGUGCCCCUUCGUCCUGCACACCCGUCGUUAGUGUAAGAUAAUGGUACAAAUGGGCCAUUAUCCAAAAUGUCUAUGUUUUUGUAUAUGGAGGCAUCGAUGUCCCGUCGAUCAAAUGACGCCUUGUCUCCUGCAACUCGUGGUAGACACUGCCUUUUGACAGCUUUUUGCCAAAUUGCAAGGGUCCUCCUCAAAAGCCCUUGUUGGUCCUUGGGGAUUCGUACCUAGAUGUUUAGACUAUAAACUAAAUCUAAUACGUGUUAGAUACCUCACCACCAAAUUUCUUCAUUUUCUGACUCUUAAAAACCCAGUCAAAUAGGCUGAGGCACACUAGCACCUCUUGAACUAAUUUCCGGACGUCAUGGACGUUCCUUGACAUUUUGAUUCUAAAAAUUCCUAAAUGACUUAUAUACAUUAUAAUUGACAUAAAAACAAUGUUACAAAUCUUAUACUCUUAUGUUAGGAUCUAUAUUAGGCUUUAGACAUUCGUAGUAUUACAAAAACUAUAUAAAACAAAAGAAGAAUAAAGUAGGUAGAAGAAAAAAGACUUCUUAUUCAUCUUGAAGUAUAUUUAGGAUUCAUAGAUCUUUCACAAAUAUUAUUUACAAUGAAGAAAAACCCCUUUAUAGGUGAAACCUAACUUGGUCCCCAAGUUGAAUUCCUAACCAUAUCAUAAAUAGACUCCGCACAUUUAGACAUUCACUAUAAUACAAAUUAAUUAUAACAUUCCUCCUUGAAUUUCCGUAGAGUAUGUGCCUCGUUAAAACCUUACUAGAUAAAACCCAGUGUGAAAAAAUCUAGUCAAGGAAAAAGAAUACAAUAUCUAAUAAUACGCAUUAUGAAUUCCUCAUUAAAAACCUUACAAGGAAAAUCCAAUGGGACAAAACCUUGUGAGGGAAAAAAAGUACAUAAUGUAUUAACUCCCGUUUAUGAGAACAUCAAUCCAGAGACUUGAAUCUUUGUUUUCCAAUAUUGUGUACUAUUUUCUUGAAAGUUGUAGUUGGUAGAGACUCUGUUAAUAAAUCAACUAUAGUAUUAUUUUGAACAAACCUGUUGCAUGUUGAUAUCACCAUUCUUGGGAGCUCAUAAGUGUAAAAAAAACUUUGACGAAAUAUGCUUCCUUCUAUCUCCUUUGAUGAAUUUCCCCAUCAGGGUCAAAUAUUUCUGCAAGUUCCUAAUUUCAACUUCUUUAAGCAAAUAAUCUAUUGCCUUUUGAAAAACCUUCAAGAGUUCCAAUUCGUGUCAUCAACUUGCAUAAUAAUAAUUGUGUAUGCUCUAUGCAUUUUGAAUCUAUUUAAUCCUUAUGAGGAUGAUAAACAAGUUCUCCAAAAACAUGUAUAUGCUUUAGAUUUGGAACGUAAUAGAUAUUUUCAUACCAACUUUGUCAAGUGACAACAUUAAAUAUUAAAUGUAUGACAUUUUCUAGUCUCUUGAUUGUAAGCCAAAUAAUCUUUACGCUUACCAAGAUGCAUAAUUCCACUUUUCACUUCAUAAUUAUUUCUACACACCAUUCUUUAUUAGUCGUAGAAUUUAUAUCAUAAUAAUCUUUACAAUAUUGCGCGCUAUUGUAUCAAAUAUAUCGCAACAAUAUACCAUUUUGUAUCGAUUCACAAUACGACAAAUCUUAUUGAGAUCUCAUCACUUAAUUAUUUUUAGGUAGCUACCCCUCUCAAGAGGUUUCAUAAAGUGUUAUGUCAUGGGCUCUCCAAGAGCACAUUAUCUCCUUAUUAUGAUCAUUUUGAUUAUUUGAUCCUUUCCCCAUUUCAAGGAUUAUUUCAUUUAGAAUGAUUCGUCUGUCAGUAUUCAUGCAUGUCGUAGACUAUAUCGUCUAGAAGCAUCCAAUAGGAGUAUUUAGAACUCUUGUGUUGCUUCUUAGCUCCCCCUUAUGUUAGACAAACUAACAUAUAUCUCAAUCAUUUAGAGAAUCUAUCUUUGUGCAUCAUUGUAUAUUCAUUAAUUAUAUAAUACAUAUCAAAAAAAUCAAAUGAAAAUAUUUGGUCCCUUAGCAUAAAUCAAUUGAUAUAAAAUUUGAUCAUAAUUUAGUGGUCUGAAUGAUACAAUUGCUUUUGUAUGAAGUAUCAUAUUUCAGAUCAACACAUGAGUCUUCAUUUUCAUAAUCAAUGAUUUCACUAUGUGAGACAUUUAAUGUCACAUCAUCUUAUAUAUUUAUCAAUAUUAUCAAGAUGAAUUUUCUUGAUUUCAUAUUAUGAAACCUGUACUCUUAGCUCAAUUAUCUUGCACAAAUAAUUUUGUGAAUGUCAAACUGCAAGUUGACAAAAAACACACAUGUUAUUAUAAUAUAGAUGCAUCUCUUUAUCAUAUUUCAUGAUAGGUGAACGGGCUCAUGUUCACUUUUAAUACUUUUCAGAAUUUAGGGAUUAUUCAUGUCAACUAUAAAUUAUUAGUCCUCGUAAACUCCAAUGUUACUAUGUCAUGUGCCUUUUUUGCUUUAGUAAAUUUCCAAUUUAUUGCUAUUAUAUAAGAAAAUUUUAGUUUUAAUACUCCACGAGUAAAUUUUAGAUUUAUUUUUUCUCAAUUACUCUACCUCUUCUAAAGGUGAGUCAUUAUUCCAUCACUAAAUAGAUUAAUCUGAUUAUCACAAAAUUGUGUCUGUAAUCACAUUAUUUAUGACAAUACUUUUGGACACAUCAAGUUGCGAGAUAAAAAUAUGCACACAUGAAACCAUCUAGAAGAAUUAUCUAUUAGGACCAUUAUGUAUCUAAACAACUCACUAAGUAGGUGGAUAGGUCCAUGGAUAUCCUCAUGUAUAGGUUCGUCAAACGUAAGGGACUCAAUCUAAACUUUUGUUUGUGAUUGUCUCACAAUUAACUUGCCUUGCUAACUCGCAUUAAAAGAAAAUUUAUCAUUUAAAAGAAUCUUUAUGUUCUAUAAUGAAUGUCCAUUUUAGUUUUCUAUAAUUCAUCUCGUCCUUAUAGACCCAUGAUGUCCUAGAUGAUCAUGACAAAGUAUGAAAGUAUUUAAAGUAAGAAACUUUUGAUUUAUUAUAGAAUGUGUCACCAAUUAUGUCCAAUACAAACAAAAAAAUAGCACAUGUCUGCCUAGAGACAUUCUUAGUGAUACAACAUCUAUGACCAAAGAUCGUGACUUUUUCCACGCCUAGCAUGGUGGGCAUGCACCUCAUUCACUUUAGAGAAUGAAUUUGUAUUUUUAGCAUUUAUCAAAACUUUUCAUUCUUAAUGAAUGCAACACAAUCAUCUAAGUACAUCAAAUUAUGAUACUUACUGUCUCAUUCACAUUCAUAUGCACUAUUCAAUCAUAUGUCUUCUUUCAGUCAUAAUAUAUACUGCUACCACAUUCACUUUAGAGAAUGGAACGAUUUCAUGACUAAUUUUUAUUAAAAGCACAUUGUUUGUUUUAAUAGUCAACAUAUCAUCAAUAUUAGUGCAUUGGUACUUAAAUCUAAUGUCUUACACAUAUAAAGGUGUCUUAUGUCAUAAGUAGAUGAGGCAUGAAUCCAAUAUAUUUAUCAUGGUGCAUCAACACAAACUCUUUACCCUUUUUAUUUACCAUAAAUUUCUCAUAAAAGAUGAGUAAUAAUUAACUUUGAUAUUAAACUAUCACAUAACAAAGUUAACAAUAAUUAACUAAUGAUAUGAGACAUCACAUAACAAUAUUAGUUAAACUUUAAAAACUUAUCUCAUCUAGAGAUAAAUUUAUAUCAUGUCAUGGUAAUAUAUAUGAAUACAAAUUGUCAAGUAGAUAUCCAAGUUCAUACUGACAUGUGUUCUCCUAAAUCAACUUAAUAUGGUGGCCAUGUCGAGUUGUGUAAGGAAUGAAUCUGUACAAUUACAGGAAGAAUGUAUACUUAAAUUGAUAGAUUAAAUUAAUGGUCUAUUACCACUCCAUUUUGCAACAUUCAUGAGAAGAAAAUGAAAAUAUUUCCUGUCAAAAUUAUUUCGCUCCUGCAUACUGUAUGUUAAUCCAACAGUGGAAUAUGACAAGAUCAAAUAGUACCUGAUAACCUUAAAUCAUGAAUGAAAGAGACCCGUGUUGAUAAUAUGUUAUGAAACUAUAUAAAACAAGAUAAGAAUAAAGUGGGAAGAAGAUAAAAGACUUCUUAUUCAUUUUGAAGUAUUUUCAAGAUUCAUAGAUCUUUCAUGUAACAUCUGCGGGAGCACCCCCUAGAAGAUAAAUGGCGUACUUGACCUCUCGGAGGUCUUAUGCAAGCCCAUAGUUAUCAUUUAUCACAUUCAUGUAAAUUUAGCGGAGAAUUUAAAAAAUUUCAUAGAACGUCGUAUGCUAGAAACUUCGCUUCGUAUAUAUCUAAUAUCAUAUUACAUACUUAGACCUUAAGUCUCUUUGCCAUACUAGAAACAACAUCCAAAGAGUACAAUAGGGACACGACUCUUAUAACAUAAUACAUAACUAUACAAGAUUUAAGAACUUUACAGUAAACUAAACAUUAGGACAUCCUUGGACUUAUGAACUCCUUUCCUUGAGCUUGGGAAUCACAUACCAAGCUUCAUCUAUAGAGACAUACCUUAGGCAUCCAUAACAUACACUUUGUGUAAAAAGUAGAGAAGAAUGGUGUUAUUACAAGAAUGCACUAAGUAUGACAACCAUGAAUUUAAAAGGAAUAUUUUACUUGAAAUCCAUACAUGAUGCCUUUUUGUGAAAUCUUUAUAAAACCUUGAUACAAUAGCAUUUAUAUCAUUGACAUACUUCAUAUAGACAUUUAUAAAGGCCAAACAUCAUAUAAAAUUGCAUAUAGAGUUUAAGGCACAUUUGAGGCACUUUACAAUGAGCUCGUUUCACCUUACAUUAAACUAUUUUCCUUUACAGUGAACUUCUUUUCUUUUACUCAUUAACCUCCCCAAGUAACCCUUUAGUGAUACUUAGUGCAAUGCAUCACCCUAGGGUUACAAGGAAAUUAUAGAUACAACCUACAUAAACCAACACAUACCAUCAUAGAAGCAUAAUACAUCAUAGACAUAUUUAAGUCAAGACUCUAUUUGCUUUAUAGUAAGUUACAUCAAUUUGCACAUCUAUUCACUUCACUUCAAAUAAAUCAUUAUAAGACUUUACUCAUGACCCCAAUCUAAGUCUACUAGUUCAAUGUACAUGUGAAGCCCCAUAACCUCACACAUACAUAGUAAACCUAUCAUGAGACCACAAGCCUUAACCCUCUAUUUCAUACACCAAGAAGUAAGUGAAGACAACUUCAUUCAUGUCAAGCAAUCCCUUCAUCAUAUGGUCAUUAAUACCAACAUAUUGCAUAUAAGAACAAGAUCACAUGACAUAUGUCUUUAGGAAUCAUACCAUGCACUUCAUGACAACAAGUUUGUCAUGCAUAAGGAACCAUAACAUAUGCACAUACAUUAAACCACCUUCCUAGAACUACCUUAGAGAGAUACUUGUGAAAUGUCGAGGUGGGUUAAUUACUUCCACCUAUCCUAAGUAUAUUCUCUUAGGUUAUCAUAGUUAGGGUCCUUAGUCAUUUACGUUCAUUGUCCAUUUUACUUUAGGGAAACUAUAGCCUUAACCGACACCAAGACCAUCGGUGCUAAACAAGGAAUUUGGUAUUGUAGAGCCUUACACCAAUGGAAGGUGUUCCACUUAGCCAAAGAAGAACCUUAACAUAUAUCCUAGCUUACUAAGUGAAUUCACUUGCUAGAUCCUAUGUGGCAAGCAUAGUGUAUGGAACUAAGAGAUAUACAUAACCCUUGACAUGCUCAUUGAAAUUGGAGCCUUAUCUCAUGAGAAAACAUGGGUGAACCUUCCUCAAAGGGAAGCCACCACCUCAUGUGGAUCCAUAGGUGAAUAUUCCUCUAAGGGAAGUCAACACUCUAUAAGGAACAAAUGGUGAAUCUUCCUCCAAGGGAAUCCAACACCUUAUUGUCAAGUUCACUCUGUUCUAAGCUAAAUUCCCUUAAUUAAAAGCCUUUAUUAAUGUUACUUUAUAAAAUAUAGGCUUAGGAUAUUUGUUCCUCAUAUGCUUAUAGCAUAUUUGAGCACCUAUCUAGUUUUAGAGUACUCUUGGGCACACCUUUCAAGGAUCCUCUAUUGACUAGAUCUUCAUACAUGUGUGUGUGUACUUAUAUAUGAGCAAACCUUUUUCAUAACACAUAAAUGUAAUAUAUGUUCAUAUAUCAAUGCAUAAGUCUAUAGGUAUAACUAUAUGAGCAAUCCUUUCACAUAAACACAAUAAGACACUAUGCACAUUCAUACUUCAUCAUAUCAUAUAAGUCAUAUUCAUAAUAUGCCCAUAUAUUCAUUUUCAUGUACAUAGAAACCAAACCUAGGAACAAUCAUAUCAAGGUACACAUAAGCAAUUCAUAGACAAGGUCCCGUUCCGUUGCCCAUACUAGUACACCUAUCAAGUCAUCCUAGCUAAGGAAACACAUAUCAUACUUUCAUAGACAUAAAGUUAACAUGCAUAGUAGUAGAUACUAGUGAAUAUGUGGACAAAAUUUCAUUAGACAUUAUGAUCCUAUACUACUUUUAAGCAUUCAUGUAGAGAGAGGGUGUGUGUACAUUGGUCAACAUGAUUACAUCAUGGCUAUCAACAACACAUUGAGGCUGUAAGACCUCGAAAAUAACUUAGCUGAACUAGAGACUAAAAUGUUCAUUAGGAUGGUAUAAGGUCCUAAAUAUGUAUAUAAUAUGAUAUUGAGGCAAUGUCUAAGAGUUUAGGUGAAUUAGAAGUCAAACGUCAAGGCACGACUCAGACGUUUGAUGACUAAGUCACCUAUGUGCCUCAAAUGUUGUUCUAUGUUUUUAUGUGUGAUUCCUUAGGUUAUAAGUUACUUAAAUGAUUUAUUAUGGUUUAUAAAGGAUGUUAGUCAAGUUUCAUGAAGUUUGGAGGUCAAACGUCUAACAACGACCAUGACGUUCAAAAGGUUUUCCUUGAAAUGACCUUGUGUGUCUAAGUAUGUUUCGUCAAGUUUUACGUGUUCGUUUUGUAGAAAUUCGUGAGAGAGGUCCUUAGCUCAUGUAUGAUCAUUUUUAGGUUGGAAAUGUCCAGGAAAACAUCCCCAAGGACUAUCCAAGGGUCCUUGAUGAAGGACCCAAAGUUGGUUCCCAAGGCUGCCCAAGACAGCCUAAACCACGGAGGCAAUCGACGCCCAGUGGGUCAGCUGAUGGCCCGUUGGUGGAGUAUCAUCAUUUGGAAAUUAGAUUUGGGGGAUAGGAAUCCAAAUACUUGUGUCAUUCCCCAACAACGUACCAACAGGACCGUUCGUUGGUCAAGGGACGGGCCGUCGUUUGGCAACCGUUGGUGGGCUGCCUUCCUGCGUGCAGUUCACUGUAAUUUGAGGGGUGAAGUUGUAAAUUCACACCACUUCAAAAUAAGAGUAUUGGAAUUUUAUUAAGAGUCUUUUGGGAAUUUUCAACAUGUAUAUAAGUCUUUAACACUUAGAAGAUUUCAUUCUUCCAAACCAAAAGCCUAAAAUCCCAUAGAAAUUCCCUAGAGCUCCAUUGAAGUCAAAACUCAAGAAAGGGCUUGGAUUGGAGAAUUGAGUGGAUAUUCUUAAUUAAAUUGAAUAAUUAGAUUCAUAUAGGUAUGAUUUUUUAUCCUUUAAACUCUAUUCAUAAAGGAUCCCAACUUUCAAAGAUGUUUUCUAAAGUUUUCAAAAAUGAACUUUACCAAUUUAAUGAUCUAUCAUUGGUUCUUGCAUUAAUAGUUUUGAUAAUUGAAUAUUGAUUGAAUUGUUAUAUAAUUUAUGAUUUUAACUCAAUUAACCUAUGAACCCAUGUAAUUGAUGAACCAUAGUUUUGACUCCUUUAUGGGUUACUUAAUAUUGACUUAAUGUUUAUGAAUAAUGGUGUAGUUUUCUAUGAGUUAUCUAAUGAUGUAAUAAUUGUAUUCAAUUGACAUGUAGGUUGUCUUAUAUUAAUGAAAUUACAUUUAAUUUACCCAGUUUCAUUUAGUAUUAUAGUUUUUACAUUAUAUUCUUGUUCACGGCCAUUGGUAAGGGCCUUAUGGUAUUGAAUUGGAUGAUUUAACAUCGACUUGACGUGUAGAGGAUGGAGUGGUGGUACACUGACCUAUUUCCCUUAUUUUGAUGUUAAUUAGACUCCAACUAAUUGUGAUUGGUAUGUUCCACAUAUGGUGGUUGUGUUAUGCAUUUUACCUGCAAUUGAUGUGGCCUUGUCGGCGUUAUUUUAUGUAUUAUGAUGAUCAUGGACUUGUCGACAACUACUUGAAGUGAUGUGGUUAUUUGUGUGGUUGAUUAUGUUAAGUAUGAAAAUAUCUUUCUACAUGUUAAGUAAUGUGAAAGUAUAUGUGAUCUUCUACAGAUGUGAUUUAGAUGAUCAUAUUAGAUUAUGACUUUUGCUUUGAGUGUAUAAUCUUAGGGUUAAUACUUGGUUAUUCCUACUUGGCUAUAUGAGUCUAUGUUGAUCAUAUUGAUGAUGGUGUGAUAGUGUUUAGGGUGACUUAAAAAGGAUAUGGUUAUGUCUAUGUGUUUCAAGAAUGACAUGUAAUAUGUGUUAAUGUGAAGUAUGUUGUGUCUUGUCUUGGUUGACUUGUGUCCCUUACUUGAUGCAUGUAUGAAUGUGAAUAUGUGAUGUCUUGACUUAGGAUGCUAAAGCAUCUUAUUAUUUUAUGUAUUAAUGACAUGAGACCUUAAAUGAUGUUAAGAGAGUCUUUUAUGUGAAAAUUUGAACCUAGUGGUAAGGUUAUGAAUGUUGAAGUCGAAAGCCGUAAUGGUAUCCUUCAGAGUAAAGGAAUGAUAGAUUUAAGGUUGAUUGGAUGCAACGACAUCAUAUCAAACCUUAGGAAAUUUCAUCACGAGCUUCUUGUCUCCAUUGUAAGGUAACCCUAGAAGACCUCUUUGAUAGGGUAAAUGUGAUUGGGUUAUGAACUAGUAUGGAACCCCAUAUAUGAACCUUAAUGUGAAGUACUCUAUGAGAAAGAAGAUCUAGCACCGAAUGAGUAUGGUAAGGGAAGUAGUUACAGUUAAAGAAUGAGACUAUAUUACAAAGCAUUCUCUUCAUAUUCCUUAACCAUGUGCUUACAUGGGAUGUGUCUAAGUUCUACCAUUGGCAAGUACAGAACCCUCAUCAGAGUAGGUUGGAACUUUGGGUUCCAUGUCUUGCUAUCAUGGUCCAUGUCAGUUAAUGAAUAUUCUCAUCUUGUGGUAUAUUUACUAGAAUUAGAGAAAUUCUAUAAAGUUUAGGUGGUGGUAUGGAACGCUAUCUAGACAUUGCACAAUAGGCUUUGAAGGUGUUAUUGAGAGUCUCUAGGUUUUCUUCAAGACCAUUACUUGAAUGUCCUUUAUGUGAUAAAUGUAUCCUAAAUGAACUAAUGAAUAUAAUGACUUAUUUAUGAAGGUAUGUUAAGUGAAUAAGUACUUAUCUAGAGAAGUUAAGAGUUGCCUAGUUAAGGUGUGAAGGGGGCAUAGGAAUGGUCACUUCUUAUCUUACCUAGAUAAGUCUUAAGGAUGACUCUAGUUAGGGAAGAUGGUUGAUUAUGUCGACAUGAUCUAAACUUUGGUAGUCUUAAGGAUUACUUAGGUAAUCUUGAAGAGGUAAAUCAUUGAAUUUAUCUUCUUGAUUUACUUAAGUAGGUCUUUUGAUAGCCUUUGGAAAGAGAAUGUCAUAUUAUCUAUAUGUUGAUGUGUUAAGAAAGAAUGAUAAUCCUAGGUAGUCUAUAGGAUCCCUUAAGUGUGUGUGCAAGGGAUUGUAUGAGCGGUCCCUUCACAACUUACUCAAAUGAGACUUCGAAUCACCAUUGGUAGGAGAAUUUCAUGUUAAUAUGUAUGAUGUCUUGUAAGUGUUUAUGUGCCUCAUUAUAAGUAAGUCUUGAGGGUCAUUUAUGUAUGCUUAGGGAGGUUGUAUGGACAGUCUAUCUUUGUGUUGCUUGAGUGAGUCUUAUGAUAGAUUUGAUGGGAAUAAUUACAUGCUAGGAAGUGUUAAAAAGGAAGGUCAAAUAGUCACUGUUACAGUGAAUUGAUUCACUGUACAGUGAAUAUGGCUUACUAAGUGGCCUAAAAAUGUGAAUAAUUUGCUAAAUGUUCUCUUAUGUGUUUCUAAGUUGAUAAAUGUUGUUCUUAUGAUUAUAUCAUGAAUUUUAAAUGAAAAUAUGCAUAUUUGCAAUAAAUGUCCGUUUUAAUGAUUUUUAUGCAUUAUGCCAUACAUAGUGCAUGUGGUUGUACUAAUUCUAUCCUUUUAUCUAUAUCUAUAGUUGUUGGUAGGUGAGGAUCAUUUGGGAAGCAAGACUUGGACCAUAGCAUCCCUCAAUAGAAGUUCAAGUAUGUCCUCAUUUGACUCGAGGGCAUAAAUGUCUUUUUUAUGUUUCUAUUUAAAGUAUUGUAAUAAAUAAGUAUUUCUAUAUUAGUACUGUUUAUAGGCCGUGCCCCAAGUAUUCUCCUGUCUAAGAUUGAUGACAUUGAGACUUAGUAUUUCCUAUGAUUUUAUAUGAAAGGGUUUUUAAAGUUUAUGAAAUGUUUUAAUUCCGCACUACUUUUCACUAUGUAUAUGCGAUGAAAAUAUGUAAGGGCUUGUACAAGACCUCCGAGAGGUCAAGUACGCCAGUUGCAUCCGAGAUUGACCCUAACUUCUAGGGUUUGAUUUCGGAAUUUACUGUUAAUGUUUUUGAUAUUGGGGGACAAGGUUUUGGUUAUUAAUUAGUGUUUUGAUUAUUUUGACUUCCUAAUGAUUAUUAAAGGAAUUAAACAGUGCAACAUAAAUUUAACAAAGUGAGGUUUAUACUAUUAUAUUUACAAGUAACAUUAGAAUUGAAAUUGGAUACGUACUUGGUUGAAAAGAGAUUGGGUUGGAAAAUUUCUCUUUACAAUGUGGAUGUUAACUAGUUAAUAGGUUAUGGUGUUUACUCAAUAGGAAAUAAUUAAAAUGUAUUACAUAUGGUAUAUGUUUGACUUAGAGAAAAAAAAGUUAUACCUUUAUUUUUUUAUUGUGUUGCAACUGUAUUAGGCGACCAAUGGCUUUAACCCUCAACGAUCUUUCAAUCUUUGUUAUUUAUUGUGUUACUAUAUUAUAAAUUAUUUUUGAGUAUAUUGAGAUAGAAAAAUUAAUAUUAAUUUUUAUAUUAUAUGGAUUAUAUUAAAGUUAUGUUAAAUGGAGGAAUAAGAUUUACCCUUAGGCUUGAUCUUUAGAAAUCUGACCAUACAAUUGGGUGAGUUUUAGGUCUAGGCUAGACAUAUAGUAUUAUGGUGCCUAGAGACUCGUUAACUUACAAUUUAUGCAUACUUUAUAGAUUGGAAAGGUUCGAAGGCAUUGAGGAAAGGACAAGCAUUGGAGAAGUAACUUGAUUUACUUUGGUUCGUUGGUAGAGGUAGGUUACAAUUUAUUCUUUUUAAUGGAUAGACUCUUAAUAGUGAUUGAUAUGAAUUUAUUUAUAUUGUUAAGUCCUGUAUGUACUUGAUUGUGUGGUUUGUGAUUGGUCUGAAAUCCUCAAACGAUGAGAUUUAUAAUUUGAAAAUCUCUUUAUCGAAGUGAUGCCUUGAAUAAAGAAGACUUAAUGAAAUAUUAUCAAUGAAUAGAAAAGUGGUAAAUAAAUAACAAAGGAUAAAUUUAUGGUAUUAUUGGAUUGGAGUGUCAAGUUCAGACACUGUAUAAUUAGAUCAAAGUGUCACGUUUCAAGGAGGUAUAAUUUGAUCGUAGUGUCACGUUCCGAUACAGUAUAAUUGGAUCAGAAUGACACAUUCCGACAUGAAAUAUUAAAAGAAUAUAUUAAAUUGAUUCAAUGUACUCAAUCUGAAGGAACCCAUUUCCCAAAUGAGCGUGGUGUGGAGGCAUGAGUCCUCAUUUGUGUUCUUGAUAUUGUGAUUGAUUGCCUAUUACUUUAUUGUUCUUGUCACUCGUUACUAUUGUUUUUUCUUGCCACCUGUUAAGUGUCAUUUUUAAUUUCAUACCAUUGUUUACCGUAUAUUUGUUUCUAUUUGGGGUUGACCAAUGAUACCUAUUCCGUACAUGUUUCUCCGUACUGAGCCCUACUUGUGAUUUUUUCUUUGUUUUCUUUUUAUGUGGUGCAACAAGUAUACCAAGGAAUUUUACUCACCGUCAUCUCUAUCCACUCCUAGCAUAUCAGGUUCAAGGGUGAGCUAUUCAUUCGAGCUUAGGUUGGAUUCUCUCAGUCAUACAUGAUGUCUUUAGUUUUCAGGCACAAAUUAUUGUAUUUCAUUUAUUUUGGUGUCUUUGAUACUCUUAUACUUAGUAAUUGGAGAUUAGAUGUCCUUGUUGUGAUGAGCUUUAAGUUAUGGAAAACAAUAUUUAUUUAGAUUUUUAGCUUUCACAUUAUUAUUUUAUAAUAUAAUUUAAGGUUUAGUUCGUUUUUUCAUCCACCUACAUAGUUAAGGGUGGGUGCCAUCACGACUCGUUUUGGCUCGUGACAAUACUAAAAGUAAGAUGAGAGAGAUAAAGACUGAUAUUGUCUAUGCAGUCUCCCCUCAUGUCGGGACAUGAAUACUUUGGUCAGCUGUCUAUGUUUUGGCAUCAAUUCUCGUGGUGGUCUCAAGUAGAGUAGAAGUGCCUGAACCACUAGCAGCUGCUGUGGAUGUCGCAUCCAUUAGUGUAUGGGUCACCUGCUGCACAAUAUUUUCCACCAGACUAAGUAAACUGACGAAAAUGCUUUCCUCCUUUUCUCUUCUAUUCAGCUGCUAGGUCUUCAUUAGUCUCUGCAUCUGAAGCUCUAUAUACUGCAUAUCCACUCUGUACAUACAAGUGGUAGUUGUAGGAAUAUCUGAAGUUGCAGGGUCACCUUCAUCCUCAACCAUCCUCAUCGUAUCAUUGAAAUCGACACAUUUCAGAUAAUAUACGUCAUGCCGCUGGUAUGCGAUGUUGGCUUUCAUAGUCGGUAUCUCAAAUGGUCUCACCUCUCUAGUCUCACAAGAUGUAAUCCUCAAAUUUAAGGCAUCAUUAGAGCAUGAAGUCAUUCAAGUGCAACAGAUAUGACACUCUAUGUCAUUCCUGGGAAUUAUCUCUCCAGUCUUGUCGCCCAUGCCUUAGCUGAUUGGGAGACGCCCCCAUAAUUAGGACCAUGGCAUGAAAGAUCCUGAUCGGCUAACUAGAGGAAGAAGCACUUGGAUCCUAUUUAGAAUAAGAAGGAACAAAUGUACAUGAUGGUCCAAGGACGUAAGUCGGUGUGGCUGCGUAUGUAGAUAACACGUCAACAUCAAUCUCCAGAGAAAUAUCUGCUAUAGUUGUUUCCUACUGUCAGACUCCUGAACAUGUAUUCGGCAUCUAUAUGGUGGAUGUUUGUGGAGGACAAUCUAAUGACCUUAACAUCCCUAUUAGUGUCGAAAGGCACUCCAGCUCGGCGGUACAACUCCGUGAUCAUGACAUGAAAUGGGAGAGAUGUUUUCUUCUGUUUGUCCCUCAUGGCCAUAUCUUGUUAUAUCAGCAACCCAAAGUUGAUACUACUUCUGUACAUGAUUCAGUCAAUGAAAGACGCCUUAGGGAGGUGCAAGAACCCUCGUUCUGGGAUGGCAUGAUGGUUCUGCUGAUAAAACCAAACCAUAAUCUGGCAACAAUGUUCAAAUCCCUCUUCUCAAUAGGAGUGCCAAUCCCGAUCCAUCUCUCGGUGUCUUUAGAAAUCAUAGUACCCCACCACCCCUUUAGCUUGUCUAAUGAUGCAACAGGGGGUAAUUUCUCAUAAGGGCGUAGUGAGUGUAGCCGCCUUCCCAUCCCAACAUUGACAUGUUCGCUGUAACACUCUACCUCCAAGCAUUGGACUAUAACUAACCUCACUGACCUGAACUCACUUGCCUGCUUCUUAUUCUUAGGCACCGAUAAUUCCUAGAUUGUGUAGAAAUCCCUGAGCCAAGAAGGAAUGUAUAGGCCUCGGGGCCUCGUGAAUUGUUCAUACUCAUCGAACUGUAAGGUUUGCAAGGCAUGAAGGUAUUUCCUUUACAGGUACUCUACAAACAAGAGCUUUUCCUCAAUGAUGGUUCGCUGUCCAUCACCCUUGAAUAUGUUUAGUAGUCGCGGUAGAUGGGGAAUGAGCAUGGGGAUCACUGUACGUGUUUGUGCUGAUUCUCGAAAUGGCAUAGGAGAAACUACGGAUGAUGCAAUUUUGGUGGAUGUAAACGUAGAUCUCUUUCGAAGCCUAUUUUUUCAAUUAAUCAUUGGUUGAUCAUCCACGAACUCAUCCUACUCUUUAUUAGCCUCAGCGACUACUCUUUUUUGACAUACAUUUCGUUUUUUUGCCUUUGCCAUGUUAGAGUUCUUAUCCUCCCCUCUUCGAUGGAUUUGAGACUCCUUUGUUAAUAAGAAUUUCUGGUGCUUCCUUUUAAUUGUUGGGGUUGCGUGUUGAAGCUAGUGCGUACCAUAUAUGCAAAAGUUUGUGAUUAGUAAAAAGAACAAUCAUAUUCGAGCACAAUAAAUGUGCUACAAAAAGGGUCGCCUUUAUAGUUGGCGAAUCUUCAAGUCUCUUUGGCGAGCUAAGUGAGUUCGCCAAAGGGAUUAGCUUAAAGUCUAGGAAAAUUUGUGAUUUAACAUUCUACUCGGCAAAGUACCAACUACUUUCGGCGAUUGAAAGAUUUUCUGCCAAAUAUUACAGAUCUACCAACGCUUUAGGUAUGGAGUAAGGGCAUUCGAUUACCAUUGAGAUCCACCCAGACGUUUAAUGAGUUUGACUCAGUUCGCCGUGUGGCUUUACGUGCCUAUUUUUCUACAAUUUACAUGAAACCAACCCUACAAGACCGGAAAAAAAUCAAAGCAUGCAUAUAUAAAAUUCGCACGAGACCCAUGCUUGUUGGGUUAUGGGUCUUUUUUCCUUUCCUAUGUGGAUAAAUAAAAGCCCAAUUUGGACCAACCCAUUUUUUCCCAUAGGCCCAUUCUUAUGAGGCAAAUAUAAACCUAUUUAGGGUCUUAUUUUCAGACAUACAGAGAGUUUUUUAUCAGCCAAAAAGAGAGAAAAAGAGCAGAUUUUCGCAGUCAAAUUUCAGCCAUAACAGCCAAAUUCAAAUUGCGAUUCCCGCUUCGUUUCUUGUCCGAUUGAGCUGAUUUUUGGAUAGCAUAUUAUCUUCAUCUCAAUCUUUGAUUAGGAACUGACAAAGUUGGAUUUGGUGGCCUUCAGCUUCAGUUUUGCUGUCGUGAAUAGUAGCUGCGAAAUUGGUGAUUUUGCUCCUUUAAUUCUCUAGAUUUGGUGCAAUCUUAUUUUGUUGUUGCUCGUUGUUUGGCACUUUGUUUUGUGGAAAAUUUUGGAGAACAAUAUUGUAACUCUUGGUGAUUAUAGUGGAGCUUUUGGUCCCGUGGUUUUUUACUCUUCACAUCGAAGGGUUUUCCACGUAAAUCUUGGUGUCUUGUGUGAUUGGUUUAUUAUUGUCUUGUUAUAUUUGUUUGGUUGAAUUACUUGCUGCCUUACUAUCAUAUUGCUUGUGGUUGUUUGUUUUCUCUUGGUUCAAAUCGAAAAGGGAAAGUACAGACUUGGGUAUUCUUCCGCUGUUAUCCUGUCAGGCAUUCUUUGUUAGUGCCUUGUCUUUCCCAACAAUGCUUUCCAUCAUCCCGGAAUACUCUGACUUCUUCCGGUCUUGCCAAGCCUUCACCAUUUAACAAUGAAACCCUUAAGAAUGCUGUCACCAAUUAUCUCUUUGAGAAAUUUUCAUUAUUUAUCACGAAUUUGGGCUAUUUAGGUUUCACCCAACCAAUAUAAAAACAAUCAAGAAACACCCAAUACAACCUUAAUUAAAUUAUAGCACAAACACAAUCUAUUCGACUAUUAAAUUAUUUCAGGCAACUAAAAUUUGAAUUGAAGACAACAUCAUGACAACUUAUUUCUAUUAGAGAGUCCCAACACAAAUUAUACUUAUAUUAAACAUGCAAAAGAGUGCAAAAUUAUCAAAAAUAAGUUUGAGCUUUUAAAGACUAACCUUUGGUUUGAUUUUGAGGAGUUUGAAAUGAGGUAAAGUAAUAAAUUCAAAAGUUUUGACCUUUGACUAUUAUAUAACCGUCCAGUUCUUGUCCAUUCAGUGUCAUUAGUUGCACUCGCGAAACCACUCGGCGAUACACCUAGUAAUCAUUUAUCUCUCAUUUUCUUAAAAAUCUUUAACUUUCUGGGGAUAAAAUUGCAGUUUGCAUUGGGAUCACAAAACUGAUUGACAAUGUGCCGAGAUGCUUCCCAUGUUCAGUGAGUUUAUAGGCUCUAUAUUGCUUCAACAUUAAGCCUAAUAACGAAUCUGCACUAGUCUGUUUAACGAUUCCCAAAAUAGACUUUCUGCUAGCCAUCAUAAAAUUUUCCACACUUUCCUCGAUUGAUCCUUCAACAUCAACAAAUAAUUAUUUAUAAAAGUAAAUCCUAAAAAUAUUUAAGAACUUGGGUUGCCUUCCAAUAACCCGUAAUUAACGUCGUGGCAUGAUGUAGGUCCUUCCUGAAUCUCUGUUAUCAGAGUUAGACCUAGUGUCACUAGGUAACCCCAACGUAUUAUUUGGAUGGAGCUGAGGCACAAGAUACAUCAAGAGUGAUCUGAUGUGCUGGAUUGAUCUAGAAUGAGAUCAAAUCAAUUAUUUAUCACUUACAUUUUCUCUCUCAUUCUGUCCAACACUCACUCUUGAUUGGUUAUCUUUUGGAGAAUGAUUUUAAGCAUGUCCUCAAAACAAAUUUUCUCAACCUUAGAGAUUUUGGUGGUCGAGUCAUUUAUUUGAGAUACCAGGGUAGUUAACCUAAAGUCACCCUCAAAUUCUUGAUCUUCCUCAACUAAAUUUCCACCCACUCCCUCAGCCAUGAUUAGAGGACCUGCAUACACAAACAACUAAAAACAAAAAACAAAAAACAAAACAAAAAGUAAAAUGAGUAAAACUACACUAAACAGAACAAAAACUCAACUUAAUAACAUAUUUAAGUAACACCACGCCCUGGUAGAGGCACAAUUUUGAUUUUUUCUUAUCAUGAUAAAUGACACUAACCUACGGUUCAAGUGUCCACGAUCAUCAAUAAUAUAGUAACUCAACCUAGGGUCGGGGUCCUGUCCCAAGGGAGAAGCUUCAAAAAUAUGUAGUCAAUUAAAAUUUCAUUCUAAUUAGUCGUAGCUAAGGAGAUUUACGAAUAAAAAUAACAUAUAUUAAAAGGGGGUGACACAAAUGUGUCAAGAUAAUAGUGACUAAGCUAAGCUUUACAUGGAAAUGAGUUCUCUCUCUCGAGAAACUUACCCCAUUUCAAAAGGGUUUCUCUCAGACACCCACUUGCCGUAUGAAGGCCAACAUACGCCUUACCCCACUCACUCUCUCGAGCUAAGUGUUAGGAUAUGGUUCUAGGGCUCACCCUCUCGAGCUAAAUCUCAUGUCAACCCACUCCUUAGGACAUCAAUAUAGUGGCCUUGGUUUCGCGACCUCUCUCUCGGGCAAGACAAAAAUACAUGGUGGUUUUGUAUUUGCAACUACAAACGCAAAAGAGACUUAGAGUCUUACUAUGUAUUAUGACCUAUUUUAUGUUUAUACAAGUGAUGGUUCUAGAAUAUGAUGUACUAUGAAAAGUUUUAAAUAUUCUGCUAAAUUUCCUAUGACAAUGUGAUGAAUGAUGUCGAUGGGCUUGUACAAGACCUCCGAGAAGUCAAGUAUGCCAUGUUACUUCUAGGAGGUGUUCCCCGAUCAUGACAACUAUCUUAUUUAAAACCAUUAAUACGAAGUUGGGAUACUUAGUCUCAUUUUUCCAUGUGAACACAACUUCAAUAUAAUAUGGACACACCCUUCCAUACUAAAAGAAACACUACUAGCUUAUUACAUGAAUUCGAAUAUAACAUUUAAGAUAGAUGUCGAAGAUUUGAGGGCAUUCCAAACCUUGGGUAAUCCAAGCACUCCAUUCUAUGAAAUGUCCUUUAGCCACCACCACCUACUCUUGGUGGAAAAGAUGAAGAAGAAUGGUUUCGAUAGAAGAAUGCACUAAGUAUGAUAACCAUGAAAAACAUGAUCAAAUGGGACAUUUAGUUGGAAACUAUGCAUCAUGUUCUUUUAGAGAAACUUCAUGCAAAUUUUAUACAAUAUGCACAAUAUAGUUCAUAUACAUCAUAAUAUACAUGAAUACCAUUCACAAGAACAUAUAAAGUCAAUUAUCACAUUUGAGGCACAAAACCUACAACGCAUUACCUUCCUUUUAAAAUUAACUCCUUACCUAAAGCAACCCUUUAUUAAUGCUUAGUGAAAUGCUUGAAUAGUUUCCCAUCACUCCAACCUAUACAUUCAUAAGGACAUAAGCACAUAAUAAACAUAACCUUCACAUAAGAACCAUCACCUAAGAAAACCCAAAGUCACAAUAGUGCAAUGUGAAAGUAGCAUCCCAUAAUACUACUAACACCAAGUGCUAUUAGCAGGCCACCUAAGGCUAGGCACAUCAUAUUCAACAAGUCACAACAUAUUCAUUUAACAUUAUUCAGAAGACUAACAUACUUUAUUAAUUUCAUAUAAGAACUAAUUCUUACAUCUUAGUAAUAAUCCAUUUCGUUCAUAUAAUAGGUAAACUACCCUUACAAUCCCUUCACAAGCUUACUUAUCCAAUGUACACAUGGAGUGCCAUACCCCCACACAUACUAAGCAAAAAAUAUCAAAAAGUCAUAAGUGUGUAUUCAUAUCCAUAUUCGUAAAUCAUAUUCCGUAUUACAUAAUUAAACCUAAUCAUAACCUCCCUUAUAGUGCACUUGUGCAAUGUAUGAGUGAAGUCUCAUUUCCUCACUCAUACUAAGCAAACUCCUCAAGAACCAAAAAUUCUAUGACCUAGACUUGAGACACACAUAAUGGAUAAUGGUGAUUCUAGAUCUAAAACUGUAAUUAACUUGAUUUUGCAGUACUAGAGUCCAAACUUCAAGAAAUGACCAUGACGUUCAAAGACGAGCGAAAAUAAUUUAGUUUGCCUUUAGGUCUUUUAAAGGGUUUGAAGAGUCUUAUGAAGGUUCAACCUUGUAAAAAUACAUAGCGUAUACAUUAGUGCAUGUUUAGGGUCAAAAAGUCAAAAACAACUUGCACUUGAUGAGUGCUAAUGAUUCCCCGUCGAUGGUCUCACGCUUCGUCAAUGGAGGUCGUGAGUCAAUACAUAGAAUUAUGGAGCCUUUGUUCCAUUAGAGAACUCGCUCAUCCAAACGACGAGUAGGCAGGACGGUUUAUUCAUGGAUUGAAAGAUCGUCAACCAUGGACGUCAUUUGAGGCCUGCACACAGGUGCAACACACAACCAAUCCAAGAGUUGUUUGGUACAUUCCACCCUUGGCUAUUUAAAUAUAGAGCAAGUCUACUUUAGUUAUUUGAGGUAUAUUAAGGUAUUUUAACUCAAUAAACAAUAUUUCACACUUCAAAAUUGCAAAAAAACCCUCACUUCUCUCUACUUUCUCUCACUUCUAUAAACCUCCAUUAAAAGGACCUUGGAGCUUCAAGAAGAGGACUAAUUCACAACGAUUUCCACCCAACUUUGUGGAUAGAGUUACACAACUGUCUUCUUUUCCUCGAAGAGUCCUUAUAUAUUCCCUUUGCAUACAUCAUAUCAUGUCAUUGGUUGAGAAAAAAUGUGGAAAAUUUAGAACUUUUGCAUAUGAAGUAUACUUAGACUUCUCGUUUAUUAUGUAUGAACGUAACUCUCCUUAAACAAACUAGGUUGAACUAGAUCUUCACAUGUGUCUCCUGAGUUAAUUUUGUGUAAAACUGUUUUAUAAUGAUUCUUUGAUGAAGUUUAUAAAAUUUGGUAAUGUUUGGAGGUCAAACGUCCAAGAACGUCCAUGACGUUCAAAAGAUGUGCCUUGGAAUGUGCUUGUGUUUCCAUAUGUGUUCUGGCAAGUCUUACCUGUUCGUAUUGGUUGAAAUUGAGAGUGGAGGUUCUUAAAACUUAGAUUAACAUUUAUAGGUUUCAUUAUUUGGUUACCCCUCAACCUAGGAUCCACAAAGCGCCCUAGAGGAGGGCCCCAUCUCUUUGGCAGGAUGCUGCCAAGCAGUGGCAAACGACAGCCACAAGGUUUGGACCGCUGGUCAAAAGAUGGCCUUUCGACUUGUGGCAUCGAUUGAACCUUAAAGGUACUAAAGACCUGUAAAUGUAGAGGCUCAUACCCAAAUAACGGAAACCCAUUAAAGUGGCAUCGAUUGGGCGACGAUCCAUCGCAAGAGAGUCGUUGGUUGUGCCUCUAAAGCUGUCGAAAAUUCUGCCAAGGCUUGGGUUUUUUGGUAAAUUCACCCCAAGUAUUUUAUGAAGAAUAUAUUAUUUUUAGGGUAUUUUAGGUAUUUUAAGAGGGUUCAAACACUAAGACCUAAUUUUAGACUUCAUUUUCAAUAUCACAAAAUCCCUUCCUCAAGAAAGAGUCUCUCAAACUCGAUUGAAGCUAAGACUCAAGGGAUUGCUAGGAGGUAUAAUUGUGGUCGUUUUAUUCAUCAAAAGUUCGUGGUUUUAUUCUCAUUAAGGUAUGGUAGUCAUCCUUGAACCUUCUUUCAUUCAGGAGCCACUUCAAAGAAAUUACAAAAAGGGUUUCAAACUUCAAACUUGUUUAUUCCUUGACUGUAAGUAUGGAUCUUUUCAUUAAAAAGUUUUAAUGAUUAAAAUUAGUUUUUUUUUGUGUUAAAUGAUGAUUUAAUGUCAAAACCCAAAUAAAACCAUAUUUAUUCUUUUUAUGAACUUUUAGCUUAUGAUAUGGGUUUAUGAGCAUGAUUAGAAAAUGAUAGAGUUAUGUUUUCUUUAUAGUUAUUUUGUUAUUUAGAUACUGACCUAAUGUCUAUUUUAUGAUGCAUUAUUGGAUGAAUUGAUGAAAGAUGGUGAAAGCUUGAAUGAAGUGUAAGUUGUUCUUUCUUGCUCAGUUUUCAUUGAAAUGAUUAUUGAGUGGUAUGGUCCACCUUUGGUGACGUUGUUUACAUGAAGUUCAUGAUUAUUUUAUAUAAAUGUGUGUAUGGUGGAUGUCUCCUUGACGGCAUAUAAUGUGAAGUGAACUGGUGAUCAUGGUGUUUAUGCAUGAUAUAUUUUUUAAGAUUGAAAUGUCUUGCUUGAUGAUACUAUGUUUAAGUAAAUAAUAUGUUUAUGUUAAGCAUUCUUAUGUGUAUAAUAUGAUGAAUGAAGAUUUAAGCAUGUUUAGAAGUCAAUGUUAUGAAAAGGGUGAGUAUGUAAAAGGUGUACUCAUAUGUAAAAACAAUCACACUUUGAAUGAAUGGAUGAAGCUAAAGAAUGUGAAUGAAAAGGAGAGUUUUCGGGUGAACACUCGUUGUGAGUUGAUAUGUAAUGUUUAGUAGCAACCUCACUAUUCCCAAGAGUUUUCUAAGAUAGGUUGGUGGUUGGAUGCCCUUGUGAGUUGACAUGUGGUAUUCCAAUGUAACCUCUAGGGAUAAGUACCCUUCGUGAGUUGAGAUGUGUUGCUAAUUAGCUAUCCCUUGACAUAUAGUAAAUGAAUGAUUAAGACUCUGUGGAGGAUUGAUUCUUCGCACAGAGAAGAUAUGAAGAAGAGGUGGUUUCACGUUGUGAGUAGAGAUGUUGUACCCAAUGUGCCUUUUGAUAUGAGUACUCCUCGUGAGUAGAGAGUGAGUUAUUUAGAAUCAAUGUAAUUAUCCCUUAACUAUGAGCCCACGUAGAUGUAGUAGCUACUGGAGAUUCCAUGUAAAGGCUAAAAGAUGAGCGUAGCCUAGGCAAGUAAAGAUCCCUCAUCUGAUUGGGGUAAAUUUAAGGAUUCCUUGUCUAGCUCUCAUGGUCUAUGUCGAUUAUAGCCCUCCCACGCAAACGAAUGUAAUAAACUAAAUCUACUAAAAAGUGUACUACUUAGGGUAGGUGGUGGCAUGAGAUUCUAUUUAUCCAAUGCACAAGUAGGGACUUGAAAGGGUCUUUGUGUGUCUUUAUCUUAAAUGUAUGAAUGUGCUAGUAUGAAAAUGGUGGUAUGUGACAAUGUCUGAUAUUAAUGAAGCAUGUUAGUACAAUGUCUUGUAUAAUGAAGUUUAUGAAUGAUGAAUGUGGUGUAUCUAAUCUCGUGGAAUCCUCAAGGAGCACAAAGUGGGAGUAGUAGUAUGGGAUGAUAUUCUCACAUUUCACAUUGUGUAACUUGCAAGUCCACUUGAAGAAAAGUAGCUAGGUGAAGUUCUAAAUACAAGUAUGUUUCUCUAAAAUUUAGUUAUAGGAGUGAGUACUUGUUAAUCAUGCGAAGUGAGCCUAUAAUGGGCAGCCUUGAAAAUCACAUAGGUGCAUAUUGAAGGAAUUGUAUGCGCGGUUUCUUCAUGUCUACCGUUGUGAGUCGUAGAAUAACCUUGGUUAGUGAAACUAAUAGAGAAAUGAGUUCACUGUGAUAUUUAGUAAGUUCACUCUAAUAUUUUCAUGGGUUCAUUGUAAUGUGUAUUUUGAAGGUUAAAAUUAUGUAAGUUCUAUCCUAUGUGCUAAAAUAUGAUCUUUGUGUUCUUUCACUUCUAUAUUCAUAAAUGAUUUACUUAAUUAAUGUAAAAGCUUAUUUCUACUAAAAUGUUCUUUUUUGAAUGUUUUGCAUUUGCCAUAUUUAGUACAUUAUUUGUACUAACCCCAUACUUUUCUAUACUCUAUAAGUACAGGUUGGAGGCAAGUUGAAGUGUAACGACCUGUUUAGUCGUUUUGAGCAACAAACUUCAAUUCUGGAAAAACAGGCUGAGGCGACGGACCAAACGACGAUCCGUCAUGGGCACGACGGACCGUCGCAGGGUCUCGUUUCAAAACACUUAGAAAAUCUGAAAUUGGGUACUGAAAAUCGACUCUCUGAACUUUGUAACGGAGUGGCAGGACGGACCGUCACAGGUGUGACGGACCGUCACAGGUGUGACGGACCGUCACAGGCCAUUCACCCAAAAUCAAGUCUCUAAACUCUGUGACGGGCAGCAGGACGGACCGUCGUAGGCGCGAUGGGCCGUCACAGACUGCGAAAUCCUAGUCUGGUCGGAUUUCUGGUUAAAUUUUAAGGGACGUUUUUGACUAUUCUUGCCUUAAUUAUAAAGUUCGUGGGUUUAUAUUAAUAACUCAAAUUCUUGGGGGUUAAAAGAGGUAACCCUAAGUUAAUUAGUGGGGUAUUAUUGCCAUCUUUUAUUCUUAAUUAUAUACUAAUUAGGGUAAAAGAAAGAGGGUUUGAAUAAGAAAACAGAAAGAACAAGAAGGGAGAGAGAGAGAAACGAUCGAGAAGAAGAGGAAAACACCAAGCUUUGGGAAAAUUCUUGCUUGAUUCAAUUCUUCGGUGGAGAUAGGUUAUGGUUUUCAUGCUAUUCGUAGUAAACUCUUAAUAGUGAAUGAUAUGUGUUAGUAGUAUUGUAAACCCUUCUAUAUGCUUAAUUGUAUGCUUGCAUGAAUGAUGUGAUUAUGUAAUUAUGAAUAAAUAAGCAUGAUGAAGCUAUUGAAUCCCAAAUCUUGAAAAGAAACCCUAAUCUACUUUGUUAAUGAUGAUGCCUUGGUAUAAAAGAAGGCUUGAUGAAUGAAAGUAGUGAGAUUAGGGGACCGGGUGCCACGUUCCGGUACCAGGAUAGAAUAUGGAUCGGGUGUCAUGUUCCGACACCAGGAUAGAAUAUGGAUCGGGUGCCACGUUCCGGUACCAGGAUAGUAUAUGAGGAUCGGAGUGUCACGUUCCGACACAAGGAUAGAAUAUGGAUCGGGUGCCACAUUCCGGUACCAGGAUAGUAUAUGAGGAUCAGAGUGUCACGUUCCGACACCAGGAUAGAAUAUGGAUCAGGUGCCACGUUCCGGUACCAGGAUAGAAUGAGGAUCGGAGUGUCACGUUCCGACACCAGGAUAGUAUAUUGAGGAGCGGAGUGUCACGUACCGACACGAGGGGAAUAAAGAUAAUGAAUCUUGAAAUAUGUUAAUAUAUCCAAUCUAAUGAACUAAAUUCCCAAAUGAGUAUGAUGAGGAGGUGUGAGUCCUGAUUGAUGUGCUUGGUAUUAUAACCAAGGGUUAUGGUAACUGUAAAUGCUGCAUGCUAAGGAUAUUAGUUGAUUUUAUGAUAUUGCUUAAUACAUACUGUUUUCUAUUUUGAGUUGGCCGAUGAUAUCUACUCAGUACCCGUGUUUUGUACUGACCCCUACUUUUAUUGUUUUCUUCUUGUUUAUUUGUGGAGUGCAGCAAACGUGCCGUCAUGUUCGACUCAACAGUAACUCAAGCCAGUCUUACUACAUCAGAAAUUCAGGGUGAGCUAAUGCUUCUAGCUUGGACUGGAUCUUCUUCUUCAAGUCUUGAUGCCUUGAACUUCCGGCAUGGACUAGCUUCUUAUGUAUUUUUAUCUUCUUAGAAUACUCUUAGUUUAGUAAUUUGAUUAAAGAUGUUCUUGUGAUGAUGACUUCCAGAUUUUGGGGAAAAUAAUAGUUAUUGAUUUUAUUAAUGAGUUUAAGUCUUCCGCAUUACUUUAUGUUGAUAUUACCUUGAAAUGUUAAGGUUUAGAUUGGUGGGUUCGCUCACAUAGGAGGGUAAGUGUGGGUGCCAGUCGCGGCACGGAUUUGGGUCGUGACAAAACUUGGUAUCAGAGCAUUAGGUUCGUUGGUCUCAUCACACAAGAACAGGUCUAGUAGAGUCUUAAGGAACGGUAGGGGGACGCCUUUACUUUUCCUUGAGAGGCUAUAAGACUUUAGGAAAAUUUCACUCUUUCAUUCUUUCUUUCGUGCUACUACUUGAGUCCAAUUGGUAUCUAGGAGAUACGAAUUGGUAUCUGACCAUCUUCACUCUCUUUCGCAGAUGGUUAGAACUAGAGCAACGACUACGUCAACACCAACACCAGCCAGACAAGAAACAACUGAGCCAGCCACUGGGGCUGUGGCUCGAGGAAUAACAACGGCGAGGGGCCGUGGAAGAGGUCAUGGGAGGACGUCCUCUAGGGGAAGAGGACGAACACCUAGCCCAUCUGAUACUAGGGCAGUGACUCCUCCACCGACUGAGGAAGUAAUAAGAGAAGGGGAGGAUGGGGAAACUGAACAUGUGCAAAAUGAGGAAAUGCCAGCCCAACCUACCCCAGAGACGAUCAAUCAGGUUCUGGCUUAUCUUAGCGAGUUAUCUGAUCAAGGUCAGGCACCUCCAGUGUUUUCUGUGCCAACACCUCCGGUUUCAGAAGUACAACAUGCGGCUACUAUGGCUCCCCGCAUGGAUGUUCCAUUGGACAUAGGCACAUUUCCACGUCUGACUACUGGGCCUAUAAUGACAAAUGAUCAACAUGAACUUUUCAGUAAGUUCUUGAAAUUGAAACCUCCGGUCUUCAAGGGUGCUGAAUCGGAGGAUGCUUAUGAUUUUCUGGUUGACUGCCACGAGCUACUACACAAGAUGGGUAUAGUAGAACGGUUUGGUGUGGAGUUUGUGACUUAUCAGUUUCAAGGGAACGCCAAAAUGUGGUGGCGGUCACAUAUCGAGUGUCAACCAAUAGAGGCACCACCUAUGACUUGGGCCUCAUUCUCUAGUUUGUUUAUGAAGAAGUAUAUCCCCGGACUUUGAGGGAUAGGAAAAGGGAUGAGUUCUUGAGCCUAGAGCAAGGUAGGAUGUCGGUUAAUGCUUAUGAGGCUAAGUUUCGUGCACUAUCCAGGUAUGCCACUCAACUCUGUUUCAGUCCUCAAGAGCGGAUUCGCCGGUUUGUGAAGGGGUUGAGGUCAGAAUUGCGGAUUUCGGCCUUAUAGAUAGCGGCAACGGCAAAAUCCUUCCAAGAAGUGGUAGACUUUGUGAUAGAAGUGGAAGGAGUGAAGCCAGACGACUUCACCACAACAUCGACAUCAAAAAGGUUUCGAAAGGGAGGUGAGUUUAAUGGUUCUUACACUAAAGGAUAGGGUUCGGGAAGUUACGCAGUUCGACCCAUUCAAUCUUCACUACAGACUGUAGUUGGGGGUCCACCUCCGACCGGUCAACACUUCUUUGAGAGACCUAUGCAUGAACCCAGAGAGUGCUAUGGAUGUGGGGAGAUUGGACAUAUUAAGAGAUAUUGUCCAAAACAGAGUUACAGACCUCCAAAUGUUAGAGGUAGAGGUGGUCAUGGCAGAGGCCGUUAUUUUGGAGGACGUGGUGGUCGAGGAAAUGGUGGUCACCAAAACGGCCGAGGUGAUGGGCAAACUGGAGCCACUACAUCACAACAAGGUAGGGGCAACGGACAUAUGAACGAUAGGGCCCAUUGUUACGCUUUCCCUAGGCGGUCUGAAGCGGAGGCAUCUGAUGCUGUCAUCACAGGUAAUCUUUUGGUUUGUGAUUGCAUGGCUUCUGUAUUGUUUGAUCCUGGAUCCACAUUUUCUUAUGUAUCUUCCUCAUUUGCUAAUGGUCUAAAUUUACAUUGUGAAUUACUUGAUAUGCCUAUUCGUGUCUCUACUCCGGUGGGUGAGUCUGUGGUAGUUGAAAAGGUAUAUAGGUCUUGUUUGGUAAACUUUGUGGGGAGCAAAACUUAUGUAGAUUUGGUUAUCUUAGAAAUGGAUGAUUUUGAUGUGAUUCUGGGUAUGACUUGGCUUUCUCCGCAAUUUGCAAUCUUGGAUUGUAAUGCUAAAACGGUGACGUUAGCCAAGCCUGGGACAGACCCAUUAGUGUGGGAGGGUGACUACACAUCCAAUCCGGUACGUAUCAUCUCCUUUCUUCGUGCUAAGAAAAUGGUUAGUAAAGGGUGUUUAGCUUUCUUGGCACAUCUCAAGGAUGACACUACCCAAGUACCUUCGAUUGAGUCAGUUUCAGUAGUUCGUGAGUUUCUGGAUGUGUUCCCUGCAGAUCUUCCUGGUAUGCCACCGGAUAGGGAUAUUGACUUCUGUAUUGAUCUCGAACCGGGCACACGCCCCAUUUCUAUACCCCCUUAUAGAAUGGCUCCCGCGGAGUUAAGAGAGUUAAAGGCACAACUUCAAGAGUUAUUGAACAAAGGCUUCAUUAGACCAAGUGCAUCUUCUUGGGGUGCUCCGGUUUUGUUUGUAAAGAAGAAGGAUGGCAGUUUUCGAAUGUGCAUAGACUACAGACAACUGAAUAAGGUAACCAUAAAGAACAAGUAUCCUCUUCCUCGCAUUGAUGACUUGUUCGAUCAGUUACAAGGUGCUUGUGUCUUCUCUAAGAUUGACUUGAGAUCCGGUUAUCAUCAAUUGAAAAUACGGGGAACGGAUGUGCCAAAGACUGCUUUUCGAACAAGGUAUGGGCAUUACGAAUUUGUAGUGAUGUCUUUUGGUCUUACAAAUGCCCCUGCUGCGUUCAUGAGUUUGAUGAACGGGAUUUUUAAGCCAUAUUUGGACCUCUUCGUGAUCGUAUUUAUUGAUGAUAUAUUGGUAUACUCAAAGAGCAAGAAGGAACAUGAAGAGAAUUUGAGAAUGGUAUUGGAAAUGUUGAGGGAGAAAAAGCUUUAUGCCAAGUUCUCUAAGUGUGAGUUUUGGCUAGAUGCAGUGUCCUUCUUGGGACACGUGGUUUCUAAGGAUGGAGUGAUGGUGGAUCCUUCUAAGAUUGAGACAGUGAAGAAUUGGGUAAGACCUACUAAUGUGUCAGAAAUAAGGAGCUUUGUUGGGUUAGCUAGCUGCUACCGCCGAUUCAUCAAGGGAUUCUCUUCUAUUGCUUCCCAAUUGACGAACUUGACUAAGCAGAAUGUUCCAUUUGUAUGGUCGGACGAAUGUGAGGAAAGCUUUCAGAAGCUCAAGACUUUGUUGACUACCGCACUUAUCCUUACCUUGCCAGUAGAGGGUAAGAAAUUCAUUGUUUAUUGUGAUGCAUCCUAUUCUGGUUUGGGUGCAGUACUAAUGCAAGAGAAGAGUGUGAUUGCUUAUGCUUCAAGACAAUUAAAAGUGCAUGAACGUAACUAUCCUACUCAUGAUUUGGAAUUGGCCGCAGUAGUGUUUGCAUUAAAACAAUGGAGACACUAUUUAUAUGGGGUUAAGUGUGAGAUCUAUACGGAUCAUCGUAGCCUUCAGUAUGUCUUUACUCAGAAAGAUUUGAACUUAAGACAGAGGAGAUGGAUGGAGUUACUAAAGGACUACGAUAUCACUAUCUUGUAUCAUCUGGGGAAGGCGAAUGUUGUAGCGGAUGCUUUAAGUAGGAAGGCGUGAAGAAUGGAAAGUCUAGCUCACUUGCAAGCUUCUAGACGCCCAUUGGCUAGAGAGGUUCAAACUCUAGCUAAUGACUUGAUGAGAUUAGAAGUAAAUGAGAGGGGAGGAUUGUUGGCUUCUGUGGAGGCAAGAUCUUUCUUCCUUGACAAGAUUAAGGGAAGACAGUCUGAUGAUGAGAAACUGCACAGAAUUCAAGAUAAGGUAUUGCGAGGAGAGGCUAAGGAAGCACAAAUCGAUGAGGAAGGUGUUUUGAGGAUCAAGGGAAGGGUAUGUGUACCCCGCGUCGAUGAUUUGAUCAACACUAUUCUGACAGAGGCUCAUAGUUCAAGGUAUUCGAUACAUCCAGGUGCAACCAAGAUGUACGUGACCUAAAGCAACACUUUUGGUGGAGUAGAAUGAAGCGUGACAUUGUGGAUUUUAUUGCCAAAUGUCCAAACUGUCAACAAGUAAAGUAUGAACACCAGAGGCCCGGAGGAACACUUCAGAGAAUGCCCAUUCCUGAAUGGAAAUGGGAGAUAAUUGCAAUGGACUUUGUGGUUGGUCUUCCAAGGACAAUGGGUAAGUAUGACUCCAUUUGGGUGAUUGUUGAUAGGUUAACUAAAUUGCUCAUUUUAUUCAGGUUAAGGUGACUUACAAUGCCGAGAAAUUAGCCAAGAUCUAUAUCUCAGAAAUCGUUCGAUUGCAUGGGAUUCCACUAUCCAUCAUAUCAGAUAGAGGUACGCAGUUUACUUCUAAGUUUUGGAAAACAUUGCAUGCGGAAUUGGGUACUAGGUUGGACCUUAGUACUGCGUUCCAUCCUCAACCGAUGGUCAGUCUGAGAGAACGAUUCAAGUGUUGGAAGAUAUGCUUCGUGCAUGUGUGAUAGAGUUUGGUGGUCAUUGGGAUCGCUUCCUACCCUUAGUGGAGUUUUCAUACAAUAAUAGCUAUCACUUAAGCAUUGAUAUGGCUCCAUUUGAAGCAUUGUAUGGUAGGAGAUGUAGGUCUCCCAUUGGUUGGUUUGAUGCGUUUGAGGUUAGGCCUUAGGGUACUGACCUUUUGAGGGAUUCGAUAGAGAAAGUGAAGUCUAUUCAAGAAAAGCUUCUAGCGGCGCAAAGUAGACAAAAAGAAUAUGCAGAUCGAAAGGUUAGAGACUUAGAGUUCAUGGAGGGUGAACAGGUCUUGUUGAAAGUUUCACCAAUGAAAGGGGUGAUGCGGUUUGGUAAAAGGGGUAAGCUAAGUCCAAGGUACAUUGGACCAUUUGAAGUACUUAAGCGAGUAGGAGAGGUGGCUUAUGAGUUAGCCUUGCCUCCAGGGCUGUCCGGAGUGCAUCCGGUUUUCCAUGUGUCUAUGUUGAAAAAAUAUCAUGGGGAUGGAAAUUACAUUAUCCGUUGGGAUUCAGUCUUGCUUGAUGAGAACUUGUCUUAUGAGGAGGAGCCUGUUGCUAUCUUAGAUAGAGAAGUUCGCAAGUUGAGGUCAAGAGAGAUUGCAUCCAUCAAGGUGCAAUGGAAGAAUCGACCGGUUGAAGAAGCCACUUGGGAGAAGGAGGCGGAUAUGCAAGAAAGAUACCCACAUCUGUUUAAAGAUUCAGGUACUCCUUCUCGCCCUUGUUUUCCCUCUUUUGAUCGUUCGGGGACGAACGAUGGGUAAAUUGGUAUCUAUUGUAAUGACCUGUUUAGUCGUUUUGAGCAACAAACUUCAAUUCUGGAAAAACAGGCUGAGGCGACGGACCAAAUGAUGAUCCGUCAUGGGCACGACGGACCGUCGCAGGGUCUCGUUUCAAAACACUUAGAAAAUCUGAAAUUGGGUACUGAAAAUCGACUCUCUGAACUUUGUAACGGAGUGGCAGGAAGGACCGUCACAGGUGUGACGGACCGUCACAGGCCAUUCACCCAAAAUCAAGUCUCUGAACUCUGUGACGGGCAGCAGGACGGACCGUCGCAGGCGCGACGGGCCGUCACAGACUGCAAAAUCCCAGUCUGGUUGGAUUUCUGGUUAAGUUUUAAGGGACGUUUUUGACUAUUCUUGCCUUAAUUAUAAAGUUCGUGGGUUUAUAUUAAUAACUCAAAUUCUUGGGGGUUAAAAGAGGUAACCCUAAGUUAAUUAGUGGGGUAUUAUUGCCAUCUUUUAUUCUUAAUUAUAUACUAAUUAGGGUAAAAGAAAGAGGGUUUGAAUAAGAAAAUAGAAAGAACAAGAAGGGAGAGAGAGAAACGAUCGAGAAGAAGAGGAAAACACCAAGCUUUGGGAAAAUUCUUGCUUGAUUCAAUUCUUCGGUGGAGGUAGGUUAUGGUUUUCAUGCUAUUCGUAGUAAACUCUUAAUAGUGAAUGAUAUGUGUUAGUAGUAUUGUAAACCCUUCUAUAUGCUUAAUUGUAUGCUUGCAUGAAUGAUGUGAUUAUGUAAUUAUGAAUAAAUAAGCAUGAUGAAGCUAUUGAAUCCCAAAUCUUGAAAAAAACCCUAAUCUACUUUGUUAAUGAUGAUGCCUUGGUAUAAAAGAAGGCUUGAUGAAUGAAAGUAGUGAGAUUAGGGGAUCGGGUGCCACGUUUCGGUACCAGGAUAGAAUAUGGAUCGGGUGUCACGUUCCACACCAGGAUAGAAUAUGGAUCGGGUGCCACGUUCCAGUACCAUGAUAGUAUAUGAGGAUCGGAGUGUCACGUUCCGACACCAGGAUAGAAUAUGGAUCAGGUGCCACGUUCCCGUACCAGGAUAGUAUAUGAGGAUCAGAGUGUCACGUUCCGACACGAGGAUAGAAUAUGGAUCGGGUGCCACGUUCCGGUACCAGGAUAGAAUGAGGAUCGGAGUGUCACGUUCCGACACCAGGAUAGUAUAUUGAGGAGCGGAGUGUCACGUACCGACACGAGGGGAAUAAAGAUAAUGAAUCUUGAAAUAUGUUAAUAUAUCCAAUCUAAUGAACUAAAUUCCCAAAUGAGUAUGAUGAGGAGGUGUGAGUCCUCAUUGAUGUGCUUGGUAUUAUAACCAAGGGUUAUGGUAACUGUAAAUGCUGCAUGCUAAGGAUAUUAGUUGAUUUUAUGAUAUUGCUUAAUACAUACUGUUUUCUAUUUUGAGUUGGCCGAUGAUAUCUACUCAGUACCCGUGUUUUGUACUGACCCCUACUUUUAUUGUUUUCUUCUUGUUUAUUUGUGGAGUGCAGCAAACGUGCCGUCAUGUUCGACUCAACAGUAACUCAAGCCAGUCUUACUACAUCGGAAAUUCAGGGUGAGCUAAUGCUUCUAGCUUGGACUGGAUCUUCUUCUUCAAGUCUUGAUGCCUUGAACUUCCGGCAUGGACUAGCUUCUUAUGUAUUUUUAUCUUCUUAGAAUACUCUUAGUUUAGUAAUUUGAUUAUAGAUGUUCUUGUGAUGAUAACUUCCAGAUUUUGGGGAUAAUAAUAGUUAUUGAUUUUAUUAAUGAGUUUAAGUCUUCCGCAUUACUUUAUGUUGAUAUUACCUUGAAAUGUUAAGGUUUAUAUUGGUUGGGUUCGCUCACAUAGGAGGGUAAGUGUGGGUGCCAGUCGCGGCCCGGAUUUGGGUCGUGACAUGAAGACUAGAAGGAAUGAUUGGGAAUCAACUCUCUCAAGAAUAAGUAUUUCCUCAUAUAUUCGAGGGCACUGUCUUUUUUUUAGCUUCUACUGUUAAGAGUUAUUGUAAAUUUUUUUCAAUGUAAAGAGCCGUGUCUAUAAGAUAUUUAAGAUGUGUCUUUAAGUUGGCUUGUGACGACAAGACUACUCUUUAGUUUUUAUAUUAGAUAUUUCAUUUUUAUUAUUAAUAUCAUAAAAAGUUUUAAUUCCACACUACUUUUUGUGUCUUAUGUGAUGAAUGACAGCAAAAGGCUAGUACAAGACCUCCGAAAGGUCAAGAACGCAAUUGUUCUGACCUAUGGGUUCCCCAAACUUCUCGGGGUACUUUUGGGUUGUGAAAAAGGUGGUAUCAGAGUAUAAGUUAUGGGAAAUAGUUAGUGUCUAAAGUCUCACAAGCCACGUCUCGUAGAGUCUUGUUCAUUGGUGUGAGUGGUGACACACCCAUGAGUUCAUUACUUAUGUACCGAGCCAUAGAACUCAACUCCAUAAGGUCUCUCUCUUUUUAGCACUUGUCCAGUGGUCUUCUAGAUGUGAUUGCUUGGAAGGGAAGAUGUUUCUAAGUUAUGAGGUAGGGCUGUGAGUUUUGAUGCAUAUAAUAGUGUUGUGGCUAGAAGAGUAGAUAUGAAGGUGAGUUUUUAACAUUAUAAUGUGAUGCCAUUUAUGGCUAUGUGUGAUUUAUGAGAUUGGAAGUAUUAUGAUGUGAAAUUGUAUGGUGAUGUAGUUCUAAGAAUAAGAAGAUUUAAAAUUGUUGAAUGAAGUCCUUUUAGGGAAAAAUUAGUUAUCUUUUGGUUGUGUACAAUGAUAGUAGAGAAUUUAAGGUGUAAGUUUGAGAAAUGUUGAAGAGAAUAUGGUAGUUUUGUAAGAGUUUAGUUCUUACCUUUUGUGUGGGUAAUGUUUCAUAAAUGUGUUUGUGAUUGGUUGAAGUUCUUAUGUAGGUUUACUCUAAGGAGGAAAGAUAUUAUGCGUACCUAUCAAAUGGUGGAAUCCAUAUAGCUAGAAUGUUGGUUUCCAAAUGAAUCUACCUUAGUGGGUGGAAGGAGAGAGAGGGAAUUUCAUUUCCAUGAGUUGAGUUAUGUGAUGCCUAAGAGUUGAAUGACAAGAUCUUUAAGAGUGUAUGUCCUAGAUUAGAUCCUAAGAGGAGGGUGUUAUGCUUGACUAUUAAGGUUGAUGUUUACUCUUGAUGUUCAUAAGUUAAGGGUAGUAUGAGUUCUUACCUUAUGAGAGGUGUAAUGAUACUUAGGAGUAUAAGACCUUGAAGAUGACUUUACCCUUAGUGGGGGAGAAUGAGUUUAGUGGAAAAAUAGUUGAUAUCCGUAUCCUUCCUUUCAUUCGUAUUCAUGCUUGUGAACAAAAUCCUUGGUAGUUUAGUAAUGAUUAGGAGUCUUGCAUAGUAGUAAGAGUUUCAUUUCUCUUUAUGCUAUGAGUACCUUUGAUGAUAUAAUGUUUUGUAUGCUCUUGAUGUGGGGGAGAAUGACUUUUGUGGAAAAAUAGUUGAUACCCGUAUCCUUCCUUUUAUUCGUAUUCAUGCUUGAGACAACAAUCCUUGGUAGUUUAGUAAUGAUUAGGUGUCUUGCAUAGUAGUAAUAGUUUCUUUCUCUUUAUGCUAUGAGUACCUUUGAUGGUAUAAUGUUUUGUAUGCUCUUGAUGAUUUCAUGAUUACAUGGGAAGAAUGGUAGUCAACAUAUAUCUCUCACGUUAAGGUUUAGCUAACGAUAUUUUUGAAUUGAUUCAAAGUUGUUUUCUUUGUGUUAUAAGAUGAGUCUAUAUGGUCUUUUCUAUUAUGUUGUCAUGCCUUCAUGUUAGAUUUCUUGAAAGGUGAAUUAUUGAAUUUUAUGCAUGUUUUAAUGUUAAAGUUCUGGUGUUCACUGUAAAGAAGUUCAAGAUUUUACAAAAUUACAUUUUAUGAAUAAUAGUUUCAAUAUGUUUAGGAAUGAUUUAGAUGAGCAUGUCUACUGUUGGAGAAGGUAGGUCCUCCAUAAAUAAAGAAAUGAGGGUGUGUUUUGAAUUGUAGAAUUUGUUCCAAAAGUUGCCUGUGUUGCUAUCAAAUGCUUAUCAAUGUAUAGUUGUGUUACAUGUUAAGUUGGUGCAUUAGCUAUGGAUGUUUUAACCUUGAUGUGAUGUGUUAUAUGCUGCUAGUUAAGUCCUUGAUGUCGUUAAGAGUGUUUAGUGUCAUUCAAGGACGAAUGUUGAUCCAAGUGGGGGAGAAUGUAACGCCCCUUAAAAGAACAAGGUUGAACUAUAGCUUCACAUGUGUCUCAUGAGUUGAUUUUGUGUUAAAAUUUUAAUGAUGAUGUUUUUAGGAAGUAUAUAAAUUUUUGUAAUGUUUGGAGGUCAAACAUCCAAGAACGUCCAUGAUGUUUGGAAGAUAUGCCCAGGAAUGUUCUUGUGUGAUCUUAUGUGUUUUUGCAAGUGUUGUGUGUUCGUUUUGGUUGAAAUUGAAGGUGGAGGUUCCUAAUACCUAGAUUACCAUGUAUAGGGGUUCAAUGUCUGGGUACGACUUCACCUAAGACCCACGAGUGGCCCUAGAAGAGGUUCACAUCUCUUUAGCAGGAUGCUGCCAAACAGUGGCAAACAAUGGCAACAAGGGAUGGGCCGUUGGUCAAACGACUGCCUGUUGACCUUGGACAUCAAUUGAAACAUCAAGAUAUGCAAGGCCUUCACAUGGGGAGGCUCAGACACAAAUGACGGACCCCUAUCAAAGGGCUGUAGAGUGGUCUACGGUCCUUCGCUAGCGGGUCGUUGGUUGUGCCUGUAAAGGUGUAAAAAAUUCUGCCAAGGCUAGAGGUGUUUGGUAAUUUCACCCCAAGUCUUUUAUGAACCAUGGAUGAUUAUUUUAACGUAUUUUAGGUAUUUCUAGAGGGUUCAAACACUAAUCCCUAAUUUUAGACUUCAUUUUCAAAAUCCAAAAACCCUUCCCUCAAGAAAGGCUCUGUCAAACUCGAUUGAAGCUAAGAAUCAAGGAAUUGCUAGGAGGCUGGUUGUGGACGUUUUAUUCAGAAUUUUUUUUUACAUUUCUUCUCAUUAAGGUAUGGUAGUCAUCCUUGAACCUUCUUUCAUUCAAUAAGUCACUUCAAAGAAAUUACAAAAAGGGUUUCAAAUUUCAAUCUUCUUUAUUCCUUGACUUCAAGUAUGGUAUUUGCAUGAAAAUGUUUUAAUGAUUAAUAUUAGUUGUUUUUAGUUUUAGAUUAUUAUUAAUGUCAAAAGUCAAAUGAAACCAUGUUUAUGUUUUUUUUUAUCAACUUUUAGCUUAUGAAAUGGGUUUAAUGAUAAUGAUUAGAGGGUGUUACAAUUAUGUUUUCUUUGUAGUUUUUUUUGAUUUAGAUACUCCCAUAAGGGAUAAUUUAUGAUGAAUUAUUGGAGGGAUUGAUGAAAGGUGGUGAAAGCUUGGAUGAAGUGUAAGUUGUUCCAUCUUGCUUAGUUUCCAUUGAAAUGAUUCUUGAGUGGUAUGGUCCACCUCUGAUGGUGGUGUUUACCUCAUGAUUAUUUUGUAUAAUUGUAUGUAUUGUGGAUGUGGCAUUUACGGCAUAUAAUGUGAAGUGAAAAAGGUGAUUAUUGUGUUUAUGAACGAUAUGGUUUAGAAGAUUGAAAUGUGUUUCUUGAUGAUACUAUGUUUAAGUGAAUACUAUGUAUAUCUUAAGAAUGCUAGUGUGUGUAAUAUGAUCAAUGAAGAUGUAAGCAUGUUUAGAAGUCAAUGUUUUAAAAAGGGUGAUUAUGUGAAAGGUGUGCUCACAUAUACAGACACUUACAAUUUGAAUGAAUGAAUGAAGUUAUAGAAUGUGAUUGAAAAGGGGAGUUUUUUGAUGAACACUUGUUGCAAGUUGAGAUGUAGUGUUUAGUAGCAACAUAACUAUUCCCAAUAGUUUUCUAAGAUAGGUUGGAGGUUGGAUACCCUUCGUGAGUUGAGAUGUGGUAUUCCAUUGUAACCUAUAAGGACAAGUACCCUUCGUGAGUUGAUAUGUGAUGCUAAUUAGUUAUCCCUUAACCUAUAGUAAAUGAAUGUUUAAGACUCUGUGGGGGGGGUUAUUCUUAGAACCGAGAAGAUAUGAAAAAGAGGUGGUUACACGUUGUGAGUAGAGAUGUUGUACCUAAUGUACCUGCUGAGAUGAGUACUCGUCGUGAGUAGAGAGUGAGUUUCUUAAAUAAAUCUUCUUAUUUCUGAACAAUGUGCUUGCAUAGGUGUAGCUAUUGGAGAUUCCAUGUAAUGGCUAAAAGAAUGACCAUACCCUAGGCAAGUAGGGAUCUCUCAUCCGAUAAGGGUUAAUUGCGGGAUUCCAUGUCUAGCUCUUAUGGUCUAUUUUGGUUAAAGCCAUCCCACACAAACGAAUGUAAUGAACUAAGUCUUCUAAAGAGUGUACUACUUAGGGUAGGUGGUGGUAUGAGAUGCUAUUUAUCCUUUCACAAGUACGCACUUAAAAGAGGAAUCUUUGUGUGUCUUUAUAUUUAAUGUGUGAAUGUGCUAGCAUGUAAUGAAAAUGGAGUUACGUGACUUAAUGUCUAAUGAUAAGAAACCAUGUUAAUAUUCUGUCUUGUAUAAUGAAGUUUAUGAGUGAUUAAUGUGGUCUAUCUAAUAUCAUGGAAUCCUCAAGGAGCACAAAGUGGGAGAAGUAGUAUGGGAUGUUAUUCUCACAUUGCAGUUUGUGUAACUUGCAAGACCACUUGGAGAAGGGAACCUAUGUGAAGUUCUAAACACAAGUAUGUUUCUCUAAUGUUUAGGUAUAGGAGUGUGGACUUGUUACCCAUGCGAAGUAAGACUGUAAUGGGUAGCCUUGAGAAUCACUUAAGGUGCGUAUUGAAGGAAUUGUAUGGGCGGUUCCUUCAUGUUUACCUUUGCGAGUCGCAGGAUAACCUUGGUUAGGGAAACUUCUCAGCAAAUGAGUUCACUGUAAUAUUUUGAUGGGAUCACUGUAAUGUGCAUUUUUUUAGGUUAAGAUUACGUAAACUUUAUCAUAUGUGUUUAAUUAUGAUCUUGGUGUUAUUUCACUUCUAUAUUCAUGAAAGUUUACUUAAUAAGCAUGAAAACUUAUUUCUACCAAAACGUCCCUUUUUGCAUAUUUUGCAUAUGCCAUACUUCGUACAUUGUUUGAACCAACCCCGUACUUUUGUAUACUCUAUAAGUAUAAGUUGGAGGCAAGUUGAAGACUAGAAGGCAAGAUUGGUAAUCGACUCUCUCAAGACUAAGUAUGUCCUCAUAUAUUCGAGGGCAUAGUCCUAUUUCUUUAAUUUCUACUUUUAAGACUUAUUAUAUAUUUAGUUUCAAUGUAAAGGGCCGUGUCUCUAAGAUAUUUAAGAUGUGGAUUUAAGUUGGCUUGUGACGAUGAGACUACUCUUUAGUUUUUAUAAAAGAUAUUUCCUUUUUAUUAUUAAUGUCGUGAAAAGUUUUAAUUUUGCACUGAUUUUCAUGUCUUAUGUAAUGAAUGAUAGAAAAUGGCUAGAAGAAGACCUCCGUAAUGUCAAGUGCUUAAUUGUUCUUACCUAUGGGUUGCCUAACUUCUUCGGGGUAUUUUUCGGUCUUGAUAAAGUUUGUAUUAGAGAAUAAGUUAUGGGAAACAGUUUAGGGUAUAAAGGCUCACAAACCACGUCUAUAGAGUCUUAUUCUUCGGGUUGAGUGAUGACACACCCAUGAGUGAGAGGCAUUAAGGCGAUAGAAGUUUAACUUUCUUCAUUACUCUUGUACCGUGCCAUAUGACUUAACUCCAUCAGGUCUCUAUCUUCUUUUCACUUGUAUCAUGAUUUUCUAAAUUGCUUGGAAGGGCAUAUGUUUCUAAGUUCAGAGGGAGGAAUAUGAAUUUUGAUGCAUAUAAUGGUUAUGUGGCUAGAAGAGUACAUGUGAAGGAGAGAUUUGAAGAUUAUGAUGUGUUCCAUUUAUGGAUAUGUGUGAUUUAUGAGAUUGGAAGUAUUAUGAUGUGAAUUUGUAUAGUGAUAAAGUUCUAAAAAUAGUAAGAGUUAAAAUGGUUGAAUGACGUCUUUUAGGGGGAAAAUGAGUUAUCUUAUGGUUGUGUACAAUGAUAGUAGAGUAUUAAGGUGUAAGUUUGAGAAGUGUUGAAGAGAAUAUGGUAGUUUGGUAAGAGUUGAUAUCUGCCCUCUUGUGUGGGUUAUGUGGCAUAGUUUUGCUUAUGAGUGUAUUGAAGUUCUUGUGUAGGUUUACUCUAAGGAGGAAAGAUAUUAUGUCUACCAAGCAAAUGGAGGAAUCCAUAUACCUAGAAUGUUUGUUUCCAAAUGAAUCUACCUUAGUGCGUGGAAGGAGAAAGAGGGAAUUUCAUUUCCAUGAGUUGAGUUAUGUGAUGCCUAAGAGUUUAAUCAGAAGAUCUUUAAGAGUGUUUGUCCUAGAUUGAAUCCAAAGAGGAGGGUGUUAUGCUUAACUAGUAUGGUUGAUGUUUAGUCUUGAUGUUCAUAAGUUAAGGGUAGUAUGAGUUCUUACCUUAUGAGAGGUGUAGUGAUACUUUGAAGUAUGAGACCAUGAAGAUGGAUUUACCCUAAGUGGAGGAGAAUGAGUUAAGUGGAAAAAUACUUGAUAUCCUUAUCCUUCCUUCUAUUCGUAUUCAAGAUUGAGAACAAAAUCCUUAUAGGUUUGUAAUGAUUAGGAGUCAUGCAUAUUAGUAAGAGUUGCAUUUCAAAUUUGUAUGCUCUUGAUGAUAUCAUGAUUACACGGGGAUAUUGGUAGUCAACCUUUAUUUCUCAUUUUAAGGUGUAUCUACUUGUCACGACCCGAAAGUACCACCGAGAAGUUAGAAGGAACUCUAGUUUCGUGACCGUGCGUACUUGACCCUUUGGGGUCUUGUAUAAUCCCUUUAACUAGCAUUCAUUACAUAAGACAUGAAAAGUAGUGCGAAAUUAAAACUUUUCAUGAAUAAAUUAAUAAAAAGGAACCCUUUCAUAAAUACUUAAGAAAUCUUAUCGUCACAAGCCAAACUUAAGACAUGAUAUAUAAAAUCUUAGGGACACGACCCUUUACAUUGAAAUCAAAUACAUAAUAAGUCUUAAUAAUAAAUCUAGGAAACAAUAGACUAUGUCCUCAAAUAUAUAAGGACAUACCAAUUGUUGAGAGAGUGAAUUCCCCAUGUUUCGCCUUCGAAUCUUCAAAAAAAUUCUUCAACCUAGACUUAUAAGGUAUAGAAAAGUAUGGGGUUAUUACAAUUAAUGUACUAAGUAUGGCAUAUCCAAAAACAUGGUAAAAGGGACAUUUUAGUAAAAUAACAUUUCAUGCAAUUUAAGUAAAAUAUUCAAGAAUAUAAAAUCAAUACAUCAUAAGAAUAAUCUUUUAACACUUAUAUAAGAGAUUCCAUAAUUUUUAACCAAAAGAGACCAUUUACAGUAACUUCCAAAACAUAACAUAAACUUCAACUAACAUUAUAGUGAACUAAUUUUAACUUUUAAAAUAAAUCAUUUAAGGUAUUCACAAAGAAUUAUCCUAUUCUAAAUGAGUGAACUUCCAAGGCCAAGCGGAAGAGAAAGUGAACUCAUUUUCAAUAACAGUUUCCCUACCUUGGGAUUAUCCUAAGACUCACUAAGGAAAGACAUGAAGGAAGUAUGCAUAUUCCUCCUUCAAUACACACGAAAGAAAUUCUAAAGACUACCCCUCGUGCUUACUCAACUCGGGAGAAACAAACCCCUCAAUUAAAGGAAAUAUAUUUAAAGGCACCCAACAAACCACCAAACUCUUUCCUUUCAGAAUGCCUACUUAGUGCAAUGAGUAGAGAGCGCCCCAUUACCACCACCUACCCUAAGUAGUACAUUCUUUUAGAAGGAUUGCCACCAAGUCGUCCCUUUCAGAAUAUCCUACCUAGUGCAAUGAGUAGAUAGCGUUCCAUACCACCGCCUACCCUAUGUAGUAUAUUCUUUCAGAAGACUUAGUUCAAUCAAUUCUUUUGUGGAGGGUUAGCUUAACCUACACCGAUCAUGAGAUCUUGACGUAGAAUCCCAACAUUAACCCCUAUCGGAGGAGGGAUCCUCACUUGCCCUGAGAAAGAUCAUUCUUUUUAGCUUUUACAUGGCUUUCCCAACGGCUACACCUAUGUGGGCGCAUAGUUAAGGGAUGUUGAUACGCUCAAUCUUACUUCUCAAAUAAGAAGUAAAGCGGUCGUGUCAAGUAAAUAACCCAACUAAUGAGGUUGGGAUCGUUCCCACGAGGAAAAUAGUUUAAACUUAACUUCAAUCUAUUAUUACUAUUGUUCAGUCACUUACUUCCUUGGAAAGCAAAAAUGAUAAAAGGGGGGUUUUUCUAUUUCUGAAUAAAUGAAAAUAACUAGAAAAAUUAAAGGAUACACUUAACAGCUUUGAAUGUUGGAUUUUAAUCAAUUAAUCAAAGUAACUAGGGUUUACGUGUUCCCCACAGGUUCAUAACUUGAUAAUUAAAACUAUAACAAUUCUUUCCUAGUCUCUUGCAUGCAAAGUGAUAAGUUAUGUAUUUCUAAAUCCUUGGUCCGACAUCUUGAAAAUUUCACUCCGCACCUUGGUCCGGCUACGUGUGUUGCUAUAUUAACCCUUACCUUUACCUCCUAUUAAGCAUCGUAUUCGAUAUUUGACUAAGUUAUUACCUCGUACCAAUCAAUACCAGCCUAUUAGAUAGUAUACACUAAAUCUAUGUUGAUAAUUCUUUUUCUAUUAUCUACCUCCUUGGUCCAACAAUUAGCAUUAUAGCGAGCUCUAACGUUGGCCAUCCGUCAAAAUGACUUCUAAGUGAAAGAAUUAUCAAUACAUGCAAGACACUAUUCUAGAAUUGUUAUUUUAGUUAGUUUUUACUUUCAUUAUUUGCCUAUGGUUCCCACAACCCUAGUUAUGGAGUUUUAGUUACCCAUAAACAUAAUCACAAUAUUCAAAUAUAUGGUAUAAGAAUUAAUGUACUUACUUCAAUGAGAAAGAGUAAAAUCUGAAAGUUAGGUUGAUUAAUCAACAAAAAUCACCAACAAUCAAUUACAAGAGUCUCAAAAUAUUCAAGAGACUCCCAAAAGGUCUAAAAAAUAAUCAAGAGUCUAACAAUGAUCAAGGGUCUAUCCUCAAAAAUGAGAUUUUUCAAACUAUUUAUAAAAAUAAAAACCUAAUUAAAUAAGGACUCUAUUUGCUGGAAAUUUGUCGAAACACGGUAGGAUCGACAGACCUCGCGACAGAUCGUCGUGGUCACCGUAAUGGACUCCGUCGUCCCAUAGAUGUGCAAUUUCUUCUGCUUCUCUCUCCAUUACCCUCGGCGGAAGGUAUGAUGGAUCAUCACAGGCACAAGGGUCCGUUGAGGGUCUCCGUUCCAAAACAUUUAAACUCUUGGAAUUUGGGUACUGGACUACUUCUCUGAACUUCAUGACGAACCAACAGGACGGGCGUCAUGGCUACGACGGUUCGUUACGCACUCCGUAACCCCACACUUGGUCAAACUUCCUCAUCUUCCUUCAUCAGCUGCACUAUGAUGCCACCUACGGACCGUAACGAGCACGACGAACCGUCACAAGCUCCGUAGGUGGUACUUUUCUGUAUUUCUCGCUCAAAAACCUCCAUAUUCUUCUUUUAGACAGAUUUCCUGCAAAUAAAGAGAAAAUUACAUAAAAAAUAGCACAAAAAGGCUUUUGGACACACUAAACUUAAGGAAAGAGUAUUAAUAAUACCGUGAAACCACGAUAUAUCAACACCCUCUACUUAAAUGCGUUGUUUGUCCUCAAGCGACACACUAUGACUCAAUACAAAAUCUUUGAACAAUAGUAUCCAUGUUUUAUCCUUCGCUAUCAUUUGACUAUCAAUCCCGAUCAAUUUAAUCAUAUUUAUGCAUGCUAUCACUAUUAGGCUUAAAUUAUGUGGAAUCAGACAAUGACACAGAGUCACCAUGCACUAACAUCUAUCCUCUUCAAUUUCUCACCGAGGUGCUAAUAUUUUCAGUAUUGCACCUAGUGUUCUCACUUCAAAACAUGAUCCUCAUUUUUCAUACAGUGAUUUCAGUUUGAUUGUAAGGAUUACUUUUCAACACUCACUUUCAGAACAAAUUUACACUCAUUCAUACAUAUUUCCAUAAGCUUUCCCUUAUUUUCACUACUUUAAGUUCGCUAUACAACUCUUAGGAUCACGAUAGAACUUUCUUAGCUUGUAACAUAGGCUCAGGGUCAGGUACGGUAUAUUUAGGCAUACUUUAUUGACUUUUUUCCCUCCUUGACAUAUCAGCUAAACAUACAAUUUUCUAUCAUUUUAUUUUGCACAGUUCCUCAUAUUCUUUCACCUUGCUGUUUUCCCUUUUUUCUUCAUUUGUGUAAGUGACUCUCUUUUUUUCUUGCUUGUAUUUCUUGUAUAUUUUUUUUCUUUACUUUUCUUUCAACUAAUUCUUGAGUCACUUUACUUUUGUUCUUUCUCUCUCUUUGUUCUUUCAACCCCACUUUCCAGAGUAUUCGUCAUAAUAACCACCCUCAACUCAUGGCUUUGCCAUGAGUCAAAGUACACAAUACCCAAAGUUGGGUCAGAGCCAUAAAAAGGGUUGUUUACUGCAUUAGCCACCCUCAACUUAUGCUUUUGGCAUAAGCUGAGGUGCACAUGUCCAAGGAGGGACCAGGGCGUUAUUCUUAGAAAAGAUAAGUUAGGGUGAAAAAGAAAGGUCUAGUUUAAGAUCAAAUCAUUUGGAUCAAAGAAGGAUAAAUUUCAUUUGGUUUUCUUUUAUUUAGUCUAAAAAUGGGCUAAAUAAGAGCCUAUGAUCCUUUCCUAAUUGUCUAUUACAACUUACUUUUAGCAGGACUAACAGGCAAGUUCUAGCUCAAUACAAAUAGUGGACUAUCCAAAUUUUCCUCACACUCACUUGACAUCUCAUUAAUCUACCAGAUUAUCAGACACCUAGUUUGAAUUUUAGACUUAGGGUCAUGCAGUGGUGUACCUCCUAUGUCAUGCUUAGAGCCACACAUUUAUCAAUAACUAUGCCUAGUCAUGCAUCAUUUUCCAUUUUAUCAGGAUAUCAUUUUAGCCAUCAUGCUUCAGAAUUAAACUAUGUAGACAAGAUAUAGACAUGCCGGUUCAACAGAAAAAGUAAUCAGUUUCUUGGGGAAAAAGAACACAGGCAAGAAAACCCCAAAAGAGGAUAGUGAAUUUGGCUACUCAGACUACACCCUAGCACUCACUUUCCAUUUACCCCACCCCAACAAAAAGACAUGCAAUUGUCCCCAAUGCAUAAAAAUAUUGAAAUACUAGAGUGGUAGGUGAAGCAAACCUUGGGUCAAAGCGCCGACGAUCAGCAAGCUGGUGGGUCUGGUUCCCCGGAACCCACUACCUCUGUAAUCUGGACACCCUCAGUGGUGUCCUCAGCUUCAACAACACUAUCAGCAGUGCCUCCCGCUAUCUCCAAAGUUCUGGAGCUAGACGCCCCAGCAGUGAACUCUCCUGCUCUCAUCUGACGCGCCUCCUCCUUAGCAAGCGAGGCUCUCCUCGCGGCCUCCAUUUCACGACGCUCCUUCUUCCGUGCUCGAUCUUCAUCCUCCUCUCGACCCCUAUGCCUCUUGGCAUGAUCUCAAGGGGGAGGUGGUAGAAUCUCUGAAGUGGCGAAUAGGGCCGCCAUCAAUGUGUCUUCAGAAGGCUCUGCAGAAUGGGCCUCAGACCGAGGCACCCUAGCCUCUAAGAUCAUGUCGAUGUCUGUGCGAAGACUGUCGACCGCAGCCUGAAGGAUUGACACAUCCACCUAAAGAGCUAGUCGGGCUAAUACUAGCAAUUCAAAAGCAUCCAAGCAUUGAUGAAACUCAGCGAUCUUCCGCUCUGUGUGCUAGACCAUUCUCUGCUCCAAGUGCUCUUCUGCCUCAGCAAUAGACUUCUGCAUCCAAGGCUGAAUGUGAUGCAGAAGUGUAGCCAUCUGUGACUCUAAUUUUUGGACCCUAGCUGUCAUGACCCAACCCGAUAGGCCGUGAUUAGUGCCCGUUUUGGACACCCACAUACAAACCUGCUAAGUAUGACCAACUAAAACUAAGACAAUAUGGAAUUUAAUCAAAUCAAGCCAACCCCAACGUCAUAUAUAUAUAAGAGGACCUGUCUCAUAAGGAGUCAUAACCAUUCAACCAUAACAGCAUACGCGAGCCGACAAGGCCGCCACUAUUCAAAGCAUAAUGAUGUACACAGCCGACAAGGCUGCCCCUGUACAAGCGGACAUCCCAAACAAACCAUGUCCAGACCAUUAUCCAAAACAUAUAUAUACAACCCACAUAAUGUCCACAGACCUCUAAGGGUACAUUAGUGAAACUCGACGGGACAGGGCCCCGCCAUACCCAUAGACGAGCAAAAGACUACACAAAAGUUAUGUACCAAAACGAAUGGGCUCCGGAACAGUGGAGCUCUCCCAAUCAGCAGAGUAGAUAUCCUAGGCGGGAGGAUCACCGAACUGCGCGUCUACACCUGCGGGCAUGAAACGCAGCCUCCCGAGGAAAGGGGGGUCAGUACGGACAAUGUACUGAGUAUGUAAAGCAUAAGGUAAAGACGACAGGAUACCAAUGUGACAACUCGAAACAAAAUAUCGCUACACAUAUACUUUUUAAGUGAAAAUCAUGCAUAUAUUUAACAUUUAAGGUGCCCAGCUUCCCUAGUAAGGGGCUCGGCAAAAUAAUCAUCACGUCAUCUCCGUCAUUAUCAUCAUCAUAACCAUCCUCAUCACCAAUCAUAUAUAUAAUAUACAUACCCGGCCCUCUAGUGAGGAACUCGGUGACAUAUGCAAGAAACUCCGCACGAACAUUACCCGGCCCGGGACUCGGUGAAAUGAUAAAUUACUCUAUGCACGAGCAGAAUAUUAUGAGCAACCAUAUGCAAUUAAAAUCAUUUCUUAUAACUCAAUAGAACAAUCAACGUGAACCAGCAAGGAGUAUUACCAAAGAUUAAUGUUUUAUCAAGAUUAUGAACCUUUAAUACGAUAUGAAAACGUAAAAUUUCAAUGACUCUAAGAAGCAUUACCAUAGAUAUUAGAGAUCAUCAUAGCCUUAGACAUAACCGAUAUAUAGAGGAAUAAUUGUGGAAGCAAGAAUAUACAUCACCUAGACGCUUUAGAGGUAAGUAUCAAAUCUGUCCGUUAUUCGCUUAUUUUUAAAAGUCAUGCCAAGCAAAGAAAGAAGGGACAGCGUUACAUACCGUAUAAUCGAGCCGCACGUCCAAUAUUUACUGCUCAAGCUAUUAAUCUAUAACAAGCAACAAUCGUGCCGCAAUUAGAUAAACAUCGUGCUUUACUUUCUUGUAAGCUAGCUAAUAAUCUAACGAAAAUUCGGCAGCACCUCCCCUAUUUUCCUUACUUCGUCCCAAUCCGACAACAAUCCAAAUUAUCCACAACAAUACCAAUAACACAUAUAACCCAAAGAAUCAUAUUAAACAGCCCCCUCCCCAAAACAGUUCCAUCUCGGCAACUAUAUCAGCGAAGCAAUGACACAUCGAGUGAUAACUCGUUUUAUAAUUCGUAACACAUCUACCUUAUCGUAUUCAUCCUUUGGAGUAUAUACUCAUAAUCACAUUCAACAUAUACAUAAUGCCAAAACAGAAUUUUCCUGCAGUUUGCUUUAAUCAAAACAGCCCAAGCACCAACACGACACCACUAAUAAUCCGAUUAUGGUUUCCAUUCAUACUUAGUACAUUCAAUAACUAAAACAAACUUCCUAAGCUACUAGUCACGCCCCCUUCUUAAAAUUAAUGGAUAAUUAACAAGGGAAUUCUAAAGAAUUAACACACCAAAAAAGGAGAUUACUACCCAAAUUAUUUGCAGCUGCUGGCCAAGAGUUGCAGGGUUGGUUUCUCCAUUUCCAUGGCUGCCUAAGACAAGUGGCGAAGAAGAAGAUGAUAUGCAGCAAUGCAUUUCACCACUUUAUAUAGCAUGGAGUGGAUUUCUCCACCUCAUUUAAUAGUAUGAAGUGGAGGCAGCCCCCCUCUACACCUGUCCACUAAGGCCAGCCCACAAUCUGAUCCCUUUUUAAUUUUUUUGCCUUGAGUGGUGGGGCCCAUUGAAUUAAAUCAGUCCAAAUUAGCCACUAAUUAAUCCCUCACUUAAAUUUAAUGGCACUUACAUUAGCCAACUCAUACUUAAUAUCACAUUUGGAAAUAACUUCCUUGCCUAAUAUUUCUUUACGUCUUCUAGAUCACGAUGCACACUACGUAUAAAAAAAAUACGAGGCAUAACACUAGCAAGCGUGACCAGAGAGGGGAAAGGGGCUGAACGAGAGCAGCUCAGGGCAGUUCUACUACUCGAGAUAGACUCGACUGGGGUAGUGUUAGUGGAAGCCGCCUGCGUAGCCGCGUGGGCCUGUGCUACCGUAUCAUCCUGAUUGUUACCAACUGGAGGCAACUCUUGACGGGGCCCUCUGCGUGGAGCCAAAUCAUUGGCCUCAUCCCUGAUGAGACCAAUAUCAACAGUGCCCAACGCGGUCUUGAGCUAAUCAACGUGCCAUAUAGGCACACCUGCGGACAUGCAUAGAGAAAACAUCAUGCACGGGAAAGGGUAAGUAGUUGUGACCUUAAAAUCCCUCUUGUAUAUGACCGCCGGUAAGAGCUACGCAAAAUCCACCUCAAAUCUGGCUAUUAUCGCCGCCAUUAGUACUGCUCGAUCCCAUGUGACUAUAUUAUCAGCGACUGUGGGGGAAAGGCUGUGGCGGACAAUCAACCACAAAAAUUUCGCUGUGAAGGUUAGGUUAGCCUUCUUGAUGCCUCCCUUCGGCUUGGUCACCCAGUCAGGACCCUCUCCAUCAAUGGACAAGUGCAGGGCCAUCCACCUCUUGGUGGUCUCUCUCAGCGAUGGCUCAUGCAGAAAUUGGCCAUCUUUGACAAUCUGCCAUGGGUAGUCAAACUCGGUAGUGAGAGGGGUCCGAUUAGCAUCAACAUUCUUGCCGUAUAGAAACCGGCGGAUGGCAGGCAGGGAGAUAUCAAUCUGAACGCCAUGUACUCGGACCUGCACCAGUGGGGCCUGUUUGGCGGGGGCAGCCCGCUUAUCAAUCUGUGAUCGAAGAGUCGCUGCGUAGGAGGUGUAGAACUCUCAGACCAUCUCUUCACUAUUACGUCCCAACGGACGCGCUGUCCACUCCAGUCGAUGUCUGGUGAAGAGAUUGUGGAUCUCAAGCAUCAUCAUGAGACUUCCCAUAAGGACCACUGCUCCAAUGUAAGUGUUCGAGUCAUGACUCCUUUUUCAUUCAAGAACUUUGCAUCGGAAUAGACUUGAUACUGCCCGUCGACACACCACCAUUUAGGCUGGUCGGUCACCGGGGUGAGAGCACGAGUCAGUGAACUGGGUGUGUAUUCUGAACUUUCAGCCUCAUCAGACGAGACAGACUCUACAGCGGUGGUGGGUGCGGGAACCUUAGCAGAUCUGGAGGCUUCCUCUGACCAUGAAACUCCUAAGGAGCCAGACGCUCCUUCUCCAUUAGUAGCUAACCCAGAAGGUGUGUCGGUCAGUGUGCACUCCUCAUUAGACUGAGGGGCAAUGACUACGUCGGACGCCACCUUUUUGGGUGUGGCUCUGGCAGCACGUGCAUCUGGGAUGGGUGGAAGUGCCUGGGGCACGUACUCAGGGUCACGCUCAUCAUCACAUCCAAUGACCAGGUGGGCAGACGGGGCGAUAAACUUCGAUCGCCCGCGAGCAUAAACUCGAUCUUGUUUUGGUGCCAUAAUAGACAGUACUUGUAAAUAAUUAAUAUUAGUACUAGAAAAAGCAAACAAGACAAGAAAAACCACAGAAAAUAAAUAAAAGAGUUAAGAUGUAAUGACAUUUCUAUAGUAACAGUGACGCACAACGGGCCAGGUGACGGCUUGUCGUGAGUAUGACGGACCGUCAUGGGGUCCAUCGUGUCUUACUUAGACUUUGUUUAUAUGGAGAACCAUGUAAGAGAGUCUCUGACAAGUAUGACGGUAUGUGCAGGACGGACCGUACAGGUACGACGGUCCGUCGUAGGUGUCCGUCAGAGGACACUAGAAAAAAUAUGGAAACCCUUAGGAGAGGGGUCUCUUACUAUCAUAACGGUCAUGCAGAAUGGACCGUCGUGGGUAUGACGGUCUGUCGUAGUUGUCCGUUUGAGGACACUUAGAAAAAUAGAAAGAGACCCUUAUGAACAGGGUUGGUGACAACCAGAACGGUUGUGCAGGACGUACCGUCGUGGGUAUGACGGUCCGUCGUGGGUACGACGGUCCGUCGUGGGUACGACGGUCCGUCGUAGUUGUCCGUUUGAGGACACAUAGAAAAAUAGAUAGAGACCCUUAGGAACAGGGUCUCUGACAACCAGAACGGUUAAGUAGGACGGACCAUCGUUUGUAUGACGGUCCGUCGCAUGUGUAUGUUGGAGGACACUUGGGAAAAGGAAGAGACCCUUAUGAAUAGGGUCUAUGACAACCAGAAUGGUUGUGCAAGAUGAACCGUCGUGGGAAUGACAGUUCAUCGCAUGUGGCCAUUGGUGGACACAUGGAGAAAAUUGGACAGUGGGGUGUUAGGGCUGUUAGAACAGACCCAAUGAUGGUCCGUCAUCGAGGUGUCAUUCUUUAACUGAGUGACAGAAUUGGGGAUGCCCCACUCACCCCCUAUGACCCAAAUCGAAUUUGUAGUGUUUUAACCUACAUUUGUCUAACCCAAAUACCUAGUAAACUAGCAAUGCUAAAGCACCUACUUCUACGGUUUUAACAUGACAAUUUCGAGGAUUUUUAACCUAGGUAAGACACAAUUUUAUUAAAGAAUGAAAUAUCAAGAAGAACUCGGCUAAUACUAAUUGAUAAACAAAAAUUUAAUAUAAAUGAGUGGAAAUUAGAGACACAUACUUGAGAAUUUGAGAAAAACAAGAGAGAAAGGUACUUGGUGAUCAAGUAGAGACCCAUAGUAGCAGCUUCGACUAGUAGACGAUGAAUUUUAGGAAUUUGGAGAAAAUGAUCGGUUGUUAGAGGGAGAGGUUAUUUUGGAAGUUGAAACGGGAGGGAAAUUGGAGAAAGUGUGAAGGAAUGGGGUGAAAUGAAGGGGUGGGGGUUUUAAAUGUUGAAUUUUUUUAAAAAAUACCCCAGCCGGGUGGGGUUAGGUACGCUUCAUUAAUAACGUGACGAUUCCCCGUCGACUGUCCAUCUCAUUUGUUACAGUACGUCGUUGGUUCCGUCGCGUGUGCCCUAGUUUGAAAAUAAUAGAAAGACGUACCUGGCAUGACGGAUUCAUGCAACGGUCCGUCGCUGUAUCCAUCAGUGACUGCUACAGAGUAAUUUUCUGCAGAAUUUGCUGGUGAUGUGCUUGCAAAUUUAAAACCCAUUAGUAGAAAAUGCUACCAUUACUAAAAAGGAAAAAAAAACUAUAAGUAUUGGGUUGCCUCCCAACAAGCGCUUGAUUUAACGUCGCGCCAUAACUGAGGACACUUGAUUACUCAGCCUUCAUCAGGAUGGUAUUCCUGUAUCACUUCAUUCACCGAUGUAGUAUGCCCAAAAUAGAGUUUUAUUCGUUCUCUAUUCACCUUAACCGCACUCCCUCCUUGGUUUUAAACUCAACUUCUCCAUGAGGGAGUACUUGGGUAAUCAAAUAAGGACCAGUCCAUUUGGACUUGAGCUUACUCGGAAGACAAGGCAACCUAGAUCUGUCUAAAAGCACCAAAUCCCCAAUUGGAGCUCACUGGUCUGCCUCAUGGACCUACAAAUGUUGAAGAUCUCUUCUUCAUUGUUCAACCGAAAUUUCAUUGCCCCUUUUCCAUAUUAACUAAGGCUCUACCUGUAGCAAGGAAUGGCCUCUCAAGAAUAAUAGGUACUUCAAAAUCGACUUCACAAUCAAGAAUUACAAAAUCUGCCGGAAAUAUGAAUGACUCCACUUUUACUAGCACAUCGUGGAGUAUCCCUAUAGGCCUUUUCAUUGUUUGAUUAGCCAUCAGUAGCCGCAUUGCAGUGGGUUUUGGGUCACCCAAACCCAACUUCUUGUAAAUCGAUAGGGGCAUGAGAUUUAUGCUUGCCCCCAGAUCACAUAAUGCUUUCGCAAAAUGUAAUGACCCGACUGUACAAGGAAUAGGGAACACACCCGGAUCUUCUUUCUUUUGUGCGGGAGAUCUUGUAGCAAUAGCACUACAAUGCUGCAUUCUAUCAUCAUCCUCGAAAGUGACCGAUCUUUUCUUUGUAACCUGAUCUUUCAUAAACUUGUCAUAACCAGGCAUUCGUUCUAGGGCUUCUACCAUAGGGAAAUUGAUAGAAAGAUGCUUCAGCAUUGUUAUAAAACACCGAUAUUUACCAUCCUUGGUCUUUUUCACUAGUCUCUGAGGGAAGGGUGCUGGUGGUGUAGGCAUGAGAAUUACCUUCAUAGGAAUUUCUGCAAUUUUUUCAGUGCUAUCUUCUGCUUCAGCACUACCCUUUACCACCUUAUGAUCAUCCUUUCUCACCUUUUCAACAUUAGGCAACAUAGGUGGGUCAAUGGUUUGCUUACCACCCCGAGUAGUGAUUGCCAUACAGUGUGCAUCAUUUUUCGGAUUUUGGAUAGUGUUGCUAGGAAGAGUGCGCGGUUGCUGUGUGUUCACAGCCGCAGAUAAUUGGGCCAUUUGCAACUCGAUCUGCUUAAUCGAUAUUGCAUGUGUAUCGACUUUUUGCCCAAUACCUGCUAAAUUACUCCUUAAAUCAUUAAUGUGCUCAUCACUAGCAUCGAACCUCUUCAUAAUUUUGUGCAACAUAUCCUCAACUCGCGCCAUACUAUCUCCACCAUUCCUAGGAGUAACUUUACGAUUUUGAGGAGGGACAUAGGAUCCAUUUCUAUCAUUUCUGUUAUCGUAGUUACCCUGUUGAAGUUAUUGUCGCGGUUGUAGUUUCCAUCUCAGACAUAAUGACCCUCAUGGUUAUAGUUACCAUAGAUCCGACCUUUGUUCCCUUGACCUUUACUCCAAUUAUCCUAAUUUUAGCCUUGGGCACUUAGUGCGAAACCCCCCGUCUGCUCAUUUACUGCAUCGGAAUCCUCCGCAUAAUAACAUUAAUCAUUAGGUGGUGGUGGUUUAGAUAUGUAGUUAACUGCAUUUAUCUUUUCUGCACCCCCAGUGAUAUGUUUUAGUACCGACCCAAGCUCAGUUCUCAUCUGAUCCAUUUCUUCACGAAUCUCAUUUGUGGCUGGAUUGUGAGUGGACUGCAUUGCGAAGGUGUUUCUCCCAGUAUCUGACUUCCUAGUACUGUAAGCUUUAUUAUUCCGGGAGAUUUUCUCAAAUUUUUUAGCAAUCUCAACAUAUGGACACUCCACAUAAGAUCCACCUACUAUAGUGUCCAACACCGCUUUAUUAUUAUCAUCUCGUUCCCAAUAGAAGUAUUUCUUCAGUGACUCAUCAUUUAUACGGUGAUUUGUGACGCUUCUAAAAAACGAGGUGAAUCUAUCCCAAGAACUACUAACUGACUCUCCUGGUAGUUCCACAAAGUUGUUCACUCCGUCUUUGUGGUUUAGGUUCUUGGAGACCGGGUAGUAGCGUGCUAAGAAACGUCCCUUAGUUGGUUCCAAGUAAAAAUUGAGUUGUAAAGGAGCACAGUGAUAGAGGAAACACUCGAAGCCCUAUUACAUCCAAGUCCAAGUCAGGCCUCCCUAUACAACUUUUACACACUGCCCUUACCUUAGUUAUAUGGGCAUGUGGAUCCUCAGAAGGUAGCCCUUAAACAAACCUAUGGAAGUGAGUAUUUGCAUCAGGAUACUAGUUACCAUAAAGGUGUGGCCUGGUGGUAGAGUAGGCAAGACAAGUGGCCCAUCAGAGUCCGCUAUGCUGUCAUAGCGUCUAUAGAAUUCUUGGGGCCGUGGACCGGGAUUUUGUCCCCUCUGUUGGUGUUCACCCGCAGCAUCGGGUAACAACUGACCAUGAACAUCAACCGGAGCUGGGAUGUUCUGGUUUGGAUCAUCAUCCUUAACUCCCAAGUUUCAAUUCAUGUUGCGUAGUGUACGCUCUAACUCAUGAUCGUAGGGAAACAAGGGUUCUCUUCCUCUCCGUGUAUUUAGCAUACAAGGAGGGUGGUUCUGCACGAAUCAAAAACAAUAAAACAAAGUAAAAUCAAGAAAAUAUCAACUAAACUAUAGUAAAAAGUUUAAGUUAAUCUAAAAGCUACUUUCCCCGGCAACGGCGCCAAAAUUUGAUACGCUUAAACUUACUUCUCAAACAAGAAGUAAAGCGUCCGUGUCAUGUAAAUAACCCAACUAAUGACGUUGGGAUCGUUCCCACGAGGAAAAUAGUUUAGACUUAACUUCAAUCUAUUAUUACUAUUGUUCAGUCAAUUACUUCCUUGGAAAGCAAAAAUGAUAAAAGGGGGGUUUUCUAUUUCUAAAUAAAUGGAAAUAACUAGCAAAAUUAGAGGAGACACUUAACAGCUUUGAAUGAUGGAGUUAAAUCAAUUAACCAAAGUAACUAGGGUUUACGUGUUCCCCACAUGUUCAUAACUUGAUAAUUCUAACUAUAACAAUUCUUUCCUAGUAUCUUGCAUGCAAAGUGAUAAGUUAUGUAUUUCUAAAUCCUUGGUCCGACAUCUAAAAAAUUUCACUCUGCACCUUUGUCCGGCUACGUGUGCUGCUAUACUAACCCUUACCUUUACCUCAUAUUAAGCAUCGUAUUAGAUAUUUGACUAAGUUAUUACCUCGUACCCAUCAAUACUAGCCUAUUAGAUAGUAUACACUAAAUCUAUGUUGAUAAUUCUUUUCCUAUUAUUGACCUCCUUGAUUCGGAAAGUCACAUUAAGGCGAGUUCUAACGUUGGCCAUCCAUUAAAAAGACUUCUAAGCGAAUGAAUUAUCAAUACAUGCAAGACACUAUUCUAGAAUUGUUAUUUUAGUUAGUUUUUACCUCAUUAUUCGCCUAUGCUUCCCACAACCCUAGUUAUGGAGUUUUAGUUACCCAUAGUCAUAAUCACAAUAUUCAAAUCUAUGGUAUAAGAAUUCAUGUACUUACUUCAAUGACAAAGAGUAAAAUCAGAAAUUUCACUUGAUUAAUCAACAAAAAUCACCAACAAUCAAUUACAAGAGUCUCAAAAUAUUCAAGAGUCCCGUAAAAGGUGUAAAAAAUAAUCAAGAGUCUAACAAUGAUCAAGGGUCAAACCUCAAAAACGAGGUUUUUUGAACUAAUAAAAAAUAAAAACCUAAUUAAAUAAGGUUUCUACUUGCUUAAUAUAUGUCAAAACGCGGCUGGGUCGACGGACCUCGCGACGGAUCAUGACGAACCGUAAUGGACUUCGUCAUCCCAUACUUGUGCAAUUUCUUUUGCUGCUCUCUCCAUUACUCUUGACGGCAGGUAUGAAGGAUCAUCAGAGGAACAAUGGUCCGUCGAGGGUCUCCGUUCCAAAACACUUAAACUCUUUGAAUUUGGGUACUGGGACUACUACUCUGAAUUUCACGACGAAUUAGCAGGACGGGCCAUCAUGGCUAUGACGGUUCGUUACGCACUCUGUAACCCCACACUUGGUUAGAAUUGCCCAUCUUCCUUCAGUAGCUGCACUGCGAUGCCACCUACGGACCGUCAUGGGCACGACGAACGUCACAAGCUCCAUAGGUGGUACUUUUUUUGUAUUUCUCGCUCAAAAACCUCCGCAUUCUUCUUUUAAAAAAAUUUCCUGCAAAUAAAGAGAAACUUACAUAAAAAUUAGCACAAAAAGGCUUUUGGACACACUUAACAUAAGGAAAAAGUAUUAAUAAUACCGUGAAACCAUGGUAUAUCAGAUAUGCAAAGUAUGGGGUUAUUACAAUUACUAUACUAAGUAUGGCAUAUGCAAAAACAUGCUAAAAGGGAUAUUUUAGUAAAAUCACAUUUCAUGCAAUUUAAGUAAAAUAUUCAAGAAUAUAAAAGCAAAACAUCAUAAAAAUCAUCACUUAACACUUAGAUAAGAGAUUCCAUAAUUCUAAACCAAAAGAGACCAUUUACAGUAACUUCCAAAUCAUACCGUAAACUCCAACUAACAUUACAGUGAACUAAUUUUAACUUUAAAAAUGAAUCAUUUAAGGCAUUCAUAGUGAAUUAUCCUAUUCUAAAUGAGUGAACUUCCAGGGCCAAGCGAAAGACAAAGUGAACUCAUUUUCCAUAAGAGUUUCCCUACCUUGGAAUUAUCUUAAGACUCACUAAGGUAAGACAUGAAGGAAGUAUGCAUAUGCCUCCUUCAAUACACACCAAAUCAAUUAUCAAGACUACUCCUCGUGGCUUACUCAAUUGGGGAUAAACAAACCCCUCAAUCAAUGGCAAUAUAUUUAGAGGCACCCAACAAACCACCAAAGUCUUCCCUUUCAGAAUGCUAACUUAGUGCAAUAAGUAUAUAGAACCCCAUUCCACCACCUACCCUAAGUAGUACAUUCUUUUAGAAGGUUUGGCACCAAGUCUUCCCUUUCAGAAGGUCCUACCUAGUGCAAUGAGUAGAUAGGUCCCAUAACACCACUUACCCCAUGUAGUGCGUUCUUUUAGAAGACUUAGUUCAAUCAGUUCUUUUGUGGAGGGUUAGCUUAACCUACAUAGACCAUAAGAGCUAGACAUAGAAUCCCGGUAUUAACCCCUAUCGGAUGAGGGAUCUCCACUUGUGAACACCACAUCUGAACUCACGUAGGGAAUUCAUCCUUUGACCUAGCUUAUAAAUCUCGUAGGAUGUAGUGAAGUUGAUAAGAAACACUUUAUCUCAACUCACGAAGAGUGUUUACCUCAAAACCCCUCUAGUCACUCAAUUUAGCUCCAUACAUAAUUUAAGUGUGUGUGUGUACUUGUGAGCACAUCUUGCAUAUAAGAAUCAUUUCACCUACAUUAGAUUUUAUACAUUAUUUAGUCCUACAUUCAUCAAUUUACACACAUUACAUGCUUCACAAGUCGUAUACUUUACCUAGGCAAAAUCUAAGCCAAACAUGCUAUUCAACUUCACAAAACACAAGACAAGACUCAUCUUCAACAUUACUUCAUUUCAUAUACUUGGACUUCAAAGCAAAACUCACAAAACAUACUAAAUAAUAUCAAGUUCAUCAAAUAAACACCGCCACGAAGAAGGUGGACCAUAUCACUCAAAAGCAAUUCAUCAUAAGAACUAUACAAUAUAGGCAACUCAUCCUUUAACCAAAACAUCAUCCAAUAUAAUCAAUUUCUCAAUAUUUCAUCAUAAUAAGGACCUUAGGGAAGUAUCUAAAACACAACAACAAAAUAAGAAAACCAAAGUUCAUACCUUACCCAAACAUUCUCAUUUAACCUAUUUCUUAAGCUAAAAGUUUGAAAUAUGUAUAUACAUGAGUUCAUUAGGUUUUUAACAUGAAAAUAAUAAUUUCAUACAAUAAUAAACACAUUUAAAUAUUUAGAACACAUUUACAAGAAGACCCAUGCUUAAAAUCAAAUAUAGAAGGAAAUAGAGUUUGAAAACCGUUUCUGAAAUCUUUUGGAAAUGACUCCUUUAAAGAAAGAGGGUUCAAGGAUGGAAACCAUAGCUCAAAGGGAAGGAAACCCACUAAUUUUUGCUGAAGACAUACGUCCAAACCAGCCCUCCUUUCCUUCCUUGAGUCUCAGCUCCAAUGGUGACUUUGAGAGAGUUUUCUUUAGAGAAGGAGUUCGAAUAUAUGAAGUGAGCGGUCUUGUCUAGGUCUAGGACUUAAAAUAACUUAAUAUAACAUAAAAACAGUAAAAAUAUUGACCUAGGGUUGUAAAAUACAUAUGUUCAAUUUACACAAAACACCCCAAGUUGGCAGCAAGCUUCAACAACUUUUGGGAGGAGUCAAUCGACGACCCAAGCUACGGGGUGUUGCCUGGUCGAGCGCCUGUCCUACUGGGCGUCGAUGACUUCAGAGGCUGCUACAUGGGGGGGGGAUAGAAUUCCCACCAAUUAUGGUAAUACGCCCCCCAGUCGAUGGGGCGUCGAUAGGUCUAUGUCCAGUAGACUGCCUCGUUUAUGGAGCGGUGAUUUUUGGCAGUUUUGUCCAAGUCUUGGGCCCUUAAUCUAGGGCCCUUUGUGGGUUCUAGGUGGGGUCGUUACCGGACUUUAAAACCCUAAACUAAGUAUUCUAGGUUUAGGAACACCUCACAUAAGUUUCAAGCAAAACUAACACGUAAAACUUACUCAAACACAACAGGACGCAAGAACACUUUCUAAGGCACACCUUACAAACGUCAUGGACGUUUGAUCUCCAAACUUAAACAAACUUAUCACACAGACUAAGAACACUUAAUUAACUCAUUUAAAAACUAAAUUAACUCAAGAAACACUCACGAGGCUCUAGUUCACUUUAGUUCAUUUUAGGGCGUUACAUUCUCUCGCACUGUCACUAAAAAUUCAAGAACAACAAGGAGUGACUUAGCAUCACAUAGAACAUUACAAUCAAGGCUGAAAAACUCAAAAUCAAAGCAUCAAAUAGCAAGGAGCAUCAUUUCACAUUUUCAAACACUUAGAAACAUAGGCAACUCUUGCAAACUUCAAAAUUUUAAAAACUCACCCUUAACCUUCUCCUAUAGAGGAACUACCUUCUCCAACAUUAAACAUGAUCAUAUACAAUACUUUUGCACACAUUUAACCUUCAAUUCAAGACAAACAAAUUCUUUUCAAAAAAUCAAAAAUUUCACAGUGAGGUUUACUGUGCUCAUGUUAAGCAUACCAAUUAUUUUCAAAAAUCCAUUCCUUAAGCAGUUCAUCAAGGUGACAUGAUCAUACGAACUAUAAACAAUAUAAACUCAUUUUAUAUCAUAAAAACAACAAUCAUAAAGAGCUAAGACUUAUUAAGAUCAUUAACUCUGGACUAGUUAUACUUCCUAGCUCCCAUCCCAUAGGAAGGGUUCUUCUUUGGAGUAUUAGGAUCUAAGGAAGCUUGAUUGACCUCUUUCCCUCUUGGUUUGAAGUUGGGGAAAUCCCUAAUCUUAUGGAUCAUAUUACCACAUGCAAAACAACCAUCCGUUCAAGCAAGACACCUUCCCAAAUGUUGCUUCCCAGAAGUAGGGCACCUAGUCCUCUCAAAAGAAUGGACAACACCUUGGGAAUUUUCGUUUGGAGUCCUAUCCUUGUUUCCCAUGGAAGAAUCUUGGUGAUAGAAUCUCUUGUUUGACUUUUUGUGACUAGAAUAAUCAAACCUAGGCCUCUUACUCUCUUGCCUUAUCUCCCUAAUUUUGGCCUCCUCAAUUUGUCUUGCAUAGACCAUGAGCCUAGAUAGAAACUCUUUAUCCGCCAAGAUAGAAACUCCCAUCACAAAUUUGUUCAUCCUAGCCCUAGGGUUUGCUACCAUGCUUGGGGCAUAAUUAAAGAUUUGUGUGAAUUUGAGAGAGUACCCUUGCAUUCUCAUCCCACCUUAGUGAAGGUUCAUGAAUUCAACCAUCUUCUUCUCCCUUCUUCUCCCUCCACUCAAGGGGAAAUAACCUAUCUAGCAAAACAUCUUUGAAUUCCUCCCAAUCAACUGUCCCUCUUUCUAUGGGUGUCUCACUUCUCCAUUUCUCAAACCAUCCUUUAGCCACAUCCUUGAGUUGAUAAGAGUCUAAGUCCGCUUUCUCCCUCGUGGUCAAACCCAUAAGAUCUAACCUCAUCUAUGAAACCUUGUGGAUCUUCAUCCACCUUAGUGCCAUGGAAAGUGUGAGGGUUCAUCCUCAUGAAAUCCCGAAUUCUAGAAGCGAGAGUAAUAGAAUUUGGUUGGGGUCCAACUACUUAAUUAGCUUGGGCAACAAGGUGAUUGUUGACUACAUGAGCUUGAGCCGUCAUAAGUUAGGUCAAAUUCAUUAGGGAACCCCUCAACUCCGCAUUAGUCAUAUCUCCUUCAACAAAAGGAGCUUGAGGCAUAGGAGGCAAUUGAGGCUCUUUGGGUUCACGAGGAAUUUGAGGUACUUGAAGGGGAACCUCCUCAUUCCCUCUUCCCCUAAGCCAACAAUAGGAACUUGGUCAACACGGGGAGGGAUCCUCUUAUUACCUACACCUCCCUCCUCCUUUCAAGCGGUUGAUGUCCUCGUAUUCAUGUCCUAUAAACACUAGGAGAAGAGGUUAAGAGAAAACACAUUAUAUGACUCAACUCUAAGGCACGACAUUAGAAUAGAUAAGAAAGUGAUGCUUCUAUCAUCCUAUAGCCUCUUGUCCAUGGAUGUGUCGCGACUCACACCAAUGACCAAGAUACUACUAGAUGUAUCUUAUGAGACUAUUAGAACCUAAACUAUUUUCCAUAACCUUUUGCUCUGAUACCAAGUCUGGGACGACCCGAAAGUACCCCCUAGAUGUUAGAAGGAACCCUUGUUUCGUGACCGAGCGUACUUGACCUUUUGGGGACUUGUACAAGCCCUUUAACUAGCAUCAUUACAUAAGACAUGAAAAGUAGUGCAGAAUUAAAACUUUUCAUGAAUAAAUUAAUAAAAAGAAAACCUUUCAUAAAUACUAAAGAAAUAUUAUCGUCACAAGCCAAACUUAAGAAAGGACAUAUAAUAUCUUAGGUAAACGACCCUUUACAUUUAAAUCAAGUAGAUAAUAAGUCUUAUAAUAAAACUAGGAAACAAUAGACUAUGUCCUCGAAUAUAUGAGGACAUACCAAUUCUUGAAUGAGCGAAUUUCCCAUGCUUCGCCUUGGAAUAUUCCAAAGAGUCUUCAACUUAUACUUAUAAGGUAGAGAAAAGUAUGGGGUUAGUGCAAUUAAUGUACUAAUUAUGACAUAUGUGAAAAUAUGCAAAAAGGGAAAUUUUAGUAAAAAUAACAUUUCAUGCAAUUUAAGUAAAAUAUUCAAGAAUGUAAAAACAAAAAAUCAUAAAAAUCAUCACUUAACACUUAGAUAAGAGAUUCCAAAAUUUUAAACUGAAAGAUACCAUCUAAAGUAACUUCCAAAACACAUAGUAAACUCCAACUAACAUUACUGUGAACAAAAUGAGAGAACUUCCAAGGCAAAGCGAAAGAAAAAGUGAAAUCAUUUUCCGUUACAGUUUCCCUACCUCGGAAUUAUCUUAAGACUCACUAAGAUAAGCCAUGAAGGAAAAAUUCUUAUGCCUCCUUCAAUACACACCAAAGCAAUCCUCAAUACUAACCCUUUCGGCUUACUCAACUGGGAGAAACAAGCCCCUCAAUCAAUGACAAGACAUUAAAAGGCACCCUAAAAACCACCGAAGUCUUCCAUUUUGGAAUGACUACUUAGUGCAAUGAGUAGAUAGCGUCCCAUACCACCAUCUACCCUAAGUAGUACAUUCUUUUAGAAGGUUUGGCACCAAGUGUUCCCUUUUGUAAGGUUCUACCUAGUGCAAUGAGUAGAUAGCCUCCCAUACCACCACCUACCCUAGGUAGUACAUUCUUUUAGAAGAAUUAGUUCAAUCAAUUAUUCCAUGGAGGGUUAGCUUAACCGACAUAGACAAUGAGAGCUAGACAUGGAUUCCCGACAUUAACCCCUAUUGGAUGAGGGAUCCUCACUUGCACAUAGUAAGAUCAUUCUUUUUAGCUUUUACAUGGCUUUGCCAAUGGCUACACUUAUGCGGGCGCAUAAUUAAGGGAUAAGGAGAUUGCUACUAAGUACUAAUUCCCUAAUAAUGAGGAAUACUCAUCUCAAGUGGUACAUUGGAAUACAACAUCUCAACUCACGAAGUAUAAACACCUCUUCUUCAUAUCCUCUCAAUGCUAGACAUACCCCUCACACAUUCUAAACACUUUAAAAUAUAGGUUAAGGAUAGCUAGUGAACACCACAUCUCAACUCACGAAUGGAAUUCAUCCUCUGACCUAGCUUAUAAAGCUCUUAGGAUGUAGUAAAGUUGCUACUAAAGACCUCAUCUCAACUCACAAAGAAUAUUCACCUCAAAACUCCUCUAAUUACUCAAUUUAUCUCCACACAUUCAUUUAUGUGUGUGUGUGUGUACUUGUUAGCACAUCUUGCAUAUAAGAAUCAUUUAAGUAGCAUUAGCUUCUAUACAUGUGUUAGUCCUAGAUUCAUUAAUUUAUACACUUUAACAUGCUUCACAAGUCAUAUACUUUACCUAGGUAUAAGCUAAUCCAAACAUGUUAUUCUACUUCACAAAACACAAGACAAGACUUAUAUUCAAAAAUAUUAUUUCAUAUACUAGGCGUUCAAAGCCACACUCAUAAAACAUUCUAAGUAAUAUCAAGUUUAUCAAAAAAACACCGGCACCAGGAAGGUGGACCAUACCACUCAAAAACAAUUCAUCAUAAGAACUAUACAAUAUAGGAAACUCAUCCUUUAGCCAAACCUUCAUCCACUAUGAUAAAUUUCUUAAUAUUUAAUCAUAAUAAGGACCUUAUGGAAGUAGCUAAACCAAAAAAACAUAAGAAAACCAAAGUUCAUUCCUAACCCAAACAAGCUCAUUUAACCCAUUUGUUAAGCUAAAAGUUUGAAAUAUGCAUAUACAUGAGUUAAUUAGGUUUUUAACAUAAAAAUAAUAAAUUAAUACAUUAAUAAACAUAGUUAAAACAUUAUAAUACUCUUACAAGACGGCGCAUGCUUAAAAUCAAAGAUAGAAGGAAAUAGAGUUUGAAAACCUGUUUUGAAAUCUUUUGGAAAUGAGUCCUUGAAUGGAAGAGGGUUCAUGGUUUGAUACCAUACCUCAAAUAGAAGUAAAACCACUAAUAUUUUAUGAAUACAAUCGUCCAAACCAUCCCACCUUGUCUUCCCUGAGUCUUAGCUCUUAUGGUGACUUUGAGUGAGUUUUCUUGAAAGAGGGAGUUUGAAUACUUGAAGUGAGGGGUCUUGUCUAGGUGUAGGGAUUAAAACUAACUUAAUAUAACUUACAAACACUAAAAAUAUUGAACUAUGGAUUUAAAAUAUGGUAUGAAUUUACACAAAACACACCAAGUUUGCAGCAAGCUUCGGCAGGUUUUGGGAGGAGUCAAUCGAGAACCAAAGCUACGGGGCAUCGCCUGGUCGAUGGCUUGUCCUGCGCGUCGAUUACUUCAGAGGAUGAUACGUGGGGGGGGGGUUAGACUUCCUAUUAAGUAUGGGACUACUCCCCCCUGUCGACGGGGCUUUGAUAAGUCUACGACCAAUAGACAACCUCGUUUAUGGAGCAGUGAUUUUUGGCAGAUUUGUCCAAGUCUUGGGCCCUUCAUCUAGGGCCCCUUGUGGGUCCUAGGUGAGGUAGUUAUCGGAUUUUAAAACCCUAAACUAAGUUUUCUAGGUAUUAGGAACACAUGACAUCAAGCAAAACAAUCACGUAAAACUCACUCAAACACAACAAGAUACAGGAACACUUUCUCAAGCACACCUUCCGAACGUUAUGGACGUUCUUGGACGUUUCACCUUCAAACUUAACCAAACUUCACAGAAUUAUUAAGAAAAUUAAAUUAACUCAUUUUAAAACAAAAUUAACUCUGGAUACACUCACGAGUCCUAGUUCACCUUAGUUCGUUUUGGGGCGUUACACUAAUAAUAUUGAUUAAUUGCUUCAAAGUUAUUUUGUCUAUGUUAUAAGAUGAUUCUAUAUGGUAUUGUUUAUUAGGUAUUCAUUACUUCAUGUUACAUUUAUUUAAAGGUGAAUUAUUGAAUUUUAUGCAUAUUUCACUGUUAAAGUUUUGGUGUUCACUGUAAAGAAGUUCAAGAUUUGACAAAGUUACAUUUUUAUGAAUAAUUGUUUAAAUACGUGUAAGAACGAUUUAGAUGAGCAUGUAUAAUUUUGGAGAAUGUAGUUACUCCAUAAAUAAAGAAAUAAGGGUUUGUUUUGAAUUGUGGAAUUUGUUCCAAAAGUUACCCGUGUAGCCAACAAAUGCUUGUUUUCCUUGUUAAGUUGGUGCAUUGGAUAUUGAUGUUUUCACCUUGAUGAUAUGUGUUAUAUGCCUCUAGUUAAGUCCUUGAUGUCGUUAAAAGGGUUUAGUGUCAUUCUAGUAUGAAUGUUGAUCCAUGUGGCGGAGAAUGUAACACCCAUUAAACGAACUCAGUUGAACUAGAGAUCACAUGUGUCUCAUGAGUUAAUUUUGUGUUAAAAUUUUUAAUAAUGAUGUUUGAGGCAGUUUCUGAAUUUUGGUAAUAGUUGAGGUCAAAUGUCUAGGAAAGUUCAUGACGUUGGGAAGAUGUGCCUUGGAAUGUGCAUGCGUGUUCUUAUGUGUUUUUGCAAGUGUUACGUGUUUGUUUUGGUAGAAAUUGAGGGUGGAGGAUACUUAGAACUAUUUAACCAUGAAUAGGGGUUUAAAGUCUGGGCACGACUCCACCAAGGACCCACGAGUGGACCUAGAAGAGGACCCCAUCUCUUUGGAAGGAUGUUGCCAAGUAGUGGCAAACGACGACCACAAGUGAUGAUGGACUUUUGCUCAAACGACUGCCCGUAGACCUUGGACAUCGAUUUAACUUGCAAGGUACGAAAGUCUUGCACAUGUGGAGGCUGAAACACAAACGACGGACCCUCCCAUCAAAGGGUCGUCGACUUGGCGAGGUCCGUCGCUAGAGGGUCAUUGGUUGUGCCUGUAAAGCUGUCAAAAUUAUGCCAAGGAUUAGGGUGUUUGGUAAAUUCACCCUAAGUCUUUUAUGAAAUAUGGAUGAAUAUUUUAGGGUUUUUAGGUAUUUUUAUAGGGUUCAAACACUAAGACCUAAUUUUAGACUUCAUUUUAAAAAUCCCAAAAACCCUCCCUCAAGAAAGACUCCCUCACACUCGAUUGAAGCAAAGACUCAAGGAAUUGCUAGUAGGGCUGGUUUUUGACGUUUUAUUCAUAAAAAAGUUUAUGUUUUUAUUCUACUUUAGGUAUGGUAGUCAUCCUUGAACCGUUUUUAAUUCAAGGAGUCACUUCAACGUAAUUACAAAAAGGGCUACAAACUUCAAACUUCUUUAUCCCUUGACUCUAUGUAUGGGUAUUUGCAUGAAAAUGUUUUAAUAUUAAGAUAAGUUGUUUUUAGUGUUAAAUGAUUAUUGAAUGUCAAAACCCAAAUUAAACCCUUUUUAUGUUAUUUGUCAACUUUUAUCUUAUGAAAUGGGUUUAAUAAGCAUGAUUAGGAAAUUUUAGAGUUGUGUUUUCUUUAUAGUUAUUUUCUAAUUUAGCUACUUCCCUAAGGACUACUUUAUGAUAAAUUAUUGGAGGAGUUGAUGAAAGGUGGUGAAAUAUAUGAUGAAGCGUAAGUUGUUCAAUCUUGCUUAGUUUCGAUUGAAAUGAUUCUUGAGUGGUAUGCUCCACCUUUGGUGGCGGUGUUUACUUGAAGUUCAUGAUUAUUUUGUAUAAAUGUGUGUAUGGUGGAAUAUAAUGUGAAGUGAAAUGGUGAUUAUGGUGUUUAUGCAUGAUAUGUUUUAAAAAAUUGAAAUGUCUCUCUUGAUGAUACUAUGUUAAAGUGAAGAACAUGUUUAUCUUAAGCAUGAUAAUGUGUGUAAUAUGAUGAAUGAUGAUGUAAGCAUGUUUUGAAGUCAAUCUUAUGAAAAGGGUGAUUAUGUGAAAGGUGUGCUUACAUGUACACAAAUUCACACUUUGAAUAAAUGAAUGAAGAAGUGUGGCCAUCAGAGCUGCGCGAUCCCAUGUAACUAUAUUAUCCGCAGCCGUGGGGAAAAGGCAGUGGAAAACAAUCAACCAUAAAGACUUGGCUGUGAAGUUCAAGUUAUCCUUUCUAAUGGCUCCCUUCGACUCUGUUACCCAGUCGGCACCCUCUCCAUCAAUAGACAAGUGCAGGGCGAUCCACCUCUUGGUGGUCUCUCUCAGCGAUGGCUAACACAAGAAUUCACCAUCUUUUUUAAUUUUCCAACGGUAGUCGAACUAGGCGGUGAGAGGGGUCCUGUUGGCAUCAACAUCCUCGUCGUACAGAUACCGGCGGAUGGCUGGCAGGGAGUUGUCGACCUGUAUACCGCGUACUCUGAUGUGCUCGAGUGGGGCCUAUUUGGCGGAAGCAACCCACCUAUCUAUCUGUGAUCGGAGAGUAGCCACAUAAGAGGCGUAAAACUCUCAGACCAACUCCUUACUGUAGCGGCCUUAAAAACAAGAUGUCCACUCUAGCCGGUGUCUGGUGAAGAGAUUGUGGAUAUCUGGCAUGGUGGGGAGACUUCGCGUAAGGACCUGCCUCUCUAGUGUAAGGGUCCGUGACAUGACACCUAUAUCAUUUAGAAACUUGGAAUCUGAAUACACUAGGUAUUGCCCGUCGACACACCACCGGUUGGGCUGGUUGGCAGCUGGGGUGAGAGCACCAGUCGGUGAGCCUAGAGUGGAAUUAGGACUGUAAACCUCAUCUAACGAGGCAAUCUGUGCAGCUGUGGCGGGUGUAGGGACUUCUUGCGGACCUGGAGGCUUCCUCCGACCAUGAAACUCCUAAAGAACAAGACGCUCCUUCUUCAUGUGACCCAGAAGGUGUGUCGGUUAGUGUGCGCUCCUCAUCAGACUGGGAGGUAAUGACUACGCCGGACGCCCACCUUUUUGGGCGUAGCUUUGGUUGCACAUGCAGCUUGUGCAGGAGUGGCAGUGCCUGGGGCACAAACUCAGGAUCAUGCUCAUCAUCAGAGCCGAUAACCAGUCGGGCAGAUGGGGUGACAGGCUUUGAACGCCCACAUACGUAAACUCAAUCUUGUUUCGGUGCCAUUAGAGCUAGUACCUGUAAACAAUCAUUAUUAGUACUAUAAAGAGCAAAAAAAGACAAGAAAAAACUACACAAAAUAAACAUAAGAGAAAAGUUAUAAUGACAUCUCUGUACUAACAGUGAAACAUGACGGGCCAGGUGAUGGAUUGUCGUUAGUAUGAUGGACCGUCAUGGGGUCCGUUAUGUCUUACUUCAACUAUGUGUAUGUGGAAACCCCUGAAGGAAUGUCUCUGACAGUUAUGAUAGAUAAGCAGGACAGACCGUCGUGAUAAUGACGGUUCAUCAUUGAUGUCCAUCGUGGGGCACUUAGAAAAAGUUUGGAGACCCUUAGAAGAGGGGUCUCUGAAUAUCAUGAUUGUUUUGCAGGACGGACUGUCAAGUGUGGAAUGAUCCAUCAAAGAUUUCCGUCAGAGGAAACUUGGAAAAAAAAUGGAGACCCUUAGGAAAAGGGUCUUUAACAACCAUGACGGUUGUGUAGGACGGACAAUCGUGGGAACGACGGUCCGUUGAAUGUGUUCGUUGGUGGAAACUUAGAACAAGUUGAACACCUUUAGGAAUAGGGUGUGUGAAAACCAGAACGGUUGUGCAGGACGGACCAUCGAGGGUAUGACGGUCUGUUGUAGAUGUUCAUCGGAGGACACUUUAAAAAAAUGGAGACCCUCAGGAAUAGGGUCUCUUAUAACCGGAACGGUUGUACAGGACGGACCAUUGAGGGUAUGAUGGUCCGUCGUAGAUGUCAUUCAAAAGACACUUUUUAAAAAAUAGAGACCCUUAGGAAUAGGGUCUCUAACAACCAGAAUGGUUGUGCAGCACAGACCGUAGAGGGUAUGACGGUCUAUCGUAGAUGUCCAUCAGAAGACAAAUAGAAAAAGUUGUAGAUCCUUAGGAAAAGGGUCUUUGAUAACCAUCAAGGUUGUGUAGGACGUACCGUCUUGUGAACGAUGUUCAGUCGCAUGUGUCCGUUGGUGGACACUUAGAGAAAACGAAUAGUGAGGUGUUGGAAUAGAACCUAUGACGGUCCAUCGUGGAUGUAAUGGUCCAUCAUAAACAAGUUGAAUUACAUGUUAAUAUACUCAAUAUAACCCUAAAAAUUCAUUAACAACUCAAUCCAUCACUUUGAUUUCGCAAUUGAAUGAAACCCAUAAGAAUACUCAACAUUUUGAAAUCUAUUUUGAAGGAACCAUUUGAGGAAAGGAUCUCAAAGGUGAAUAGAACCCAUAACUUAAUGAUUUGUCAACAAUUUAUGGUGAAUUCGUCCCUUUCAAGCCCUCUAACCCUAGAUCUUUAUGGCUUUCAAUGGUGAGUUCAUGUAGAGAGAGAUAUAAGAGAGAAGGAAGAGAGUUUAUUUUGAGAGUAGUCAUUAGGUUAAUGUGGUUUGAGGGUAUUUAUAGUGGGACUAAAUCAACUUAAUUAGUCUUCCUUUAAUACUCAAAAAGACAUGAAGGUUUAUGAAAACAGGGAAACAAAUUUCAGAGAGGAAGCUAUACAGCAACAGGAGUAUCAAACUAAGAAAAAUGAAAAAAACAUGCAACAACAAGAAUGGAAGAUUCAGAGGAGAAGGAAUAACAAUCAACAACAAGGUGGAUACAAUAUGGAUAGAACUACAAUCCAACAGCAACAAUAAAAACUAGGUAUAUCUUCCAUACCUACUAAAAAUAUAUAUAUAGAUCUGGAUGUACAGGACAUAUUAACAGACGUAGAGGAAGGAGAGAGGUACAUAGAACAAAGAUUUGAACAAGGACACCAGAUAACUUCAAUUGGAAACAGACAACAACAUAACAACAAAUCACAGACACAAGGUGAAGAAAUCAGAAGUACCAGGGAACAAAAUAUGACACAACAAAGGAAGGACAAACAGGUAAUUAGUGAUCAUCAAGAUAUUGAAGACACAAGAGGUAUGAUUCCUACACCUAGGAAUACUUGUAAUAGAACUGUUGGAGUAGCUGUUGCAGGUAUGGAAGGGGGACAUGAGAUACCUAUGCAUGAAGGGAUAUCUAAAGGGAGGGGAGAAAUUAUUAAUGUUCAAAGAUUGGAUGAAUCCAUUCCUUGAAAAAAGCAAUCUGAAAAACAAAUUCAUUCUGAUACUGGACAACUAGUAGAUAAACUUAGUAAUAAAUAUGGUUUUAGACUGAGUAAAAAGAAAAGAGACUAUAUUAAAAAGAACAACAAAUGUUAAGUAAUGUAGAAAAAAAUAAAGAUAAGAUAGAUCAUGAUGAUUAUGAGGCUAUUAACUCUAAGGAUGAGUGGGAUCCUGAUAACAAGUCUAUGUAUGAUUCUGAGGAAGAAGAACCUCAACAAAACAAACCUAAGGAUACUCAAUUAGUUUCUAUAGAUCAUAAUGUUUGGUCUCAAGAAAUCCAAGAUAUUACUACUAAACAAGGUUUGUCUCCUAGAGGUAGGAAACAAGACAAACAAGCUUCCCAACAUUUCCCUAGUACUUUUGAAACCUCUAGUAGGCCCAGGAAAAGAUCUAAAUCAGAAGGUUUUUAAUAUUUAAAGCCAUUUGUUGGAAGGCUAGGAGCAUUAAUACCAAUAAAUCCAUAGAAAGACUUCAAACUUGCAUAAUCUUUCUUUGAUUGUUAUUUUAGAACCUUUUGCUAAAAAUUCUCAACUUGAUACUAUGAGGAUGUAGUUGCAGAUGGAUCAUGCAAAAGCAAUUCUAAUGGUAAAAUUUGGGUAUUUUCGUCUAAUAUCUUAACUUGCAAUAUUCUUAAGAGCACUGAGCAGCAUGUUAGUGUAAAAUUUAGUAUAACAAAUUGUACUGAGAAGUUUUUAGUUUCCUGUAUAUAUACUAAAUGUAAAGAUCACUUGAGAAGACCUUUAUGGGACAAGUUAUUGCAUUUCUCUAAUAGUGAUAUACCCUGGUGUACUAUUGGGGAUUUUAAUGUGAUUACUUCAAUGGAGGAAAAAAUUGGGGGAAUUCCUUAUAAUAUAAAAAAAAGCUUUGAGUUCAUUAAUGUGAUUGAAGCUUGUGGUUUAACUGAUUUAGGUUAUACAGGGAUUCCAUUUACUUGGUGUAACAAAAGGGAUACUCAAGCAAGAGUUUGGAAAAGAUUAGAUAGGGCCAUGGUUAAUGAUCAACGGUUAGAGAAUAUGCUUCAAUCUACUAUUGAACAUUUGCCUACUGUUGGUUCAGAUAACUGUCCUUUAUUAUUGGAAGUAGUUAAGAAGGAUGUGAAGCCUAUUAAGCAUUUUAAAUUCUUAAAUUAUUGGGUAGAUAAUCCAAGUUUUAUGGAUACUAUGCAAAGGAGUUGGGAUAUUGGUGUCACUAGCAUAAGAGACAGUUCAUAUAUAGUAAUGUUCUAUCGCACGAUAUUAUAGUAUUGUAGAAGUUAAACACUACCGUCGUAUAGCCUCCAGCUCAUAGAUGUGAUAUGAAUUACCACCAAUGAACUAGAAUAUACUAGACAUGGAAAUAUUAGACUUUUUACCCUAAAACCUGUUUUUAUAACCACAUGCUCUAAUACCACGUUUGUACUGAUUGGGGAGCACCCUCUAGAAGUAACACAACGUACUUGACCUCUCAAAGGUCUUAUACAAACUAUAGACAUCAUUCAUCCAAUUGACAUAGAAACUUAGCAGAAAAUAUAAAACAUUUCAUAGCACAUAAUAUGUUAUAACAUCACUUCAUAUAUUAUAAAAUAUCAUAAAACAUAGUUACAUUCUAUGUCUCUUUAGGCAUCUUAAACUCAACUUCAAUAGACUAGAAUAGGGACAUGACCCUUAAGAAAAUAAAAUAAUAAUCUAGGCUAUUACAUAAUUUUGAACAAUAACUUGACAUAGGAAAUCCUUGUAUCUUAAAAAUCCCUUUUGAACUUGGGAAAACCUAUCAAAGAUCUUCACUAUAAGAGACAUCAUCUAGUCAUCACAACCCACACUUUGUGUAAAAAGAUGAAGAAGGAUGGUAUUAGUACAAAAAUGCACUAAGUAUGACAACCAUGCAAUAACAUGCAUUGAAAGAGGAUAUUUAGUUAGAAAUCAUGCAUCAUGUCUUUCAGUAAAACAUCAUGAACAUUAUUCAACCGGCAUCAUAUAGUUCACAUACUUCAUAUUGACAUGGUCACUAUUCAUAACAAAACAUAAAGCCAUACUUCACAUUUAAGGAACAUUAAACAUUUCAUAACCUUAUCCUAUUUUACUUUGACUCGUUUACCCAAAAGUAAGCCUUUAGUAACACUUGGUGCAAUGAUGAAUAGUGUUCCAUUCCACCAUCCACACUCAAGUAUCACCUUAAGGUCACCAAGGUGAACAUCAUAUAAUCUUCAUCAACUCAACAUAUACAAUCAUAGAAACAUAGAAUAUCUUAAAAAAUAAUUUAUGAAGAACAUAUAGUACUCAUUCCAACAUGCAAGUCAAGACUACCAUACCAUCAUAGUAAAACAAUAGUCAGCAAUUGCAUAUUUGAACUUCAUUUAACUAAUUCAUUGGACUCAUAAUCCCAAUAUAAGCCUACUAGUACAAUGUAUAUUUAAAUUCCCAUAACCUCACACAUACUAAGUAAACCCACAAAGAGACACAAGCCUUACCAUUUACUUGAUACAUCAACAUGACAAGUAUCUCCACCUAUAUGCACAUCAAGUAAGACCUUCAUCAUGUAGAAAUUAACACCAACGUCAUGCAUAUUAUUAUACAAGUAGGCUAACACUAAAAUGUAAAAUAUAAGAGACAUAUACAUAUACAAUACCCUUCAAGAGCUACUUAUGAAAAGCAUAGGUAAUUUCCAUACUCUCACCUACACUAAGCAACUUCUCUUAAGUAGUCCUAGAUAGAGUUCAUCACCUUACUUCUAUAGUUCAUUAUACUUUAGGGAAACUUUGCCUAAACCGACAUGAGACGAAGUGAGAUAAACAUUGAAUCUGGUGUCAUGGAAUCCCACUCCGAAAAGAGGUAUUCUUCUUACCAAGGUUGAACAUUAACAUCAUGAUAGUAUUUAGGUUGUUCCACUUGCUAGUCCUAUCGGUGAAACAUCGUUAAUUAACUAGGAGAUGUGUAAUUAAAAAGUUUCCACCAAAUGAGAACAUUAGUGAACAUACAUUUCUUGAUAAGAAGGGACACCCAUCAUUUUAAAGUUUACUCGUUGCUAAGCUAACUUUCCUUUAUUGAUUAGCCUUUAAUUGCAUUACUUCAUAAAAAUGACUUAUGGAGAUUAACCCCUCAUAUGCAUAGCUCACACGUUAAUGAUGGGAAUUUCCUAUAAUAAGACCUUAAUCAUGUGAGAAUAUCCUAUAAAAUCGACAAAGAAUAUUCAUAGAAUAGUCUAGUUUUGAGUACAAUUGAGAAAGACCUUCCGAAAGACCCUACUUGUAUUGCCCCAUAACAAACUAAGGUGAACUAGAGGCUCGUUGUUGUUUCUUGAGUUAAUUAUAAGCUAAAAUGAGUUUAUUAGUGGAAUUAGGCAGUGUGUGAAGUUAUUUUAGGUUUUGACGUCAAACGUCCAAGAACGUUUAUGAUGUUUGGAAGGUGUGCCUUAGAAUAUGUUAUUGUGUCUUGUUGUGUUUGAGUGAGUUUAACCUGUUUGUUUUUCUUGAAACUGGUGUGAGGUGUUCCUAUGAAGUAGAAAACUUAGUUUAAGGGUUUAGCGUCUAGGAACGACCCCAUCUAGGACCCACAAGAGGCCCUAGUUGAAGGGCCCAAGACUUGGACAAAACUGCCAAAACAAUUGCUCGAUCGACAAGGAAGUCUACUAGGCGUAGGUCCGUCGAUGCCCCGUCGACUUGGGGAGUAUUACAUGCUUAGAGGGAAGUAUAGGCCCCGUGUAUAAGCCUCUGAAGUCAUCGAUGCACAGCAGGACGGGCCGUCGGCUAGGUGAUGCUGCGUAGCUUGGGUUGUUGAUUGACUCCUCCCAGAAGCUGCUGAAGCUUUCAACAAACUUAGGGUAUUUUGUGUAAAUUCACCCCAAGUAUUAUAUAACCAUUGGUAAAUAUUUUUAGAGUUUUAAAGUUAUAUUAGGUUAGUUUUAAGACCUAGACCUAGACAAGACCCCUCACUUCAAAUAUUCAAACUCCCUCUCUAAAGAAAACUCUCCCAAAGUAACCAUUGAAGCUAUGACUCAAGAAGGGAAAUAAGGGCUGGUUUUGACGUGUAUAUUCAUAAAAAAUUAGUGGGUUUCCUUCUCUUUGAUUUAUGGUAUCCGUCCUUGAACCCUCUUCCAUUAAAAGAGCUAUUUCCAAAAGAUUUCAAAAAGGGUUUUCAAACUAUAUUUCCUUCUAUCUUUGAUUUUAAGCCUAGGCCUUCUUGUAAAAGUGUUCUAAUGAUUUAAAUGUGUUUAUUAUUGUAUUAUUUUAUUAUUUUCACUUCAAAACCUAUUGAAUUCAUGCAUAUUCAUAUUUCAAACUUUUAUCUUAAGAAAUGGGUUAAAUGAGCAUGUUUGGGUAAGGUAUGAACCUUAGUUUUCUUCUGUUGCUAUGUUGGUUUAGCUACUUCCCUAAGGGACUUAUUAUGAUGAAAUUUUGAAAAAAAAUUAUUAUAAUUUACAAUGGCUUGGUUAAAUGUGACUUUCUUAUAUUGCAUAGUUCUUAUUGUAAAUUGCUCUUGAGUGGUAUGGUCCACCUUGUUGGUGGCGGUGUUUAUUUGAUGAACUUGAUAUUACAUAAUAUGUUUUUUGAGUGUUGUUUCAAGGCCUAGGAUAUGAAAUGAAGUGAUAUUGAAGAUAGGUCUUGUCUUGUGUUUUGUGAAGUUGAAUAGCAUGUUUGGCUUAGAUUAUGAAUAGGUAAAUUAUAUGGCUUGUUAAUCAUAUAAAGUGAGUAAAUUGAUGAAUGUUGGACUAAAGCAUGUAUAGAAUGUAAUGCUAGUGAAAUGAUGCUUAUAUGCAAGAUGUGCUCACAAUUACACAGAAAUGUAAAUGAAUGUAUGAAGUUAAAUUGAGUAAAUAGAGGAGUGUUGAGGUUGACACUCUUCGUAAGUUGAUAUGAAGUGUUUAGUAGCAACCUCACUACAUCCUAAGAGUUUUUUAAGAUAGGUCGGAGGAUGCUAUCCUUUAUCUAUAUUUUAAAGUGUUUAGAAUAGGUGGGGGUUUAAACCUAACACCGAGAGGAUAUGAAGAAGAGGUGGUUACACUUCAUAAGUUGACAUGUUGUAUUCCAAUGUACUUUUUGCGAUGACUACUCCUAGUGAGUAGAGAAUAAGUACUUAGUAGCAAUCUCCUUAACGGUUAACUAUACGCCCGCAUAUGUUUAGCCAUUGGGCAAUCCAUGUAAAAGCUCAAACGAAUGACCUUACUCUAGGAAAGUGAGGAUCCCUCAUCGAUAUGGGUUCAUGUCGGGAUUCCAUGUCUAUAUCUCAUAGUCUAUGUCGGUUAAGCUAACCCUCCACAAUAGAAUUGAUUGAAAUAAGUCUUGUAAAAUAUCGUACUACUUAGAGUAGGUAGUUAUAUGGGACGCUAUCUAUUCAUUUCACUAGGUAGGACCUUUCGAAAGGGAAGACUUGGCGCCAAACAUUCUAAAAGAAUGUACUACAGAGAUAAGUGGUGGUAUGGGACGCUAUCUACUCAUUGCACUAAGUAGUUAUUCCGAAAGGGAUGACUUUGGUGGUUUAUUAGGUGUCUUUUAAUGUCUGUCCAUUGAUUGAGGGGAUUGUUUCUCUCGAGUUGAGUAAGCCGAAAAGGGUAGUCAUGAGGAUUGCUUUGGUGUGUGUUGAAGGAUUCAAUGCAUACUUCCUUCAUGUCUUACCUUAGUGAGUCUUAGGAUAAUCUUGAGGUAGGGAAACUUUUAUGAAAAAUGAGUUCACCUUCUCUUUUUCUUGUCCUUGGAAGUUCACUAAUUUAGGAUAGGAUAAUUCAUUGUAAUUGCUCAAGUUGAAUUUAGUGUGAAUGCUUUAAGUGAUUCCUUGUUAAUGUUCACAUAGAUUUACGUUAAAUGCUUAAAGAGUUCACUGUUAAAUGUCGUGUUCUUUUACUGUAGGUUUUGGCAUGUUUACUGUAAAUAUUUCUUGUUGGCUUAAAAUGAUGGGAAUUCUUAUCUAAGUUUUAAAUGAUGGUUAGUAUAAUGUUUUUCCUUUAUAUUCAUAAAUUGUUUAUUUAUAUUGCAUGAAAAGUUAUUUUACUAAAAUGUCGCUUUUUACAUGUUUUUGAAUAUGAUAUACUUAGUAUAUUGUUUUGUACUAACCCCAUCAUACUUUUAUAUACUAUAUAAGUAUAGGUUGGAAGGUUUUGAAGAUUUGAAGGCUAGAAAGAAGAGCUUGGGAAAGUUUCUGUCAAGGCAAUGUAUGUCCUCAUAUGACGGCAUAGUUCUUUUCUUAGUUUUAUUAAAAGACUUGUUAUGUUUACUUUAUUGUAAAGGGUCGCAUCCCUAAGAUAUUAUGUCUUGUCUGUAAGUUUGGCUUUUGACGAUAAGAUUCUGUAGUAUUUAUAAAAUUUUCUUUUAUUAAAUAUUCAUAAAAAGUUUUAAUUUUUGCACUACUUUUCAUGUCUUAUGUAAUGAAUGCUAAUUAAAGGGCUGGUACGAGACACCAAAGGGUCAAGUACGCCUUCCCUCGAUUCGACGGUUCUCCCUAACUUCUAGGGGUGCUUUCGGGAGUGACCAAGAAAGUUUUUAAUUUUCUGCUAAAUUUACUAUUACAAUUUGAUGAAUGAUAACUAUGGGCUUGUAUAAGACCUCUGAGAGGUCAAGUAAGCCAUGUUACUUCUAGGGGGUGCUCCCCCAAUGUGACAAUGUAGGUAAUAGUAUGGAAUGCUAUCUAACCAUGACACAAGUAGACUUUGAAGGUACUAAAGUGAGCUCCCUAAGCCUAAUGACUAAUGUGUGAUGUCCUCUAAGUCCAUGAAUGUAUUCUUAACGACAUAAUAAAGUUUGUUUACUUAUUGUCUAAAAUAAAUGAUGAACAACUACCUUAUAAUGAUAUAGUGAGUUACUUAGCAUGUUAUGUUGAGAUACAAAGGUCCUUAUCUAUUACAUCCUUAAGGAAUACAUAAUUGUCAUAUGAAGAGGUAGUAUGAACUCCCACUUCAUGUCUUACGUAGGUGUGUCUUAGGGUAAAUUUAGAUGGGGGUUCCUACAUGAUGAAAUGACUUACAUAAGGAAUAUUUUUGUGUUGUAUAUUUCUACUAGUGUAGCAUGUCUAUGUAGUAAUAAAGAACUCAUAUCUUUGUUGUGUUGAUUAUAAUGCCUCUAUUAUUAUGUUUAUGAAGUUAUAUAAAAAACGAAUAAACACAUAUUUCUCAAACAAAUGCCCCUUUUACCAUGUUUUUGCAUCGUUAUCAUACUUGGUACAAUUUUGUGUGCUAACACAUAUUUUUUUCUAUUUUUACUACAAGUGUAGGCUCUGGAAAAUGACAGUAUUCUCUUGUGAAACUUACCAUUAUAGUUCUCUAAAGACCUUUUUGGUAUGUCCUCCAAUGUCGAGGACCAGGGUUUUAUGUUCCUAGAUUUUAUGUUUAAGACUUUUGUAAUAGACUUUAGUAUCUUCUAUUGUAAAAGGUCAGUUACCCUAUCUUGUCUUUUUAUCUAAGGAUGGCCAUGUAUGAGUAAAUCUUCAGGACGCAGCCCCAUACAAAAGUGUAAAACAAAAAUGCAAGACAUAAAGGAAAGGUUAUCACAUCCUCGAUUCUUUGAAGACUCACCAUGUCUUGAACUCCUUGCUUUACUAGAAAUGUAGCCAUGAGAAUGGAACUCAAUAUCGUCGUAUCCUUCAUUUGAUAUGAACAUAGGGAAGAGUAUGUGUUUGCAGAAAUUUAGUAAAUAUUAUAUCUUGUAAAACAUAAGAAUAGAAUAACAUAAGGGUUAGUGAAAAUAAAUGUAUGCCAUAAUCAUAACAUUUUUUUAUAUAACAUAAAAUAAAAGAAGAAGAGAAAACAAGAUAGUCAUACGCAUACUAUUAGAAUUAGUCAAUCCUUAGUCCUUCUAAUCAUAAGUGAACUACUUCUAAAGUAACCUCAAAGAACACUUGUGUAAUGCGUGGAUGAUACUCCAAAUCUCACCCACACUAAUUAUCCCUUUUAGGUCAUCAUAAUCAUACUUACCGUCUUUGGAUCUCAUCCUUAGCUUAUUUCUCAUAGACCAGGAAAUCUUUUACCUUUAGUCAAUCAUAAAAAGGAAGGAAACUAUAGCACAAUACAAUCUUAACAUACAUCAUGUCACAUCACGAGAGCAUAGCCUAGAAGAUAUUGCACUCUCAGAGUGAAACUGUUAUAUUGACCUCUCGAAGGUCUUGUACAAACCCUUUUGCAUCAUUCAUGGCAUAUACAUAAAUGAAAAGUAGUGUGGAUUAAAAGUUUUCACAAACAUUCGAAUAGUCUUUCAAAAUAUCUUCCCUAUAAACCAAAGGAAAUAAUAAGUCUCAUUUCAUCAAAUCUUAGACUCUAAAUAUACUUGGGAGACAACCCAUACAAUCAAAAUAUAGUACUAUUAAGUCUAUUACAAUGCUUUACUAAAGAAACUCUAAGACAUCUUUGACCUCGUGUCAAAUCAGGACAUAUUGUAAACUUGCUUAAAGAUACUAUAAUCCAAGCUUCACUCCCAAAAUCACUUUCACCUAUGAAUAACAUUAGAGAUAGAUAAAAACAUGAAAUUAGUACAAACAUAGGUACUAAGUAUGGCUUAAAGGACAAAAUCAUGAUAACUGACAUUUAAUUGAAAUAUUCUCUUUCACAUUAAUAUAUCAUUGUAUAAGAAUAAGAAAAACAUUAAGCACCUGAGAAGAACAUAAGAAAUCACACAAGCAUUUUCUCACAUUUUAAGGAACAUUACAGUAAACUAGUAAAUGUUAUAGUAAAAUACUUCAAUAUUACAUGAACACAAUUAGCAUGUAAUUCUCUCACUAAAAGCUAUAAUAAGACUCACUUAAGUAAAACAAAGAGAGACACUCAUACACCCUCUCUAAGCACACCUAAAUGAUCAUUGAGACUACCCAUAAUAAGAUGAAUACACUUACAAGACACAAAAACACAUAACGUAUAAUAUGACAUUCUCCUUACGAAGAUUAUCAAAAGACUUACUUAGGUAAUUCAUAAAGAGAACUCCCAUAAACCAUCAUCAAGAUUACCUAAAUAUUUCUUAAUUAUCACUGAGAUUAGAUCAUUCCUAAAUUGUCAACCCUAUUUCCUAACUAGAGUCAUUCGUAAGAUGUCCUUAUAGAAGACAUGAAGAGAUCAUCCUUUAUGCGCCCUUCACACUUGAACUAGGCAAUCCUCUAUGUUAAUCAAGAUUAGGUACUUAUUCAUUUACAUUCUUUCUAAACAUAAGUAAUUACUUUUUUAGUUCAUUAAGAUAUAUUCGUCACACAAGGACAUUGAAGUAAUGGUCUUGGAGAAGACCUAGGGACUCACUAACUGACAUCUUCAAAGCCCAAAGGUUCAAUGUCUAGGUAGCGUCCCAUAACACUACCUAAACUUCAUAGACUUCUGAAAAUCCAGAAGGUAUCCCAUAUGAUGAGAAUAGGAAAAAACCGACAAAGACCAUAAUAUCUAAGCGUGGAAUCCAAAGUUGUAACCUACUCUUAUGAUGGUGUUCUACAUACCAAUGGUAGAACUUGGACACAUCAUAUUUAGGCAUAUGGAAAAGGAAUAUGAUGGGUUUUUUUGUUCUUUAAUGUCAACUUAUAUAGAGAGACUUCCCAAACCAUACUCACUGGGUGAUAGCUUUGUUCUCAAAGAGUAUUUCACAUAAAGGAUCAAAUGAAGAGGUUCCAUAUAUAGUUCAUAACCCAAUCACAUUCACCUUAACAGAGAGGUCCCCUAGGGUUACAUUUCAAUGGUUUAGAGGAUAACUUAAUGAAUUUUGUAUGGAUAAUUUCAUCUCAUUCCAUCCAACCAACCUGAAGUCCACCAUUCACACAAGAAGGAUAACGUUAUGUCUUUCAAAUUCAAGGAUAUGAUAACCUCUGAACUAGGUUAAGGGCUCCACAUAAUCUGACCUUCUUACUAUGUUUAAGGCCACAUAUCAUUCAUAUAUACAUCAUUAAGAGGAUUUAUCUUCCUAAUUCAAUAAUCUCAUGUUCACAUAUCACUCAUGCAUCUAGAAUAGGGACAUAAGUCUACCUAAACAAGACACAUCAACACUUGAGUUUAUCACAUAUAAGAUAUCAUAUGAAGAAGCACAUAGGUACAAAAAAGUCAACUGUAGGUCAUCCUAUAUACUACUAUAGAUUCUUCAACGUAGUCACCGUAAGACUCAUAUAAUGAAGUAUAAAGAAUAAUGCAUUAACUCUAAAACUACACAAACAAGGACAUAGUCAUAGUCUAACAUGAUCACCUAAAAAUAUCAAUAGAAGAAAAAAUCCUUUCACCUUGAUCAAAAAUAGAUAGAUAUGCUCAUACUUCACAUACAAAUUAACUAUACAAAUUAUUAUAAUAUAUCAAUUAGUGCUUACAAGGACAUGAUCAUCAUAAUAUAUAAUGUAAUGUUGACGAGGCCACAUAGUUGACAAUUAUAUAACACAUAACACCGCAAUCAUAAGUGGAUUAUACAAAUAACAACUUAUUUCAAUACCUAAUUAACAUAAUGUAAAUAGAAUUAGGGCAUCGUACCACCAAUCCAUUCUCACCACUUCAAUCCAUAGCUUAAUCAGUCAAUACUAUACAAAAAGUCCCUUACCCAUGGCCAUGAUCAUCAUUUCAACACAUAAAUCACAAUACCUAAUGAAUAUAAGUCAAUUAAAUAUAUAUUUAUCAAUCUAAUACAACUUAUACAUCACUUUAAUACAAUUAUAACAUCAUUCAAUAGCACUAAGAAAUAACCAUUAUUAUAACAUCAAAAACAUAGCAAAUUUUAAGAGAUUAUAUUUUGGAGGGUUCAUGAAGAUUUUAGUUUAGAAUAACAUAAUUAACAUCAAUUAAUCAAUAUUCAAUUAUACAAAAUGUUUAAUACAAUAACUCAUGGUUUAGAUCAUAAAAUUGGACAAUUUUAUCUUUAGAAGACUUUACAAAUUACUUUGAAGUUUGUCUCAUUGAUGAAAAAGUUUCAAGGAUGAAGAAAACAAACCUCAAUGAUGUUAAUAAACUAAAGUUUAUGAAUAAUAACCUAUCAAACUUCAAUCCAAGCUCUUCAUUGAAUUUUGGCUCCGGCGGAGUUUUAGAGAAUUUCUCAGAGAAUUUGGGUUUUGAUUUUGAAAAAUGAAUUCAUCUAGGUGCUUAGGACAUAUAAACCAACUUUAAAAUACCUAUAUACCCCUAAGUAACCUCCCAAACCAUUAUUUGUAAUUUGGAUGAAUUUACAAUUCACUCUUGCAUUUAACAUUUUGAUGCGCAGGUUGCAGGAUUCACUUACGCCAGGCCAUCAGUGGGUCGUUUCAAACCAAUGGACAAUCAUGAUGGUCUGUGGUGUGGGUCUGAGGCUUGUUGUUUGAAGGACAAGUCCACCAUCCUCUGUUUCAACCUACGCCCCUCACUUAUGGGAUGUCUACUGAUUUACUGGCCUUCAAUUGCCAUUUGAAGGAUGGGCUGGUUUUGAACUUUUGCUCUUAUGAAGAGUCCUUCCUCAGGGACCCUUGGGUUUGUCCUUGGUGAUGUUAGACCUGACGUUUAUAAUCCGAAUAUGAUCAUAUUCGGGUUUAGGACCUCCAAUAUCAAUAUCAUCCAAAACUAAAACAUUAAACUUGAUGAAACAUGCUAAGACACACAAGGUCAUUUGAAGGUAAACCUUUCGAACGUCAUGGACGUUCUUCGACGUUUGAGCUCUAAACUUGAUGAAACUUGAAACAUUGACUAUAAAAACUAUUAUAACUCAUAUUAUUACCUCAUAAUAUUAUAAAAUACAGAUAUAAGCACACAACCACAUAUGAGGCAUAUAGGUGACUAGUCAUCGAACGUCUUAGUCGCUCUUUGACGUUUCCCUUCCAAUUUACCUAAAUCUUAAGAAACUGCAUCAUUAGAAAACUAUAAAUCAUUUUAGGACCUUAUAAACUCAUGAUAAACAUGUUAGGCAGUAAAUUCACCUAUGUCAUUUAAGAGGUGUAAGAUUCUCCCCCAUUUGGACAACAUUCGUCAUCGAAUGACACUUUCCACUCUCCAAAUACUUCAACGAAUUAAAAAAUAUAUGAGAAACAUCAAUUUUAUAUAAUAAAAAGACUCACAACACAGCAAGAAGAUAGAAACACUUUCUAUAACUCAUAAUACAAUAAGACUCACAUUCUUGAAUGGAAUAGCAUGAACUCCUUUUAAAUUAUUUUUAAUGCCCAUAUACAUCAGUUAUAUACGUAUAACAAAAAUAUUCAACCGAAGAAAAAAUUAGUCAAUUUUGCAAAAAAUUUACAGUAAGCUAAAUUCCCUGGCAAUGAACAUACUUUAAAAUUCCAAAAAUGCAACAUUUAAGCAAUUGAAUAUAAAAACAUGAUAAUAUGAUGGAUAAAACCCUAUAAAAACACUUUAACACAUAAUGAUAACCGCAUAAAAUUCACAAUUCAAAGAAUCUAUUAAAUUAAAUUCCAACCAGACUCCGAAACACAAUGCAACAUGCAACAUGCUACUAUGAUCAUCUAGCUCCUAUACUAAUCAUACUCCCCCACAUAGAAGUAACUCAUAGCACAAAAGAGGUAAUACUAGAUUUUACCAUCAUAAUCAUCCUCAUCUGGCUUUGCUCCUCUAGUCCUGAGUGCAUAAGAACGAUUCUUCUUUGUAGCAUCACCACCCGGAACACUUAUAGAAACUUGCUUAGGAUCGUUUCCUAUAGAAGCAAUUGAAGGACAAUGUUUCACCUUGUUUGAAUCUUUACUACAGCAAAAACAACUCUCGUUACCUAAUAGAAAUUCCCCAUAGUGCCUCUUACCAAAAGUAGCACAUGUAAGAUUCUAACCUUUAGAACCAUUACCAUUUUAAAGUUUCACCUUAACACCCCUAGAUUCAUCUUUAAUUGAAACCUUCUUAUUGAAACUAGGUUGGCUUUCAUCAAUAGAUCCACUCCUCUUCAAGUUUGUAGCAAUCCUACCAGGUUUAGACUCCUCAAUGGAUCGAUCAUACAAUAUGAGUAUAGACAACAUCAUAUCAUCAUGGAGCAUGGCCGUACGACAUUCUUCUUUCACUAGGUUGGUUACCCCAAUCACAAACCUACCCAUCUCAUCCCCAAGGUUAGACACUAAGGAUGGGGAAUAUCUAUACAACAUAGAGAACUUCAAAGAGUACUCCUCAACACUUAUAUUUUCUUUCUUGAGAUUGUUAAACUCUUGUACCUUUACCUCCCUCCUCUCACGAGAAAAUAACUUUCCUAGAAAAUACUGUUUGAACUCUUCCCACAAAAUAGGAUGCAACUCAAACAUCCAACAAUCUUUCCAUUAAGUAUAUCACACUUGAAAAACCUCCCUCAAUUUGUACGAAACAAACUCCAUCUUCUCCCUUGAAGUCAUCCCAAUGCACUCAACACCUAAUACAUACCAUCUAGGACUGUACCCUCCCUAUUCAGGGUCUUGGUGGGAAGGAUAACCUCUCUAUGAGGAUGUUCUGUUUUAAACCCUUGAUCUUCAAGUGAAGAGGUUGAGGAACCGAGAGGUGUCCUCCUUGUAAGUGUUAUAUAGAAAUUACCUAGUUCAGGGAGCAACAUAAGAGGCCGAGGCCGCCAUGAAUUCACAUUAUACUCAACUCUUUCAUAAUGAAGGUUAGUUGUUUUUACUAAUAAUGAAAAUAGUAACUAAGUUUGUAGUUGCUUUGAUUUUUGGUGAAAUUCUGGGGAAAAAAAGCUCUAGUUAUAGUGAAAUACUAUGAAAUUGUGCAUAUUGACUUGAAAAUUUGCAAUUCUUCUGUUUAUGAGCUAUGUUGUGCAUUUUUAAUAGGUGAGUCUUUAUUAAGGGAUUUUGAGCAUGUUGGUAAGUUGAGUUUUUGCAUAGUUGACUCAUAUAAGGUAUGUUGAGCUCAUGUUGUUGUAAGAAAGAAAUUCCUCAUAAUUUGAUUUUGAGUUUUAUGUGUAGUGAUUAAUGUUUUUAAUUUCUACAUGUAAGAUGUCAUAAUUGAUGUUGUAACUCAUGUUUUUAUGUAUUUUUGUUUUUUGGGCUGCUAGUCUUGAGUCUAUUCCUUCCUUUUUCAAAAGAUUUAAGUGUCAAUCGGGGACAAUUUUUCCUCAGGGGGGAUAAUGUAACACCGCGAAAGUCCAAGACCUAAUUAGAAACUAAAAUGAGUGUCUAGGGGUAUAGAAGAUGUUUUAAAGUCAAAAUUUAUGAAUAUAAGUCAUUUAGGAAGUUUAGGAGUCAAAAUUUCAAGAAACAUCCACGGCGUUCGGAGACUAGUGCAAAAGGUGCUAGCGUAGCUUAACUUAUUUGACUAGGUAUUCAAUGUCGGAAAUUGAUGAAUUUUUGUGGAAGAUUUUAUAACAUGUAAUUAAAGUUAAUUCAUAGUUUAAAAAUCCGGGUACGACUUACUAAGUACCGACCAAGGGCCCUUGAAGUGGAAUCUUGAUGUUUGUGUCGAAGGAUACCUAAGGCACUCUACACAAACGAUUUCCACCAAUAUAUUGUUGUCCUUUUGAUGGGGUGCCGAUGGAAUCCGUCAAUGGACACUUAGAAUAUUUUGCAAGGACUAUAUUGUUACCAGUUUCUGACUAAAACGAUGGACCAACAAGACAGAAGGUCAUGUGGUCAUCGAUUGACAAUCGUGGCGUCGAUGUGGUCUCGUCUGUGAGACAAAAGGGUUUGUUGCAAGUUUUUGAUUGGUAAAUUUAACUAAUUAGGUGGUUACUUAGUUAGUUAGGGGUUAAUAGAGGUCUAAUUAAGUUAGUUGACAACCUAUAUAAUAACCAAAACCUAUCUAAGCUAACCUAACCCUUAUAAAUCCCAAAACACAAAUUCUCUUUCUUCUCUCGUCUAUAUCUCUUCCAAGAUGAAGAAACACCAUAGAAGUCAAUACUAAGGAAUUCUAGGGCUAAUAAAGAUCAAAUAUUCUCUAUCAAACAUUAUCAAAUAAUAAGGUAUGGGAUUCCUUUAACUUUGGGUUUCUUUCCCCAAAGGGUUCCUUCAAAUUGAUUUCAAAAGAUGAGUUUUCAUGUGGAUCUCUUCCAAUCUCGAAAUUGAACUUUCAAUUUGAUUUGUUCAUGAUUUUUUUGAUUGUAUUGAUUAUAUUGUAAUGAAUUAUUACUAUAUUACACUACUUAUUGAUGAAUUGGUCUAGUUUGUAGAAGAAGACAUUUCCCCUGAAACCCUAGGUUGUGAUCUUGAAUUGAACUAUCUAGUAUUGAUGUAAAUUAGCUUUAUUAUUGUUUGAAUUAAUAUCAUAUGGUUAUAUUAUUCAAAUUUAUUCAUAGAUUGAGAUGAAUUGGACUCCUACCAUGCUAGUUCUUGAGUAAUUGAUAUAGGUGGUGAAGUAGAUUAUAAAUUUUACCUUUAGUCUCUAAUCUUAAGCUUUGAAUUACUGAUGGAUUAUUUUGUAGUUCUUCAAUUGACAUCAUUAUCAUGUUGGUUACUAUUUUUUGAUGAUAUUAAACCCAUUGUGGGGUUGAGUUUGAGGGUUGAUGGUAAGACCUUGGUUUAGACUUGUUAUGCCUCGUAUUUUUUUUAUACGUAGUGCGCAUCGUGAUCUAGAAGACGUAAAGAAAUAUUAGGCAAGGAUGUUAUUUCCAAAUGUGAUAUUAAGUAUGAGUUGGUUAAUGUAAGUGCCAUUAACUUUAAGUGAGGGAUUAAUUAGUGGCUAAUUUGGAUUGAUUUAAUCCAAUGGGCCCCACCACUCAAGGCAAAAAAUUAAAAGGGAUCAGAUUGUGGGCUGGCCUUAGUGGACAGGUGUAGAGGGGGGCUGCCUCCACUUCAUACUAUUAAAUGAGGUGGAGAAAUCCACUCCAUGCUAUAUAAAGUGCUGAAAUGCAUUGCUGCAUAUCAUCUUCUUCUUCACCACUUGUCUUAGGCAGCCAUGGAAAUGGAGAAACCAACCCUGCAACUCUUGGCCAGCAGCUGCAAAUAAUUUGGUUAGUAAUCUCCUUGUUUGGUGUGUUAAUUCUUUAGAAUACCCUUGUUAAUUAUCCAUUAAUUUUAAGAAGGGGGCGUGACCAGUAGCUUAGGAAGUUUGUUUUAGUUAUUGAAUGUGCUAAGUAUGAAUGGAAACCAUAAUCGGAUUAUUAGUGGUGUCAUGUUGGUGCUUGGGCUGUUUAUAUGAUUCUUUGGGUUAUAUGUGUUAUUGGUAUUACUGUGGAUAAUUUGGAUUGUUGUCGGAUUGGGACGAAGUAAGGAAAAAAGGGGAGGUGCUGCCGAAUUUUCGUUAGAUUAUUAGCUAGCUUACAAGAAAGUAAAGCACGAUGUUUAUCUAAUUGCGGCACGAUUGUUGCUUGUUAUAGAUUAAUAGCUUGAGCAGUAAAUAUUGGACGUGCGGCUCAAUUAUACGGUAUGUAACGCUGUCCCUUCUUUCUUUGCUUGGCAUGACUUUUAAAAAUAAGCGAAUAACGGACAGAUUUGAUACUUACCUCUAAAGCGUCUAGGUGAUGUAUAUUCUUGCUUCCACAAUUAUUCCUCUAUAUAUCGGUUAUGUCUAAGGCUAUGAUGAUCUCUAAUAUCUAUGGUAAUGCUUCUUAGAGUCAUUGAAAUUUUACGUUUUCAUAUCGUAUUAAAGGUUCAUAAUCUUGAUAAAACAUUAAUCUUUGGUAAUACCCUUGCUGGUUCACGUUGAUUGUUCUAUUGAGUUAUAAGAAAUGAUUUUAAUUGCAUAUGGUUGCUCAUAAUAUUCUGCUCGUGCAUAGAGUCAUUUAUCAUUUCACCGAGUCCCGGGCCGGGUAAUGUUCGUGCGGAGUUUCUUGCAUAUGUCACCGAGUUCCUCACUAGAGGGCCGGGUAUGUAUAUUAUAUAUAUGAUUGGUGAUGAGGAUGGUUAUGAUGAUGAUGAUGACGGAGAUGACGUGAUGAUUAUUUUGCCGAGCCCCUUACUAGGGAAGCUGGGCACCUUAAAUGUUAAAUAUAUGCAUGAUUUUCACUUAAAAAGUAUAUGUGUAGCGAUAUUUUGUUUCGACUUGCCACAUUGGUAUCCUGUCAUCUUUACCUUAUGCUUUACAUACUCAGUACAUUGUCCGUACUGACCCCCUUUCCUCGGGGGGCUGCGUUUCAUGCCCGCAGUUGUAGACGCGCAGUUCGGUGAUCCUUCCGCCUAGGAUAUCUACUCUGCUGAUUGGGAGAGCUCCACUGUUCCGGAGCCCAGUCGUUUUGGUACAUAACUUUUGUGUAGUCUUUUGCUCGUCUAUGGGUAUGGCGGGGCCCUGUCCCGUCGAGUUUCACUAAUGUACUCUUAGAGGUCUGUGGACAUUAUGUGGGUUGUAUAUAUAUGUUUUGGAUAAUGGUCUGGACAUGGUUUGUUUGGGAUGUCCGCUUGUACAGGGGCAGCCUUGUCGGCUGCGUACAUCAUUAUGCUUUGAAUAGUGGCGGCCUUGUCGGCUCGCGUAUGCUGUUAUGGUUGAAUGGUUAUGACUCCUUAUGAGACAGGUCCUCUUAUAUAUAUAUAUGACGUUGGGGUUGGCUUGAUUUGAUUAAAUUCCAUAUUGUCUUAGUUUCAGUUGGUCAUACUUAGCAGGUUUGUAUGUGGGUGUCCAAAACGGGCACUAAUCACGGCCUAUCGGGUUGGGUCGUGACAAAGAGUGGUAUCAGAGCGGUUCUUCCUCGGAAGUGCCUACAGACCGUGUCUAGUAGAGUCUUGUUUAUCGGUGUGUUGUGCACCACAUCUAUAAACAGGAAGCUACAGGACAUUUAGGAUGUCAUUCUUUCUUCUUAUUCUAGAUCGUGCGAUAGAGCUAUAUUAACAGGAUAAUCCCUCUCUAACGAAUCCAUGUGUUUUCAGCUAUGCCUCCAAAGAAAGCGACAGCCGCCCAGAAGGGAAAAUCGGUAGCAGAAGGUACUAGUCAGACCCGAAGAGUUACUAGGGCCCGUGCCCAGUCUAUGCCUGGUAUUAUGCUCCAGUCGGAGAGCUCUGCUACACCCCCACCGCCAGAAGAGCUUAGAGCAGCAGCAGCUCCAGUUCGGGGGACACCACCAGCCCCCGAGGCCCCAACAUCUGAACCUCCAGCUCCUCAGUCAGGGACGGAGGAUAGGGCCAUGAGAGAUGCGGUUCAAUUGCUGACUAGAUUAGUGGCAAAUCAGGCUCGCAGGCAUGGACUAGGAGUUGAUCAUGCGGACAGAUCUGAUAGCUUAAGGGCUCGUGACUUCUUAAGUUGUAAUCCUCCAGAGUUCUUUGGGUCAAGGCCACAGGAUGAUCCGCAAGAGUUUAUUCGUCAGAUGCAGCGUACAUUGAGGAUAAUCAAGGCUUCGGAGACUGAGUCUGUUGAGUUGGCUACGUAUCGUUUGCGGGAUGUAGCUAUUAAUUGGUAUGAGUCUUGGGAGUUAUCUAGGGGUGAGGGUGCCCCUCCAGCGGUAUGGGAUGAAUUUGUUGAGGCUUUCCAGGGCCACUUCCUGCCUCCAGAGAUGAAGCGAGCUAGAGUCGAUAAAUUCUUGCGUUUGAAGCAAAAUGGCAGGAGCGUUCAAGAGUAUAGCCUCGAGUUUGAUUCAUUGGCUAGGCAUGCGCCUACUAUUGUGGCUGAUAUGGCAGACAGGGUACAUCGUUAUGUGAUGGGAUUGGAUCGUUAUCUGAUUGACGGUUGUAUGGCAGUGACUCUUCAGCCAGGUAUGGACAUUGCUCGGGUGCAGGCAUAUGCACAGGGGGUAGAGGAUCGGCACCGGGGACGUCAGCCAGAUAGAGAUUAUAAUAGAGGCCAGCAUAAGAGGGCUAGAUCAGCAGGUUAUCCUGACGAGUUUCAAAGCAGGCAGUCUCAGCAGCAUGUUAGAUUUUCUUCCCAGCCAGCACAGAGUGCACCCCCACGUUUCAUGGGUAGGGGGUUCGAUCGUAUGGGAUAUUCGGAACCUGGUCAGAGCUCUAGGGCGUCAGGGUCACAGAUGGGCAGGGGUUUGAGCCAGUCGAGGACACCUUUGCCUCGGUGUUCUCGUUGUGGUAAGUCCCAUCCUGGGGAAUGUCGUUGGGCUACAGAUGCGUGUUUUUUUUGCGGCCGUCAGGGCCAUACUAUGAGGGAGUGUCACCUUAGAGGUAGUGCAGGUGGUAUGGCACAGCCUACAGGGUCCGUUGCUGGUUCAUCUUCUUCUGUGGCUAUGCGCCCUACGGGGCAGGGUAUUCAGGCACCAGCAGGCCGUGGUAGAGGACGUGGUGGAGCUUCCAGUUCUAGCGGUCCCUCAAACCGUAUAUAUGCUUUGACUAAUAGGCAAGAUCAAGAGGCGUCACCUAAUGUGAUCACAGGUAUAUUAUCACUAUUCUCCCGAAGUGUGUAUGCAUUGAUAGACACAGGUUCCACCUUAUCAUAUAUAUCUCCCUUUGUUGCUAGUAGGAUCGGAAAGAGUCUGAGUUGAUAGAACCAUUUGAGGUAGCUACACCUGUAGGAGAUUUUGUCAUAGCUACGCGAGUAUAUAGGAAUUGUUCAGUAGCUAUAUAUAGUCGUCAUACCGUAGCAGAUCUAAUAGAGUUAAAUAUGAUUGAGAUUGAUAUUAUCAUGGGCAUGGAUUGGUUGGCUGCUUGUUAUGCUAAUGUUGAUUGCAGAGGAAAGAUAGUUCGAUUUCAAUUUCCAGGGGAACCGAUUAUAGAGUGGAAGGGAAGUACAGUAUCGCCAAAAGGUAAGUUCAUUUCAUACCUCAAGGCCGGGAAGAUGGUUAGAAAAGGCUAUAUUUACCAUCUGAUUCGGGUGCAUGACAUAAAGGCAAAGGCACCGACUCUUCAAUCAGUCCCGAUAGUUAAUGAAUUUCUUGAUGUAUUCCCCGAGGAACUUCCAGGCCUUCCUCCAGAACGGGAGAUAGAGUUUACUAUAGAUGUACUGCCAGAUACCCAGCCUAUAUCUAUACCUCCUUAUAGAAUGGCACCUGCUGAGUUGAAAGAAUUGAAAGAGCAAUUGAGGGAUUUGCUAGAAAAGGGCUUCAUCAGGCCUAGUACGUCACCUUGGGGAGCACCAGUACUGUUUGUGGGGAAGAAGGAUGGGUCGCUGCGGAUGUGCAUUGAUUAUAGGCAGUUGAACAAAGUAACAAUAAAGAACAGGUAUCCCCUCCCAAGGAUUGACGAUCUAUUUGACCAGUUGCAGGGUGCAAAGUGUUUUUCAAAGAUAGACUUGCGGUCAGGUUAUCAUCAGGUGCGGGUAAGGGAGGCAGAUAUUCCAAAGACAGCAUUCCGAACCCGAUAUGGGCAUUAUGAGUUUAGAGUGCUGUCUUUUGGGCUGACUAAUGCUCCAGCGGUAUUCAUGGAUUUAAUGAAUCGAGUAUUUAAACCAUUCCUUGAUAUGUUUGUUAUUGUAUUUAUAGACGAUAUUCUGGUCUAUUCACAUUCAGAAGAGGAGCAUGCAGAUCAUUUAAGGACGGUACUUAGGGUGCUUCAGCACCAGAAGUUGUAUGCUAAAUUUUCUAAGUGCGAGUUCUGGUUUACUUCAGUGGCAUUCUUGGGGCAUAUUAUUGGAGCUGAUGGUAUUCGGGUAGAUACGCAGAAGAUUGAGGUAGUAAAGACUUGGCCCAGACCUACGACACCUACUGAGGUACGCAGCUUUUUGGGGUUAGCAGGAUAUUACAGGAGAUUCGUAGAAAAGUUUGCCUCAAUUUCAGUGCCUUUGACAAGGCUAACUCAAAAGGCAGCCAAGUUCCAGUGGACAGAUGCUUGUGAGCGAAGCUUCCAGCUAUUGAAAGACAAAUUGACUACAGCUCCAGUCCUAACUCUUCCAGAGGGACCAGACGGCUAUGUUAUUUAUUGUGAUGCUUUGGGUGUUGGGCUAGGAUGUGUAUUGAUGCAGCAUGGCAAAGUUAUAGCCUAUGCCUCCCGACAACUUAGGAAGCAUGAAAAGAACUAUCCUACUCACGAUCUGGAGUUAGCGGUCGUGGUUCAUGCCUUGAAGAUAUGGAGACAUUAUUUAUAUGGUGUCCAUGUGGACAUCUAUACAGAUCAUAAGAGUCUCCAAUAUAUCUUUAAACAGAAGGAGCUAAACUUACGACAGAGGCGGUGGUUAGAGUUGCUAAAGGAUUAUGAUGUUGAUAUUUUAUAUCAUCCAAGGAAAGCGAAUGUUGUAGCAGAUGCUCUUAGCCGUAAGUCCAUGGGUAGCUUGACAGAUGUACAACCAGAAAGGAGGGAUAUGGUUCGGGAGAUUCAGCGGCUAUCCAGCCUUGGAGUCCGUCUAGCUAAUUCGGAAGAUAGAGGAGUUUCUAUUCGAGAGGUUGCUGAGUCCUCAAUCAUAGAUGAGGUAAAGAGACACCAAUACAAGGACCCUAUUCUGGCACAGUAUAGAGAUGCAACUCUUCAAAAGGAAAAGACCCCAUUUAAGGUUACACCUGAUGGCGUGUUACGAUAUGAAGGCAGAUUGUGUGUACCCGAUACUGCGGGGCUACGACGGCAAGUUAUGGGAGAGGCACACUCUGCCCGUUAUUCUAUUCACCCAGGGUCAACAAAAAUGUAUCAUGACCUCAGAUGCUUAUAUUGGUGGGAUGGCAUGAAAAAGGACAUAGCAGAGUUUGUUGCUCAGUGCCCAAAUUGUCAACAAGUCAAGAUCGAACAUCAAAAGCCUGGUGGAUUAUUACAGGAGAUAGAGAUCCCGACUUGGAAAUGGGAGAUGAUUAAUAUGGACUUCAUUACAGGCUUACCUCGCACUCAACGGAAGUAUGACUCUAUAUGGGUUAUUGUAGAUAGGCUGACGAAAUCGGCCCAUUUUCUUCCAGUCAGGACUACUUAUUCGGCUGAAGAUUAUGCGAGGUUAUAUGUCAGGGAGAUAGUGAGACUUCAUGGGGUUCCCACGUCCAUUAUAUCAGACAGAGGAGCUCAAUUUACAGCCAACUUUUGGAGAUCGUUUCAGAAGGGAUUGGGGACACAGGUGAACCUUAGCACAGCAUUUCACCCUCAGACUGAUGGGCAGGCUGAGCGUACUAUUCAGACACUAGAAGAUAUGUUGCGGGCCUGUAUUAUUGACUUCAAAGGCAGCUGGGAUGACCACUUGCCGCUCAUUGAGUUUGCCUAUAAUAAUAGCUACCAUUCUAGUAUCCAGAUGGCACCGUACGAGGCCUUAUAUGGGAGGAAGUGCAGAUCACCUAUUGGUUGGUUUAAUGUUGGCGAGACUAAGUUAAUAGGCCCGGAUGUGAUUCAGCAAGCUGUUGACAAGGUGAAGCUUAUUCAAGAAAGAUUAUUAGCAGCCCAGAGUCGACAGAAGUCAUAUGCAGAUAAUCGGCGUCGAGAUUUGGAGUUUCAGAUUGGUGACUGGGUAUUCCUGAAGGUAUCACCCAUGAGGGGUGUGAUGAGAUUCGGCAGGAAGGGGAAGCUCAGUCCGAGAUACAUUGGGCCUUAUCAGAUUGUUCGUAGGAUAGGCAAGGUUGCCUAUGAGUUGGAUCUACCAUCUGAUUUGGAGGCGGUACAUCCAGUCUUCCAUGUAUCGAUGCUACGUAAAUGUAUUGGUGAUCCUUCUAGAGUAUUCCCUGUAGAUGAUAUUCAGGUAACAAGGAGUUGUCAUAUGAGGAGAAACCCGUGGCUAUACUUGAUCGUCAGGUUAGAAGGUUACGUACUAAGGAUGUGGCUUCCGUCAAAGUGUUGUGGCAAAAUAACAAUAGGGAGGAUAUGACUUGGGAAGCGGAAGACGAAAUAAAAAAUAAGUAUCCUUACUUGUUCCCCGUACCUGCAUGUAAUUCAAUUCCUAGCUUGACUAUAUUGAUAGAUAAUGAGAUUAUGUAGCUGUGAGGCAUCUGUAGGUUACGGAAUGCAGGUUGAUAGGUAUAACUUUUAGAGAGACCUCGCUGGAAUUUUUUUUUGCAAGACGCUAACUUAACAUUCGAGGACGAAUGUUCCUAAGGGGGGAAGGAUGUUAUGCCUCGUAUUUUUUUUAUACGUAGUGCGCAUCGUGAUCUAUAAGACGUAAAGAAAUAUUAGGCAAGGAUGUUAUUUCCAAAUGUGAUAUUAAGUAUGAGUUGGUUAAUGUAAGUGCCAUUAACUUUAAGUGAGGGAUUAAUUAGUGGCUAAUUUGGAUUGAUUUAAUCCAAUGGGCCCCACCACUCAAGGCAAAAAAUUAAAAGGGAUCAGAUUGUGGGCUGGCCUUAGUGGACAGGUGUAGAGGGGGGCUGCCUCCACUUCAUACUAUUAAAUGAGGUGGAGAAAUCCACUCCAUGCUAUAUAAAGUGCUGAAAUGCAUUGCUGCAUAUCAUCUUCUUCUUCACCACUUGUCUUAGGCAGCCAUGGAAAUGGAGAAACCAACCCUGCAACUCUUGGCCAGAAGCUGCAAAUAAUUUGGUUAGUAAUCUCCUUGUUUGGUGUGUUAAUUCUUUAGAAUACCCUUGUUAAUUAUCCAUUAAUUUUAAGAAGGGGGCGUGACCAGUAGCUUAGGAAGUUUGUUUUAGUUAUUGAAUGUGCUAAGUAUGAAUGGAAACCAUAAUCGGAUUAUUAGUGGUGUCAUGUUGGUGCUUGGGCUGUUUAUAUGAUUCUUUGGGUUAUAUGUGUUAUUGGUAUUACUGUGGAUAAUUUGGAUUGUUGUCGGAUUGGGACGAAGUAAGGAAAAAAGGGGAGGUGCUGCCGAAUUUUCGUUAGAUUAUUAGCUAGCUUACAAGAAAGUAAAGCACGAUGUUUAUCUAAUUGCGGCACGAUUGUUGCUUGUUAUAGAUUAAUAGCUUGAGCAGUAAAUAUUGGACGUGCGGCUCAAUUAUACGGUAUGUAACGCUGUCCCUUCUUUCUUUGCUUGGCAUGACUUUUAAAAAUAAGCGAAUAACGGACAGAUUUAAUACUUACCUCUAAAGCGUCUAGGUGAUGUAUAUUCUUGCUUCCACAAUUAUUCCUCUAUAUAUCGGUUAUGUCUAAGGCUAUGAUGAUCUCUAAUAUCUAUGGUAAUGCUUCUUAGAGUCAUUGAAAUUUUAUGUUUUCAUAUCGUAUUAAAGGUUCAUAGUCUUGAUAAAACAUUAAUCUUUGGUAAUACCCCUUGCUGGUUCACGUUGAUUGUUCUAUUGAGUUAUAUGAAAUGAUUUUAAUUGCAUAUGGUUGCUCAUAAUAUUCUGCUCGUGCAUAGAGUCAUUUAUCAUUUCACCGAGUCCCGGGCCGGGUAAUGUUCGUGCGGAGUUUCUUGCAUAUGUCACCGAGUUCCUCACUAGAGGGCCGGGUAUGUAUAUUAUAUAUAUGAUUGGUGAUGAGGAUGGUUAUAAUGAUGAUGAUGACGGAGAUGACGUGAUGAUUAUUUUGCCGAGCCCCUUACUAGGGAAGCUGGGCACCUUAAAUGUUAAAUAUAUGCAUGAUUUUCACUUAAAAAGUAUAUGUGUAGCGAUAUUUUGUUUCGACUUGCCACAUUGGUAUCCUGUCAUCUUUACCUUAUGCUUUACAUACUCAGUACAUUGUCCGUACUGACCCCCCUUUCCUCGGGGGGCUGCGUUUCAUGCCCGCAGGUGUAGACGCGCAGUUCGGUGAUCCUCCCGCCUAGGAUAUCUACUCUGCUGAUUGGGAGAGCUCCACUGUUCCGGAGCCCAGUCGUUUUGGUACAUAACUUUUGUGUAGUCUUUUGCUCGUCUAUGGGUAUGGUGGGGCCCUGUCCCGUCGAGUUUCACUAAUGUACUCUUAGAGGUCUGUGGACAUUAUGUGGGUUGUAUAUAUAUGUUUUGGAUAAUGGUCUGGACAUGGUUUGUUUGGGAUGUCCGCUUGUACAGGGGCAGCCUUUUCGGCUGCGUACAUCAUUAUGCUUUGAAUAGUGGCGGCCUUGUCGGCUCGCGUAUGCUGUUAUGGUUGAAUGGUUAUGACUCCUUAUGAGACAGGUCCUCUUAUAUAUAUAUAUGACGUUGGGGUUGGCUUGAUUUGAUUAAAUUCCAUAUUGUCUUAGUUUCAGUUCGUCAAACUUAGCAGGUUUGUAUGUGGGUGUCCAAAACGAACACUAAUCACGGCCUAUCGGGUUGGGUCGUGACAAGACUUUUGAAGGAUAUUUGGUAAGUCUUAUGAUCUCAACUCUUUACAUAAAUUAUGGUUACUUGUUAUUUAUUGAUGACGUUAUAUUGAAGUAUACCUUAUAUUAAGUUUCAUAGGCUUGGUAUGAUAUUGAAUCAGAAUGUCUUGACUAUGGUUUGUGAGGUGUUGGCUACGAUGUAAAUGUUCUAAUUAUGGUGAUAACUUACCAAUGUGCCUUAUCAUGAAUGAUUAUGUAAAUGUGUUAACCUCACAUAUAUGAAUUGUAAUGAAAGGAAUAUACUCAUGCAAGUCUUAUUUAUCUAUAAUGAUGAGGAUUUAAUAAGAGAUAGACACAAUGACCUACCAUAAGCUAUGAUGAUUAUAAAGGGUCUUAAAGACAUUUCAAAAAGGGUCUCUAGCUUAGCACCGAGUGAACUAGAAUUAGGAGUGUCCCUUCCCUUAUAGGGAAGGUAAGAUCACUAACGUACUCUUGAGAUUGGAGACUAUAAUUCAUGUAGCAUAAAUAGGGUGCCAACUAGAUAUCCUAGUUUUUAAACUAUGUUUCCCGCAAGGAAUAAUAGCUAGUGGAUCCAUGUAGUCACUAUUGUCAUAUUUUAGUACUACCUUGGAAAGUAGACCACCUUCUUUCGGUGUAAGGUUCAAUGGAACCUGAUUCAACCUUAGAUCAUUUAUAUAUGACGGUUAAGGCAACAUGUUCCCAAAUGGUAAAAUGAAGUAUUGAAUAAAAUGUAACUAGGAUGACCGAAGGGGUUUAGCUUAGUCUAGGUAGGGGUAUGAGACUCUACCUAUACGUUGCACUAGAUAACAUGGAAUGGGAAUCUUAGGAAGAUGUUGUUACGUAUGUAUAUGCUUAUAAAUGUAAAUUAUAUUUAUAUGAUGAUUUUAAAUGUUGAUGGUACCUUAUUAUGUUGAAUUCACAUGUUAAUACAUGUUUGGUCUAUAUUUCUAUAGUAUGAUGUUUUGUACUCUGAAUGAUAUGAUAUGUGAAGUAGGACGUUGGUUAUGGUUCUUGUUAGGUUUACUUGAUUGACUAAGUUUAUGGGCUUUGUUAAGUCAUUGCACAAGUUGAGUUAAUGAGGGUCAUGAGUAUAGGUCUUGCUUAGUUAUGUUGUAAUGAACUCUUAUUUAUUGUUGAGGUUAUACUUGAUGAUGAAGUUGUCUAGAUUUUAUGUUCAAGUGUAUUAGUAUGCAUGAUUAGUUUGGUUAGACUUAGUAUGAUGAACAUGGUCUUGACUUGAUGAUUAUUCCUAAAUGACUUGUAUUGAUUCUUGAAUGUGUAGAAGGCUUUCCAAAUAAAAUAGCAUGCUUUAAAAUUAAAUGUCCCUUUUUAGCAUGAUUGGAUAUUGUGUGUGCAUAUGAUUUCAUACUUAGUACAAGUGGUGUACUAACCCCAUUUUCUCCCUUUCCCCCCAAUAUUUUAGGUUUCGGUCGUUGAAGGGCUUUUGAGACGACUUUGAAGAUGAAUUUGAAUUCUCACUCAUCUAAGUUGUGUAGGUCCUCACUUUUCAAGGGCAAUGCCAAUAUCAAGCUUUUUUAAUUUUGGGCUAGUUUUACUACUUCUAUGUUCUUUCAUUUUCAUUUGAGUACUAAAGAUCUUUAUUACAUUGAUAUAUGGGAUAGGCCAAUUGAUAAACUUUUGUUUAGAUGGUUAUGAGAUAAGACGCUCUUUUAAGACUAUGUUAAUUAUAUUAUAUAUCUAUAUGCGAUAAUAGUAGAAAACUAUAUAAUGCUCUUAUACGAAGGGCCUUUUUAUGCUCGAUAUGAAUAUAUUACAUGUAUCUAAGAGGUCUAUGUAAACAUCAUGAUAGAAAAGUUUUAAAUUUUCCACAUUUUUAACCUAUGAGUGUAACAUUGUAAAGUGAGAGGCUAGUUUUAGACUUCUCUGAGGACGACGAUAUCGGUAACAUCGAGGGGGUGCUACCGGGAUGUGACAAUAACCAUGCAAAAACAUUAUUUAAAGAGGACAUUUAAUUAGAAAUCAUACAUCAGGUCUUUUAAAACCUCAAAAACUAUUGAAACAAUAAGCACAAUAUAGUUCACAUACAUCAUCAUACACAUGGAAGCCAUUUAUGAUUACACAUUAAGCAAUUUUGAGGCACAUUCAAUGCAUAUACCACAUUACCUACCUUUUUACCUUAUCUUCUUUCCUUAAAAAACCCUAAAGAUACUUAGUACAAUUUAUCAGCUUAAGGUCAUCCAAGAUGAUAUUUCAUAGAUAUGUUUCAUUAACACCACAUCAUAUAUUCAUAAAGUCAUAAGCACAACAUAGGACGUAACCUUCACAUAAGAACCAUCACCUAAGAUAACCUCCAAGUCACACUUAUGCAGUGUACAAGUAUAAUCCCAUAAUACUAAUCGCACCAACGGUUCCUAAGAAGUCACCCUAGACUAGAAUAUCAUAUUCAUCAAGUCAUAACAUCUUUGUUUUACAUUAGACAUAUGACAAACAUAUUUCAUACCAUCAUACAAGAAUUCAUUAAUUUACUACAUAUUUUAUCGUAACCAAUUUAGUUCAUAUCAUAGGUAAACCACCCUCACAACGCCUUCACAAGCUUACUUGUGCAACAUACACAUGGAAUCUUAUACCCCCACAUAUAUCAAGUAAACCCAUUAGAAGUCAUAAGUGUAAUUCACAUGCAAAAUACCAAUUCAUAUCUUGACAUGAGUAAAGUCAACCAUAAUAUGCCUUCGUAUUAACAUGUAUGAUAAAUAAUCCUUAUUUCAAAAGGAACUUAAUCAUAUAUUCCCCUAAAGUCCACUACUACAAUGCACAACUAGGGUCUACAGUCCUACCUAUACUAAGUAGCUCUACAAGGAAAUUAUGACUUAUAUUCAUAUUAUUAUCUUAUUUUGAUUCUUAACUUUAGGGAUACUUAAUCGUAACUGGCAUAGACCAUGCGAGAUACAUGGAAUCUGGUGUCAUAUAACCUCACACUGAAAGAAAGUGUUCUACUUGCAAAGGUAGAAGCUACAUAAUAGCUAUAUAGAUGGAUCCACUAGCUAGAUCCUAAGGGAGAACGUUGUUAUGGGAUAGUUACAUUGCUUCUAUAAGCCCUAUAAAUUGCAUUAGCGGAGAGGAUUCCAUAUCAUGAGUAUCACUUUAGAAUAACCAACCAAUUGCAUUAGUGGAGUCUUUUCUCCAUUGUACAUAUCCACUCGGUGCUAAUCUUAAACUCCCACAUACAACAUAUAGCUCAAAGGUUUCUAAGAUGGGAAUGAACUUUCAUCAUAGAAGUUACAUUCUAUGAGGAUGUGUUUUGGAAUACUCAUAACAUUAAUAACAUAGUCUAAAUAAGAGUACAAUUGAGGAAACAUUUCAAAGGACUCUUAAUAAGUAGAUUAUCAUUAACAUCGUUCACUCAAACAUUCAUGUAUGUGUACAUAUAUGAUAAAAACCUUUAACAUAAAAUCCUUUAGAUAACACAUGUUCAUUCUUCAUUAUAUAUAUAUACAUAUAUAUAUAUAUAUAUAUAUAUAUAUAUUUCAUGCAUAAUAAGAGAUAAAGGUGAAUAUGAGAAUUAUCGUUUCAACUAAAACCAUAAAAAUAUCAUUCUAAUAGUUAUUCAUAUGGAGUGUAUGUUCGUAUUGGUAAUCAUGAUGACAUAGGUGUACCACCUAGAUGUUUAGGAAACCAUACUUUACAGAUCACAAUACAUUUACAAUAUCCAUCUAGUCAAGAACAACUCCCAUAUGAAACAUUUAGGAACCAUGGACCACAUACUCAUAUUACAUCAUAGGAUACUAGAUUAUAUUCCACAUUUUGUAUAAAAGACUCCUAACAUGCAAAGAUCACAUAUUCAUAUGGGGUUCAUAUGGGUAUGGAUCAUUCCACAAUAGUCCUUAAUACACAUACAUCAUAAUAAUAGAAUUGAUCUCUAUAAUAAAACCAUCAUACUCAUCAUAACCAUCAUAUCAAUUCAAUCUACAAUUAUUGUGUAAAAUACGGGGAGCACCCCCAUACAUAAUUGGCGGCGGGUCCUCGGAGAGGACUAAGACUAGCCUCUUAGCAUUCAUCAUUGUAUUCAUAAGAUAAAAAGCGCAUAAAAUAAUUUUUUUAACUAAAUCUGCUUCAUGAUGUUUACUUAGACCUCUUUCUUACACAUAAUAUACACAUAGGGAGUAUACUUAGACUUCUCUAAAUAUGAAGUUUACUUAGUCUUCUACUUUUAUCCCACAUAUAUAUAACGUACACAAUAUAGUCUUAAUAGGAAUGUCUCAUAUAAAACCAUUUAAAUGGAGUAUAACAAUAUGGUCAUAGCCCUUAUAGAAAUGUAAAAAUAGCACUUAGAGCUUACAUUAAUGUCUUGAACAAUAAGAGUGAAACAAAUUUCAUUAGACUAUAGUAAGUGACAUAGGCAGAAUGAGGAGAAAGGCAUCAUCCUUGGAUCUUGAGGACAUACCCACACUUGGGAAAAUGAUCCAAGCCUUCUUGCCAAUUGGUCACGAACCCUUCAACGACCAAAACCUAGAAUGUUAGGGGAAAUGGAGAAAUAGGGGUUAGCACACCACUUGUACUAAAUGUGAAAUGUAUUCACACACCGCAUAGAAAUCAUGCUAAAAGGGGGCAUUUGAUAAAACCAUGCCAAGUUACUUUAAAAAAUCUUAUGCACAACCCAAGAACACAUAUGAGACAAGAAUCAUCUAUUCCUUAUGAUACAAGCAUAUUAAAUACAAGAGCAAAAUACUCAAGUUCAGCCAAGUCCACAUGUGUUUAACAUAUUAGAAUUCAAAUCCAAUGCAACUCUAACAUGAUAUUACAACCAAAAAGCGUGUUUAUGAGUUUAAAACAUCAUAACCAAAGAAAAAACCUUACUCAUAACCGCUUAUGAAACCUACUAGUGCAAUGGUAAAGUAAAUCCCAAUAACUCCACUUGACCAAGCCAACUAACCAAAGGAUCAUGAAUAAUAUCUAACUUCACAUAACAUGGAAUUAUAAGUAUUCAUCCUCAUAUUUAGCAAUAUAAACAGUUAACAUGAAGAAUUAACAUAACCAUAACACCAUUUCAUAAGAGCAGGAGAACAUAAGAUUCACUUCCUAGGAUUUCCCUCAAGGCGAACUAGUGCAAUAUAUAGGUAGAGUCUCAUACCCCUACCUAGAAUAAGUCAAACCCCUUAUGUCCUCCUAAUUAGAGUUCAAUUUAUUACUUCAUUUUACUUUUGGGAACAUUUUUCCUUAACCGACAUAGACCAAAUGAGCUAAUGUAGAAUUUGGUGCAACGGAAACCUAGACCGAAAGAAGGUUGACUACUUGCCAAAGAAUUACCAACACAUGAACAUAACAUCUAGGUUGAUCCACUAGCUAGUAUUCCUGUGGGGGAAACAUAGUUCAAGAACUAGGAGAUGUACUUGGGACCAUAUUUAUGCUUAAUGAUUUAUAGUCUCCAAUCUUAUGAGUACAAUAGUGAACCUACCUUUCUUAUUUGGCAAAGGACACUCUUUACUACUAGUUCACUCAAUGCUAGCUAGAGUCCCUUUUUAAAUGUCUUUCUUUAACAAUCAUAGCUAAGGUUAGGUCAUAGGAGAAUAUAUCAUUGUAUAUUCAUAGUCAUUAGCUCAGUAGGAAUUUCAUGAGAAUAACUUUCAUUACAACCCUACAUGUGAUAUUCACACAUUAGUAUCAUCAUAUCAUAGUAAGGCACAUAACUACUUCAUAACAAACUUAUAUCGUUACAUGUUAAGAAUUAUAUUAAUAUAAAAAAAUCAAGGAACUUCAAUUACAUCAUCAUAUGAAACCUACUCAACCCAAUUACAAGACAUACUUUCAUUGAAUUUUAUCGUCACCAAGCCAUCAUUAUUGAAGUUAAGGUUUAGGACAAUAAAGUCUUACCAAAUAUCCUUCAAAGACAUCAUCAUGGUCUUACUAUCAAUUAGCCAAUUUCCAUCAAAUAAUAAGUGUAAUAACAUCAAUCAAUAGUAUUACACAUUAAAUAAGUUAAUUGCAUCAUUAAAAGUUAUUCUAAAGUAGUUUAUGGGGUUAAUUCGUGAUCUAUUUCUUAAUAGGUCAAAACAUCAAGAACUAGCAUAAUUAAAUUAUAAUACACCAUUAUCUAAACAUAAUAAUAAAAAUAAACCAUAUACAAUACAAUUUAGAAGAUCAUAUUCAUGUUAGGAAGAAACCCAUAUGAAAUCAUCUUUUUGAAAAUCAAUAUUUGAAGAACCCUUUAGGGAAUUCAAUAUUAAAAGUGAAGAGUUCCCAUACCUUGGUAUUUGUUGAAAAUUGAUGAAGGAAAAUUGACUUGUUGCUGCCCAAAACACCUUGCCCUAGUUCUCCAAUGGAGCUUUUAUUUUUGGGAGUGAGAAAGAAGAGAGAAGGAAGAGCAAUUUUGUGUUUGGGAAUUGGGAGGUGUUAAGUUAUGCUUAAGAUUAGGGUAGUUUAAAUUGUGACCCAACUACCCCCUAAUACUUAAACGACCUCCUAAUUACACUAACUAAAUUAACUCAUUGAAACUCACCACCAAAUUGUAGGCCUUACCAAUAACACCACUAAUGUACGGUUCGUAGGUCAGUCGACGGGCCUUGGGAUAAACUGUCCUGUAGGUCCUAUGAUGAUUUUAGACACCUGUCCAUUUGGACAUUUUCCAAAAGUGGCUAAGUGACAAAGUACGGAGGCAUCGAUGCCCCAUCGUCUCACGUAUGUCCCAUCGAUGGCAAAGUAGGUGACACUGCCUACAUUACCCCAUUUGACAGCUUAGGGUCAAAAUGAAAGGGUCCUCCUCAAGGACCCUAAGGGUGGUCCCUGAGGAGUCUUACCCAGACAUUUCGACCCUAUGUUUUACACCCUCAAAAUGAACUAGGUUAAAGUUGAGAUUUACAUGAGUUUCAUUAGUUACUGAUAAUUCAUAAUGAUUUAUUUUAUCAAUAGAAGUCAAUUGCUGAAUUUUGGAAAUCAAACGUCAACGUACGACCAAGACCUCCGGAAACUAACUUUGUGUGUGCACUAGUGUGUCCUAGAAUGUUGUAGGUGUUUUUAUGUGUUAUAUGGAGUCUAAAACUUGUAAAAAUACUUUUAAAAAGUAAAAUUAAGUAUAUAGGUUUAAAACGUCGUGGUCUAUCCCCCAAGGAUCGCCCUAGGAGUCCAUGAAGGGACCCCACCUUUGGCCAAGCAAGCUGCCCAAGGCAGCAAGGCUUUUGUUCCUAGGUGGAACACUGACCCGUCUGCAACACGACAUGCCGCUCACUAGCCUUUAUAUAAAUUUAUUUCCAAGAACUUUUGCGAACAACUCGACGAUGCGGACUUGUUUCCCUACGAUAAUUCCAUAAAUUUAUGUGAAGUUUGACUUUACUGAAAUGGUCGAAUCAAUUUACGGUGUUUUGGAUUUUUCGGGGGUGUGUUAUAUACUUAUGUUAUGUCAUUAUACACCCAUUCCCCCAACCAAAAAAGCCAAACCUUCAUUUAAAAUUUAAAUUUUUCAAAAUGCUCAAAAGUUUUCCUUACCUAAAAGCUUUCCCAAACUCCAUUGAACCUAGAACUCAAGGUUAAGCUAGGUUUGAAAGAUGUGGACGUUUUCUUCACCAAAUCUCAUGGAUUUACUCAUAUUAAAGUACAAUAGUCAUCGUUGACCUUUUUUCCAUUCAAGGAGCCACUUUUAAGAGAUUUUCAAAAAAAGGUUUUCAAACUCAAACUUCUUCUAUCUUCUAUUUCUAAACAUAGGUCUUAGCAUGAAAGUGAUUUAAUGACUAAAAUGAAAUGUUCUUAGUAUUUAUUGAUGAUUUUGAAGUCAAAACUUCAUUUAACCCAUGGUUACACAUAGUUCUUACUUUUAACUUAAGAAAGGGGUUAGACGAACAUGAUUGUGUAAUGUUUGAGUUAUGGUUUCUUUAUGAUUAAAUUGUGAUUUAGUUACUUCACUAAUGGCUAUUUUAUGGUGAAUUAUGGAACUAACUGUGAAUAGGUGGUGAGAGCUUGGAUGAAUGGUAAGUUGUGUCAUUUUUAUUUGCUCUUAUUGUUAAAUGUUGUUGAGUGGUAUUGGACACCUUUGGUGGCGUUGUUUUAUGUGAUAUUCAUGAUUAUAUUGUAUUAAUAUGUGCCUUUUGAAUGUGUUCUUGAAGGCAUAUUAUUUGAAGUUAAAUGAUUAUUUUAGUGUUUGUGUAUGAUACGUCUUAGAAGGUUGGAAUGUGCAUCUUCAUGAUACUAUGUCUAACUGAAGAAUAUGUUCUAUGUUCAUGAUUAAGCAUGCUAGUGUGUGAAAUGUGAUGAAAGAAAGUAUAAGCAUGUCCAGAGAUCAAUGUAAUAAAAAUGGUUAUUGUAUGAAAUGUGUGUUCACACACACAUACUUGAAUAAUUGACUAAUGAUUAUGAAUGAGAAUGGGGAAGGCUUGGGGUGAACACUCUUUGUGAGUUGAGAUGAAUUGUUUUGUAGCAACCUCACAAUUUCCCAAGAUCUAUAUAAUGUAGGUUGGAGGGUCUAUAAUAUUCGUGAUUUGAGAUGUGGUGUCCAAUAGUUAUCCCAUGACCUUUAUUAAUUAAUGAUUAUGACUCCAUGGGGAGUUAUACUUAGCACCGAGAGGAUUUGAAAGAGGGGUGGUUACACUUUGUUAGUAGAUAUGUUGUAUCUAAUAUGCCUUUUGAGAUGAGUACUCCUCGUUAGUAAGAAAAUAAGUUACUUUGUAGCAGUGUCCUUGUCCAUUAACUAUGCGCGUGCAUUGGUGUAGAUAUUGGAUAAGCCAUGUAAAAGUUAAAGAAUGGCCCAACUCUAGGCAAGUGGGGAUCCCUCAUCCGAUAGGGGUCAAUGUCAGGAUUCCAAAUCUAGCUUCAUGGUCUAUGUUUGUUAAGCUAGCCCCAACUAAGAAUGAAAUGAACUAAGUCUCCUAAAGAGUGUACUACGUAAGGUCGGUGGUGGUAUGGGAUUCUAUUUAUCCAUUUCACAAGUAGACACUUGAAAGGGGAGUUUUGAUGUGUAAUUAUAUGAAAUGAAUGAAUGAUUUAUCAUGUGAUGCAAAUGAAGUUAUGUGAGUUAAGUUUUAAUGUUAAGAAAGCAUGUUAAGGUUAUGUCUAGUAUGAUAAAAUUAUGAAUGAUGAAUGUUUUGUACCUAAUCCAAUGAAAUCCUCAAGGAGAAUUAAGUGAGAAUAGUAGUAUGGGAUGUUACUUUCACAUUUCACAUAGUGUCACUUAAAAGUACAUUUGGAGAAGGUCACCUAUGUGAAGUCUUUAAUGCAAGCAUAGUCUUCUAGUGUCAUGUCAUAGAGUGUGGAAAUUGUUACCCAUGCUAGGUAAGCCUACAAUCGAUAUUCUUGAGGAUCACUUGGGUUGUUAUUGAAGGAAUUUUAUGGGCGGUUCCUCCAAGUCUUACCUUAGUGAGUCUUAGAAUAAUUCGUUAGGGAAACCUCAAUGGGAAAUGUGUUCACUGUAAGGUUGAUUAAGUUCACUGUAAUGUGAUUUUAGGUACUAAAAUAAUGGAGGUUGAUGUUAUGUGUUAAUUGGUGAUUUGUAUGUUUUUUUACUUCUACAUUCAUAAAUGUUUAACUAAAAGGCAUAAAAGCCUUACUUGAACAAAAAUAUCCCUUUUUCAUGUGUUUUUGCUUAUGCCAUACUUAGUACAAUGAUUGUACUAACCCUUACUUUUCUAUACUCUAUAGGUAUAGGUUGUAUGCAUGUUGAAGGUUAUAAAGCAAACCUCGGAAUUGACUCUCUCAAGACUAAGAAUGUCCUCAUAUGUCUAGGGCAUAGUAUUUAUUGCUUUAGUUUUUGUUUAAGACUUAUUAUGUAAAAUCUGUUAAUUUAUGGACUGUGUCCCUAAAAUAAUUAUGUCGUGUCUUUACUUUUGCUUGUGACGAUGAGAUGAUCCUUUAAUUAUUUAUAAAAUAUAUUUUCCAUGUUAUUAUUUAUGAUGAAAAUCUUUAAUUCUGCACUACUUUUCAUUUCUUAUGUAGUGAAUGAUAGCUAAGAGGCUAGUAAAAGACAUUCGAAAAGUCAAGUAUUCCUUGUACGGACCUAAGGUUGCCUUAUCUUCUAGGGUGUACUUGCGGGUUGUAACACUAAGCCAAAUCCAAUAUGUGUUAGACACCUUUUCAUUAAAUUCAUCAAUUUCCAACUCCUAAAACCUUAUGAAAAAUACGAAAGCACUAGCACAUUUUUUACUAGUCUCUGGAUGUCACGGACGUCCCUUCAGGUUUAGACUCUAAAACAUCCUAAAUGAAUUUUAUACAAUAUUAUUGACCUUAAAACAUUGGUACAAACCUUAGACACUCAUGUGAGGUUUUAUAUUAGGUGUCGGACAUUCGAAGUGUUACAUAUUGCACUCAAGGCCAUGAUCACAACAUUUAAUGAUUGAAGAAUGUAAACAUUGCCACCAUAACUGGACCAUGCCACAAAACAUCAAUUCCAAUGAUAAAGACUAUAAUAUACCAUUAUUCAACAAUCCAUAAUUAAUUAAUGUGGAUAUGAAGAGUACUAAAUAGUACAUCAUAAACUAACCAUAAUUAAAUUAACAUCUAAUAAAGAUCACAUGAACCACUUUCUAGGCUAAAUUGAGGAAUAGGAGUAUCAUGGGUUCUUUAAUAAAUUCCAUAGGAAAUAAUCAUAAAAAUAUUAAAUACACAUCAAUUCAUCAUUAGGAUGUCUUUGAAAAUAGUUUGACAAUGAACCCAUGCUUGGAUUUGAUGUGAGGAAUUUUGAUCAUAGGAAACCUAUUUAAAACCAUUUUGAGAACACCUAGAUGGAAGUUUAACUAAGGAUAAACUGUUACCAUACCUUAAUACAAUAGAAGCCGCAAAAUUUGAAGCAUAAAACUGUAACGCCCUAAAAUGAACUAAGGUGACCUACAACCUCAUGAGUGUUUCUUGAGUUAAUUAUAAGUUAAAAAGAGUUACAUUAGUGUUCUUAGGUAGUGUGUUGAUUUUGGAGGUCAAAUGUCCAUGACGUUAAGAAGGUUUUCCUUAGAAAUUAGUUGUGUAUCUUGAUGUGUUUGAGUGAGUUUUACGUGUUUGUUUUAAUAAAAAUUGAUGCGGGAUGUUCCUAAGACGUAGACGACAAUGUUUAGGGGUUUCACGUUCGACCACAACCCCACCGAGGACCUAGAAGGGUCCAUAGAAGAGGGACCAAUACUGUGUUCCCAAACUGUGUGGUAGUGUCCAUAUACGGGACCAGUCGACGACCAGUUGGCCAAUCGACAGCCCGUCGACUUGGUCCUUCGAUUGGACCUCCAGAUCUAGAGGGUUUUAGAGUUGCAUACCCAACCAAUGAAACUCCAUGGACGGGGCGUUGGUUGACAAAUGGCCCGUCGUUUGUUAGUCUUGGAUGCUGCCUGCAAAAUUUAUCUCCCCUGCUGCCAUUCUGGGUGCUUUGAGUAAAUUCACCCCAACACAUUUAGGACCCUAGGAUGAUAUUUUUAGGGGCUUUAAGUUAUUUAAGAUUAGUUUUAAGUCCUAGACCUAUAGAAGACCCCUCACUUCAAAUUAAAACUCUAUCUCUAAAGACAAACUCUCUCAAGUCGCUUCGGAAGCUAGAUGUCAUGACCCAACCCGAUGGGCCGUGACUAGUGCCCGUUUUGGACACCCACAUACAAACCUGCUAAGUUUAACCAACUAAAACUAAGACAAUAUGGAAUUUAAUCAAAUCAAGUCAACCCCAACGUCAUAUAUAUAUAAAGAGGACCUGUCUCAUAAGGAGUCAUAACCAUUCAAUGGUAACAACAUAUGCGAGCCGACAAGGCCGCCACUAUCCAAAGCAUAAUAAGAUACGUAAGCCGACAAGGCUGCCACUACACGAUACACAAUGAUGUAUGCAGCCGACAAGGCUACCCCUGUACAAGCGGACAUCCCAAAAAAACCAUGUCCAGACCAUUACCCAAAACAUAUAUAUACAACCCACAUAAUGUCCACAGACCUCUAAGAGUACAGUAGUGAAACUCGACGGGACAGCGCCCCGCCGUACCCAUAGACGAGCAAAAGACUACACAAAAAGUUAUGUACCAAAAUGACUGGGCUCCGAAACAGUGGAGCUCUGCCAAUCAGCAGAGUAGAUAUCCUAGGCGGGAUGAUCACCGAACUGCGCGUCUACACCUGCGGGCAUGAAACGCAGCCCCCGAGGAAAGGGGGGGGGUCAGUAUGGACAAUGUACUGAGUAUGUAAAGCAUAAGGUAAAGAUGAUUGGAUUCCAAUAUGGCAAGUCGAAACAAAAUAUCGCUACACAUAUACCCUUUUAAGUGAAAAUCAUGCAUAUAUUUAACACAUAAGGUGCCCAGCUUCCCUAGUAAGGGGCUCGGCAAAAUAAUCAUCACGUCAUCUCCGUCAUUAUCAUCAUCAUAACCAUCCUCAUCACCAAUCAUAUAUAUAAUAUACAUACCAGGGCCUCUAGUGAGGAACUCGGUGACAUGCAAGAAACUCCGCACGAACAUUACCCGAGCCGGGACUCGGUGAAAUGAUAAAUGACUCUAUGCACGAGCAGAAUAUUAUGAGCAACCAUAUGCCAUUAAAAUCAUUUCUUAUAACUCAAUAGAACAAUCAACGUGAACUAGCAAGGAGUAUUAUCAAAGAUUAAUGUUUUAUCAAGAUUAUGAACCUUUAAUACGAUAUGGAAACGUAAAAUCUCAAUGACUCUAAGAAGCACUACUAUAGAUAUGAGAAAUCAUCAUAGCCUUAGACAUAGCCGAUAUAUAGAGGAAUAAUUGUGGAAGCAAGAAUAUACGUCACCUAGACGCUCUAGAGGUAAGUAUCAAACCUGUCCGUCAUUCACUUAUUUUUAAAAGUCAUGCCAGACAAAGAAAGAAGGGACAACGUUACAUACCGUAUAAUCGAGCCACACGUCCCAUAGUUACUGCUCAAGCUAUUAAUCUAUAACAAGCAGCAAUCGUGCCGCAAUUAGAUAAACAUCGCGCUUUACUUUCUUGUAAGCUAGCUAAUAAUCUAACGAAAAUUCGGUAGCACUUCCCCUAUUUUCUUUACUUCAUCCCAAUCCGACAACAACCCAAAUUAUCCAAAGCAAUACCAAUAACACAUAUAACCCAACGAAUCAUAUUAAACAGCCCCCUCCCCAAAACAGUUCCAUUUCGGCAACCAUAGAAGUGAAGAAACAACACACCGAGCGAUAACUCAUUUUAUAAUUCGCAACACAUCUACCUUAUCGUAUUCAUCCUUUGGAGUAUAUACUCAUAAUCACAUUUAACAUAUACAUAAUGCCAAAAUAGAAUUUUCCAGCAGUUUGAUUUAAUCAAAACAGCCCAAGCACCAACACGACACCACUAAUAAUUUGAUUAUGGUUUCCGUUCAUACUUAGCACAGUUAAUAACUAAAACAAACUUCCUAAUCUACUGGUCACGCCCCCUUCUUAAAAUUAAUGGAUAAUUAACAAAGGUAUUCUAAAUAAUUAACACACCAAACAAGGAGAUUACUAACCAAAUUAUUUGCAGCUGCUGGCCAAGAGUUGCAGGGUUGGUUUCUCCAUUUCCAUGGCUGCCUAAAACAAGUGGUGAAGAAGAAGAUGAUAUUCAGCAAUGCAUUUCACCACUUUAUUUAGCAUAGAGUGGAUUUCUACACCUCAUUUAAUAGUAUGAAGUGGAGGCAGCCCCCCUCGACACCUGUCCACUAAGGCCAGCUCACAAUUUGAUCUUUUUUUAAUGUUUGCCUUGAGUGGUUGGGCCCAUUGGAUUAAAUUAAUCCUAAUCAGCCACCAAUUAUGAUUGGUGGGGCCCAUUGGAUUAAAUUAUUCCAAAUCAGCCACUAAUUAAUUCCUCACUUAAAGUUAAUGACACAAACAUUAGCCAAAUCAUACUUAAUGUCACAUUUGGAAUUAACAUCCUUGCUUAAUAUUUCUUUAAUCACUUGGAACUUAAAAUAAAAUCUCAUUCCCCGGACUUACGUCUAUUAGAUCAUGAUGCGCACUACGUAUAAAAAAAUACGAGGCAUAACAUCCUUCCCCCCUUAGGAACAUUCGUCCUCGAAUGUUAAGUUAGCGUCUUCCAAAAACAAAUUCCAGUAAGGUCUUUCUAACAGUUAUACCUAUCAACCUGCAUUUCGUAACUUAUAGAUGCCUCACAGAGUCCCAACUUACUACAUAAUCUCUCUUAUCAAUCAAUAUAGUCAAGCUAGGAAUUGAAUUACCUAAAGGUACGGGGAACAAGUAAGGAUACUUAUUCUUCAUUUCGUCUUCCGCUUCCCAAGUCAUCUCCUCCCUAUUGUUAUUUUGCCACAACACUUUGACGGAAGCCACAUCCUUAGUACGUAACCUUCUAACCUGACGAUCAAGUAUAGCUACGGGUUUCUCCUCAUAUGAUAACUCCUCUGUUACCUGAACAUCAUCUACUGGGAAUACUCUAGAAUGAUCACCAAUACAUUUACGUAGCAUCGAUACAUGGAAAACUGGAUGUACCGCCUCCAAAUCUGAUGGUAGAUCCAACUCAUAGGCAACCUUGCCUAUCCUACGAACAAUCUGAUAAGGCCCAAUGUAUCUCGGACUGAGCUUCCCCUUCCUGCCGAAUCUCAUCACACCCCUCAUGGGUGAUACCUUCAGGAAUACCCAGUCACUAAUCUGAAACUCCAAACUCGAUGCUGAUUAUCUGCAUAUGACUUCUGUCGACUCUGGGUUGCUAAUAAUCUUUCUUGAAUAAGCUUCACCUUGUCAACUGCUUGCUGAAUCACAUCCGGGCCUAUUAACUUAGUCUCGCCAACAUCAAACCAACCAAUAGGUGAUCUGCACUUCCUCCCAUAUAUGGCCUCGUACGGUGCCAUCUGGAUACUAGAAUGGUAGCUAUUGUUAUAGGCAAACUCUAUGAGCGGCAAGUGGUCAUCCCAGCUACCUUUGAAGUAAAUAAUACAGGACCGCAACAUAUCUUCUAAUGUCUGAAUAGUACGCUCAGCUUGCCCAUCAGUCUGAGGGUGAAAUGUUGUGCUAAGGUUCACCUAUGUCCCCAAUCCCUUCUGAAACGAUCUCCAAAAGUUUGCUGUAAAUUGAGCUCCUCUGUCUGAUAUAAUAGGCGUGGGAACUCCAUGAAGUCUCAGUAUCUACCUUACAUAUAACCUUGCAUAAUCUUUAGCCGAAUAAGUAGUCCUGACUGGAAGAAAAUGGGCCGAUUUCGUCAACCUAUCUACAAUAACCCAUAUAGAGUCAUACUUCCAUUGAGUGCGAGCUAAGCCUGUAAUGAAGUCCAUAUUAAUCAUCUCCCAUUUCCAAGUCGGGAUCUCUAUCUCCUGUAAUAAUCCACCAGGCUUUUGAUGUUUGAUCUUGACUUGUUGACAAUUUGGGCACUGAGCAAGAAACUCUGCUAUGUCCUUUUUAAUGCCAUCCCACCAAUAUAAGCAUCUGAGGUCUUGAUACAUUUUUGUUGACCCUGGGUGAAUAGAAUAACGAGCAGAGUGUGCCUCUCCCAUAACCUGCCGUCGUAGCCCCGCAGUAUCGGGUACACAAAAUCUGCCUUCCUAUCGUAACACUCCGUCAGGUGUUACCUUAAAUGGGGUCUUUUCCUUUUGAAGAGCUGCAUCUCUAUAUUGUGCCAGAAUAGGGUCCUUUUAUUGGUGUCUCUUUACCUCAUCUAUGAUUGAGGACUCAGCAACCUCUCAAAUAGAAACUCCACUGUCUUCUGAAUUAGCUAGACGGACUCCAAGGCUGGAUAGCCGCUGAAUCUCCCGAACCAUAUCCCUCCUUUCUUGUUGUACAUCUGUCAAGAUACCCAUGGACUUACGGCUAAGUGCAUCUGCUACAACAUUAGCUUUCCCUGGAUGAUAUAAAAUAUCAACAUCAUAAUCCUUUAGCAACUCUAACCACCGCCUUUGUCGUAUGUUCAGCUCCUUCUGUUUAAAGAUAUAUUGGAGACUCUUAUGAUCUGUAUAGAUGUUCACAUGGACACCAUAUAAAAAAUGUCUCCAUAUCUUCAAGGCAUGAACCACGACCGCUAACUCCAGAUCGUGAGUAGGAUAGUUCUUUUCAUGCUUCCUAAGUUAUCUGGAGGCAUAGGCUAUAACUUUGCAAUGCUGCAUCAAUACACAUCCUAGCCCAACACCCGAAGCAUCACAAUAAAUAACAUAGCCAUCUGGACCCUCCGGAAGAGUUAGGAAUGGAGCUGUAGUCAAUUUGUCUUUCAAUAGCUGGAAGCUUCGCUCACAAGCAUCAGUCCACUGGAACUUGGCUGCCUUUUGAGUUAGCCUUGUCAAAGGCGCUAAAAUUGAGGCAAACUUUUCUACGAAUCUCCUGUAAUAUCCUGCUAACCCCAGAAAGCUGCAUACCUCAGUAGGUGUCGUAGGUCUGGGCCAAGUCUUUACCGCCUCAAUCUUCUGCGUGUCUACCCGAAUACCAUCAACUCCAAUAAUAUGCCCCAAGAAUGCCACUGAAGUCAACCAGAACUCACACUUAGAAAAUUUAGCAUACAACUUCAGGUGAUGAAGCACCCUAAGUACCGUGCUUAAAUGGUCUGCAUUCUCCUCUUCUGAACGUGAAUACACCAGAAUAUCGUCUAUAAAUACAAUAACAAACAUAUCAAGGAAUGGUUUGAAUACUCGAUUCAUUAAAUCCAUGAACACCGCUGGAGCAUUAGUCAGCCCAAAAGACAGCACUCUAAACUCAUAAUGCCCAUAUUGGGUCCGGAAUGCCGUCUUUGGGUUAUCUGCCUCCCUUACCCGCACCUGAUGAUAACCUGACCGCAAGUCUAUCUUUGAAAAACACUUUGCACCCUACAAUUGGUCAAAUAGAUUGUCAAUCCUUGGGAGGGAAUACCUGUUCUUUAUUGUUACUUUGUUCAGCUGCCUAUAAUCAAUGCACAUCCGCAGCCACCUAUCCUUCUUCCUCACAAACAGUACCGGUGCUCCCCAAGGUGACGUACUAGGCCUGAUGAAGCCCUUUUCUAGCAAAUCCAUCAAUUGCUCUUUCAAUUCUUUCAACUCAGCAGGUGCCAUUCUAUAAGGAGGUAUAGAUAUAGGCUGGGUAUCUGGCAGUACAUCUAACGUAAACUCUAUCUCUCGUUCUAGAGGAAGGCGUGGAAGUUCCUCGGGGAAUACAUCAAGAAAUUCAUUAACUACCGGGACUGAUUGAAGAGUCGGUGCCUCUGCCUUUAUGUCAUGCACCCGAAUAAGAUGGUAAAUAUAGCCUUUUCUAACCAUUUUCCCGGCCUUGAGGUAUGAAAUGAACUUACCUUUCAGCGAAACUGUACUCCCCUUCCACUCUAUAAUCGGUUCCCCUGGAAAUUGAAAUCAAACUAUCUUUCCUAUGCAAUCAACAUUAGCAUAACAAACAGCUAACCAAUCCAUGCCCAUGAUAAUAUCAAACUCAAUCAUAUUUAACUCUAUUAGAUCUGCUACGAUACGACGACUAUAUAUAACUACUGAACAAUUCCUAUAUACUCGCAUAGCUAUGACAAAAUCUCAUACAGGUGUAGCUAUCUCAAAUGGUUCUAUCAACUCAGACUCUAUUCCGAUUCUACUAGAUACAAAGGGAGAUAUAAAUGAUAAGGUGGAACCUGGGUCUAUCAAUGCAUACACACUUCAGGAGAAUAGUGAUAAUAUACCUGUGAUCACAUUAGGUGACGCCUCCUGAUCCUGCCUAUUAGUCAAAGCAUAUAUACGGUUGGAGGGACCGCUAGAACUGGAAGCUCCACCACGUCCUCUACCACGGCCUGCUGGCGCCUGAAUACCCUGCCCCCUAGGGCGCAUAGCCACAGAAGAAGAUGAACCAGCAAUGGACCCUGUAGGCUGUUCCAUACCACCUGCACUACCUCUAAGGUGACACUCCCUCAUAGUAUGGCCCUGACGGCCACAAGAAAAACACGCACCUGUAGCCCAACGACAUUCCCUAGGAUGGGACUUACCACAGCGAGAACACCGAGGCAAAGGUGGCCUCGUCUGGCUCAAACCCCUGCCCAUCUGUGACCCUGACGCCCUAGAGCUCUGACCAGCUUCCGAAUAUCCCAUACGAUCAAACCCACUACCCAUGAAACGUGGGGGUGCACUCUGUGCUGGUUGGGAAGAAAAUCUAACAUGCUGCUGAGACUGCCCGGUUCAAAACUCGUCAGGAUAACCUGCUGAUCUAGCCCUCUUAUGUUGGUCUCUAUUAUAAUCUCUAUCUGGCUGACGUCCCCAGUGCCGAUCCUCUACCCCCUUUGCAUAUGCCUGCACCUGAGCAAUGUCCAUACUUGUCUGAAGAGUCACUACCAUACAACCGUCAAUCAGAUAACGAUCCAAUCCCAUCAUAUAACGAUGUACCAUGUCUGCCCAUAUCAGCCAUAAUAGUAGGCGCAUGCCUAGCCAAUGAAUCGAACUCGAGGUUAUACUCUCGAACGCUCCUGCCAUUUUGCUUCAAACGCAAGAAUCUAUCGACUCUAUAGCUCGCUUCAUCUCUGGAGGCAGGAAGUGUCCCUGGAAAUCCUCCACAAAUUCAUCCCAUACCGCUGGAGGAUCACCCUCACCCCUAGAUAACUUCUAAGACUCAUACCAAUUAAUAGCUACAUCCCGCAAACGAUAUGUAGCAAACUCAACAGACUCAGUCUCCGAAGCUUUGAUUAUUCUCAAUGGACGCUGCAUCUGACGAAUAAACUCUUGCAGAUCAUCCUGGGGCCUUGACCCAAAGAACUCUGGAGGAUUACAACUUAGGAAGUCACGAGCCCUUAAGAUAUCAAAUCUGUCCGCAUUAUCAACUCCUAGUCCAUGCCUGCGAACCUGACUUGCCACUAAUCUAGUCAGCAACUGAAUCGCAUCUCUCAUGGCCCUAUCCUCCGCUACUGACUGAGGAGAUAGAGGUUCAGGUGUUGGGGCCUCGGGGCUGGUGCUGUCCCCCGAACUGGAGUUGCUGCUGCUCUAAGCUCCUCUGGCGGUGGCAGUGUAGCAGAGCUCUCUGACUGGAGCAUAAUACUAGGCAUAGAAUGGGCACGGGCCCUAGUAACUCUCCGGGUCUGAGUAGUACACUCUGCUACCGAUUUGCCCUUCUGGGCGGCUGUCGCUUUCUUUGGAGGCAUAGCUGAAAACACACGGAUUCGUUAGAGAGGGAUUAUCCUGUUCAUAUAGCUCUAUCGCAUGAUCUAGAAUAAGAAGAAAGUAUGACAUCCUAAAUGUCCUAUAGCUUCCUAUUUAUAGAUGUGGUGCACAACACACCGAUAAACAAGACUCUACUAGACACGGUCUGUAGACACUUCCGAGGAAGAACCGCUCUGAUACCACACUUUGUCACGACCCAACCCGAUGGGCCGUGACUAGUGCCCUUUUAGACACCCACAUACAAACCUGCUAAGUAUAACCAACUGAAACUAAGACAAUAUGGAAUUUAAUCAAAUCAAGUCAACCCCAACAUCAUAUAUAUAAAGAUGACCUGUCUCAUAAGGAGUCAUAACCAUUCAACGUAACAACAUACACGAGCCGACAAGGCCGCCUCUAUCCAAAGCAUAAUAACAUACGUAAGCCGACAAGGCUGCCACUACACAAUACAUAAUGAUGUACGCAACCGACAAGGCUGCCCCUGUGCAAGCGGACAUCCCAAACAAACCAUGUCCAGACCAUUACCCAAAACAUAUAUAUACAACCCACAUAAUGUCCACAGACCUCUAAGAGUACAGUAGUGAAACUCGACGGGACAGGGCACUGCCGUACCCAUAGACGAGCAAAAGACUACACAAAAAGUUAUGUACCAAAACGACUGGGCUCCGGAACAGUGGAGCUCUCCCAAUCAGCAGAGUAGAUAUCCUAGGCGGGAGGAUCACCGAAC
rnacentral:lncRNA from 1 species